rnacentral:lncRNA from 1 species
UUUUGCAUUGAAUAGCGUUGAUAGUUUGAUAUAUAGAGGAUGUUUGUAAUGUUCUUAUUUCUUUUUGUUUUAUAGGACUUAUAAAUGGAAAUACUAUUUCUUUUUCCAUUAUAUUAAUACUUAAUCCUGUACUACUUACAUUGAAUGGAUAUAUUUGAGUAAAAAAUCGAAUUCCUAGAAUCAUAUCAGUUGUUAAGUUUUCUACUAUAUGAAAUCUAUGUUUUAUGCAAUAAUUAUUAUUACGUAUAAUUCCAUUUCUUAAUUUAUAUUUGACUAUUAAUGGUUGUCCAUUAGCCGCAUAUAGUUCUUCAUUGGUUCUUUUUAAAUAUUCUAAUAGAAUUAUUCCUCCUUUAAUACAACUUGUAUCUGCUCCACUGUCGAAUAAAGUUAUUACUGUUUCUUGAAAAUUUAAUACUUUGACUAUAACUAAUCCAUACCAUUUUUGAUAAUUUAUUUUAUCAAUGAUAUUUACAUAAUCUUUUUUUUUUUUUGUUUUCAGUUCUGUCUUCUAAUAUGGGGUUUUGAAUUGGUUCUAUUGGUAUUUUUGAACUUGAGGCUAAUUGACUUUGUAAUAUAGUAAUCUUAGUUUCUAAACUUAAAUCUUUUGUAUAUAAUUCUAAUAUUUCUUUUUGUAGAGCUUUUACCUGCUGUUUUAAUUUAUUGAUUUCCUUUUGUAAAGAAUGAGUUGUAUCUUUUUUAAUUAUUCCUUCUAUAGGAUAUUUGUCUAAUAAUCUAGAAAUACUAAAGGGUUCAGUUAUUUUUGGAAUUUUUUCUUCUGCUAAUAUUAUCCCCUUUAAUUUUCCUAAAUACGUUUUCCUUGUUUCUAUAUUAUCUAUUUUCUCUAUUAGAUCUAAUAAAAAUUCUUUAUCUUCCUUUGUAGUUAUAACAUUUAUAUAUUUUAUAUCUUUGCAAUUACAUUCAUUUGAACUUAUUUCUUUAUCAUCAUUAUAAUCCUCAGAUCCAUUUGAUAUAUCUUCCUCCUCUUCCUCAUUUAUCAUGAUUGCUAAUAUUUUUUCCUUUAAUUCUGAAUCAUUUGAAAAUAUUUCAUGUAUCUUUUGCUUUAUUUUGCAAUUAUUGGCUUUGUGUCCUAUUCUUUCGCAUUUCUAGCAAGUAAUAUUUCUAUUGUUUUGAAAUCUUUUCUUAAAUUUCUUAUAAUAGGGUUCAUUGGAAAUCCUAGAAGGUUGUCUUCUCCCUUUUUUAAUAUAAUCAGAUUUUUUGUAAGAUUUUCCUUUUAAUGCAGAAGGUGAUCUAAUACCUUGAAUACCAAAAGUUUCACAAAAUGAUCCUACUUCUUGUUUUUGUGAUCCACACUUUUGUUGCAUUUUUAAUUCUGUGCAUAAUGCUAAUCCUUCUUUUUUAAUAAAUCCUAAUAAUUGUCCCAUGGUGACUCCUUCUAAUGAUAAUAUAUCUGUACCCAUUUCUUUUUGUAAAUUAGUCAUAAUUCUUUGAGAAAAUAAAGUUGGUAGUCUAGUAAUAAAUUUUUCUUUCCAAAAUGACAUAUUACAAUCAGGUCUUCUUAAUACAUGUGUUAAAAACAUAUCUUUGUACCAUCUGUAAUCUAUAAGAGUUGGACAUCUUAAAUUGGUUAAAAACAAUUUAUUAGAGUGUAACUCUUCUUUUGGGUUUCCUACAAAAUACAUUGCAAUUGUUACUAUCAAGAAUUUUGCUGCAUCUGAUUUAGUAGUGAUGUUACCUUGCUCAUCUUCAACUUCUAUAGUAUGAUUUAAUAUUGCAGUUUUGCUUUCUAAUGUUAAGGCAUUAUCCCACCAAUUUUUUAAUUGGCAUGUGAAUCCUGAUAUUAAUAUUGUUGUAAUUGAUUUUUCAUCUGCAUGUCUUACUUUAUAUGCUAAUCUUGUCAUUCCCAUUUCUUGUAAUGUAUUUAAUAUCUCAUAUUAUGUUUUGCCAUCUAUAUUCCAUUCAUAUAAUGAUUUUCCAUCAUAUUUAUUGGUGUGAAAUUUUGAUCUUUCUUCAUAUUGAAUAUCUAGAGGUGUAGGUCUUGUACAAUAAUUUCUAGUGUCUAUCAUUUUCCAAUUUUUAUAGUUUCUUUGGAGUUUUUUUAUAUUUUUUUCUAGAAAUUUUAUUUAUAGUAUUAUCAAAUUGUCCUUCAACUAUAUCUAUUAACUUAUUGUUUUGUUCUUCUUCUUCUAUGUCUGAAAAUUCUUCUGGAGUGGUUGUUUCUUCAGAAUCCGAAAUUUCUUUAAUUUUUUCUUGUUCUAAUGUUUGAAUUCUUGAUGUACUAGGGUCUGUAAUUGUUAAGCUUCUUUGAAUUUUUCCUAAUAUUUGUGCUUGUGCUAACUCUUCUUCUUGUUUAUAAUGCAAGCUUCUAGGUUGGAAAUGUAGUGCUGAAAUAUCAUUAGGAAAUUUGUGUGUGGAAAUUCCUGGAAUAGCUUCUAUCCUUUUUUUCUAAUUUAUUUCCUAUUGUUUGAAUUUUUGUAUCUAAAUAUUCUACAUUUUGGGAUACCGAAUGUAAUAAUUGAUUUGUAUAAUUAUUUUGAUGAUAUACUUUUUUAAUAUCUUCAUAAACUAAUAUUGCAUUAUCUUGUGCUUCUCUGCCUUUUUUAAAUGGGGAGGCCAUGGUUAAAUCAUUAAUUUUGAUUUCUUGUAAUGGAGGAUGUAUUGAAGUAACUAUAAUAUUAUCUGCUAAUGUCCAUUUUUUGUAUAGACUAGUUUGAACAUUUAUAGUAGGGAUAUUAUAUGGUGUAUUAGUAAUUUUAUUUUUAAUCAUAUAAUAUUCUAUCCAUUUGAAAAAAUAAAUUUCUAAUUGCCUUUCUUCUACUUGUUUAUACCAUAAUUCUUUUAAUUUUUUCUGACAUAUUUGAUCUAAUAUUGAAAACCAUUCUCUAUAUUCAUUAUUUUCUUCAUCACGUAUUUCUUCUUCUAAUUUAUUAAAAUCUAUUUUUCUUUUUAAUUUUAUCAUAUUAAUUUCUCCUGCCAUUUGUGAAUGUGUGGGUGAAUGUUCACUCUUGUUUGUCGGUAUGAUUUCUGAAAUAGGACUUUUAAACUUAUAAUUCAUAUCUUAAUUUUGAACUAGUUGAAAAGUUUCAGGAAAGUCGAACAUGGAAUUCCUAGGAGGUUGUGUAUAUGAAUAAGAUUUGUAAGAACUAGAGGGUCUUUCCCUAAAUGAAGGAAAUUGUAAUGUUACCGUUUCAUCUACUUCUUCAAUAAUUUGUUCUACUUCAGUUUGUUCUAUAUUUCUAGGUAUUUGUGGAUUAGUUAUUUGAAAUUCUUGUGGAAUAAUUAUUUCAUUCCAUUUUAAUUUUUUAGGAGUAAAUACAUUAGAUUUUUCGGCUUGUAAUUCUAAUAAAACUGUUUCAUCUUUUGAACUAGGGACCAUUAUACAUUUUGGUGAAAUUUGAGAGGAUAAUAGUUUAAAAUAUACUUUAUAUAUUAUAGCAAAAUUUUUACAAUUUUUAUGAAAUUCGUUUCCUUGUAAGUGAAUGUCUAAGACUAAUGAAUCCAUUAUUAAUGGGUCUGUCAUGUCUAAUGAAUAGUUAGGUGCACAAUUAAAAUAAAUUGUUUUAAUUAAAGUUACUAUUUAUGCUAUAUUUUGACUAUUUUCUAUGCUGUAUUGGUAAGCCAUUGAGACUUAGUGAGACCGUUGGUAAGCCUAGAGAGUUGGUGUUCCCGGCAUAAGACUCUGGUGUUCCCAUAGGAUAGAUGAAUAGAAGAGAUUAGCAAAAAUGGCAGCUAAAUUAAAACGAUGGAUGACUAGAUCUGAUUCAAAGAAUUCAGACUUGGUAUUAAGUAAUGAAAUUAAGAUGGAAAUAGAUAGUUCAAAUUGAACUAUACCUGAACAGAAAAUUGAAGAAAUUUACAAAGUAGGAUUAUUUGAUUUCAAGGAAACUCGAUCUGUAAACGAACAAUUUCAAACUAUACAUUUAUUGAAUGACCAAUCAUUACAAAAAUAUAUUAAUAAUGGAUAUAGAUAUAUUCACAUAGGUUUGGUACAAGUAGCUGUAAAACCUUUAGUUCAUAUGGAGGUUGAUGCCCCAAUCUUCAUGGCAUUAAGAGAUAAAAGACUUAAAAGAUAUAAAAGUUCUUUAUUAGCAUUAAUUCAAACCAACACAUGUAAUGGUCCUAUUAAUUUUAAUUGUGCACCUAACUAUUCAUUAGACAUGACAGACCCAUUAAUAAUGGAUUCAUUAGUCUUAGAUAUUCACUUACAAGGAAACGAAUUUCAUAAAAAUUGUAAAAAUUUUGCUAUAAUAUAUAAAGUAUAUUUUAAACUAUUAUCCUCUCAAACGAGAGACAUCGAUCAAUUUAUGUGAUCUGAGCCUUCUUAUUGUAAACAUUCUCCUAGUUUCCAAUAAAAUUAAAAGCUUUCAUUCCUAUUCGCUUCCACGCCCCACACUCAUCUAAAUUCAAGAACAUUCAAGAACUUUAAUUACAAGUUUAAAACUCUCUUCAUUUUGGUUCAACAAGUCUGUUUUAAUUAUUUAUUUCCUUUUUAAAAUAAUGCCUUCUUGCCUGGGCUGGUUCUGAUUCGGUAUCCCAAAAUGUAGAAUAUUUAGAUACCAAAAUUCAAGCAAUAGGAAAUAAAUUAGAAAAAAGGAUAGAAAUAAUCAUAUCUCAAGACAUCACUUUAAUUAACAAAUAAUCAUAAAAGAUGAAAAUAAAUAUGAAAUUGAAUCAAUUAAAUAAUGUAAACAAUUUACAUUUAAGAAAUUAAAACAAGUAAGACUAAAUUGCAAAAAUUAAAAAAAAUUUAGGGGUCAAAGUAUAAUUAUCACAAAAAUCCAGGGUCACAAUUAAAGAAAAAUAAAGUUAAGGGACCUAUUUGCAAUUCAAAUAAGGACCCAAUUAAAAGAUAGCUAAAGUUUUUAGGGCUAUAGUAAAAAUACUCGAAAGUACAGGGACCCAUGCGUAAUAUUCGUUUUCUGAUUUCUUAAGAACAUCAGGUCAUUGGGCCAUUUUUAUUUGUUUGGACCCAAAACUUCUCAAACCCAACCGAAAGUCCAAGGCAAAAGGAGCAAGCCGGUCACCCAAAAUUUAGCCAACAAAACUAAUGGGCCUUGACCCUCUAGCCCAAGCCAAAAAACCCAAUAAAAAAAGUAAACCAAAUCCAUAUUUACAAACCCAACCAAAUAACCUCUUAACCCAAAUCACCUAUUUCACUAAAACUCAACAUGAUAAAAUUAUUAAGCCAUAAUUAUGACCUAAAAUCAAGAAUUAAUCUACCCAAAAGACUACUUAAAAAUAUUAAAAGAUGAUUAAAAUCUGAAAGGGCGAAAUAAGUUCAAAUUUUCCAAUUUUUUGGGCCAUAUCAGAAUAGGGGAAACUUGAGGGGUUUAAAUGCAAUGAAAUUGGGGACCUAAUUGAAAGAAUUAUGAAAGGUUUGGGGUCAAAUUAUAAAGGCUUAAAACUUUGGGGAAUAAAUUAAAAAGGUCAAACAAUUAAGGACUAAAAUCGCGAUUUCUGGAAUUGGGUCGUCUUCUCCAAACGGCUGAACAUCAGCUGCUGUUUUCAUCUUGCUUUGCGGACGAAUGAACACCAAAAAUUCAACUCUGACCACUCCCCAAAAAAAAUGAAACUCACACAAAUUCCCUCUCAUACAAUUUCAGGACAUUAAUUCGAGUUCAUACAAAAGGAAGAUUAAAACAGAAAAAUGCAAAAAUGAGCACGUCAGAACCUUCCAAAACUCUAUUUUCUUCCAUGAAAAUCAUGACAAACAUUGAAUCUUGCUGUCCACUUGUUUUCUUCAUACGCAAUAUGCGGAUGAUUCAUCUUUCAAGUAGAAUUUUCACUCAGGCAUUUCGUCGAACACCAGAUGGGCAUAAAAAAUUUCACCAAUUCUUUGUUCAAUUGAUGUUAUGAUCAGCCCCAAAAUUUGUCAGAAACAUAAGGAAAUUCAGUCCAAACAACACAGAAAGCAUGUAUGUUUCACAAUCGUGUAUAAUCAGCAAACAUUGCAAUGAACAAAUUCAGAAAAAACAUGCUUUUGAGAGCUUCCAACGUUUGUGUUUGAAAAGAAGCUGAAAUUUAAAGGCAAAGGACAACUUACACUACUCUCUCUCGGUGAAGUUCCGGAGCCGACAGCAAACUGCAAUUCCUCCGCCCAGCUUUUCUUCUUUUUCCUUUCCUUCUUGCCCAAAAUUCCUCGUUUCCUCUGUUUUCCUUUUUCCUUCGUCUACCUCUCUUGCUCUCUCUCUCGUUUGAUUCCCUCCCCCCAGCCCGAAGCUCUCUCAAUUUCCAGGUUCCCCCCUUUUCUUUUGCUCUCCUCUUACCCGCCGUCCGCCGCACCUUUUUCUUUCCUCUCCUUGCUCUGUUUUUCCCCUCAGCCCCAGACCUCUUCUCUUUUUUUUUUUUCCCCUCCUUUUUCCUUUUUUUCAAGACCUCUUUUGUCCGUCCACAGCUUUUUUCGUUUUUCUUUUUGCUCUUUUUCUUUUUUUUUUCCUCCCAAUUUUCCCUCAACCAACAAGUGUCAUCCUACUCAUCAAAUAAUAGGAGGGAUAUUUGUCUAAAUCUUAUCCAUCAUACCUAUCCCCUUGCAUGGCCUCAACUUGACUAUUAUCCCACUAAUACACUUGUCUAAUAAUCUCCUACUACACUUGUCUAAUGAUCCCCUAUUACACUUAUUUUCACAUUUUAUUUAUUAUAUAUUUUCCAAAAUCCAUUUAGGUAACAACAAAAAAUGUUAACUUUUAAUUGUAAAUGCAUUGCACAAUUUUUAUUUAUCUUAAAAAAAUGAAUCUAAAAGGUUUAAAGACAAAUUUUGAAUUUUUGUGAGAAUUUUUCAUUUUUUAGAAAUUUAAUGCAAAGAUACCGUAAAAAUGAAAAUGAUAAAUCUAAUUUAUAAAAAUAAACAAAAUGAACAUUAACUAUCAUUUAAUCAAUUAAAAUAAAAUAAAAUAAAACAAGAAUAAAGCUAAAAUUGAAUAAAAUAAAUGAAGUUUUGAUAUCUACAUGGUUGAGCUUUGAUAUGCAUGUUUACAACUUCACCAAGUGAUUUUCUUACUUGAAUUUGGAAAUUUCAGCUUUGAUGUCUUUCGGUUAAUCUCUAUUUGUGUGAACUUUGAAGGGCUUUGAUAGACUAGAAUAAGGCUUGUAAUAUCUAAUGACUUGUGACUUUGAUUGUGUUGGGAUUGCUGUGGUUUACACCUUAAUUUUUCAACGGGAAACGCACCAAAAAUAGGUGAGGUGCUGCCGAAACUUUUGUAUCUAGGGUUAAGUUAACAAGAGGUAGCGGAGUGAUGUAAUCUUGAGUGGAUUUGAGUUGGGAGUUGAAACUUGGAAGAAAACUAGACAAUUGGGUGAAUUUCAGUUCUGCCCUGUUUUUGGAAUCAACUUGGGCUGCGAAUUUCUCCAUGUUUUAGACUGAAUCAGCUUUUGAACAAAAACAUAAAAAUUAUAGGGAUUUGAGUUAAUUUUCUACCUGCAAAAUUUCAGAUCAAUUGGAUCAUUUUAACUUAUGAUUUGGCUAAAGAACUCCUGACUGCACAAAAACUCUAAUUUUUGUGACCUAUUUUUUAUGUGCUUCUGACCAUCCAUUUUUUACCCUGAAAAUGCAAGAAUUGGAUGAUGAUGUUUUCAUAGGAAAUGUAGGUCUAUGUCUUAUCUUCGAAUUUCCAUAAAAUUUGCCUCAAUCCGAUAAGUGUAUCUUCAGUUGUAAUCAAAACACCAAAGGAUGGCAAAGCUGCCAUCUUCAUUGUUUCUCGUUGCCUUUCUCUUAUUUUCUGUUUCUUUGAUCCGACUUAACAUGUACUUCUCAAGUAUUCUAAACCUGAUUUCUAACAUUCUAAACAAGUAUUCAAAACAUGGUUUUUAGUUGCAUAUAUUGGGUUUGAAUUUAACCGUUUUUCAUCUUUUUUUUUUUACAAAUUAUGCGUGCACCUUGCCUAUAUGACUUAUUAUACUUUUCAUGCUUUUAUCAUUUGAUAUAGACAUAUAAGUUAUGCAGCUUGCACUCGUGUAUGAUUGGCUCUUUGUGGAUAAUAUUUGACUCCAGAUUUCGAGAGUGACCAAGGUACCGGUUUUGAACUGAAUUUUGAUAAAACAUGACUUAUUUAGAGUGAGUGUUUCUUGCAUGUUUGUGUAUUAAAUGAUUGUGUACUUGUUGUGAAUAUUCGAUUGAGUGUUAAAUACUUUCCAAUGAAUGCUAAAUGGAUUUUCAAUGGAUGAGUGUGUACUUUAUCGCACUUAACCCAAUCAAAAGUAAAUUUUCAAUGAUUGAAUGCUACUUGUGCAUGAAUGUAAGUCUUUUGGCUGAACUGGACCCUUGUCCUUUGUUGCCAGCCGACUCGAGCCAAAAAUAGACUCGAUCGGACGAUUGAUGACCCUGGGACAAUAUUUGGUAUACUCGAAUAUGACCACGAAUGCUAGUGGAGAACUGGCUUGUGAAUUGGCUAGUGGCGGGAAAUGAAAUCAAUGAAUGAAUGUCAAGAACACUAAAGGAAUUUUCACUUGCAAAUGUUUUUUAAUAUUUGAGGGAUAAGAAAAAUGGUUGACGAAUGAAUGAACGAAUAGUUUCACGUGAGCAUGUAUCCUUUUAAUGAGUGUGUUCUCAUUGUUUUGAUAUUGUGAAUGUUUUCUCGAUUGAUUGUUACUAAAUGACUUGUAUUCUUGUUUCAAUUGCUUGAUUAUGUGUAUGGAAAUCUCACUAAAUUUUUGCUCAUCCCUCUAUUCCGUUACAUUUGUUUUACUUACAGGGUUUGAGAGUAAGGACGAGUGAUUAGAGGAAGACUAAACUUUUGACUAGAAAUUUUGUUGUGUAAUAGUGAUAGUAUUAUUAGUUGGUUGGAUCCUGAACUUUUGUACUAAUCUUUAAGAUUGUAUAUCUGUGUUAAUGAUUAUAUAUAUGUUAAGUUUGAUUAGCACAUCUUUACUUGCUCUUGAAGCGAUAAGUGAGUGAGCUCCGACGAGAGUUGGGCAGGCGGUCUGCUGAACCCUGGGGCACGCCCUAGAGGUAGGUGGGGUUUUCACAGUUGGUAUCAGAGUUUAUGUUUCAGAUUUCUGUAGUGUAUUCUAGACUUAAAGUUUAGAAUGCCGAACUGUGGGAUAUUGUGAAGUUUAAGUACAAUAUUAAGUAUCUAUGUUCCUGAUGCAUAGUAAGAUUUGAUAUUUGAGGAUUUCUAUAUUGGGUUGGCAAGAAGAGAAUUGCGCGAGAUUGAUUUGAAAAGUAAUGGGUCAGUUUCUUAAACAACGAUACUAGUUGAUACCUAUGGGACUGACUUUGACUUUGACUUUGCAUUUGUAAGGAACUAGAUAUAAUUCUUGGAGCGAUUACUUAAGUAGGGAUCUUUUGAACUUUCUUUGACGGAUGAACUUGGGAUUUAGAAUCUACCCUUGGAAAAAUUGGAAAACCGUUGUUUGUUGUGUUGUUUUGCAUGUACGCAUGUGUUUGCCGUGUUGUGGACUGAUAUGUAUGGUGUACUAGACAUGUUUUGUGAAUUUGGUUUUGUUAGGAUGAUAUGUACAAUAUUUUUGUGAUUUAACUUGUGAAUUUGUUGUGUUAUAUUUUCUAAGGGUGUUUUCUUAUUUUUGACAUAUGUUGUUUUCUUCUUAUUCAAUAUAUAUAGCCGAUCUAUUUUUGCUCAUACACGUAUAUAGUUUAUUUAGAAAAAAAAAGGUAUGGAGGGACGAAAAGUCGAGGAUGAGGGGUUAAUCAUGGACGUGGGGUCAGGCAAUUUCAAGAACCAAAAGAAAAAAGAGAAGCGACAGUUAAACAAUAAUAUGAAUCACAGGCCGAAAUAGGGGAUCAGAUAGUAACGGCCAUACAACAAAUGACCGAUAUUUUGGCGCGUUUAGUAGAACAACAAGGGCAAGCACCUGUUAACCAAUUCAGGGAACCUAAUGGAGGAUAGGAUAGGGCCCUAGAGCAUUUUCAGAAAUUUUCUCCUCCUAAGUUUUUUGGAGGAUCUAAUUCGGAGGUAGCUGAGAGUUGGUUAGAACAAAUAAUUAAUAUUUUUGCUGCGCUAAAUUGUCUAGAGGAGAGACAGGUGACUUUUACGGUAUUUCAAUUUGAAGGGCCAGCUCAUACUUGGUGGAACGUGAUUAGAAUUAAGUUGGAGAGGGAAAAAAUAGCGCGAACUUGGGUAAAUUUCAUACGGAAAUUAAAUGAGAAAUACCUUCCGCCCUUAGUCCAACAGAAAAGGGAAGACGAUUUUAUUAUAUUACGUCAGGAAGUCUUGAGUGUGUCAGAAUACAAAACCCAAUUUACUAACUUAUCUAAAUUUACCCUUGAAUUAGUAACAACGGAGCAAAGAAGAGAAAGGUGGUUUGUACAGGAAUUAAAUGUGAAAAUCCAGGAAGUUCUUGCACCGGCUCAAAUCACUACAUUCACAUAAGUUCUUGAGAAAGUCCAAAUGGUUAAAAUUGCAAGGGGACAAGUAAAAGCAUUCCAAGCACGAAAAAGAAAUGUGCCGAGUAGUGAGUCUGAGGAAUUUAAGGACACCGUACCACCUUCCAAAGCUAGGAGAGUAAACCUUCCAUCUUACCCACCAUGGAUGCAAGGACAAUAUGAGAGAAGUUCGACAAGAGAAAGUCAAGUAGGAAGAGGACGACAAAAGGAAGUCUCUCUAAAGAAUUCAAUAGAAACUCCUCGGUUAGCUUGUGAUUACUGUGGGAAAACAAAUCAUACUGAGAAUGCAUACUGGGUAAAGGGAAAGAAUUGCUUGACAUGUGGAAGUGUUGAUCAUCGACUUCACAACUAUUCGGAGAAGCAACAAAAAGGGUUGAAUAUACAGUAAAGGGAUCAGAUUACUUCUAAAUCGAACCAAGAAAGAAGAAACAGAUCCAGGGUAUCCACUAGAGUAUACUCUUUCGAUCAACAACCUAUUCCAAAAUCAUAUGAAGGUCAGAAUUUCGUUCUCGAAAUUCUUUUAAGAGGGAGAGAUUGUGAGACUUUGAAAAAAAAUUUAAAUUCUUUUCUCGUUUUGCAUACAUUAAAUAAUAUUUUGACUUACUCUAGUUUAAAUCUUUUAAUUUCUAAGGUUAUUUGUAUGGUUGAGUUAAAUUUUAAUUGUUUGUUUUUAUAUUGUGGUGCGUGUUUCGUUAUAGUGCAUUUUGGUAGUGUGGCUCACUAGUAAGUGCGUAUUAAAUUUAGCGGACAUGAAUGGAUAUUAUAUAUGAAGGAAUAUAUGUUUAGAAAUGUUAAGAGUGAGCUAGAGGAACACCACAUAGAUGAGUGAUUAGAAACUAAGAAGAAAGAUCAAGAGGUAAGUAUUAGUCAAAGUAGUGUCACGUGUCGUGUUUUCAUUUAAUUUUGGAGCCCUUAAGUCUUCAUCCAUAUCACUUCAUUUGGAGUACAAAAACUCUUCAUUCUUUCUUCUCUAAGCUGGCCGAACCUCAGGAGGAGUAAAACCAAGCUAGCUAAGCCCAUUUUUCUUUUGAUUCCUUCACCAAAUCUUGAGAGAUUUCUUCCAAUUACCAAAAUAUAUUCCGAUUAACUUCACAUCUAAAGUGAUAGCAAGUUAAAGGUGGAGUGUUUUGAGAAGAAAAGGAUUUGCUUUGCUUGUUUUCAAGGUAUUGGAAGGUAUAAUCAUUAAACUCCUUUUGUUCUUUAAAUGUUGUUGAAUAACUUCAUUUUGAUUGAUUUUAUGGAGAUUUUUGCGAUUUUAGGGUUGGGAAUGUUAGGAGAAUAUUAGUAUUCUUGUAAAUAAUAUUCGUAAGGGUAUUCUUGUAAAUAGUUGGUUAGGUUUGUACUCCUAUAAAUACUAGUUGGUCACUCAUAAUACAGUGACUAGAUGUUUUCCUCCCUAAAUACCUGUUGACAUGGUAUCAGAGCUAGAACGUAGGAGGGGUGAAGUGCUAAAAUCCUAGGGUUAGGGUUAAACAUCUAGCAAAAGUCUUGACGCGAUACUGUUCAUGUGAUACUAUUCAUGCGUACUGUUCACGCGACUGUUCAUCGUGGCAUUGUUCACACGUACUACUGUUCACGGCGGCACUGUUCACGCGAUACUGUUCACGCCAAAUUGUCCACGGCGCACUGUUCAUCGCGAAUUCUGAUUACUAUUUUGUUUGGAGUGUUAUUCGCUAUGGUUGAAAGUUUUGCUAAUGGAGUUACCACUGAUCAAGUUGAAUCAAGUUCUUCAUUACAUGGGUCCCAUAAGACUGUUACUAUAUUCGAGGAAGAUUAUGUUAAAUUCCUACAGUACCAAGUUAUAAAUUACAUAUCUCUUCCCUCUGUUUCUUUAGUACAAAAAGAUAAUGACUCAUGGAUUAUUGACUCCGAACUACUGAUCAUAUGUCAGGUACCUCUAAAAAUUUUUCUAAUUUUCAAGAGUCUACUUCCUUUUCUCAUGUUACUUUACCUGAUGGAUCUACUACUAAAGUUAAAGGACUAGGCACUGUAGAAGUUAAUCCAUCUCUUUCACUGUCUUCUGUUCUUUACGUACCCAAUUUGCCCUUUAAUCUAAUGUCUGUUAGUAAGUUCACUAAAUCUCUACAGUGUUCAGUUAUUUUUUCUCCUAAUUUUGUUGUCAUUCAGGAUUUGAAAACAAAGAGAAUGAUUGGUGGAAGGCAUGAGCAUAAUAGUCUUUAUUUUCUCAACUUCCAUGGUCCGAUUGCAUGUUCUGUUACUGUUUCUCCUCUUGAAAUUCACUGUCGUUUGGGUCAUCCAUUUUUACAAAAUUUAAAAAUGUUGGUUCCUACUUUGAGUCAGUUGUUUUCGUUAGAAUGUGAAAGUCUUGUCAGUUAGAAAAGCAUUAUCGUGUUUUUUUUGCUCCUAGAGUCAAUAAACGGGUUUCUGAACCCUUUAUACUAAUUCAUUCUGAUAUUUGGGGUCUUAGUCGAGUCGCUUUAAAAUUAGAUUUUAAAUAUUUAGUAAUCUUUGUUGAUGAUUUUUCAAGAGUUACAUGAUUUUAUUUAAUGAAAGAUCGUUCAGAACUAUAUUUCAUUUUUUGUGCAUUUGUUACAGAAAUAAAGAAUCAAUUUGGUGUGUCUGUACGUAUAUUUUACAGUGAUAAUGCGAAAGAAUAUUUUUUCACUCCUUUUAAUAUCUUCAUAAUUAAGUCUGGUAUUAUUCAUCAGUACUCUUGUCCUCACACUCCACAACAGAAUGCAGUUGUUGAAAGAAAAAUUGGACAUUUAAUCGAGAUUGUUCGAACACUUAUGUUACACAUGAAUGUGCCCAAAUAAUUUUGGAGUGAUGCAGUUUUAACUGCAUGUUAUUUAAUUAAUCGCAUGUCAUCUAAUAUUCUUGGAGACCAAUUACCUCACUUCGUUCUUUUUUCUCAUGAAUCUGUGUUUAAAUUACCUCAUCGUAUUUUUAGGUGUGUAUUUUGUUCAUCAACUUGCUCUCGUGGUGGAUAAAUUAGAUUUUUGUACCAUUAAAUGUAUUUUCUUAGAUACGCCCGAGCGCAAAAGGGGUAUAGAUAUUACAGUCCAGUUUUAAAUCGUUUUUCACUUGUGCUGAUGUUAUUUUCUUUGAAUCCACUCCUUAUUUUAUGAAGCAAGGUAUGUCUUAUGAGUUAGACCGGUGUUCCUCUUUUCUUUCUCCUGUUUUGUUAGUCUCUUCACCUUUAUUACCUGAGUUAUCUAGUUCACCAGAUUCCACAACUCGAUUAUCUCAUCCUAAUUUUCAAGUUUAUUCUCGUCGUUCCAUGGUUGAGAAAGCUCCUAAUAUGCUACACAUUUCACUAAUUAACUCUCAAUCUUCAAAUUCAGGUAUGACGCCCUCCAGUGAGUCAAAUCUUCCUAUUGCUUUACGUAAAGGUAAAAGACAUUGUACUUUUCAUCCUAUUUCUAAUUUUAUCUCUUAUUCUCAUCUCUUUCUGUCAUAUUUUUCUUUUGUUGCUUUUCUUGAUUCGGUAUCCAUUCCUAAGUCUAUUAUCCAUGCUCUCAAUGAUCCUGGUUGGAGAUUAGUUAUGCAAGAAGAGAUGCUUGCUUUGGAGAAAAAUGGUACUUGGAAUCUUGUUCCUCUUCCUUCUGGUAAGUCAGUUGUUGGUUGUAAAUGGGUGUACACUAUAAAAGUACAAUCUAAUGGUUCUAUUGAUAGAUUAAAGGCUCGUCUGAUAGCUAAAGGAUUUGCUCAGGUGUCUGAAAUUGACUACUUCGAAACAUUUUCUCCUGUUGCAAAGAUUACCUUUGUUCAUCUUCUUAUCUCUUUGGCAACCACUUAUAAUUGGCCAUUGCAUCAGUUGGAUGUGAAAAAUGUAUUUUUGCAUGGAAAUUUGGAAGAAGAGAUAUUUAUGGAAUAAUCUCCUGGAUUUGUUGUUCAGGGAGAGAAUUCACGGUUAGUUUGUCGUUUGAAAAAAUCCUUGUAUGGAUUGAAACAGUCUCCGAGGGUUUGGUUUGGUCGGUUUAGUAGUAUUGUCAUGAAGUUCGGUCUGACAAAAUGUGGAGUAAAUCACUCUGUAUUUUAUCGGCAUUUUAAUGUUGGUAAAAUUUUAUUAAUUGUUUAUGUGGAUGAUAUUGUGAUUACAGGUGAUGAUGUUGUGGGGAUCCAGAAACUUAAAUCCAAUCUGCAGGCAAACUUUCAGACAAAAAAUUUAGGUUAUUUACAGUAUUUUUUGGGUAUUAAGAUAGCUCGGUUUAAAUAUAGAAUUUAUUUAUGUCAAAAGAAAUAUGUACUCGAUAUGUUGAGAGAAAUUAGAAUGUUAGGUUGUGACAUGUGGAUACUCCUAUGGAUCACAAUGUGAAAUUAGUAGGAGAUCAAGGUGCAUUACUUGAUGAUUCUAAGCAAUAUCGAAAACUUGUGGGUAAAUUAAAUUAUCUCAUUGUAACGAGACCUGACAUUUCGUUUGUAAUGAGUGUUGUGAAUCAAUUUUUUGAUACCCCUCAUACUAGUCAUUGGGAUGCUGUUAUACGAAUUCUCAAGUAUCUUAAAAGUGCUCCUGAAAAAGGGUUGCUGUAUCAAAAUCAUGGACACACUGAUAUUGAAGGAUAUAGUGAUGCAGAUUGGGCUGAUUCUGCCUCAGAUCGAAAAUCGACUAUAGGAUAUUGUGUGUUUGUUGGUGGUAAUUUAGUGUCGUGGAAGAGUAAGAAACAAACAGUUGUCUCCAGAUCAAGUGUAGAAUCUGAAUACUGCGCUAUGGCUCACACUGUGUGUGAGUUGGUUUGGUUGAACAGCAUGUUACUUGAAAUUGGGUUUGAGCAUAAACGGCGUAUGAAUUUAGUGUGUGAUAAUUAGGCGGCUGUCCAUAUUGCGUCUAAUCCAAUGUUUCAUGAAAGAACAAAAUAUAUUGAAGUUGAUUGUCACUUCACUCGAGAGAAAUUGCUUGACGGAGUCAUCAAAACAUCUCAUGUACCGUCUGUAGAUCAAUUGGCUGAUUUGUUUACCAAGAGUUUAGGGGGCUCUAGGGUGAAAUAUAUUUGUAACAAGUUAGGUGCUUAUGAUAUAUAUGCUCCAACUUGAGGGGGAGUGUAAGGAGAAUAUUAGUAUUCUUUUAGAUAAUAUUCGUAAGGGUAUUCUUCUAAAUAGUUGGUUAGAUUUGUACUCCUAUAAAUACUAGUUGGUCACUCAUAAUACAGUGACUAGAUAUUUUUCUCUCUAGAUACCUGUUGACAGGGAAGAUAAAUUUCAGUUUUAUUGAUAUUUUUCAGAUUUUAUCUAGAUUAUUUCAUUUAUGAUUUGGCCUUUAUAUGAUUAGUAGAAACUAGGUUAGUGUUAAGAUGACAUUUCUAGCUUUUAACCGCAAUUAGUAAUGGUUAUAUACAAAGUCUUGCUUAAGAAGUGAAAUUUCAGCUUUUGUUAAGUUUAUAAUUUUGAUAUAGGUUGUCCAAUCAUAUUAGAAGGUGGUUGAGCUUUGAUAUGCAUGUUUACAACUUUAUCAAGUGAUUUUCUUACUUGAAUUUGAAAAUUUCAGAUUUGAUGUCUUUCGGUUAAUCUCUAUUUGUGUAAACUUUGAAGGGUUUUGAUAGACUAUAAUAAGGUUUGUAAUAUCUUAUGACUUGUGGCUUUGAUUGUGUUGGGAUUGCUGUGGUUUACACCUUGAUUUUUCAAGGGGAAACGGACUGAAAAUAGGAGAGGUGCUGCCGAAACUUUUGUAUCUAGGGUUAAGUUAACAAGAGGUAGCGUAGUGAUGUAAUCUUGAGUGGGUUUGAGUUGGGAGUUAAAACUUGGAAGAAAACUAAACAAUUGGGUGAAUUUCAGUUCUGCCCUAUUUUUGGAAUUAACUUGGGUUGCAAAUUUCUCCAUGUUUUAGACUGAAUCAGCUUUUGGACAAAACAUGAAAGUUAUAGGGAUUUGAGUUAGCUUUCUACCUGUAAAAUUUCAGAUCAAUUGGAUCUUUUUAGCUUAUUAUUUGGCCAGAAAACUCCUAAUUGCACAAAAACUCUAAUUUUCCUGACCGAUUUUUCUUGUGUUUCUGACCAUCCAUUUUUUACCCUGAAAGUAUGAUAACUGGGUGUCGAUAUCUUCAUAGGAAAUAUAGGUCUAUGUCUUAGUUUCGAAACGCCAUGAAAUUUGUCUCAAUCCAACAAGUUUAGCUUCAGUUGUGAUAAAAACACCAAAGGGUGGCAAAGCUGUCAUCUUCAUUGUUUCUCGUUGCCUUUCUCUUGUUUUCCGUUUCCUUGGUCCGAUUUAACAUGUACUUCUAAAGUGUUCUAAGUCUGAUUUCUAACAUUCUAAACAAGUAUUCAAAACAUGAUUUUUAAUUGCACAUAUUGGGUUUGAACUUAACUUUUUUUGAUCAUUUUCUUUUACAAAUUAUGCGUGCGCCUUGCCUAUAUGACUUACUAUACUUUUCAUGCCUUUUUCAUUUGAUAUAGACAUAUAAGUUAUGCAGCUUGCACACAUGUAUGAUUGGAUCUUUGUGGACAAUAUUUGACUGUAGAUUUUGAGAGUGGCCAAGGUGCCGACCUUGAACUGAAUUUUGAUAAAACGUGACUUGUUUAACGGAGUGUUUCUUGCAUGUUUGUGUAUUAAAUGACUGUGUACUUGUUGUGAAUAUUCGAUUGAGUGUUAAAUGCUUUUCAAUGAUUGCUAAAUGCAUUUUAGAUGGGCGGAUGUGUACUUUAUCGCACUCGACCCAAGUAAAAGUGAAUUUUUAAUGAUUGAAUGCUACUUGUGCAUGAAUGUAAACCUUUUGGCUGAAUUGGGCCCUUACCCUUCGUUGCCAGUCGACUCGAGUCAGAAAUGGACUCGAUCAGGCGACUGAUGACCCUGAGAUAAUGUUUGGUAUACUCGAGUAUGACCAUGAAAGUUGGUGGAGAAUUGGCCAGUGAAUUGGCUAGUGGCGGGAAAUGAAAUUAAUGAAUGAAUACCAAGAACACUGGAGGAUUUUUCACUUGCAAAUAUUUUCUAACAUUGGAGGGAUAAGGAAAAUGGUUGGUGAAUGAAUGAAUGAAUGACUCCAUGUGAGUAUGUAUCCUUUUAAUGAGUGUGUUCUCAUUGUUUUUAUAUUGUGAAUGUUUUCUCGAUUGAUUGUUACUAAAUGAUUUAUGUCCUUAUUUCAAUUGCUUGAUUAUGUGUAUGAGAACCUCACUGAGUUUUAACUCAUCCCUCUAUUCCGUUACAUUUGUUUUACUUACAGGGUUUGAGAGUAAGAACGGGUGAUUAGAGAAAAGCUAAAUUUUUUAUUAGAACUUUUGUUGUGUAAUAGUGAUAGUAUUACUAGUUGGUUGGAUUCUGAACUUUUGUACUAACCUUGAGGAUUGUAUAUCCGUGUUAAUGAUUGUAUAUAUGUUAAGUUUGAUUGGCACAUCUUUACUUGCUCUUGAAGCGAUAAGUGAAUGAGUUCCGAUGAGAGUUGGGCAGGCGGUCUGUUGAGCCCGGGGACACGCCCUAGGGGGAGGUGGGAUUGUCACAGUUGGUAUCAGAAUUUAGGUUUCAGAUCUGCGUAGUGUAUUCUAAGGUUAAAGUUUAGGAUGCCGGACAAUGGGAUAUUGUAAAUUUUAAGUGCAAUAUUAAGCAUCUAUGUUUCUGAUGCAUAGUAAGAUUUGAUGUUUGAGAGUUUCUAUAUUGGGUUGGCGAGAAGAGAAUUGUACGAGAUUGAUUUGAAAAGUAAUGGGUCAGUUUCUUGAACAACGACACUAGUUGAUACCUAUGGGAUUGACUUUGACUUUGUCUUUGCAUUUGUAAGGAACUAGAUAUAAUUCUUGGAGCGAUUGCUUAAGUAGGGAUCUUUUAAACUUUUUUUGACGAAUGAACUUGGGAUUUAGAAUCUACUCUUAAAAAAAUUGGGAAACCAUUGUCUAUUGUUUUGUUCUGCAUAUAUGUAUGUGUUUGCCGUGUUGCAGACUGAUAUGUAUGGUGUACUAGACAUGUUUUGUGAAUUUGGUUUUGUUAGGAUGAUAUGUAUAAUAUUUUUGUAAUUUAGCUUGUGAAUUUGUUGUGUUAUAUAUUCUAAGGGUGUUUUCUUAUUUUUGGCCUAUGUUGUUUUCUUCUUAUUUAAUAUAUAUAGCCGAUUAUUUUUGCUCAUACACGUAUAUAGUUUAUUUAAAAAAAAGGUAUGGAUGGAAGAAAAAGUCGAGGACGAGGGGUUAAUCGUGGACGUGGGGUUAGGCAAGAUCAAGAACCAAGAGAAGAAAGAGAAGCGGCAACCAAACAAUAAUAUGAACCACAGGCCAAAACAGGGGAUCAGGUAGCGACGGCCAUACAACGAAUAACCGAUAUUUUGGCGCAUUUAGUAGAACAACAAGACAAGCACCUGUUAACCAACUCAGGGAGUCUGAGGGAGGAGAGAAUAGGGUCCUAGAGCGUUUUCAGAAGUUUUCUUCUCCUAAAUUUCUUGGAGGAUCUAAUCCGGAGGCAGCCAAGAGUUGGUUAGAACAAAUGAUUAAUAUUUUUGUUAUGCUAAAUUGUCCACAGGAGAGACAUGUGACUUUUGCGGUAUUUCAAUUUGAAAGACCAGCUCGUGCUUAGUGGAACAUGAUUAGGGCUAAGUGGGAGAAGGAACAAAUAGCGCGAACUUGGGUAAAUUUCAUACGAAAAUUUAAUGAAAAAUACCUUCCGCCCUUAGUCCAAGAGAAAAGGAAGGACAAUUUUAUUAUAUUACGUCAGGGAGCGUUGAGUGUGUCAGAAUAUGAAAUUCAAUUCACUAAAUUAUCUAAAUUUACUCCUGAAUUAGUUAUUCAGUAACUACGGAGCAAAGAACAGUAAGGCGAUUUGUACAGGGAUUAAAUGUGAAAAUCCAGGAAGCUCUUGCGGUGGUUCAAAUCACUACAUUCACAGAAGUUCUUGAGAAAAUCUAAAGGAUUGAAAUUGCAAGGGAGCAAGUAAAAGCAUUCCAAACACGAAAAAGAAGUGCGCUGAGUAGUAAGUUUGAAGAAUUUAAGGACACCGUACCACCUUCCAAAACUAGAAGAGUAAACCUUCCACCUUACCCACUAUGGAUGCAAGGACAAUAUGAAGGAAGUUCGACAAGAGAAAGUCAGGUAGGAAGAGGACGACAAGAGGAAGUCUCUCUAAAGAAUUCAAUAGAAACUUCUCGAUUAGCUUGUGAUUACUGUGGGAAAACAAAUCAUACUCAGAAUGCGUGCUGGAUAAAGGGAAAGAAAUGCUUGAUAUGUGGAAGUGCUAAUCAUCGACUUCACAACUGUUUGAAGAAGCAACAAAGAUGGUUGAAUAUGCAGCAAAGCGAUCAGAUUACUUCUAAAUCGAACCAAGAAAGAGGAAACAUAUCCAGGGCAUCAGUUAGAGUAUACUCUUUGGAUCAACAACUCGUUCCAAAAUCUUAUGAAGGUUAGAAUUUCGAGAACAAAAUUUUUUUAAGAGGGAGAGAUUGUGAGACUUUGAAAAAAAAAUUUUAAAUUCUUUUCUCGUUUUGCAUGCGUUGAAUAGUAUUUUGACUUACUCUAGUUUAAAUCCUUUAAUUUCUAAGGUUAUUUGUAUGGUUGAGUUAAAUUUUAAUUAUUUGUUUUUAUAUUGUAGUGCGUGUUUCGUUAUAGUGCAUUUUGGUAGUGUGGCUCACCAGUAAGUGCGUAUUAAAUUUAGCAGACAUGAAUGGAUAUUAUAUACCAAGGAACAUAUGCCGAGAAAUGUUAAGAGUGAGUUAGAGGAACACCAUAUAGAUGAGUGAUUAGAAACUAAGAAGAAAGAUCAAGAGGUAAGUACUUAAUCUUAGAACCCUUAAGUCUUCAUCCAUAUCACUUCAUUUGGAGCACAAAAACUCUUCAUUCUUUCUUCUCCAAGCUGGCCGAACCUCAAGAGGAGUAAAACCAAGCAAGCUAAGUCCAUUUUUCCUUUGAUUCCUUCACCAAAUCUUGAGAGAUUUCUUCCAAUUAUCAAAAUCUACUCUGAUUAACUUCACAUUUAAGGUGAUAGCAAGCUAAGGGUGGAGUGUUUUGAGAAGGGUUUGCUUUGCUUGUUUUCAAGGUGUUGGAAGGUAUGAUCAUUAGAAACUCCUUUGGUUCUUUAAAUGUUGUUGGAUAACUUGAUUUUGAUUGAUUUUAUGGAAUUCUUGCGAUUUUAGGGUUGGGAAGAUAAAUUUCAGUUUUAUUGAUAUUUUCCAGAUUUUAUUUAGAUUAUUUCAUUUAUGAUUUGGCCUUUAUAUGAUUAGUAGAAGCUAGCUUAGUGUUAAGGUAGCAUUUCUAGCUUUUAACCGCAAUUAAUGAUGGUUAUAUGCAAAGUAAGAAGUGAAAUUUCAACUUUUGUUAAGUUUAUAAUUUUGAUAUAGGUUGUCUAAUCAUAUUAGAAGGUGGUUGAGCUUUGAUAUGCAUGUUUGCAAUUUCAUCAAGUGAUUUUCUUACUUGAAUUUGAAAAUUUCAGCUUUGAUGUCUCUCGGUUAAUCUCUAUUUGUGUGAACUUUGAAGGGCUUUGAUAGACUAGAAUAAGGCUUGUAAUAUCUUAUGACUUGUGGCUUUGAUUGUGUUGGGAUUGCUGUGGUUUACACCUUGAUUUUUCAAGGGGAAACGGACCGAAAAUAGGGGAGGUGCUGCCGAAACUUUUGUAUCUAGGGUUAAGUUAACAAGAGGUAGCGUAGUGAUGUAAUCUUGAGUGGGUUUGAGUUGGGAGUUGAAACUUGGAAGAAAACUAGACAAUUGGGUGAAUUUCAGUUCUGUCCUAUUUUUGGAAUCAACUUGGGCUAUGAAUUUCUCCAUGUUUUAGACUGAAUCAGCUUUUGGACAAAACAUGAAAGUUAUAAAGAUUUAACUUUCUACCUGCAAAAUUUUAGAUUAAUUGGAUCAUUUUAGCUUAUAAUUUGGCCAGAGAACUCCUGACUGCACAAAAACUCUAAUUUUCCUGACCUGUUUUUCAUGUGCUUCUGACAAUCCAUUUUUUACCCUGAAAAUGCAAGAAUUGGGUGUUGAUGUCUUCAUAGGAAAUGUAGAUUUAUGUCUUAGUUUUGAAAUACCAUAAAAUUUGCCUCAAUUCAAUAAGUGUAGAUUCAGUUGUGAUCAAGACACCAAAGGAUGACAAAGCUGCCAUCUUCAUUGUUUCUCGUUGCCUUUCUCUUAUUUUCUGUUUUCUUGGUCCGACUUAACAUGUACUUCUCAAGUGUUCUAAAUCUGAUUUCUAACAUUCUAAAAAAGUAUUCAAAACAUGAUUUUUAGUUGCACAUAUUGGGUUUGAACUUAACCGUUUUUGAUAAUUUUCUUUUACAAAUUAUGCGUGCACCUUGCCUAUAUGACUUACUAUACUUUUCAUGCCUUUUUCAUUUGAUAUAGACAUAUAAGUAAUGUAGCUUGCACUCGUGUAUGAUUGGCUCUUUGUGGGCAAUAUUUGACUACAUAUUUUGAGAGUGGCCAAGGUACCGGCCUUGAACUGAAUUUUGAUAAAACGUGACUUGCUUAGCGUAAGUGUUUCUUACAUGUUUGUGUAUUAAAUGAUUGUGUACUUGUUGUGAAUAUUCGAUUGAGUGUUAAAUACUUUUCAAUGAUGGCUAAAUGGAUUUUCAAUGGGUGAGUGUGUACUUUAUUGCACUCGACCCAAGCAAAAGUGAAUUUUUAAUGAUUGAAUGCUACUUGUGCAUGAAUGUAAAUCUUUUGGCUGAAUUGGGCCCUUGCCCUUCGUUGCCAGUCUACUUGAACCAGAAAUGGAUUCGGUCGGGCGACUGAUGACCCUAGAACAAUGUUUGGUAUACUCGAGUAUGACCAUAAAAGUUGGUGGAGAACUGGCCAGUGAAUUGGCUAGUGACAGGAAAUGAAAUCAAUGAAUGAAUGUCAAGAACACUGGAGGAGUUUUCACUUGCAAAUGUUUUCUAAUAUUGGAGGGAUAAGGAAAAUGGUUGGUGAAUGAAUGAACGAAUGGCUCCACGUAAGCAUGUAUCCUUUUAAUGAGUGUGUUCUCAUUGCUUUUAUAUUGUGAAUGUUUUCUCGAUUGAUUGUUACUAAAUGACUUAUGUCCUUGUUUCAAUUACUUGACUAUGUGUAUGGGAACCUCACUGAGUUUGAGCUCAUCCCUCUCUUCCGUUAUAUUUGUUUUCCUUACAGGGUUUGAGAGCAAGGACGGGUAAUUAGAGGAAGAUUAAACUUUUGACUAGAACUUUUGUUGUGUAAUAGUGAUAGUAUUAGUAGUUGGUUGGAUCUUGAACUUUUGUACUAACCUUGAGGAUUGUAUAUCCGUGUUAAUGAUUGUAUAUGUGUUAAGUUUGAUUAGCACAUCUUUACUUGCUUUUGAAACGAUAAGUGAGUGAAUUUUGACGAGAGUUGGACAGGCGGUCCGCUGAACCCUGGGAUACGCCUUAGGAGGAGGUGGGGUCGUCACACAUAUGCUAUUAAUUGUCAAUUAUUCACAUGGAAAUAUGUAAUUAAUUAAUUAUUAUUUGUCAAUUUUAACAUUAUCAUGCAACUAAAGUAAUACAUAAAAACCCUAAUCCAAUCCUAGUUUCCAAGAUAAACACUAAAUAAAUGCCAACUUUUACUGGAAUUAUAAAAAAAUUUUCAUACAAAUCACAACUUAUACUACAUGUUGACUCCCCAAGCCAGUGUAUGUUCUAGCACAAAAUCCUACAUUUAGGACUACCACCAUCUCAUCUGCAAUUCCCUCACCACCAAAAUAUCAUAGCCUAUAACCUAACAAUAUUAAUUGCUAUCCAUUCCCACCAUUGACUAACACAAACUUCUCAUUCGAAUAAAAUUUGAAAGUUUGAUAGUUACAUACCUGAGAAUGUGGAUUGUGACAGCCCCACCUUCCCCUAAGGCGAACCAAAGGGGUUAGCGGACUGCCUGCCCAACUCUCGCCAGGACUAACGGAUCAGUUUACGUCGAUCUAAUACGUUCCGGAACAUACCAACGCGCGCAAACAAGUACCAUGUCACAAAAUAAAAAAAACGAAAAUCGAAGCCGAUGAUGAACAGUACCGGCCACGUCAGAAUCCGGAGUUCAACCAAACGUCAAUCCAACAUAUAUAAACAUUGAAAUUCAACAUUUACAAUCAAAUGGCAUGCCAAAAACCAUUCAUCAUGAAUAUACAGGUUCGGUUUGCCAAUCAAAAGAAAAUGAACCCAAUACCCAUUAGAGUUUCAUUCAAAGAGCUAUUCAAAAGAUACAUCUACAUGAGCUCAACUUGACAACCAUCUAACACAAUCUUUUCCAAAAGUGGUCAUUUUCCUGUAAGGAAAACAAAUGGAACGGAAAGAGCUUAAACCCAGUGAGUUACUACCACAUAAGCAACAAAGAGCAUAUAGCAUGACUUUUCAAUUAAAGUACACAAUUAAGGAAUGAAACAAAACGGUAAUAGGAUACGGACGGCUCUCAAGAACCCAUUUCCACGCUUACAGUCUUGAUCCAACCUCAUUGACCCUCCGUCAAUGUUAAGAGUACCAAACCGUAGACCUCACUUCACUUCCAUUCCUUCCACCCAACAUUCCCCAACCGGGCCCGCACUCCAAUCAGUAGCUUUUGGUAAUACUCGAGUAUACCGGAACCAAGAGUCUCAUUACUACAAGAUUCCCCAGUGCAGUCCCCGUGGCAUGUCAAUUUUCACGACCAAACCCUCGCCGGCUCGAUUCAAUUGACUACCUACGAGGUUGAGCUCAAUAAUACAGUGAGGCCGUUGGAUAUUCGUCCAAACGACACCAAAUCAGUUUUUCAUGAAUGGAAUUCAAUAUCUCAUAUAGCAAGUGCAGUAUUUCAGUAAAACGGUAAACAGUCAUGAAUGGAAUCACAAUGGGGUGAGGGCGAUCAAGUACACCCUCACCUCAAUCACUUCCAAUAGCCAAAUAAGCCUUCAACGCAUCAAAUUCACAUAUAACAAAGUCACAUUGUAACAUUUAAGUGAGUAGUAUACUCACCACUCAAGUAGGUGAUGUUUCAUGCACCGUCGUUAAACGAACGUCGUGCACCACCGUCACUUCCUAGAACAUGCAAACAAGUGCAAUGAGACUCGAUAACGAGUCAUAAAGCAAUGACAAUCACAACCCCAAUAGGGUUUUAUAAACAUAUAUAAGCAUCAUAGGUAACCAGAAUUUCAAAAAAAAUGGCAUUAGCUUUGGCCCUGAAUAAAAACAGUUUUGUCCUUAUUUUGCGGUAAUGGCACCAAUUUCACUACGAUUAUCGGAUGAGGGUGUAAGACCCACCGUUUCGAAGCUAAGAACCAGGGCUACAACAAUGUAGAAGGCAGUCAGUCCAAUUCCUAUCAUAACCAGGUCAAAUAUGCAAGACACUAAACCAGAACCACAAAAACAGGUUUACAAACUUCAUCCUGGUGUAAUCAGUACAACUCUGUCUGUACAGGUCCAAAUUCGGAAAUUCCAAAGGCAUAUGGUAGCUAAGACAUCAAGCUACAUUUCAUCAGAAGACCUCAACAACCAAAUUCAAAGCAAUUUCAGUCAAAACAGCCAAUUACAGGCGCAGUUCUGCCAUCCUGAUGAACCCAGAACAGUAAUAGUAAUUUCGAUAUUUCUCACUCUACACUACUCCAAAUGACCUGAAAUUUUACAGGCACCUCAAACACAUCAAUACCUACAACUUUCAUGUUUUAAGCAAAGGUCAAUUCGGCCUCUAACCAUAUGAUACAAAACCGGACAGAAAAGGGGGUUAUGAAACCCUAACUUUUCACAUUUCCUUCCAAAUCCAAAAUUGGUUGCAAUUACCAAUCAUUUACACCUACUAGAGUCAUUAAACAUCAUUUCCAACCAUCAUGGACAGCCACAACCUCAUGAUCAAAUUAAACCAGAAAAAUCACCAUUAAGUUGAAAACUUCAUCAUUUCAUCCAAAAGCAAGAAAUAAAUCACAAAUGUCAUCACUUUAGCUUCCACUAAGCACAACUCAAGCUUCAUUAAGUGUAGGAGGAAGUUCAAACACCACUUACCUAGAACACAAGAGAGGGAGAGUUGUAGGACACCUUAGCUUCCUUGAACACUUCCACAAAAUCACUUACUAGCACCAAAUGGAGGGAUUUUAUGGAGUAGAAAUAAAUUUAAGCAAUUGGUUUGGAUGAUUUGCACUAGAUGGUAGCUAAAAUUUUGAAGAGUUCUCUUCCUUCCUUUGCUCAAGAGUGCCGACCAAGAGGGAGAAGAAAAGAGUGAAUUUUGGUGAUUUUUUUGAGAUAUUUAAUCACUUGGUAAGACAAGUCAAAAAGUGAAUAGUUGUCAACAAAGACAACCAAUGGCCAUGUGACACUUGUCACUCCAUAAAUGCAAGUCUAUCCUUCUUUUUCCCUCUCACAUCAAUCACUUCACCUCCUCUACUUAUCUCUUAACACUCGAUAAAUUUCAACCAGUAUCCGAAACUCAACUUAAUUUGCCGAAUUUUUUCGAACUUUUCGCACUAGUGGGUCCCACGUCCUUUAUAUAUCCUUAAUUUUUCAAAAACUCUCCAAUACUAGAAAAAUCAUCUAAAAACUAUAAUUACUCAUAAAAUUCACCAGGAAAAUUUUCCUAAGUCAGAAAAUGCAGAAAACAUGCCAUUAAAGGGGAAAAACCCUAAGAAAAUUAUUAGGGAACUUACGGGUUCUCACACUCUCUCCCCCUUAAAAGAAUUUCGUCCUUGAAAUUUCUCACCUUAACUCCCAAAAAGAUUUGGGUAUUUCUUUCGCAUUUCCUCUUCCACUUCCCAGGUAACUUCCUCUAUCCCAUGGUUUCUCCAUAGUACCUUCACUAACUGAAUUCGCUUGUUGCGGAGCUCUUUGACUUUUCGAUCGAGCACUUGGACCGGUUUCUCUUCAUAGGCAAGCGAUUCGUCUACUUCGAUUUCCUCCGGUUGUAACACAUGGGAUGGGUCAGGAUGAUACUUCUUUAGCAUGGAGACGUGAAACACAUCGUGGAUUCGAGAGAGACUGGAUGGCGGUUCCAAUCGAUACGCGACCACUCCUACCCUCUGAAGGAUCUUGUAGGAGCCGACGAACCGCGGUUGAAGUUUCUUUCCUUUGCCCGCUGUGAUACUUCGUAAGGGUGUGAUCUUGAGAAAUACGUGGUCUCCAACUUCAAACUCCAAGUCUUUUCUUCGAUUAUCCGCGUAGCUCUUUUGUCGACUUUGAGCUGUUUGGAGUCGUUGCCAUAUCAACUUGACCUUCUCUUGAGCCUCUUCCAUCCAUGGAAUAGUUGCCGAGUCUAGUGCCUUCUUUUCGCCAACUUCAACCCAAUAAAUCGGCGACCGGCACUUGCGUCCGUAGAGGGUUUCGUAUGGAGCCAUUUGAAUCAACGAAUGGAAGCUGUUGUUGUAUGCAAACUCUACCAAGGUUAUGUGUUGACCCCAGUUGCCUCCAAAAUCCAAAAUGCAAGUUCGUAGCAUGUUCUCGAGAGUUUGAAUCGUCCGUUCCGACUGUCCAUCCGUCUGAGGGUGAUAGGUCGUGCUCAAACUUAGUUUAGUCCCCAGGAUUUCUUGAAACUUCUGCCAAAACCGAGAUACAAACCGUGGAUCCCGAUCGGAGACGAUUCUCACAGGAACACCGUGUAGCCUUACUAUCUCGUCCAUGUACAGUCGGGCCAAUUUGUCCAUUGAAUACUUCAUGUUCACUGGCAAGAAAUGGGCCGACUUGGUUAAUCAAUCAACGAUCACCCAAACGGCAUCAUGUCCCCUUUGCGUCCUCGGUAAACCUGAAACGAAAUCCAUGGUGAUGUUUUCCCACUUCCAUUCGGGUAUCUCCAAGGGUUGUAACAAAUCCGAUGGUUUUUGAUGCUCUGCUUUCACCUGUUGACAAAUGAGACAUUUCUGCACGUACUGAGCAAUUUCCUUCUUCAUAUUGUCCCACCAAUAGGCUCCUUUCAGGUCCUGAUACAUCUUGCUGCUGCCCGGAUGGAUUGUAUACUUGGACCGAUGGGUUUCCUCCAGAAUCUCCACUUUCAACAACUCAUCCUUCGGUACCACUAUUCGGUUUCGAUAUUUCAACAUGCCUUCAGGACUAAAACUGAAGUCCGUUAUUUCUCCCUUUUCCACUUUCUCUCCCCACUUCUGUACCAUUAAAUCUUCUUUUUGUGCCUCUUUAAUACGUUCCAGUAGAGUGGAGGUCACCCUAACAUUGCUAAAUAUCACCUUAUGGCUCCCAAGAUAGGGUCUCCACUCACACACGAAUUCUAAUAAAUCCCACUCUUUAAUCAUCAACCCUGCUACUUGCACAUUACGACUCAAGGCAUCAGCUACCACAUUUGCCUUUCCCGGAUGGUAGUUGAUUGUGCAGUCGUAAUCUUUCAGAAAUUUCAUCCACUUUCGUUGCCUCAUGUUCAAUUCCUUCUGGGAGAAAAGUUAUCUAAAACUUUUGUGAUCCGAGUACACUUCAAAGGUCACCCUAGAUAGGUAAUGCCUCCACUUUUUCAGAGCAAAGACAACUGCAGCUAGUUCCAGAUCGUGGGUCGGGUAAUUCUGCUCGUGAAACUUUAACUUCCUAGAGGCGAAAGAAAUUACAUUACGGUUCUGCAUCAAGACACACCCAGACCUUCUCGCGACGCGUCUACAUACACCGCGAACCCGUCCACUCCAUUUGGCAAGACUAGUACCGGAGCCAUGGUCAACCUUCUCUUUAGUUCCUGAAAACUUGUUUCGCAUCGCGCGUUCCAGAUAAAUCGACCAUACUUUUUCGUCAGGUCAGUUAAAGGUCCUGCUAGUUUGGAGAAAUCUUUAAUGAAACGUCGGUAGAAUCCAGCUAGACCUAGAAAGCUACGAAUUUCCGUGGGAUUUUCUGGCCUCUUCCAAUUGGUCACGGCCUCAACCUUCGCUGGGUCCACCGAAAUGCCUUCGUGGGAGAUUACGUGCCCUAAGAAUGCCACUUUCUCCAACCAGAACUCGCACUUACUAAACUUGGCGUACAAUUGAUGCUCUCUUAAGGUCUGCAACACCACCCUCAAAUGCUCCUCAUGUUCCUUGCGUGUCUUAGAGUAGACCAAAAUGUCAUCAAUGAACACAACGACAAAUCGGUCUAGAUAGGGUUUAAAAACCCUAUGCAUUAGGUCCAUAAAUGCGGCAGGAGUAUUGGUCAGUCCAAAGGGCAUGACAGCGAAUUCGUAAUACCCAUAUCUCGAGUUGAAAGCAGUUUUCGGAAUAUUCUCCUUCUUAAUUAACAACUGAUAAUAUCCUUGUCGGAGGUCCAACUUUGAGAAGACCACUGCUCCUUGCAGCUGGUCGAACAACUCGUCGAUGUGGGGCAGUGGAUAUUUAUUCUUGAUCGUAACGUUGUUCAAGCCCCGGUAGUCAAUACACAUCCUCAAGGUUCCGUCCUUUUUCUUCACAAAUAGGACAGGAGCUCCCCAAGGAGACCCACUCUCAUGAAUGAAUCCCCGCUCCAAAAGGUCUUGUAAUUGCAACUUAAGUUCCUUAAGUUCUGCAGGCGCCAUUCGAUAAGGGGUUUUUGAGAUAGGUGAGGUUCCAGGUAACAGGUCUAUUCAAAAUUCUAUCUCCCUUUCCGGAGGUAAGGCUACUAACUCAUCAGGGAAUACAUCCGAAAAUUCCCUCACUAUGGCCACGUCUUCCACUUUUAACUUAUCCGUAGGGGUGUUAAUCAAAAAGGUCAAAAAUCCUUGCGCCCCUCUACUUAUCAGUUUCCUAACUCGAAUGCCUGAAAGCAAAGCAGAUGAGGCUAACCUUCCCCUUAUAUCCAACCUUAAGGUUGCCUCGCCAGGAAUGCGAAAUUCUACUACUUUUGUUUUACAAUCCAGUUGGGCGUUAUAUUUGGUUAGCCAGUCCAUACCCAGAAUCACAUCAUACCCCUUAAUGGAUAAGCUAAUCAGGUCUCCUAAAAAUCUCCUUUCACCUACCCAUACAUCACAAUCCCUAUAAACCAUAUUAGUCACCAAACGUUGAUUUUCCGUAGGUGUACUAACUUCUAGGUCAUAUGGUAAACUAGCAGGUUUUAUAUCGAUGCCACACAUGAAAUCAGGGUUAACAAACGAAUGAGUGGCACCAGGAUCAAUUAAAACUUUGGCAAAACGGUGAAAAAUAGGGAUCGUAUCUUCUACGACCUCCGAAGACUCCGGGACCUGAUGGGGCUCUAAGGAAUACACCCUAGCCGGCACUUUAGGUUUGGACCCAUCUCCUUUUGCUGGUCCAGUAUUGGUCCUCGGCGGUGGUUGGCUUCCCUUUCCAUCUUGUUUCAGAACUGGGCAAGUGGCCAAUUGGUGGUUUGCGUUUCCACAUCGCAGACAUUUACCCUGUUUCCUCCAGCAGUUAUCUUCGUUGUGGUUUGACUUCCAGCAAUGCCCGCAGGGACCGCGAGAUGCUGAAACCGAGCCACUCUGAGCAUUUCCCCUUUGUCCUCGCCCAACUUGACCACCCCUGAAUGGAGUCCCUCUGCCUGAACCAGAUUGUCGACCACCACCCGUUCCUCGUCCAAAUUUAGAAGGAGUACUCUUUUCACCCUGUCCGGAAGUACUCCCAGGAAAGCUACGCUUUUUCGCCUGGAAGUUCCGGACUUGCAACCGCGCACUUUCAACUCGUUGGGCCUUUUCAACAACCUCGCUAAAAGUAUUGAUUUGAGCCACGGCGAGGUCUUUCUGAAUCUCCACAUUCAAACCUUGAAUAAAGCGUCUAAUCCGUCGUUGUUCCGUCAUGAUUAACUCAGGCGCGAACUUGGACAGGCGAGUGAAUUGACUCUCAUAUUCCGCCACAGUCUGAGCCCCUUGGCGGAGCCUAAUAAACUCGUCUUCCUUCCUCUCCUGGACUAGAGGAGGGAAAAACUUCGCAUUGAACUCUCUAAUGAAGUUUACCAAAGUCCUGGGUGUCUGCUCUCUUUCCCAUUUUUGCCUAAUUACGUUUCACCAGGAACGGGUUGCCCCCUCAAGCUGGAACACGGCAAAAGUCACCUGCCGUUCGUCAGGAUAGUGUAGAGCUGCAAAUAUAUCAACCAUCUUUUCAAGCCACCUUUCGGCAACGUCCGGGUCGGGUCCCCCAACAAACUUCGGCGGGGCGAACUUUUGGAAUCGUUCGAGAGCUCUAUCUUCGCUCUCGAUAUGGUUACCAGGGUUUUCGGGGUUAGGGUUUGGAUUCUGGCCCUGUUGUUGCACUACUUGUGCUAGUAAGUUUGUCAUUUGCUGCAUAGCAGCAGCUAUUUGCACAUUAGGGUUUACUUGAGGUUCCAGAUUGGGUCCCGUAGAGGUUUCCCCCGUACCCCUAACCGGUGUGAGUUAUCUAGUUCCGCGCCCACGUCCCCGACCACUUCGUGUACCUUCCAUAAGUUUUACUUGGUCUAGGCAAGAGUACUAAACCAAAGUAGUAACAAGGCAUGUAAGUAACACUUAAACUUUCACAAUAACACACAUUUAUACAUUCCAAACAUGAUCACAAACAUAUAUAUACAAGCCAAACAAGAUCAAGCCACACACAUAUAUACAAUCAGUCAAGUCAAGUAUGGCCAAGGCAAGUACGAACAUAAACGAUCCCCCCGAGAAUUGGCCUAUCAAAAGAGAUUUACACGUAGCUAACCCAACAUCCAAAACGGUUAGCUAAGGCUCUAUCCCUAUCCCUAUGUACAUACAAAAACCACCAACUAUCCCAAAAGAAACCUAGAAGUCAAGGCCUAGUCAGUCGCUGGGCUCUGGGACCCAGGCGACGGGGUAGACUCCUCCCCAGCCUCGGCCCCCGUACACGAGGCCUCAUCACUAUCCUCCUCGAGCCCGUCAUCACACAGAUUAAGGAUCGCCUCAGCGCGACCCCUGACUUUGCGAGCUCGCUUGAGCUCGCGCUCUCGUGCCUCCCUCAGUUGGUUGCAUAGGUCAUCAACUCUGUCCUCGACCUCGAGCACGUCAUAUUCUAGUUCCUUGAUACGUGCAGCCUGCUUCUCGUUGGUUGCCCUAACUUGGGUCAUCUCAGCUUCCAACUUAGCAUUAUCAUCCGCUAGCUCCUUACGCUCCUUCGCCACAGCCAAUACUAGAGCGUUCGGAUAGGCGUAGGUGUUACGGCACUCACACUGCCGGAGGCGGUUGGCCGGGCUCCAACGAACUACAGCCCCCUUUUGCCUGAUCUGGUACUUAAUCGGCGGUAGCCCGCCACGUGGAGGAUCUCUAGCCGGACGAUCACUCGGGUCACCACUCGCGUCCAUCCUAUAUCAAAGGAAGAAAUAACAUGAAUACACUUAAAAGGCAUAAGCAGAGAAACCCUCUAGCACUUCUAUUACACCCAAACUAAUUCAAACCUAAGCUCUGAUACCACCUGUGACAGCCCCACCUUCCCCUAAGGCGAACCAAAGGGGUUAGCGGACUGCCUGCCCAGCUCUCGCCAGGACUAACAAAUCAGUUUACGUCGAUCUAAUACGUUCCGGAACAUACCAACGGGCACAAACAAGUACCAUGUCACAAAAUAAAAAAAAUGAAAAUCGAAACCGAUGAUGAACAGUACCGGCCACGUCAGAAUCCGGAGUUCAACCAAACGUCAAUCCAACAUAUAUAUACAUUGAAAUUCAACAUUUACAACCAAAUGGCAUGCCAAAAACCAUUCAUCAUGAAUAUACAGGUUCGGUUUGCCAAUCAAAAGAAAAUGAACCCAAUACCCAUUAGAGUUUCAUUCAAAGAGCUAUUCAAAAGAUACAUCUACAUGAGCUCAACUUGACAACCAUCUAACACAAUCUUUUCCAAAAGUGGUCAUUUUCCUGUAAGGAAAACAAAUGGAACGGAAAGAGCUUAAACCCAGUGAGUUACUACCACAUAAGCAACAAAGAGCAUAUAGCAUGACUUUUCAAUUAAAGUACACAAUUAAGGAAUGAAACAAAACGGUAAAAGGAUACGGACGGCUCUCAAGAACCCAUUUCCACGCUUACAGUCUUGAUCCAACCUCAUUGACCCUUCGUCAAUGUUAAGAGUACCAAACUAUAGACCUCACUUCACUUCCAUUCCUUCCACCCAACAUUCCCCAACCGGGCCGGCACUCCAAUCAGUAGCUUUUGGUAAUACUCGAGUAUACCGGAACCAAGAGUCUCAUUACUACAAGAUUCCCCAGUACAGUCCUCGUGGCAUGUCAAUUUUCAUGACCAAUCCCUCGCCGGCUCGAUUCAAUUGACUACCUACGGGGUUGAGCUCAGUAAUACAGUGAGGCCGUUGGAUAUUCGUCCAAAUGACACCAAAUCAGUUUUCCAUGAAUGGAAUUCAAUAUCUCAUAUAGCAAGUGCAGUAUUUCAGUAAAACGGUAAACAGUCAUGAAUGGAAUCACAAGGGGGUGAGGGCGGUCAAGUACACCCUCACCUCAAUCACUUCUAAUAGCCAAAUCAAAUUUACAUAUAACAAAGUCACAUUGUAACAUUUAAGUGAGUAGUAUACUCACCACUCAAGUAGGUGAUGUUUCAUGCACCGUCGUUAAACGAACGUCGUGCACCACCGUCACUUCCUAGAACAUGCAAACAAGUGCAAUGAGACUCGAUAACGAGUCAUAAAGCAAUGCCAAUCACAACCCCAAUAGGGUUUUAUAAACAUAUAUAAGCAUCAUAGGUAACCAGAAUUUCAAAAAAAAUGGCAUUAGCUUUGGCCCUGAAUAAAAACAGUUUUGUCCUUAUUUUGCGGUAAUGGCACCAAUUUCACUACGAUUAUCGGAUGAGGGUGUAAGACCCACCAUUUCGAAGCUAAGAACCAGGGCUACAACAAUGUAGAAGGCAGUCAGUCCAAUUCCUAUCAUAACCAGGUCAAAUAUGCAAGACACUAAACCAGAACCACAAAAACAGGUUUACAAACUUCAUCCUGGUGUAAUCAGUACAACUCUGUCUGUACAGGUCCAAAUUCAGAAAUUCCAAAGGCAUAUGGUAGCUAAGACAUCAAGCUACAUUUCAUCAGAAGACCUCAACAACCAAAUUCAAAGCAAUUUCAGUCAAAACAGCCAAUUACAGGCGCAGUUCUGCCAUCCUGAUGAACCCAGAACAGUAAUAGUAAUUUCGAUAUUUCUCACUCUACACUACUCCAAAUGACCUGAAAUUUUACAGGCACCUCAAACACAUCAAUACCUACAACUUUCAUGUUUUAAGCAAAGGUCAAUUCGGCCUCUAACCAUAUGAUACAAAACCGGACAGAAAAGGGGGUUAUGAAACCCUAACUUUUCACAUUUCCUUCCAAAUCCAAAAUUGGUUGCAAUUACCAAUCAUUUACACCUACUAGAGUCAUUAAACAUCAUUUCCAACCAUCAUGGACAGCCACAACCUCAUGAUCAAAUUAAACCAGAAAAAUCACCAUUAAGUUGAAAACUUCAUCAUUUCAUCCAAAAGCAAGAAAUAAAUCACAAAUGUCAUCACUUUAGCUUCCACUAAGCACAACUCAAGCUUCAUUAAGUGUAGGAGGAAGUUCAAACACCACUUACCUAGAACACAAGAGAGGGAGAGUUGUAGGACACCUUAGCUUCCUUGAACACUUCCACAAAAUCACUUACUAGCACCAAAUGGAGGGAUUUUUAUGGAGUAGAAAUAAAUUUAAGCAAUUGGUUUGGAUGAUUUGCACUAGAUGGUAGCUAAAAUUUUGAAGAGUUCUCUUCCUUCCUUUGCUCAAGAGUGCCGACCAAGAGGGAGAAGAAAAGAGUGAAUUUUGGUGAUUUUUUUGAGAUAUUUAAUCACUUGGUAAGACAAGUCAAAAAGUGAAUAGUUGUCAACAAAGACAACCAAUGGCCAUGUGACACUUGUCACUCCAUAAAUGCAAGUCUAUCCUUCUUUUUCCCUCUCACAUCAAUCACUUCACCUCCUCUACUUAUCUCUUAACACUCGAUAAAUUUCAACCAGUAUCCGAAACUCAACCUAAUUGGCCGAAUUUUUUCGAACUUUUCGCACUAGUGGGUCCCAAGUCCUUUAUGUAUCCUUAAUUUUUCAAAAACUCUCCAAUACUAGAAAAAUCAUCUAAAAACUAUAAUUACUCAUAAAAUUCACCAGGAAAAUUUUCCUAAGUCAGAAAAUGCAGAAAACAUGCCAUUAAAGGGGAAAAACCCUAAGAAAAUUAUUAGGGAACUUACGGGUUCUCACAUGGAUCACCACUUUCUAUUCUCUAUCACCAAGGGUUGUGGCUAAAGAUGGGAAGAUACGGCUAAAUAGGUUUUUCUAGUUUAUGGGGCUAGGUGUGUUGCUUAUUAGCUAGAGCACUCAAACUUGUGUGGACAAAAAGACCCUUGUCAUAUGGGUCAUGGCUGUCAGUAGUUCAUCUUUCCGAUUGCAAAAUCGGAUAAACUAGACAAAAGGAUCACAGAUAUAUACUUUUACAAGUUUAAGGGCCAAAAGUUGAUGAUUAAAUUUUGCCUAACUUAAAAGUACAUGGGCCAUUUGAAUUGUUUUCCUUAUUUAUAAAAAAGGGAUAAUUGUAAAAACCUCCCCUAAGGUUUCUAAUAUUUACACUCACAUCUCUUGAGGUUUUAAAAAUAGCAUUGACAUCUCCUAACAUGAAUUUGGGGAUUAUAGCUGACAUAAGAUAGGGUGAAUUUACUUCUAUACCCUAUGAGUUUAAGGUUGUUAGUAAACAAAUUUGGGGCAAAAAAAUUAGGGCAAUAAACAAGUUCAGAAUAACUAAUUAAACAAGAUUAACGGUUAUUUCUUGCCUGAUUAGGUAUGUAAGUGCACUUAAUAAGUGGCACCAAUUGAUGCUCUAACAUAGCACCAUUUCGUAAUUGACAACACUUGAAAGGACAAUCCAAGUCAUAUAUUAUCUGUACUGAAGAGAAGCAGAAGUAAGAAAAAUGCAGGUGAAAGAAACCUUCAUGCAAGACUCCAUAAGAGAAUAAGUUUUGGUGGUUAUAGUUAAGUUCACUUCAUCUUAUAAGUUCACUUUAUCUUAAGCAUUCAUGAAACGGAAGGAGAGUUUGACAAAAAAAAAAUGAAACGGAAGGAGAGAGAAAGCAGAAAUCAAGACAAAAUUUGAAAAUUUUUUUUUGGUAGAAAUUUGCUACAAUCAGAAGACAAUAUGUAAGAAAUCCUUUGUCAUCUUAACUUAAUACACAAAGUUUCUAUAUACACUAGUGAAGGACAGUUUUUGGAGUUGAUUGUACACUUUUUAUGCUUUGGAAUCUCAUAUUUCUGAAAAGCAUGGUCAUUGCUUCUUCUAGUUGUUGAUACUGCACUUGUUCUCUUUGCACUUAUAUCUCCUUGAGUUUCACUAAUUGUUUCCAACUUUUAUUGUAUUUCAUUCUUUUACUAAUACAACAUCAUAGAGGCAAAAUGGGUGCAAAUGGAACAAAAUUAUUAUCUCACUUCUCAAAAGACUUUUUAAUGGCAUCUUUUCUGAUAUGGGUUGAAUUUGCUAUCAAAACCUUAAGUUCAGAAAAGGUCAAUGCUGUUUCCGAAACCGCAAGAGAGGUUUAUGCAAUUAUCCCUUAUAAAAAUUGCAACUUUUUAAAUGACCAAACAAGAAAGUUUGGCCCUCCAAGAUGGUGUAAGUUGCAACAUAAAAUCCCACAUUUAGGACCACCACCACCACAUCUUCAAGAUCCUACCACCAAAAUAUCAAACCCCCAGAAUAACCUACCCAUAUUAAAGAAUGAUUUCUACCCAUCACGACUACUGAGUAAGAUAGACAUUUCAUUUUUUUAAGUUUCAACAGUGACAUACCGUAUGCAAGGACUGGAUCGAAAUAUUCAUUCCAUGGCUUUCAGAGAUUAUAAUUGGCAGCCUAUUUUUCUACUUGGGCUUUAUAGAUCACCGCUUGCUCUUCUCUGUCGAUUCAAAUUGUCAAGUAAAGAGGAAAAAGGGGUAGGUGAAGAGCUUAGUUUGAGGGGCUAGGUUUUGAGUUCUUUGGUUCACUUAUUCUUGGCAUCCUAUUGUUGUGCGGACAAAAAGGCACUUCUAUAAUGUUUGUUGCCCGUUGUGUGGUUAGUCUUUUCGAUUGCAUAAACGGAUAAACUUCACAAAAGGGACAUAGGGAUACAUUUUUAUAAGUUGGAGGCUAAAACUUGACAUUUAAUAGUUAGAGAGUUAAAUUUUACCCAAAUCAAAAGUUCAAUGUCAAAUAGAAUGUUUGUGCCAUUUUGAAACUAUAGAGGAGCCGCCUAACUUUAGCAAGGGAAACCAUAGGGGAAUUCCAUGUAUUUUACCUAGUUUGAAAGUUCAGGCAUCAAAUACAUUGUUUGCGCUAUUUUAAAACUAUAGAGGAGUCAUGUGACCGUAGCAAGGGAAACCAUAGAACAAUUUCAUGUAUUUUAUCCUUAUUUUUAAGUGUUAAAAAUGAGGUCAUUAGACACUCCCCAAAAUAUAACAAAGUUUAUAUUUAUUUAUGCCAUAAGAACACAUAAACACAUAAACUUAUUAUAAAUCCUAAGAUUAUUGGAAUAAACAUUAGAAAUUAAAACUAUUUUCAGACAAAUAAAAAUGGUAUGACAAAAACCCAAUAGCUAUAGCUAGUUGCUAAAUUUUUUUUUUUUUUUUUCGAUGUGAUAGAUCUACAAUUCUAUACUACGAGAAGGAGAGGACAUGAAGAGAUCGAAGGGAAAUCGAAAGGGACUGAACCAUCUGCCGGUCCACCUCAUCAACUUUUACGGUGGCCACUGAGCUAAGCCAGUAGCUACAUAACUGUAUAGUUGUCAAAAUCGCGAUCCGGAUCGUAGGAUCGUACGAUCAUACGAUCCGAAUAACCAAAAUCGAUUCGGAUCGUAUUCAGAGUCGCAAAUCAUAUUAAUCCCUGUAGGAUCGCAUAGAAUCGUAGCAGGAUCGGUAGGAUCGUGUAGGAUCGUACGAUCCUACAAUUUUUUUGUAAAUUUGUGAAAUACGAAGCUCCAUUUUGCAAGUAAAUGAAAAUAUUUAUGGUAUAUUUGUAAUUUAUCAAAGAAUUGCAACCUUUAAUUACAAUUAGGAGCUUUUGGUAGGAUCUCACGAUUUUACGAUCCGAUCCUACAAUCCGAUUCUGUGAAACUAAAAUCGAUCCUACGUAGGAUCCCGAUUUUACAAAUCUUGCAUAACUGUGCUUUUUUCUCAAGCCACCUCUGCCGCCUUGCAUGUCACGAAAUAAAUUCGAUUUACCGCUACUACUUCACUGUAUCUUCUUCCCCAAGAACUUUCUUUCCUAACCAAAAUUAUCCCCAAUUUCCCCAGUACACAAACCUUUUUCACUUUCUCCCUCUAAUCCCCGGUCAUGGGACGUAAGAAAAAUGUCACAACCGUGGAACAAGUAACGGACGUUGACGACGGCGUUCUGCUCCCAGACUAUAACCAGCCUCCGCCUCCGACUCCUUUUAUUGGCGGCUCUGUCAUUCCGAUUGUUAAUAAGCUACAAGACAUAUUUGCGUCGCUGGGGAAGGACCAACACGAGCAGCUUUCGAAGCUGAAGCUGCCGCAGGUGGCUGUUGUUGGUGGCCAGAGUAGCGGCAAGUCUAGCGUCCUUGAAGCCCUAGUCCGCCGUGACUUUCUCCCCCGUGGCUGCGAUAUUUGUACUCGCUGUCCCCUGGUUCUGCAGCUCGAGAACCGUCCGGCCCUGCCCGGUGAUGAGGAUGACGGUCUCGAGUGGGGGGAGUUUCGUCACUUGCCUGGCCGAAAGUUCUACGAUUUCUCUGAAAUUUGCCGCGAAAUUCAGGUUAUUUAAUUUAUUGUUUUGAAAUAGUUGUUGAAUAUAUCUGUUCUGUACUUUAUUCUUCUUCUUUAGGAGGGUGGUGUUGUACGUUGUGCUUUAAUGCUUGUAGAUUGCUCUGGCUUCUUUUUAAAUAGAUAAAAGGGUGGUAGUAUCUUUUGCUUCUAUAGUUGUAUCCUGUAGCCAUAUCAAAUUCAUGCAGCUUGUUUUUGGCAUUGGUAUGUCCAACGAUAGAUUUAAAUUGGUCUGAUCUGUCAAAUUAUUGAUUUGCACACAUUCGGAUGACAAUGACAUCAUAGAUUUUUAGGUUUGGUUGUGGAGAGCAUGUUUCAGAUUUCUCAUUGUCACUAACAGCUUAUGAGAAGUUUCUUGGCUGUGAAUUUUUAUUUUAUUUUAUUGAGAACUAUCUAAUGUCUACUCUUUAGCCUUUGCCAUUUAAGAGGAGUCAAGGAACCAAGCACUCUUAACCUCCCAAAAAAAGAGGGAUUCUUUUGGCUUUUCAGACACAUUGAUUUAGAAAAAGGAGCGCAUAGGAUAAUAAACCAAUUAAUUCCCACAUGCAUAACUGAAAGUAGCUAAAUUCAAACAUGACCGAAUAAAGCAGCAGUUGUCUUAAGUUGGGAUAUAAAGCAUAAGCUUUAUAGAAUGUUCAGAAACCAAUAGUUGCGUUUAUGUCAUAGAGGUGUUUGUAACUGAUUGAUUUCCGCCUUUUAUGUCCCUUUGAAUUUUAUGAGUUUGUCGGAAUAAGGACCUGUUUUUGUGAAAGAUGUGGAUUAAACUAGGGCUUAUAUGCCAUACAGCAUGAUGACUAUUGCCAUCGAGUUUCUGACAUUGGAAUUCAACAUUCUGGCAGGUUGAGACUGAGAGAGAAGCAGGGCUAAACAAAGGAGUUUCAGAUAAAGAAAUUAGAUUGAAAGUUUCUUCUCCAAAUGUUCUUAAUAUAACCCUCGUUGAUCUGCCUGGGAUUACUAAGGUACCUGUAGGGGAUCAACCAAAUGAUAUAGAAGCAAGAAUCAGGGAAAUCAUAAACUCCUACAUAAGACAGGAAACUUGUAUCAUAUUGGCUGUUACUCCUGCAAACUCAGACUUGGCCACUUCUGAUGCGCUUAAAAUGGCUAGAGAGGUUGAUCCAGCUGGUAGGCUUUUUGGCAGGAUGAUUUUCUCUGCUUGACUUUAUUUGGAAGCAGCAGCGUAUAUUUCUGUUAUAGAUUAGUCAUCCAAGAUAUACUAAGCAAUAAGCUUUAUAUGUGUGUCUAUCGUACAAGGAUUUGAUGUAUUAUGAAUAUGAAUGUAAAUGUAAUGUUAUAUGCUCUCUUUUAUGGUUUAGUGGAUUGACAAGUUUCGUUUUCUGCCAGGUUCUCGUACAAUUGGUGUGAUUACUAAGGUUGGUUUUUCAUUUUAGCUUAUUGAAAUUGGAUAGAACAGUGCAGUGGGUUCUUCGAAGUAAAACUAGAUUAUGAAACCACUUUAUUGUGGAUGUAGCUUGAUAUAAUGGACAGGGGCACUGAUGCACGCAAGUUUUUGCUUGGAACUAUUAUUCCUCUUCGUUUAGGAUAUGUUGGUGUCAUCAACCGCAGUCAAGAGGUAAGCUGCCUUUGACUCUUUCAGGUUAUUCACAAUACUGUUGUCAUUGCUGUUCUUAGCUUUUCUAAUAUGUAAAUUUGUCAGUAUUUGAUUGAUAUCAACUCAGCUGAAUUAGCUCGCAGAUGCUGUGCAUUGAUUCUUGUCUUGUAGAACAAUUUUGGGGUCUGCAUCCAUAUUCAUUCAACUUUAGUUCCUGAAGUCCACUGGUCUUUGAAUGUCUUUUCUUAAUUUCGUUGUCCUGAAGAAUUUUUUGAAAGGGGGGAGAUCGUUUCCGACAACUGUAGCUAAUUCGGGAUGUAGACAGGGUUUUGGAUGCAAAGAAGAUGGAAUUGAAGAGCAAACAAAAUUAGUUUACUUUCUCAAAUGUUUCUAAGCAUAUCAGAUCUGGUGAAAGCCAAUCUGUUGUUCAGGACUUAUUUCAUAUGUAGAUCUUUCCAGUAUAAAUAGUGAGCUGUGGGGUUUUGUCCAACAGGAUGGGAAGAAAUAUCUAUUGUUUAGAUUUAAAGAGAUUACUUUUAUAAAUAAAAGAAUCAAAUGUUGUAGUCAUGGUCUCAACAUUUAUCUUGCCCUUUCAAAUUUAUCUAUCAACAAGUGAAGAAAAGAAAAUUGGUAGGCAAACAUACCUUUGAACAUUCCUGUGCUGAUGCUUUGUAACAUGCGUUCUUUGCAUUUGGUCAGAUCCCGGGAUCCAUCUAUUUAACAUCAUUCAAUAAUCCUGGUUAUUAAUAGGGCUCAAGGUUUGUGGGUGAUUAAAUGCCUGGCCUGUUCCGCUUGCUUUCCUUUUUCUUCCGAGGGUAUUACGGAGGGUGCAAGUCAUGAAAAUAGGAGAAUGAGUAACACGUGCAGUUCAGCUAACUUCAGAAUUUGGUUCUAUAGGCUCUGAAAAAAACGUUAUUGAUGUUGUGAAAGGAAUGCCAUAAAGCAAAAUUUAGCGUUGCCCAAUUCAGAUUAUGAAGGUGAUGUAGGGAUAUAUGGUAAAAGUUUAGAAUAUGAUAUUACAGUUGUGAGCUUAAUACUAAAUACCAUUAGCUUGGAUGCUGUAGCUUCAGACAAGAAACGUAAAUCCUCUCUUUCAAAGUGGAUCCUUAGAAGAGUUAUGAUGACAAGCUAGAGGGAAAAGUAGACAAAUAGAACUCAAAAUCUGAUAUCACUAAGAACUAUUUUAACAUGUGGCUGCAGUGAGUUUGGCAUUCUCUAUUUUAAAACCAUAUUUAAGCUGUAAAGUUGAAAACCUGGUUUGUGAAUGACAUGCAUUAUUUUCCAACUCUAGUUUGUCAAGUGUUAUCUGCAUUUUACGGGUGAUCUUAAAUGGUAUUAGUUACUUCUUAUUUUUGUUUUUUCUCCCAGGAUAUUAACAAGAAUCGUAGUAUUGCAUCAGCACUUGCUUACGAGGAACAGUUCUUCCGUGAUAAUCCAGUACUCUUUAAUUCUUUUUUGUGUUUUUCAUUUAACUUUACAGCUUAUAAUUGCUCCUAAGAUGUUUACCUUUGUUGAAGGUAUACAAUGGCCUUAAAAAUUCUUGUGGCAUCCAGCAUUUAGCAAGGAAGUUAAAUCAGGUAGUUGUGUGUGUUUGCACUGUUAUAUGUAACUCAAAACAACAUACUGUAUUAUUUGUACAUAGAUACAAUAAAAGGAUCUAUGUGAAAGUCAUUUUGGUGCUUUGGUCCCCAGUUAUCAGUGCCACUCUUUUGAAACUUCUGUGUUGAUUUGCCUUUGUAAACCCUCCUGAACUUCUUCGCCUUUUGGAAAAGAAAUUUGUAAACUUCAUAUAGGUGUUGCUAGCUUUUCUCAUUUGUUCAAAUUCGUAGCUGUUGCAGUGAAAUUUUGUGCUUUUGUUGAAGACGAGAAUCAUCAAUCCUCAGUCAAAGAGUAAAGGAUACAAUUUUGAACCUUUCCAACAGCAAACAACACCCAAAGGCGAUCAAGUCCCCACGAUUCUAUUUGGAGAAUAUUAACAAGUUAACAAAAAGAGUAGAAGUUAGUUUUUAUACAAGAUAACCAGGGAAGUAUUUGCUGGAAUGUUAAUUUCUUUAGUUUAAUUUUUAAGAAAUGCUUAAUUUUGUAUAGAAGUUGAAGACCAAGGAGAAUUAGAAACCUAUCUCAUAUUGAAUCUAAAUGAUGUAGUGCUCUGGUUUCUUCAGACACAAUUUGGAGUGACAGUGAAACUGGUCAAAACCUACAUUGAUACGAUAGCAUUCUUCUGUUCGUGAUAUUUUCCUAGUUCAGUUUUUCUAUCCUAAGUACUCUACCUGUAAACAUUACAUGUUUAGUUUCUUAUGAAGUGUUGAGUUGAAUGAUUAAUUAGUUAUCAAUUAUCAUGUUCCUUCUUGUUUACUUGUCCUUUUUUUGGCUUCAUUAUUUUUCCAGGUUUUGGAACAGCAUAUUAGAGUUGUCCUUCCCAAUUUGAGAAAAGAGUUAAAUAAUCAGUUUGUUACUGUGGCAAAAGAGUUGCAUGCGUUGGGAGAGGUUAUGGAAACAAAAGUAAGAUGCAAAGCAUUUUUUGAAUCUUCUCUAUUUAUAACGUUCUUGGAAUGGUUAUGAACAAAACAAUUGUUGAUGCUUGAACUCAUCAAGGAUUUUGUUUUAAACAUUGAAACAGACAGAGCAAGGUGCAAUUUUGUUGAAUAUUCUGACAAAAUAUUGUGAAGGUGAGAACUGAUUCAUGCAUAUCUUUCAUCUCUGCACCUUUUCUUCUGCAUCAUGGCAAAGCUUUCAGCCGUGUACCUUUUCUUGUUCUUUCCUUUUCAUAUGGCUUAGUUGUUCAGGGAAUGCCCUUUUAUUAAAAAAAAAAGAAAAGAAAAAGAAAACAAUUCUUUUCUCUUGCUUAGAUUGCUGCUUUUGCAUGAAAGGAAACGUGACUAUCCAUGUUACAAAGGUAUUCUUUUUUUUUUUGGGUUUAAUGUGACAAAGUUGUACCUUGACUUCUAUAACUGUAUUAUUUGUUUCAGAAUUCAGACUGUUUUGGACAGGCAACAAUUCCCUGAUUAAUAAAAUCGAUUAGCUUGGGCUCUAAGAACCAAGUACAAAGAAUAUUUUUAAUAUAUCUCAAACUUGGGCUUUGAGGAGCUUUUUCAAGGAAAUCAUUGCCAAGACAAAUUACUGGCCUGAGUUGGCAAAAAGUAAAGCAGCAGACCAUGCAAGUGCUUGGAUACUAGCAUGAUUCAAGCUUAGACAUCAGAUACUAGUAUUCUAGGUAAGCAAAGUAGUACAAGAAAUGAAGGGGGACAGGAUAGCUUUACAAAGAGGAGUAUUUGAAGUUUGGGGUGAGUCAGGUGACGGGCUUUACAAAGAGGGAAACAAAGGAAGAUAAAAAAUGGGAUUUUUUAUAUUCAUGAAAGUGUUCCUCUGCUUUGGGAGAUUUUUAUGAGGUUGACUGAGGAUGGACUCGUUUCCAGUAACUGUAGUAAUUGAAUAUCUAUGCUUGCUUGAAUUAAUAUUUGAAGUUUGGAGCUGAGGAGAAGUCACUGUUUUCAUUCUGAAGUUGUAUCAUGACACAUUGAGAACUACAAAAUUAGCAUUUUAUGGAGCAUAGGUAGCUAAAGUCAACAAAGGAAGGCUAAGAAAAGCUAGAAAUUUAAGGAGACUCACGCAUUAUGUAACGGAGACUUGCUUUUCUUUUUUUGGCAAAAUCUUUGGACCUGUUCCUUAGCCCUUUAUAUACAUACACACACACACACACACACACACACACAUAUAUAUAUAUUGCAUAUUUGAGAGCUAAUUUUUAUCUGGCAAUAUACAUUUCCAAGAAACUGCAUUUUACUUUGAGAAUCUAGCAAGCUACUAAGAUGUCCCACAAAUCUCUUCCCCCCCCCCCCAAACUUUUUGUUUAGUUGUUAUUCUGUGCAUCUCCUGUCCGUUUUACUUUCCUGUUAUUACUUUUUGUUCAUUUAUUUUUGGAUUAGAUCUCUGUUUCUGCUUUCUGCUUUCAUUCUUUUAGUCCAAGUGCACCAGAAUUUCCAUCUGUGAUGUUUAUUGGAAAGCUUCACUGUGUUGUCCAGAUUCCAUACUGCAUCUAACUUUCCUUUUGUUAUGUGACCGACUGAAGCAUUUUCUGCUAUGGUGGAUGGGAAAAGUGAAAACCUGUCAACAACAGAGUUGUCUGGGGGAGCAAGGAUUCACUACAUUUUUCAGUCAAUUUUUGUAAAGAGCUUGGAGGUGCAAAUUUUAUUCUUGAACUCAUACUAUUGAUGUGCAAAGAUGCCGAAUUAUAAAUCCCAAACUCCCCCUUCUUUCUGUGAAGCAGAGUUCUCCAUUAUACCUAAAAGAUGUUUUCACUAAACAAAUUUGCUUUGCCAAUUUGUAAAUGACGAAGAAUGUUGAGAGCCUCAUCUCCUGAGCAGAUCAUGUUCUGUUUGUAGGAAAUUGAUCCUUGUGAUGAGGUGACUGAUGCGAAUAUUAGAAUAGCUAUACAGAAUGCAACUGGUCCAAGAAAUGCUUUAUUCGUGCCAGAAGUAUGUAUGAUGAUCUUAUGAAGUACCUUUUGAGUAAGUCAUAAGAGUGUUUUUGACCUGAUUCCAAUGCUGAUUUUUCAGGUCCCAUUUGAAAUUCUGGUUAGAAGACAAAUUUCUAGGUUGCUAGAUCCUAGCCUUCAAUGCUUACAGUGUGUUUAUGAAGAACUUAUUAAGGUGAAGAAACAACUGAAACAACUUAGAAACACUUCCGGCAUAUAGCGUUCAGCUCUUCUGUUUUCCCAUGCUUCUCCUCUUCUUAAGAUAGUCAUACACACUAGACGCAUGCAUGAGACCUCUUUGCUGAAGAACACGUAUUUUAACAUGAAUGUUUGUGCAGAUGAGUCAUGAUUGUGAACCAGAAGAAGUAAAAAGGUUCCCAAGGCUGAGAAGGCAGUUGGAGGAUGUCACGCUAAAGUUUUUGGAUGAUGGGUCAAAACCUGCUGAAAGGAUGAUAACAAACAUGAUUGAGAUGGAGGUAAUUGUUGUCAAGUUUCUUUUUUCUCAAGAUGUGUCUUAUGUUUUUUCCAUUUCUUUAAGUCGUUUUGGCUGAAAAUUAGUGUGUUUGGAUUGUAAGUUAUUUGAGAUAUUUUUACUGUAGCACUUUUUGUGAUGUGAUGUAUGUGAGAUAAAAAGGUAAUUGGAAAGAUAAAAAGGUGUAUUGAAAAUUGUAAUGGUGAUGUAAGCAAAUAUAUUUGGGGAAAUAACUUACAAUCCAAACACACUAAUUAGUUUUCAGAACCAGUGACAAUCAAAAUUCUGGAAAUUUUGCUUAUAGAUUGUCAGAAAACUGGCAAUUCUGAUUAGAGCUCUGAAGUAGGCAUGUCUUGAGGUAGAGAAACUUUUAGAAUGAAAGAGCAUGUGCAAGUGAGUUUUCACUAAGAUGAACAGUUUAGCAUACCUGUGUGUGGCUAUGUGGAGAAAUGAGUUAAAUAGGUUGCCAAUACAUAGAACUGAUUCCAAUUUCAGUUGUCCUUUCAUCUGAUAUUGAUCUUAUUAAAAAGAACAAAGGGAGAAAACUAUGUGAUGGAUUAAGCUACAUGCUUCAGGUGACAAUCAUACCUCUCUUUCUAUCAGAAUUCAUUAUCAAAUGUACUUUCUUUUUUUUUUUUUUAGAUUUGUCCUUUACUGUUCAACUUAGGUUCACCUGUUUGUUUACAUAACUAGUAGUAAGCCAUUUAUUUGUUGCAUAUUUGUCUAGAUACUUCAACUUUAGGAUGUUGCAUAUUUUUCUAGAUCUAUAGCAUUUCUAUUACCUUUAUGUUAAUUUUCAUUUUGUAAAGAUGGCUAUUACUGAUAGUUCUGGUGACUGCACCUGAAAUGGCAACCUGUGAACACGAUGAAAGGUGCAACAUGCAUGCACAAAAUUUGAGAAAUCAAUGGUUGCAUUAUGUGCCAUAUGCUGAUACUCAUCUAUCUUUAUAUAUUUGACAUGGAAAUUUUCUUGAAUUUGUGCUUCGACUUUAGCACCUAAAUUCUCCUACAUUUCCUUUUAUCAAGGAAUUCUUCUUGGUGCCAUAAGGCUCUGUAAAUUCUGAUCCUAAGCAGACCUUAAUCAUACUACAUCUUAAACAAAAGAUCUCUGCAUUGACUACAAUACAAAAAAAAAAUAAAAAAUAAAAAAUUGUUCCAACUAUUAAAUUUUGUCAUGUUUCUUGAGCCAUCUAUUAACUUUUUUCCACUGAUUUUGCUAUGUGUUCUCUUUUCACUACUUUGUUCGUGUUUAGAUGGGUUAUAUAAAUUCCUCCCAUCCAAAUUUUAUUGGAGGGAAACGCGCUUUGGAGAUUGCCAUGGAGCAUGUAAGAGCUUCUCAGGUAUCCGCACAACUCUGCAGAAAUUAAAUCAUUGGGAAGUUUUUUUUUUUUUUUUGCAAAGACCAAAUUUGUUUUGUGCCAAUCAUAUAUUCUUGUAUGGGUCGUCCAACAUGGCUUAGGAUGGUAGAGAUGUUCAGAGGAACGCAUCAGAGAUGGGCCAGAUGUCUCAAUCAAAUCCAUCUCAGUCUGAUAUUGGUGCCUUCCCAAACCAGGUACUAUCUUCUGUGUAUCUACUUUUAUGCACGAUUCGACAAUUGCAUAUAAAGUCAAACAUACAUACUAAGUUGCCCCAUGGAGAGAGCUCGAGAAAAGCAAGUAAACGAUAUUAAACAUAAAUAUUAACUGUAUGAUACCAUGAUUGAGGUAUAGUCUUGGAAGGCUGUACUAAAAGAAUGUCCCAAGUAAUGAGCCAACAGAUUAGAACGUGCUCCACUGUUUGUUUUUUUUCUCCCUGAAAUUUGGAGAAGAUUUCCUAGAGAGCAGUUGACAUGGAACUUGGGGAAGGCAUUUCACUUUGUUGCUCUUCAUAACUGUAUUCUAGCAUGGUGAAUCAGUCUUCUAUCAAGAUGGAAAAAUUUACAGGCUCUUGUUCUUUCCUUUCUUCUCCUGUUAGACAACCUAAAGUGAACUUGUCUCUACCAUUCUUUCUUUGUCUGAUGCCUUUUUUUCCUUGGGAAGCCAAUAUUAGCAACCUCUUCUCUGGACUGCCACUUCACUCAACUUCUUUCUUGUCUUGGACCAAAUUUCCCUUCCUCUAUUUGCAGACUUCUAUAUUGCCUAUUUAUAUUAUUCCAAUUUUUAUAACAUAAAGAGUGGACAUCCACUAUUGAUUCCUCUAUCUUGAUGCGGUAGUGGAAGCAUGAGAAGCGAUGGAGUUACACGAACAACCUCUAUAAGAGAAUUGUUACAUGUUCGAAUCCUGGACAUGAAUCAAAGAUUCAUAAAAGCAUGAGAAAACUCACACAACGAUUGGCAAAACCAACCAAGAUUUGAUUAAUAGAAGAAAACUCUAUCUACAAAAGCCCUAGAUACACCUAUUUAUAGGCUAUAGAGUCCUACUCAGAAAAAGGAACAAAAACACACUUAAAACCCUAAAUGAAAUAAAGCUGCGUAAAGACCAGAUGAAGUCCAGCUCAAACACCGGCCUGAAGUCCGGCGGCUAGAUGUCCAGCAGCGAUCUUCAUUGCAACCUAUUGAGGAUGAUCUGCGAGGGGAGGAUUCGUGAAGGCCUGAAGUGGAUCCGUCCGCGGAUCUCUUGUGCUAGUCACUGCUUUGUUUGCAUUCUUUGUCGUUCAUCAUGGCAUGAUUACAACUAAUAAUCCUAAUAAAAAUAGUGAUAAAACUAUAGAAACUAUCCUAAUUAAAAACCCUAAAUUAAAUUAUAUUGAUACAGUCGAGGGAUUCCUGAACCCGGGGGUCCUUGUUCUGUAUCAUAUCUUGUCUCUUCUGCAGCAAACUGCCUAGCUUACAGCCCCUCCCCAACCUCCUCUCCAACCAUCCCAUGCCUGUGUUACACUUCCCAGUAUUAUUAUUUUGCCUGCCUCCUCCCUCCUCUUCUUCCAUUGAAAAAUUAUUCUUCCUUUGAAGUGUAAACACUAUUAAACAGAAAUAAAUAACAUUAUUAGUUUAUAUACUUCAUUUGUGAGGGAAUUGUGCUAUAGGACACUUCAAUUUUACCCCACAAGGUUUAGGUGCGGGGCCUGAAAUGUGAAUUGGAGGGAGAAGGGUUGAGGAAUAUCUUCAGAUAUGGUGAAGUUGGAGCGGGAGGUCUGUGAUAUAUGAGGGAGUCCUGGAACAGUGUGGACAUAUCAAGCGCAAGAUAAGAUAGAAAAGGCAAUUUGGCUCCUUAUUUCUCACUUAGAAGCCUUUUUGUAGUCACUAAAGUAGAACUAUGAGACAGUGAAAGUGCAUAAAAUUCAAACCUGAAUCUAAAUUAAACUAGGCAAGAAAUGAAGCUGCCUUCUGCUUAUGUUCUUACCGGUUUUGAGUCUUUGACUGCAGAAUGAAAGUUUACUCAGGUUGUUAACUUUCUUCUUGUCAUGAUGUAUCAGGCUGGUCAACCUCAGUCAAAUGGUGAAAGAACUGCAUCAAUAGGUAAGCUUGUUAAUGGAAAAUUAUGGUCAUGAUACACUUGUCUCUGCUCACAGCCUAGCAUUAUCAAAAUGUUCGGAUUCUUUGGUUCUGGAUUACAUUCUAUUUACCUUUGAGGGGUAUCUUCUGUUAAAGGUUCACAUUCAUGUUUCCACAUUAAUACCAGAAUCAAAUAAUUAGUAUCUCCAAUUAACAUCAAAAUUACGAAUAAAUUUGUCCACACCAAAUAGGGUAGCAAACAACAGAAUCAAUCUGAAACUACCCCUUCAUGUAUGAACUGCAUGAUUGACUUCAUGUUUCCUUUUUCAUGAUGAUGCCAGUCUAGACUUAUUUCUUCAUAUAAUCGUUAUGGUAACAAAUGAAGACAGAAUUUGCACUUCUUGCCUUUCAUUUCUUCUUAAACAUCUAAAAUGCAAGUAAUGUUAAUCACAUUGAAGUUCAUUUUUGAGGUCAAGUAAUAUAUUCAUUGCUUUAUCUAUAAGGUGAUUUAAACUUGCUGGUCCCAAAUUACAUGCAUAUCCUUUGCUGCAUAAAGUUCAAAACCCUUUUUGGGCAUUAUUAAUGAAUAUCUAUAAGUACCGUGAAAGUUUUUUUCCCUCUGUAUCAUUGGUCAUUGUACUCUUGCUUUUCACUGGUCUGUGAAUGUCUACACACGUGCAAACCAUAUGGUUUGAACUUUUUAAACUUUAUAUGGCAUUCCAAUCUAUAACCAUAUUUUAUGUAGAUUACUUUUAACUAAAAUUUGUUUGCAAAACUAAUGACUUGUUGAUUUGCUUUUAAUAGCAAUUUUCAUUAUUUUAUUUUGUUUUAUUUUUUACAUUUGUCCUUGUAAUCUUGCUGUUGCUUGCAACUUGGCUUUUGUUGCUGAAUGUUUACCCACAGGCAGACUAACUGGUCUGAACCAUUAUAUAUAUAAAGAUGCUUUACAAUCAGUGGAAUUAUGAAAAAUAUUCUGUUGCUUAUAAGUAAUGACACGUAUAAACACUUUGCACAUAGCUCAAAUUCUGUGUGCACACCUUUUUUUGUUAGCAGUAGAUAACAAUAAUAAAAUCUGAAGCUUCGUGUCUUACAGGAAAUUCAACCACAAGGACAUGGGGUAUUUCAUCCAUAUUUGGAAGCCGCUCAACCUCAGGAGAAACUUCAUCCAGUAGAGAGCCUGGGAAAACUAUGCAUGAUAUUAACCAAGCACCUUCCAUUAUUCACCUUACCGAGGUGACCAGCCCGUGUUGAAAGAAUAUUUUUAUUUUGUAAAUUCAGGAUUUAUUUUCAAUAACCAUGAUGACUCCCUCUCUCUCUCUCUCUCUCUCUGUGCAUCUGUGAUACAGCCACCAUCCUUAUUAAGGCCGCUGGAAAGAGGAACAGAGUACCAAACUGAGAUUAUAGUUAUGAAAUUGCUCCUUCAGUCAUACUAUGACAUUGUUCGGAAGAAUGUUCAGGACUUGGUGCCAAAGGCUAUAAUGCAUUUUCUGGUGCUUUUCUUCUCUCUGGUUCUGUUCAUACUGAGUUUGGUCUUCCAGUACAUUCUUCUGUUUCUUUUAAGAACCAAAAAGAUAUAUUGUUCAAUCUGUUUCUGUAUGUCUACAACUACAGGUCAAUGAUAUUAGAAGGGAUCUUCUUGGCAUAUUCAUAAAGAAAUUGUACAGGUAUGGAAGUACUUUUGUCAUUCUCUCUUUUAUAUUUUGCAAACUCGAAGCUGCUUGAUGCAGUUGGAACUGUAUUUGCAAACACAUGAAUAUAGCUCUCGAGUCAUCUUACAGUUUACCCACAGGUUGGUUUUAAUACUAAUUACGAGUCAUAUUCAUUAAGAUACUGACAUAUUGGGACAAGACUAUGGUACUGGAUUUGAAAGUGGAGGAUAAUUACGAACACCAAACACAAACCCAUAAUUUUGUCAGAAAUGUAGAAUGGUAAAAGUGCUAGAAUUUGUGAAGUACUCUUGUAAGCAUGGACCAUAAUAAGUUUCAAAACAUGAAAGAAACUUAUGUGUGUGUCCGUGGGAUAAGCAUUUGGGUGGAAUUAAUGGGUUUGCUUCUGAAGCUGAUGAGUUUUUUGACCUAAAUGCAUCUCCCAAAAGUUUCUAGCUGUGUCAAAACUUUCUAAUUAGCAGAGGUAACUCUACAGCUUUCUAUAUAACCCACUUUGACUGCAGUUCUAUUUAUGGAUCUGUCCACCUAUCUAAUCCUUUUUCGCCAAUUGGUAUAUGAAAUGAACCAUCUUUUUCUUUCUCCUUUUCUGCUUAUGGUGAAACUCCUACAUGCAUGACAGUUUGUCUCAUCAUGGGUAAAGUCAAGGGAUUAAACCAGGUAAUUUGCAAUGGCAUUAGCUUACUGAGUAAUUCUUUAUCUGUUUGUAUUAGUUAACGCAGCAGUACCAUCGACCAAACGUUUCUAAGAUCUGCCAACUUUCAAUUCAGAUCCUGAUCAUAAUAGUCUAAAUCCAAGGAAAGUUUUAGUUGGACAAGCCAAAUUCGUUCUUGAAAUUUUCCUCAAGCUUUUACAUUAAUGUUUGUCCAAGGGUUAUGACAAACCAAAUGUUGUUGGAGCUGUCAACCUAUGAUUUUCAUCGAAAUUUCUAGGAGUUAAGAAUUAGUUGAAAUAGAACAUUACCAAAUGUUACUGUAGAUUAUGUCAAAGUAUCAUGCAUGAUGCAAUUACUUCUUCUAAGCGUAAAAUGAGAACCAGAAAAUUAUACAGUAUGAGCAAACAUUUCAAUUGACUAUUCAAGCAUUCACCCUUGUUGCAAAAUUGAUAUGUCUGUAUGAAAUACUUUACCCCACAUACACUAUAAAUAUUUGUGGUUGUCACAAUUUUGUGCAGAGAAAGCCUUUUUGAAGAGUUGUUACGGGAACAUGAUGAUGAUGUCAUGAAAAGAAAACAGACUGGUGAAAUGUUUCUUAUUCUGCAACAAGCUAUUCAGGUUAGUUGAGUAAGUUUGAGAAUUUUUUGGUGCUCUGAAGCAAGUUUAAUACACUGAUGUAGCUUACAUCUGAAUUCAAGGCUUUGCCUCUUAGAUUGUGCCAAGACCCAAGAGAACGUUUUCAUGUCUGUCUGGUAAAAGAUUUUCAUGGUGAUCUCUUUAAUUGAAUGGGUAACAUAAAUAUUUUGUCAUUUUGGAAAUAUGCACAUAGCCUGGCAAGUAGCAUUGAGACAUCUGGUGCAUUCUUCCCACCAAAAUGUCUGUUGAUGAACAGUCUUCUUACCCAGGCGUGUCAAUGUGAUCCUUUUCAGAAAUCAUGGAAUGUGCCCCUGCUUGCUUUAUCCACUCAAUUUUUUGAGAAUAGGUAGGAAAUAGGGGAAAGUACAAAAUUGAAUGUUUAUGGGGCUGCUGCAUUCAUAAAAUGUCAAAAUGGCUUGUUUUGGGUCUAGCACCUAUUUGGCGCUUUUUUGUUUAAGCUGUUUCACAUUUUAAUCUGUAAUUUGGGUUGCAAGAGAAACUCUCAUUGGCAGGAAAUCUAACUUCUUGAUUCAGGGUUAUUGUCUGAUUCUUCAGUAUUAUUCAGAAUAUGCAGAUUCUAAGUUUUCUCCAAGAAACUGAAAUUUCUGUUUUUUAUUUUUGUUUCUUAUAGACACUUGACAAGGUUGUCGCUGAUGUUUCUUCUACAACGCCAAGCAGUGAUACUGAUGACGCCUCAAUUUUGCCAAGGUUCCAUUGACCUUUCUUCUGAUUGUUUCUUAUGAUUGUCUAGCUUGGCGAUUCAAUGCUGCACCAGCUGAUAUCAAACUCAAGACACUAGAUUCUUUCUUGAAGACAAUAGACGAUCAUGCAGCUUAAUUCCAUCAUUAUGAGCAGGUGGAGACUGAUAAAAGGGGUAUAGAGCAACAUAAAGUUAUAUAGUGUUAGUAUAGGUUUUGUAGUGUAGAACAACGUAAAGUUAUACAGUGUUAGUAUAGGUUACCUAGAUGAAAGUUUUGACAGGCAUAUUUAGUAGGUGGGUCGGACAAUGAUAUGUUUAUUUAAGGCACAGCUAAUAUAGGAGUUGGAAACGUGGUAUGUUGCUUAUGUCUAUGUAUAUGCAGUUCUGGUGUAAGUUGAAACAUGACAAGAAAAAAGAACAAAAUCAACGGUAUAGAAUGAUGGAUAUGACUUCUCUUUGGAUUUUCAAAUCUCUCGAGGAAGCAUUAUUGAGCUUUAGCACUUACUUCGGGGGUAUGGUUCUUCCGGAGCCAAGAUUUCGUGUUAGUUGGUUACCAUAUUUAAGAUAAGUGCUGAAGUUUAGUUAUGCUUCUCUUUAAUAUAAACAUUUUGCAAUACACUUUUCGUUGUCAAUUCUUUCUAUGCCAUUUACUUUUUGGUUCAACUAUCUGGUGAUACAUAUUCAGAUAAUCCUUUAAAAUUAAUCAAAAGAAUAGAAGUUUAGGAAAAGCUUCUUAUCACCUCACCAUGUAUUCUAAGAUCUUCCUCCAUUGAUACAUUUUCCUCAUCUCUGACUCCUUUAAAAAAUGUGGUGAUUUAUCUAGGAAAUUGAAAAUACUUGAUCACUAAAUCUGUUUGCAGGUGGAUCCGUAUUGGUGACUCCCAAGCAUUUGUUGAAAUAUUGUAAAGCCUAAAAUACAGAUUUAAAUACAUAUCAUGCUGCGCUAAUCCUUUAAGCAAAAUACCUAUUAAAUUCCGAAAUAUCUGUUGAAAUUCAGGUCAUGGAAGUAAAGCUAACAAAAUAUUUAAUCUAAAUUCUCAAAGCACCUAUUAAUUCCUAUAUUCCCGUUAUUUUCUGAUCUCUCUAUGUGUUUCAAGAAAUGUGACCAAAACCCAUGGCAUAUUGUGCCAUUAACAAUAGUGCUUGGGUCAUGUUCAAUAAGAAAAUAGUAUUUUCCAUGAUUAUAUAGAGAUAAUCAAAUUUCAAUUUUGACAAAGGAUACAAUAGUAAUUUUUAUCCAACUCUACACUAAGUUUCUUUUUUUUUUGGUUGGGGGGGGGGGUGUAUGGAAACAACCGUUUGGAGAUUAGAUUUAAAAAAACUCCAAUAAAGACACUUGUUUGGAUUGUCUGCUUUUAAGUUACAAUUAAUACAAUCAAAACUUUAAUUUAUUGCAUCAUGACAGUAGUGUUUUGGUCACACUUUUUUAUCCACCAACGGUAGCAAAGCUAGGACCUUUAUUUACAGGUUGCAAAAAUAUUAUUUUAGAUCUACAACGUGUUGGUAUAUAGAUUUUGGGCCAACUAAAUAUUUGUUCUAGUAAAUCAAUGUAGUUAAAAUUACAAAAAAAAAUAAAAAUAAAAAUUGUCUACAGCUUGAGAUUCAUUAUUUUCCAAGUCAUCUAAUUGUAUAAAAUUGUAUAAUAAUUAAAAUUAUGCCUAAGAAUAGAAGAUAUAACCUCUAAUUAACAAAUAUAGUAUGUGAAUAAUUUGUACACAAUCAAACCGCCAGAUGAAUAUUUGGUUGGCUUAUAAUUUAUAUGAAAUGGACAUGUAAGAAACGUUCAAUAUUAAGUAAAUAAUAGUUGCUUUAAUAAAAAAAGUAAAUAAAAUUUAAUAGAAAGGAAAUAAAUAGCAUCAUGUAAUAUAUUUUAGUUCAAGAUUCACCAUUGUGGAAAUUGUGAGGAUAAUUAUAAAAAAUGUUAAUACCUUGGAGGGCAAUUAUAGGGGUCAGAGAGAAUACUAUCAACAUUCAAAAGGGGCAAAAGUAGGACAAAUACUAAAUUUUUAUAGCCUAUUUUAGAGCUUUCAAAAAAUGGAGAUGGUGGAAUUGUAUCCCCUUGGCUGAACAUGGUUCUGCCACUAGCCCCAAUGAUAUAAGUUAAUAUGAAAAUAUUUUUCCAUGUUUAUAUGCAGAUAAUCAAAUUUCAUUUUUGAAAUGGAAUAUAGUAUUAACUUUUGUUCAACUCCAUACAUUCAAGUUUAUUUUUUUGUUUGGGUAUAGAUACACCAAUUGGGAGAUUAAAAUUUUUUAAAAAAAAUCAAUAAAGACAUUUGUUUGGAAAUAAUAAGAUAAAUUUAACAUCAAAUUAUAGAUUAAAGAAAACAAUUUCAAAAUACAAUAUCAAAUUUCUCUAUCGUAGCAACUUAUACUUAAGUAGUAGUUUCCUUAGAAAGAGAUGACUAUUACUAAUAAAGUGAAACUGUUUCUAAAAACAGGGAAUUUUUAGCAAAAUAGAUGUAAAUUUACUAAGAAAGUGGUGUAUUCCCCAAUAAAAAUAUACUUUUGCUAAAAAAAUAAAUUUUUGGAGAAAAAGUAAUAUAUUUAGGUUCUUGUUUAACGAGAACCCUCAAGGUACUCGUUAAGUAUGUCCUAAUGGGUAGUAUUUUGCAAAAAUGAAUUUUUAUUUAAGAAUAUAUAUAUAUAUAUAUGUAUGUAUAUAAAGUUGUUAAUUUAAUCACUCGUUUGCUCUCUCUUUGGUGACAUGUCUAAUUGAAAAGAAUUGAUGGGUUAUUUGGAUACUUAAUUUUUACCUGUAUCUGUAUCCAACUCAUCUCUAACCAAAUUUUCUCAUAAUUUCUUUCUCUUCUAACAACUUAAUCCAUUUUAAUAAAUUUGAAUUAUUUUUUCAUUAGGGUUUCAUCUCUUUUCUAACAAAAUAUAUUUUUAUUUAUAAAUUCCCUUUAUUUAUUUUAGUAUAGGUAUUAACUUUAUUUAGUGUUAUUUUAAUUAUUACUUAAAUAAUGUUGGUAGAAACUUAAUAUUUGUUCAUAGAGAAAAUAUAUUUUUGCAUAUUUAGUAUUUAGUUGAAUACAUAUAUCUAUAAUAUUAGGCUUUUAAUCAUAUAAAAUUUAAUAAUUAAUUCAAAGAAUAUCUAUCAACUUUUUGUAUACCUUGCAUAAUUUGGAAUUUUUUGUUAGGGGUUUCCUCUCUUUUUUAACAAACUAUACUUUUAUUUAUAAAUUCAUUUAAUUUAUUUUUUAUAUGUAUUAGCUUUAUUUGGUGUUAUUUCAAUUGCUACUUAAUUAAUGUUGCUGAUAAGUGCAUAGUUUACAUGUUUUAAGUAUGUUUUGUUAGUUAGUUUUGGUGUGUUUUAUUUAGUUUUGUAAUUAAUUAGUUAAGAUUCUAGUGAAAAUAUGCAUUUUGUGAUUUAAGUGGUAAAAAUUGCAUUUCUAUGGAUUUUUGUGGUGAAAACUUCAUGUUUUUAUAGGUUUAAAGAUCUAAUCAUCAAUUGGAGUGAUUUGAGAAGAUAAUUGAAUGAUUGAUGAUGGUUCGAAGUGAUGAAAAGAGAAUAUAAAGUGCAAAAGAGGAAAUGCAAUCAAGAAUAAAAGGAAUCAAGUUUCACAGCUUUGACACCUUGUGGUAUUUCAGCUAUAUCUUGAGCUACAAACAUCGGGUUGAGUUGAUUCUUGAACCUUUUUGAAUCUAAGAGAUAGAUCUACAUUUGGUAUGAAGACAUUGAAGUCCAGUUCGGUUGUUUUCAUUGUCAAAAUGUCGAAAUAUAGAAGUGUAUUUUCAUUGUUGAAAGCUGAAACAUAGCCUUGAUCAGUCGAGGGUAUUUUGGUGAUUUAUCGGUUCACAAAGCUCCAAAUUGAUGAUUCUUGAUACAUUAGAAAGCUAUCUCAAAGAUAUACAACUUUCAUGUUUUACACAAGAGUUAGUUCAGCCUUUAUAAUCAAGAAAAUAUCAGUUAAAGUUGGACAAAAAACAGAGCAAGUAAAUCUGAGUUCGGAUCUGUCCUAAACCUGACCUUGGAUAAACUUAUGUAAUUAGAGACUACAUCCGAGAGGAGGAUUCGAGCUUGGAUCCCCAUGUUACAGGCCUCGGAUCCUAUGUGUAAUGAAGAUAAAAAUGAAGAAAAAUGAGAUCCGACCUCGGAUCUUGCCCUCGGAUCCCCAAUUGCGGCUCUACAACUUGCUUUGCAACUUGUGCUCUGUUCACACAAGCUUUUUGACCAAUUUAUCUGCAAAAAAUCUAGCUAGAACUGAGCAAGUAAGUAUAGAGAAUUUAAGAAGCAUCUUUUGGUGAUUCCAAGGAGCAAUUUAUAUCAACUUUAACAACUCACAUUGGGCUUGAAUUCCUCUAAAUAGCAGCCUUGGAGGAUAUUUUCGCAACUUUGGAAGGCUAAGGAAACUCACCAAAAUUGUAGUCUUCAAUAGAAUUUCCUUAGUUCACUAGUUAGGGUAGUGUAGUAUCGUUAAUGUAGUUUAUCCUUCUUGUAUUUAUAGUUAGAUUUAGAUGAAAAUUAAGGAGCAAGAUGGAGCGGUUGAUCUCAUGUGACAAGGGUGAUAUCUCUUCUACUACUUUCUUUCUUGUAUUUGAUUUUAUGUUUAGCUAUAAUACAAGUUUGGAUUUGUGUUUCUUUAUGUUUUGCUAAAGUUUAUGCCUAGAGUAAGGAUGAACUUACUAUAUCUUGUUAGUGAUAUUUAUUUGAUUAUUUGAUGAUAUUAUUUUGAGCAAGUUAUUUAUCACUUUUGCUUUUCUAAUCAUGAUUAACCAACCAUUAAUUAUGAUAAUCUUAAAGUGUUAAGUUUGCAAUGAAAAUUGGAAUUUAACACUAGUUCAAGGAAGUGAUAAAUCUAGAGAGUACACUCACGAAAGUAGAGGUGCACCUUUGUGGCUUAAUGACUUGUUUCAUGUAAUUUAAUAGAAGGAAUGAAUUUGUAGUUAGUUUUAUAAUUACGAAAGUAGUUAUGAAUUAAUUAUGGGUAUAAUUGGUAUAUCAAUGAAAGUAGGUAUCACGUAUAUUAGGAAAUUAUGUCAUAACUAACCAAGAUAAUACCAUUCACUUAAUUGGUAUUUUCAUUUGCAAAAAUAGUAAGGAAUUCCAUAUCUCUAAGAGCUUUCUAUUAUUAUUUUUAUUACUUUUAUCUCAUAUUUAUAGUGUAGAUUUAAUAUCUAAUAUUUGUGAUAGUCUAAAUAAUAAAGGACUUCAAACAACAUUGGUAAUUAACAAUCUUCUCUGUGGGAUCGAUACUUAAUACCCCUAUACUCAAUAAACAACUCAUAUACUUGCGAAAGAUCGCGUGUGGAGUAUUUAAAAUUUUAUAAAUAUAAAACUUGAUUGUAGAAUGAGUUAAUUAUUAUAUGUAUACUCCACGCCCGUCAGUUGCUAGAAACCUAAUAUUUGUUCAUGGAGAAAAUAUACUUUUGCAUAUCCAGUAUUUAGUUGAAUAUAUAUAUAGGUUUUUAAUUAUAUAAAAAUUUAAUAAUUAAUUCGAAGAUUAUCUAUCAACCUUUUCAUAUACCUUGCAUAUCUUAUGAAUAAUAUUUUAUUAAACUAAAUGUAUGUAUAAAAGUUUUCAAAAAUAAACAGUAUCUAAAUACUUAGAUAUAUUCAUUUUCUAAAAUGAAUAUUCAUGAAUAUGUAAGAAUAUUGUUUUAUUUUUUUCUUGAAUUAUCCAUGUUUGCAUAAAUUCUCAACUAAUUCUAAUAUGAAAAAAAAUAUGUUAAUGCAUGGGUUAAAAUACCUGUUCAUAUGUAAAGGUAACCUAGAGAUAGAAACGUGUGUGAAUGUGAGUAUGUAACCUAUAGAUGGAAACGUGUGUGCACUAACUAGGUUAUUAGUGGGAAAAAAAUCUUAUUUUUAAAUCUAAGAACGUUGAUAUGUUUUUUAUAAGUGAGAUUAGGUUAAAAAAGUAUUAAAAGUGCUUGAAAAUCUUAUAAAUAUCAUUAAUAGAAUGGUAAAUUUUACUAUGAAAGUAGUAUUACUACUAAAAGCUUAAAAAGCCUUAAAAGAAGUUGUGAGUUCUACUAAUAGAAUGAUAAAUUUUACUUAAAAACUAUUAAUUUUUUCUUGAAUUGUAGUCAUUUUCAUAAUUAAUGACCUUACUAAUUCUUGGUAUUUUACUACCAUAAAUUAGAAUGAUCAAAAUUGAACCAUGAUUUAAGAUUAAAUGAGAAAGGAAAGAAGAAAAAUAAAAACUUAGCAUAAUAAGGAUAGUUAUGUCUCUCAAGGGGUUACAUAAUAAGAGUAGUUUUGUUUACGGGAAACUACAAAUCCAACUAUACUUUUUUUUGGGAAAAUCGUUCAAAACGUCCUUCACAUUUUACAAGAUGACGUUUUUUGUCCCUCACUUUUAAAAAAUGUAAUUUUACGUCCCUUACAAAUUCAAAUUGACCAAAUUUGGUCCCUACUUAGGUUUUUGACUAAUUUUUGGCCGGAAUCCACCACGUGACUUGCAUGUGAUCAUUUUUUAAGGGUAAAAUUGUCAAAUCAAAUUUUUACAUAAUCUGAUUCAUAGUCCCUCACAUUUCACAAAAUGAAUUUUUUGGUCCCUAACAUUUUACAAAAUGAAUUGUUUCGUUCCUCACAUUUCAAAAAAUGAAUUUUUCCAUUCCUUACAUUUUUCAAAAUAAAUUUUUUCAUCCCUCAUUGAUCAUGUGUAUGAAUAGCUUUUUUUUUUUUUUUUUCUAUAAACCCACGUAUAUGUAUAUUUGAUUUUAUCUGAACACUACAAAUAACAUGUAAUUUAUCUCUAUUGGAUUUCAUCUAAACAUGCUAAUUGUAGUUGUACACAUGCUAUUCAAUAGAUAUAUAUAGGGGUUUAAAACUAAUAAUUUUGUUUGAAACCCAUGUAUAUAUUUAUAUGAUUUCACCAUUUGAACUUAUUCAAUAUUUGUGAUAUUUCUCUUUUGAUAAUAAUUUAUUUAUUGAAUUGUCUAAUAAGUUCAUCUAAUUAAUGGGUCCUAACUUGAAUUCUAUAAUUGUGCUAACAAAUUUCAGUUUAAAUACGAAAUUUCUACUUGACACUUUUAAGACCAACAGUUGAAAUACUUGUCUUGUGAUUGUCUUAAAUUUGGAAAAUGCCAAUUACUAAUUUCUUUUUGUCAUACUUUUCUUUUGUUUAUUUUUUCUAUCCAAAUUUAAUUCGAUAUAAACACUCGAUAAUAUUUAGGAUUAAAUGUCUUCUUUAUUUUCAAAUUUUGAGUAAAAGAAAAUUAAAAUAAGUGAAAAACUAACAAUUUUUUUAAACCAUGUAUAUAUCUAUUUGAUUUCACUUGAGCAGUACGAAUAGUAUGUAAUAUAUCUCUAUUUGAUUUCACAUGCUAUUCGUACUGUUCAAGUGAAAUCAAAUAGAUAUAUACAUGGAUUUAAAAAAAAUUAUUCACACAAAUGAUCAAUAAAAGAUGAAAAAAUUCAUUUUGAAAAAUGUGAAGGAUGAAAAAAUUCAUUUUGUGAAAUGUAAGGGACAAAAAAUUUUAUUUUAUAUGAAUCGAAUUAUAUAAAAUUUGAUUUAAUAAUUUUGCCCUUGAAAUAUGAUCACGUGCAAGGCAUGUGGUGAAUUCUAAUAAAAAACUAAUCGGAAACCUAGGUAGGGACCAAAUUUGAUUAAUUUGAAUUUGUAAGGGAUGUAAAAUUACACUUUUAAAAGUGAGGGACGAAAAAAGUCAUUUUGUAAAAUAUGAGGGACGUUUUGAACGAUUUUUCCUUUUUUUUUUUUUUUUGUCGAAACGUUUGCUUUAUAUUUCACUGUAAAUUUUACAUUUUUUGGACAAAGUUCCAAGCAAAAGGGACUGUCACAAGGGACAACAGUCCUAUAAUGUUCAUUGAUGCACUAGUAUUUGGGAUUUACCCAUUCUUCGUCUAACCAAAUGUUUGGAGCAUGAUAGCUCAAUUUAAUACUAUUUACUUUCCCUGAGUUAGCUAAAGAGAAUGAGAAUGACCACUGAUGAAACAAAUUACUAAUGGACUGAAUAUCCUCUAUUAGUGUAGCCAUCAAACUAUACCUUAGGCUGAGUUUUGAUGAUUAACCUUUUAGUUAUCUACAAAAGAACUAGAUGAAGUAUGAACCACCAAUAAAUAUUUCUACUCAACAUUUGAAAGAACUUCUCAUUUGCCAACCAAAUAAUAGAGUCCAUGAAUAAAACAAAGUGACUCAGGAUUUCUUUUUUCUUUUGUCAAUAACUUGAUCGAAUAAAAAAAGAAUUAAUUUUUAUACACUAUUAGUACAAAAAUUUCUUUACACUUGUAGAUUUAGAUAAAUAGAACAUUAUUACUGUUUAGAUAUUAAAUUUAUUUUUUAUCCAUGUGUAUCUUUGUUAAUGUAAAAAUUAAUCCAUAAAAAAUGCCAAUUUUGAGUUUCUACAGCACCAAGUAUUCAAUUUUCGUCAGAUCCAAUUAGUCAAGAAAUGAAAGCUUCAAAAGGUAAAUACAUUGUGUGGCUACAAUCGAUGCCCCAAGAGCACAAGCAACCGCUUUCGAGAACCAACCACUUACCUACCGUCUUUCCAUUCCAUCAAUGCUUAAAAUUCUUGUUCAAUCUGUCUUCCUCGACAGCAACAUGGCUUUGCUGCAACCCUUUUUCUCUGACAAGUUUCUAUCCCAAGCCCUUUACAUUUCACGCAUAAAUUCAUCUCCAAGAAGAGCCAUAAUCAUUAAUACAAAAAGAACAGGAACAGUUGCAUAUCUUCAUCAACCACCACAGAAACUUUAUGUCUCUGGACAAGCAAAGAAAAGAGGGACAAACUGCCAUGCAGUAGCAGACCAAGUUGGGGGUGAAGUUAAGCAAAGUGGCGGAUCAACUGCAGAAGCAAUCAAGAGUGUCGAUGAUGUGGUUCCCUAUGAUUGGACUGAAGAAUGGUACCCUUUAUAUCUUGCAAAAAAUAUCCCAGAGGAUGCUCCCUUGGGCCUUACUGUAUUUGAUAAGCAGCUUGUACUUUACCGGGAUGGCACUGGAGAGCUUAGGUGCUUUGAGGAUCGGUGUCCCCACAGGUAAUUCAGUUUUAGCUCCUCCUUGGUGUCUCGUCACUUUUUGUAUCAAUUAUUGUACUAAAUCCGGCAGAAUACAUCUCUAAUUUUAGCUUAUAAUGCACUCUGAUUAAAUAUGUUGAACAAGCUGCUUCUAGAUUUGUAGAUGUUAAUUGAGGAAAACAUCAUUAAUCUUGCUUGAACUCUGUUUGAUUGAGAUUCGCAAGUUGAAGAGGGAAGAACUAACAACUAGCAUUUCUCUGUAAUGUGGUAUAAAGGAGUAUUUGCUGAGGAAACUAAUUUAGAAUUUUUUCACACCAGAUAAGUUUGGGAGUUUAGGAUAGAAAAGAGAAGAAGGGAAAACUUAAGUUACGAGAGUAGAGAAGAGAAGAGAAGGGAUUGUUUUGUUUGGGAGUUUUGAGAAUUAGUGGAAUGAUUUUGGAUAUAAAAGUUAUUAAAUAUUUGUUCAAAACAUUUUUAGGAUAAAAUAGGUAUUUUAAAAAACUUUCAUAAGUUUUCUCCAACCUGCUCUCCAUUUCUCUCCAAUUUGAGAGGAAAAAUUUUAGUUACUAUUUAUCCUCUUAAAUCCUUCCAUUUCUCUUCUAUUCUUUCCUAAUUAAAACUAACAAAUGACGGAAAUGUUCACUUUCUCUUCUUUCCCUUUCUUUUCUCUCCAAAUCAUCCACUCCCAAACGAACGAUUUGUCCCAAUAGGUGUAUGCCUGAAGUAUAUCUUAACACUUUGACUGGCAUUUGUUAGUAACCAGAUGUAGUUAUAGGUUGUACAUUAUGCUGUAGUUGCAAGAUUGAUGCUUGAGCUCCACUUGCUGGUUUUUUUUCCUGCAAAUCUAGUCUUGUGAAUCUUGACUUGAAUGGAAGUUUUGAAGCAAGACUGUGAGCUUUAGCUGAAUUGGAGGUACCCUAACUUCUGAGGUAAUCAAUCAAACACUUGCGGAUUAUGUACCUAUCAAUGUUAAGGUUCAUCUUCCUUGUCAGAGGAUCUUGUAUCUUUCACUGAAAGUUGAUUUUGAUUAGUAAUGCAUGCAUCUUGCCAAGUUAGCGAAGUUAAUUAUGAAUCUUAGAGUCUUAAUAAAAUAUUCUCCAUGGGCUGCACAGGUUAGAGCGUACAAAAUCAGGACAAUGGACUUUCAAGUAAAUCUUAGCCAAAACAAAAGUUAGUUAGAUGGAUGAAUUUGAGUGAUGAGUCAGGGCAAUAGUCAAAAGUCUGCAGAUGCAUUAUCAAACAGCUUGAUGAGCUUGUAUAAAUUCAUCAAACAAUCGUCAUUUUCAGAUUUGCUGGAUGUCAUAUACUUAUGGUUUUGGGUAUAGGUGCUCUUGCUCCAUGGCAAUAUAUGUAACCUUGAAUCCAUGAUUCAAGAGGAUGAUGCUGCUGACAAGAGAUUAUUGCAGUGAAAACCAGGCACUAAAAGUACCUUUUUCUUAGGCUUUUGGCAUCAAAGCUGGAAAAUGCAAAUGAGGAGCAUAAUGGAAAAUCUUGAAGGGGAUUUGUUGUUUGUUUGAGUUAGCAAAUUCUAGCACAAAGAUAGCUGUCUGUCCUCAAUCAAAUUAAGUUAGCUUCUCUCAGAAAAAAACUAAAUUAACUGAGAAGAUUGCGAUGUCUGAAUCAUAUGUAAUUUUCUGUUAUUCACCAAAACCUUUUUAUUAGCUUUUAAAUUUCUGCUCAAUUCCAGUAGUUACCUGCACUUUUUUAAAUACAGGCUGGCAAAACUUUCGGAAGGUCAACUACUUGAUGGGAGGCUAGAGUGUUUGUAUCAUGGUUGGCAAUUUGAAGGUGAUGGCAGGUGUGUGAAGAUACCUCAGGUUGUUUUCAUGUCUCCUCUUGUUUAUUAUAUACUCUUAUUGGACAUACUGCAAGUUUGCUUCACAUCCAAUACUAAUUCUCCAUGUGCUUUUGUAACUUAUAUUUUGGACAGCUCCCUGCAAAUGCAAGCAUCCCACGAUCAGCUUGUGCCAAGAAAUACGAAGUAAUAGAUUCCCAAGGAGUUGUAUGGGUAUGGAUGUCUCAUAAAACACCACCAAAACCUGAAAAAAUUCCUUGGUUUGAGAAUUUUGCCAGACCUGGAUUCAAGGAUACCUCAACAAUCCACGAGCUUCCAUACGAUCAUUCUAUUCUUUUAGAAAACCUUAUGGAUCCGGCCCAUGUCCCAAUCUCACAUGAUAGAACUGAUUUUACUGCAAAAAGGGAAGAUGCUACAGCAUUAUUUUUCAAGCUGACUGAAAGAACAGGUAGAGGCUUUGCAGGUUGGUGGGGAAGGGAAAGCGAUCAGUCCACUCCAAACUAUGUUCCAAAUUUCUUGCGCUUUGAAGCACCUUGUGUUCUGCAAAACAACCGAGAAAUCAUUGACAAGAAUGGGGAGACGCACUAUUUUAGUGGGCUCUUUUUAUGUCGACCAUCCGGACAGGGGAAAUCAAUGCUCAUUGUGAGGUUUGGGAGCACAAGAAAACCAUCUGGACUGUUGAAAAUAAUUCCUCAGUGGUUCCUGCAUCAGAAUUCCAGUAAGGUUUUUGAGCAAGAUAUGGGAUUUCUUUCCUCACAGAAUGAGUUUCUGAUGAAAGCAAAGGUCCCAACAAAGGUGUUGUAUUUGAAUUUAAAGUCCUCAGAUGUUUGGGUAGCUGAGUACAGGAGGUGGAUGGACAGAGUUGGACAUGGGAUGCCUUACUAUAUUGGGUACAGCACCAUUUCACUGCCUAAAGUGCCUGCAGUCAUAGAGCAAGCUCCAGCGGGGUUUGUCGCUAACCUUUCCGCUUCUCAGCCAGCCAAGGGAGGAAUUGGAACAAUGCAUGCACCAAAUUUCGCCAAUAGAUAUUUCCGCCAUGUAAUCCAUUGCCCGGACUGCAGAACCACUGUCAAAGCUUUCGAGGCAUGGAAAAAUGCACUUUCUGCUGUUGCUCUUGUAUCAACUGCAUUAGCCAUUCUUGCGUCUGGAAAACAGUGGAAGGCUCUCCUUUUGUUUUCCACAUCCCUUUGCCUGGUUGGAAUCCAUGGCUGCUCAACAGUAAUUGCCAUGAACACAACAAACUUCAUAAGGACACACAGAAGAGCGUGAAGUAAAAAUUGCCCUUUUUGUGCUCAAUCUAAGUUUUGUUCUUUUGGUUCAUUUCAUUUUCAUUUACUUCAAGAGAAGCUCAUACUCUAUGGAUGCUGGCAUUGGAUAGCCCUUAGGUGCAGCACAUCUCUGUCAAUGCAUAUAUUAAGUUUCAAAUUCAAUUGUACAUAAUGUAAAAAGUUGAGAGGUUGAUAUGCUGCGGUUGCUAUGAAAAAUUCUGGUGUAGGACAACUCUUGCAUUAAUUACACUGGGAACAUGGUCCAUAUUAACACAUCCUUGAACAAUUGUAUCAUAAAUGUUUAAUAAAAAUUUUACCUGGCCAAUAUAUCAUCUUGAUUCUGACUCUUGAAUUGUCUAAUUAUAAGGACAUAGAAUAAAAUUUUUCCUUAUAAUUUCAUGGAUUGAAAAUUGGAUGAAAUUAAUUAGAAUAUAAUUGAUUGGUAACUUACUAAUUUACAAAUUACAAGGAAAUAUAUAUAUAUAUAUAUGUGUGUGUGUGUGUGUGUGUGUGUGUGUGUGUGUGUGUGUGUGUGUGUGUGUGUGUGUACUUUUGUUCGUAAGUUAGAGAAUGGACAUCUUAUAUUUUUUGUUAGGAUAAAUUAUGACAAAUAGAAGAUAUGUAAAUUAAUGUAGAAUCUUAAUAUGUAAAAAAUAGAAGUAGAACAUAAAUUUAAUUAAAACUUGUUUCUUUGAUGAAUACAAAUUUUGGAAGAGGAAACUAAUGGAUAAAGAAAUUUUUUAUUUUUUUAACAAUAAGAAUUUUAAAAAAUUGAAAAAAAAGAAAACAAAGAAGAAAAAAGAAAAAAAUUAACAUAAUAGAGGAGCAAUUUUGUCUUUCAGGUGAUUAAGUGUGAAAAAAUAAAGUUUAGGGAAUAAAUUGCAAAUGUAACUAUACCUUAGAGAGAGUUUUGUGGAUAACGCUAACCAAAAUAUCCAUAUACCUUCUUGGGUUAAUUGCACUUUUACACCCAUGAACUCUCUCAAGAUUGAAAAUCACCCCCUAAACUUUUAACCAAGAGACAUGCUAGCUCAUGGUUUCAAUUUUUUUUUGCAUACUUUUAAAAUCAGAUAAAAAAUCCAAUUAAUUUCUUCGAUUGUUCAAGCAUAAUUUUACACGAGGAAAAACGUCAAGAGCUGUGCUAUUAGCAAAUAAGAGUGUGCUACUAAUAUCUUUUUUCAUUCAAUGUAUAUUAUUCUUUAGUAAACUAUUUUUCUUUUAUGUUCAAUUAUGGCAAAAUUAGUCAAGCAAAAUCUUUAUUACCAUACCUGAGAAAUCUCAAAAAAAAGUAUGCUUACGUUUUCUUUUUAGAGGAAAUGACUGUGUUGAUUGCAUUUGCGACAAAGAGAGGAGAGUGACCAAGUUGAUUCCUCCUUCUUUUUUUUUUUUUUUUGAGGUGAAUGGGGCACUUUAAUACGCUUUUAGUCCAUAAGAAUCAAGAACUUGAAAAACAUUGAGAAUUGCUUGGGCUUGUGACUGUUAUUGUAAACAUCUAGCAAUAACUAUUGGUUGUUUUGGAUCGAAUAUACACCCUUAAACUAUCUAUUAAUUUGUAAAAUAUCAUGCAAUAUUAGUAGCAAUUCAAGAACCCUUCUAUUGUGAAUUCUUAACACAUCACUCAAAUUAGUUUAAAAAUAUCAAGUUUUGGCACCUAUGUUUAAGGGAUCAAAUCUUUGCUGGUUUAAACUUGCGGUCAUAUAAAUAUGGUACUGAAACGUUUUAGUAGUCACGUGCUUGUACAUUGAAUUCUUAACUGCAACUAAGCGAGUUUUUUUACCCCUAGUCACGUGGCACAAUUAUAUCAAAGCGACCGGUUUAGAUCGUGCUUUAUGCGUAUGAGAAUCUCAUCCCAUUUUCAGAGAGAAGCCUUUUAAUGACCUUAAAUGGAUUGCUGAGUUGCGAAAACAUCUGCAUGCAUUUUUGUAUUCCAUGUAGUAAGUAGAAGUGCUGAUGUUAUCCUAUUGCAGUGCAGAUGUGUUUUGCUGAUUGGACUUAUAACCCAAUCCGCCCAACUACUUCAUGCGUUAAUUUGGAUUGGGUUUAAUACUUUAAUUAGGUUAAGUCAAACACAAAAAUCCAAUUAUGACUCAAUGUAUUUUCUCGUACACUUUUAAAUAUCCACAUUUUUAUUAUCACAUACACGCAUUUUCACACACUUUCAUGUGUUAUUCUGGGUUUGGUUUAAUUGGGUUAGAUCAAACCCAAAAAAGUCAAUUAUAACUCAAUAUAUUUUCUCAUCCACUUUUAAAUAUUCACACUUUUAUUAUUGUAUACACUCAUUGUCACACACUUUCACUUAAUAAACUAUUUGGAAACUAUUUUUUUAUAGAUUCUCUCUCUCACACACACACAUGCACUAACACGCUCAUACGCGCAGUUUUCACACAAUUUCACUAGGAAAAAUACUUGCGAACUUUUUCCCUGCAUAUUUUCACAUUCACACACACAUUCAACCCUUUCUUGCAUAUUUCUUCAUGCUCUCUCAUCCUAGGAAUUUUUUUUAUUAAAGAAAAACAUUAUAAAGGAAUAUUUAUUCAUCUUUUCCUCCCAAAACAUUACAUUUUCAUUUUGGCUCCAUGUGAUUGAGGAAAUUAGCAAUGACAGCUAAUUUUUCCAAUCAAUUAAAAUUUGUCAUGAAUAAUUGGCAAAGCUCAAAAUGAGGUGUCAAUGCCAAUGGGAUUAUAGAGGAGUAUUUAUAGGUUAAGUUAAUGUUACUUCCAUAUGUUGUACAUUGUGCUCAAUUGUAGUACUUCAGCAAACUAAUCAUUUAGUUAGUGCAACCUUAGACACUUUGAUUCGACUGAAACAGGAUGUGUAGUUAAUAGUGAAAACAAGGCUGAAUACACAAGUCAGUAAAGUAAGAGCCCAUCGAGAUUUAAUUGCCAUUGAACUUUUAGGAAAGCCUAGUGUUACAUCAAGUAGAAAACUCAAACUCAAACUCAAGAAAGCGUGCAGGAUAUUGGUAAGAGUCAGAAUUUAGUGAAGACAAUAAAUAGUUCGGCAAUGGGUAUGAUUAAAUAGAGGAGUGACCAGAGACUUGAAAAAGAAACGGCGUUUUCCCUUGUCUUCAUAUUUGUAAAUAAACAUAAAUUGGGUACUGAAUAUCUAAGAAAAAAAUCCACCCUAUCCAUUGAACAAGUUGGGUUUACUCUACUCAAUCCAUCAAAAUUAAUCAUCCAAAUGACCCUACCCAACCUUUUAAAUUAAAUGGAUAGUUUGGGUAGGUUGUUAAAAGUUUUGGACUUAAUUACCAGCCCUAAUUACGAAGAACAAGUUUUUAUAUUGUUCCUCUGCAGCAAAGCUCAACUCUUCAAUUAUGCCACGUGUUCGUGAAUUUGAACCCCUGUGUGAGCAACUUGCAUUUAACUCGGCAUAAACCAAAAGCAGAAAAGAUAGAAAUUUUUUCUUAAAACGAGAAUAUUAAAUUACAAAGCCAGUUUUUCACUCUAAAGUCAGACAAGACAAAAGCUUCCUAUCUUAUUGUUGGAGGCUCAUCAAAUUUAGCUCAUUAUAGUUUUGAGAGGCUCAUCCUCUAUGCUGGACCUUUCACGGAUGAUUUGUCAGGGAGACUGCUCAGAAAGUUUACGAUCUUCAGCACGAUGAUCUUCAACUUUCUUAUCAUCUCACCAAGUUGUCACCAGUAUUUUGGCAUCUAAUAAUUAUGCCAUAUGCAGCAACUGCAACACUAUUUACCUAGAGUUCUUAGGCACGUUCAUUUCGGUAGAGAAGAGGUAAGUAUCGACUGCACCUUACUGACCACCAUUGCUAUCAAGACCUUGAUUCUGCAGUGACAUCAAGCGAACACAGGAAGCUAAUUAAACCGAAACAAACACAAUGCUGAAAUCUAGUGUAAAGUAGACAAAAACAUCAUGAGAAUUAAAAUUUUUCUAAUCAUGCUUCGUUGAGGUUCCUGUUAUGCUGCUUUCAUGUUUAUUAUAUGGGCCAUUCAUGCUGCCGAACAGACCUUUUCCACACUGAGUUUUCCCAAUGAUACCACCAAUUUGGAAAAGAAACAAGAAUCAGUUUAAAAUUACUUAAUGAUGCAAAUGGCAGUCAAUGCUAACUUUUCGUUUACUCCACUUUGCUCAACUCAUUCCUGCCAUAACCCGUGUGAAUGAUAAAAAUGCAUCAGAGAAUGAACUUUCAUUAACUUUGUACCUGAAGAUAACAUUCGUCCUUGCUAAAAAUUAUUGUUAGAUCACUGCCAAUUUUCAACCAUUUGAUUCUUUGAAAGGCACCAAGAUAUGUUACAAUGGUGGACAGCUUGAAUUUGUGAAUGAGAAGGAUAUCAGCAACACCAAAUCAUAUGAAGAGAUUACACUACUCUAAUCUUAGUUACCUGUUGUAAUGUCAAACUGAUAAGUUUGCACAUGCAUCCACAGAUAUACAUCUGCCACAAAUGAUGCUAGGAUUGGUCCAAUUCUACUUCUGUCAAAAGACAUCAUAGAACACUUAAUUGAGUUGGGAAGCAUUCUGAUCAACAACAGUGUUCUUGACUUUAUAGGGGGCAAAUAUGCAAGAAAAUCUAAAUGCGCUAAAUCUAUUAUCCUCAAUUCCUUAAACUGUAGUAGAUUGUAUGUCUGAUCCAAAAUCUAAUACAUCAUCAAUCUAUCAAGAUGAAUCCUUAAAAUAGAUUAUGUAGGUUCGUAUUGUAGAUUACAGCAACAAGUUUAAUUUAGACAUCAACAUUAUCAAUAUGAACAAAUAACCUUUAAGACUCCUAUUACAGGCAGAGAUAAGAGGUGUUUGGAAUGACAUCAGAGAUUUCUGUCAUAUUAUAUGCACCAUCACAUGCAAAGUUUCAUGCAAGCAUGAUCAUAUUUUGCUAUAUAUCCAUUUCCACCAUUGCCAUAUAUACACUGGGAGCAAAAAUGUAAACCCACUUGCACAAUAAUUCCACUAGCAGCGUUAAAGACACAAGUGUCCAUAAGCUGAAUGGACAUGUCUUAUACUUUCUGACAAAGAUCAGAUACUUGAUACAAAUGUUCUACUCAUCAAGAAGAGGUUUUGGUAUCCCUAAUCAACAGACUAGUCCAAAGAAGGGCUUAAUUUUAACUCACAAAGAACACAACCAGCUUGAUAGUUGGACUCGUUCAAAAUUGCAAUUGCUGAAUCACUUGAUGCCUAAUAAAGCCUCAAUGAUCAAUUGUCUUCAUUAAAUUCAUCCCACAAAUGAUAGUCCUCAAUGUAAUUUUUCAGUCUAAGCUAAAAGGAGGACCAAACUUCAAUAGCUCAAUAGCUCAAGUUUUAUCAAUAUAACUUGUAAGCCUUAUUUUUAAACACAUAAAUCUAAGGAAACAUUCUGGGGUACACACUCUAUUUUAUUAGCAAAAUGAAGGAAAUGCAAAAGUCUUGAUUGAGUAAGGUCUCUGCUCUAUAUAUUCUUCAACAGUUUGGUUCUAUAUAAAAACCAUUGCUUGAACGUUCCUAUAACACUAAAUCCCACAACUGCACCAUUAAUUAUGGUAUCUGGCCACAACUUAUAGGACUAAUGUGACAGAAGUCUUUAUGCCAGUAUAAUUAGUUUUUAAAAAGGAAAAGUAGUGGUAUUUUUCUAUUAAUCAAAUACGUAUAAACAGUAGAGGAGAUUAUUCAAUGACAACCUUAGGACUCAUCAGGAAUUAUUUGAGUAGAACUUAUUGUCCCUGAAAGUAUUAUAUUGAGAAUAACUGAUCGUCAAACUUUUUAAAACAGGACAUGUCGGUGAUACCUUUUAGUACAAUUAUCACAUAAAAGAAGAAAACUAUCACAAUCAUUUAUAUGGGGAAGAUUAGUAGUUUACUGGAUUUUCCUGUUUGUUUAAUAGGUCCUUUGUACGUUUCUGCACGCAAGUCAGUAAAUCUGGUUAUAAUUAAAACUUAACUAGCAUAAAAUGCUAGUGUUUCAACAUAGUAAGGUCUAUAAACAAUGCCAUUAUCCAGGGACAAAGAUACGCGAAGGUAAUAAUUGAAGAGGGUUAUCUCAAUACCAUGGCCACUUAAAACAUGAUUUUAUUUAAAAAGUUGAGGGUGCUACUUGACUGAGUUUCCAACACCGUUACAGAGAUAGAAGUUGAGUGUCACAUAAUAAGAAUGACCAACGUGCAUCAUCUACAAAAAAAAUAAAAAUAAAAAUAAAAAUAUUCAUUUCUCCCUAUGGCUCUUUAUCAAAUAAUCCUAUCAUAGAACAAUCAGGUAGCAUAAAAACUUUUUCAAGACUGCGUACUGAUUCAAGUUCAUAAAUAAAGGAAGGGAAAACAAAAAAAGAGAACAGGAGGGAACUACAUACCAGUUCAUCAGCUAGCUUACUAAGAGCAUCAUAGUUAAUUCUGGAACUCGGCCUCUAUAAAACAAUUAAAAGUCUGUCUUAAUACUUGGGCAAAAUAACUGACAAGAUAAACACAAUCCAUAAAGCGACCCUGAAAUAAAGGCUCUUUAGCUUUCAUUAAUUCAACAGUGCAGAUUAAUUCAAGUUAAAUAGAUAUCACAGAAACACUUCUGUAGAAACAGGUUAAUUACCUUUUUCUCUAUUUUAGGAGUUGCUUUUGCAGCUUUAUCAACAGAAGUACUUCUUUUGAGUUCUGCCUUCAGUUUUGGUUUCUUAGCCUAAUUUGAACAGCACAGGAACAAGGGGCCUUAAAGAUCAAAAUUUAUAGAAAGAAAAAGUAUGAAAACUAAGAAACCGCAAAAAAUCACCAGGGUGAGAAAUGGGACACAUAUUACAUGACAAAAAUCCAACAUGGCAAGGUGAUUUUAUUGCACAGAAAGGUAAAAUACAACAAUUUUAAGAAACUGGUAGCUGCUCAUUUUUUAUGCCAAGGUUACCAGGUCUUCUUGUUUGAUAAACAUAACAAGAGUAAAUAAAUAAAAAAGGAACUACCUUUGAAAAUCCUCUAUCCAUUGCUUCCCACAAGAUCCUCUUAUAACGCAUCUCAUGCUUGGUGUUAAGAUAUCCAAUGACCUAAAUACAAUCCAAAUAUUUGACCAAAAAAAUAAAUACAAUCCAAAUAUGAGUUCCAAAUCAUAUAAUUGAAAACAAAACUAAACAGAAAUGUCUAAACAACAUAUCACUAACAAACUUCAAGAAGGAAGAUCCAUCCACAACUUGACUUAGUUAGACGUGACAAACUGUUAGACCCAAAUUGAUGCAGUACUGUUAUGUGAAUGAGCACAGUUUUAAGUGUCAAUGGCAUUUAGAAUAAGAAGAGUAGCAGCUCAAGAAAUACUUGGAAUAUCUAACUAUAUAUAAAGCUUGAAGAAGGGGCAUGGACUAAACCUUUUGGGUCACGCUUUCAUUUGCCAAAAUUACCCUAAAUGCAUUAGACCUCUACAGAAGCUAAGUCAAAAUUUAGAAAAAACGGAUGCUAAUUAUCUUUUGGAGAAAAUCAAGUAAAAGCUGUCAUUCAGGUACUUAAGUUAGAUUAGUGCAACUCCUUGGGAUUUAAAACUGACUAAGUAAUUCUUUUAUGUGUAAGGUGUGGUCCAAGGAGUAUUUGAUGCAAGUGGAGUUACUUUUGACACUAAAUGUCUUAGAAUAAGAAAUUUUCCUUUUAAGAAUGUCUGAGUGCGAAUUUUUUGCCACUUCUGACUUAACAAGAAUAAUAAAAGCAUAAAUUGUUUAUCUUACCCAAUCCAUAAAAACUUUCAAAUAGACGGAAAACCUGUUAAAUUCCAUCCGAGUCACUUGUAUGACUAAAUACAAGAUUGAAAGCACUUGAUGGAGUAAACUCUGGACUAGUACUCAUCAGAGACAAAUGAUAUAACUCCAAAAGAGACAAUUCAAAAUGACUUGACAAGAAAAGUCCCACAGAAGUAGCCAAUCCAGUAGUCUGGUAAGCUUUGAAAAUUGACUCGGGCUCUUGUCAGAGAAUUAACAGUCGCAAGAACAAAUCUCAUGUAUCUUCAUGCAGAGGAUUCAAAAACAUACCUCAGCAUCAUCAAUUUCAGAAAGACUUUCUGAUUCAUGAAUGUCUGUGGCACUACUGUUGCCACCAUUAUGCACGUGUGAAUGGCCAGAAUUUCCCAGCCCAUUACUUCUUUGCACAGUCAAAGCACCUGUGAGAUCAAGAAACCUGACAAAUUAGUGCUACUCAUAUGUGAUAUGAACUUUUUGCUAUAUAACUGUAUAAGAUAGCGAACAACGGUUACCCUGAAAUUCUCGCUGUUGAAGGAUUCUGGGUGCAAUGAAACUUUUGCCUUUUUCAGAUGAAGAUUCAACUUCUUCAUUUAUCUGAGUUAAAAAAUGAAGUAAUUAGCAACAAGUUUCACAAACAUUUUUCACAAGCAUUUUUAUAACACAUUACAUAAGUUGUGAUGUAAGGAUACAGAACAUGUAAGUUAAAGCAACACUAAGUAAUUGUGGUUUUUCAUGAAAGCCAGCAAGGAUGUAAUGAUAGUGUGCUUGGAGAAUUGCUUGCAAAUAAUUCCUUUCUGUAUACACCUCUGAAGUCACUCAACAUACACUUGGUAAACCUGAAAGCUAGAUAAUUCAAUAGAGCAGGAAGCUAUGGUUCUUUCUGAUUUCAAACUUCCAGCCAGUUUAGUCUACUUUGAUAAUCAAUCAACUGGCUUUGCAACUAUAAUGGAGACCUCUCUUGGGCAAUGUCCAAGUUGGCAAAGUUAGUGGUAACAGAUGGUUAUCACAGCUCCAUUCCAAGUUGGCAAAAUUAGUGUUUUGAACUAUAGUUGUCUGUCUCAUUCUUCCACAACCGACCACUCAUCUGACCGGGAUAGAAAUGUCAUAUAUACAAUUCCAUCACAAGUGGUUAUGGUAUUGAGAGAAACUCUUUUACCAAAAAAGAGGGACAGUAACUACUUGACCAAAUUCCACAAAUAACCUAUGCAAACUUAAACAGCAUAGAGGAAAAUGUUAAUCAUAAGAACAACUAAAGGAGGUGGCUCAGCUACUUCUCCUCUUUGAAGUCAGAAACUUUUUCCAAGUUUUGCCAUAAAAGAUGCUGGGAAACAUGUAUCAUAUCUCUAUUAGCAGCUACGAAUAAAUAAAACCUAUUGCUGGUUGUAGACAAUAAAAUCACUAUUAGAACAAGGAGAUUGUCCUAGAAAUUCUAAAAACAGAAAAAGAAACCAAAGACACAAACCCGGAAUCUAUACAGCACAAACACACUCAUCAUAGAAUACUAUUCACAGAACCAAAAAAAAAUGAACAACAGAGCCAAAUCCAAUUUUCCCCUUAUUCGAGAAAAAUCUCUAAAGCUCUCGUAAUUCAACAGGAGAAAUCUAACACGCAAAAUCUGAUAAUGCAAUCAAAUCAAACAAACAAAAUUGAACGAAAAAAAAUUGCAUUGCAUCAAUGUUUAGCGGACAAUACCUCUGGUUGUGUAAUUUGCUUGCGGCUUUGUCUAACCGCCAUUCUCGCUGGACUUUGAAGCUAGACGGUGGCGUCGUGAGCUGAAGAUUCCUUCAAAUUGAUGGGAAAGGCGGUUUAAUCCUGCGAACUUACAAAAAUUAAACACACAAAAAAGGGGGCCCCCCAGGGAAGUUUGGUAAAAUUGCUGAUACAGUGCCCUUGAUUUUGGGUUUGUUCUAUUUUUGUCCCAUCAUACUCACGAGUCAACGUUUGACUCGAACUCGAGAACACCGAGUUUGAAUUGAACUCGAGCUACUCAUUUAAUAAAGGGUUAAAAACAAAAAAACUCUCUGUAGUAUAUCUAAUACACAGAAAAUCCUCCUAUGGUUUCAAAACAUACAAAAUAGCAUCUCAUGUUUUGAACUAAAUUAUAAACUAACAGAAUUUGUUAAAUUUAACGAAAUCCUGUAAACAUAACGAAAAACUUAACGGCAUCCAAUAAAUUUAACGGUAAAUUUAACGGAAUCCCGUAAGUUAAACAAUCUUGACCAUCAUUUUCGUUAACUUUAACAAAUCCUGUUAGUUUACAAUUUAAUUCAAAAUAUGAGGUGUUGUUUUGUAUGUUUUGAAACUACGAUGGACUUUUUUCUGUAUUAGAUAUACCAUAUGGGGCCUUUUUGUUUGAACCCCUUUAAUAAACAAGCCCAACUUGAGUCAUCUGCACAAAGACUCCUUAGCUCGUUGAGUCAUGCAAAAUUACAUAUUAUUAACUUAACAUUCAGACAACAAGCUCCAUUUGAGUCCACACAACUUAACAUUCCUGAUUACUCUUUCAUCUUUCCCUCAAAUCAAUGACCAAACAAACCCAACCUUAGGCCCCUAGCCACUACCGCUGCUACUACCACUACUACCACUAAUCCACCACACCCACCACUACCACUGCCACCCUUCAAUCGAAAACUAGGUCCCUAGUUGUAACCUUCCUCCCUGUUUGUUGACCAAGUUCAAAAGUAAUAGCACCAGCCAUUUCGCAAGCUCAUCAAGGUAAAGCUAGUAGUAGGCUGCAACUCCAGCAACAUUACAACUCCUCAUGUCACUCUUUAGCAAUCGCUGUUGACAGAUACUUGCUUUGACCCUCUUAAUUUGUUUCAGUUAUUUUCAUUAUAUUUCUUGAAGUGACAAAUUAAAUUUCAAUCCCAUUGCUAAAUUUGCCAUCAUAUGUAUAGAAAUGAAAUGGUACCAAUUCGGUAUAAAGUUUUCUUUUUUUAAUCUAGUUAUUUUUCAUUGAUUACACUUUUUUUGCAUCGCUAGUUAAUACCUUCAAGUAUUUUAAUCAUAGCUAAGCAAGAAAUUUGCUUGAAUUAUUGAAUAUCUAGUUCAGCCACAUUGGUUUAAAUUAGUAUAUUGUUUUUGAAAUAUUAUUGGUAGUAUAAUUUUUGAAUAGCUUUCUAUUUCUUUCUUUAGUAUGUAAUGGGCCCAAAGGAAACAAAAGAGAGAACAAACUAAGUAUAUGAUGUGGUUAUCCAUAAAUAAAAAAAUUUAUGCUUUUUUUUGGAUUUUUUCUAUUCAGUGUUAAUGCAAGCAAAACGAUUUUUAGCAUUAUGUCAUUUUUUGGUUAUAUAUAUAUUUAAGAUGAAAAACACCAGAUAAGUGCAUUGCUGAUUUUGAUUGAAUAUUUAGGAUGACCACCUUUUUUCCUUCUGCAAAUUUUGGGUAUUUCCAGUCUCCUUUUGGUGAAAUUGUACUUUAAAUAUUCAAUAAUAUUGAUUAGUUAGCAUUUUACUAGAAUAAAACCUUUUGUACUAGUUUGCCUGUGCAAAUGUAUCCUUAUAUAAUUUGUGAAAACCCUGGAUCUCAGUUAUGAUAGUCUACCUUAUUGCUUGAAAGAAAAGAAGUUUGACUGCUAAUUUAGGGGUUCUCAUGUCCUUUCUCCUUUCUCCUUCUUUGAUUGGUUAGUCUUCCUUUGUGUAUAGUUAAAGGCACAAGCACAAUAUGGCCAUGUCUCCCCAAGAUGUGUCUUCACAAUUAGUUAAAUCAACUGGUAAUUGUGCUGGGAUUAACAAUGAGGAAGAGUUGGAAUAUUCUAUUGGAGAUGAAGAACUAAGGAGUGAAGAAAAGAGGUUAGAAGGUGAUAUAUAAGCACCCGCUCAAAGUUUGAAUCAAUAGGCUACUCAAGGUGUUAGUUUAGAUACUUUUAGAAAGAAAAAGAGAGCCAGAAAGUCCAAGACUUAGGUUGAUUCAAAGAUGUGGAAGUUUAGCCUAAAAAAACACUUUACUGGGAAUGUAUGCAUUGCAGAGCUAAAUUCAAGAAGACAAAAAUCAGUACAACUUCAAGUUUGUUAAGGAAUCUUAAAAAUGGUCCUAAACGAUUGGAGAAACUAAAAAAAUCAGAGGCAAAAUAGCAAAAUAUUAAUUUUCCAAUUGCAGAUUCUAGCUCAAUUACUCAUUCCUACUUUCAUACAGGCAAGUUUGAUAUGACUGCCAUGAGAGAAAGUGCAGCUGAGUGGGUGCUUAUGCAUGAGCAUUCCUUUACAAUUGUGGAGGAAGACGGUUUCAACUUCAUGAUGAAAAAGGGGAUGUCUAAAUGGCAAAAAACCAGUUAGACCACUAAUAAGAAUGAUUGCAUUUUCGUAUACAAAAAAGAGAAGACCAAAUUGAAGCAUUUGUUAAAGAAAGUCAAAAAAAUUAGCUUGAUCAUAGAUCUUUGCGAGUCUAAGAACCAGAAGAUUUAGUAUAUGGUUAUAAUUGGGCGUUGACUUGAUAUUCAUUGGAGAUUGCAGAAAUGGGUCCUUAAUUUUGCAUAUUCCUCCUCCACGUUCAAGCAUCACCAUUACAAAUGCUAUUUUCAAAUGCUUAAAGGAUUGGGGAUUGGAGACCAAAGUUUAUAUAGUCUCGGUGGACAAUGCCUCAAAUAAUGACACUGCAUUAAGAUGUUUGAAGGACACCUUCUCCAGAAACAAGUGUCCAUUAGCCAAAGAGAAGCUAUUCCAUGUGAAAUGCUACGCUCACAUACUCAACCUAAUGAUUCAUGAUGGUCUCAGUGAAAUCCAAGAGAUGGUUCAAGCCAUAAGGGACAACGUGGAGCUUGUAAAUAAAAUCGAAGGGAGGCUUGAUCUUUGUUGAAAUUGUGUAACAAUUGCAAUCGCCCAAGAAAGUACUGCUUUAUGACUGCAAAACAAGGUGGAACUCUACCUAUGAGAUACUAGAUUUUGCUUUCAAGUUCCAAAAGAUGCUUCCAAGAUUCAAAGAUAGAGAACCAAGUUAUGAUUUCUGUCCAAUCACAGAAGAUAAGGAAAAGGUAGAAAAAUGGUGCAACAUUUUAUAAGUUUUCUGGACUGCAACUCAUAUAAUACCAGGGAGUGAUUAUUCGACAACUAAUUUAUAUCUAAAUAAAGUUUUUUUUGGGAUAAAAAUACUAUUAGAUAGCAAAGCAGAUGAUGAAGACUACUUUGUUUGAGUAAUGGUUUGGGGGAUGAAAGUGAAAUUUGACAACCACUGGGGUGAGUGCAAUCUAUUGAUGUCUACAGUAGCUAUCUUGGAUCGCAGGAACAAAAUAAGAAUCAUCAACUAUUUCUUUUCAUUGAUAUAUCUUCCGCAUGAAGUGCAACUGAAUAUAGACAAGUUCUGACAAGCAUUGUAUAAUAUAUAUGCUGACUAUGUGGUAAUGCAUGUUUCAAGUUCAAGUGGUUCUGGAGCGAGCACUCAAGUAGUGAUAAAUGAUCUAGUUAACAAGUGCAGUAGUAGUUCAUCUUUUAUAGUAACACAUAUUAUGAGUAUGAGUGAAUUUUUCUCUCACAUUGCUACUAUAGAAAGUGUACAAGCACAGAAGAAUGAGUUGGACAACAUGCCAAUGUCAUCUUCGCACCCUAAUUGCACUCCAACAAAUGUACUUAGGCCUUCAGAAUUCCUAAGCCAUAGAUUCAAUUUGAAAACAUUCCGGUCUAGUCCCAUGUAGUUGUAUACUCUAUCCGCCAACUCAUCAUAACUUAUUUGAUAUUUUAGUAAUAUGGCUUUUUGGCACCUCGGAGUAUCAUACGCAUGAUCCUUUGAUCUCCACUAUUAUGCCUCCCUAAUAAAAUUAAAUUACCAAUGCAAUGUCUGUUGAUAUUUUUUCCUAAUCUUAUGAAUAUUUUUAAAUCAACUUAUAUUCCUCGACAAUUUGUCAUAAUUAAUAAUGCUAACUUAACAAACAUCAUAAUUAUUAAUAACAUCAGCAAUAAAACAAUCAUGAAUUACUAUUCAUCCCUAAUAAGUAAAAAUAAUUCUGUGUGCCCAGAUAAUUACAAAUAAAUAAUUAAAGAUAAAGUUAUCAAAUAAAUAUUAUUAAUUAAAUUAUGAUUAAUGAUUCUUCUUUACUAUUAAUCAAAUAAUUAUUGCUAACUACUUUUAAAUACUAUUUACAAUUAACACUUAACCACUAAAUGCUAAUCAUUAUUUGUUAUUAUUUAUUACUCACUAAUCAUAGUUACUAUUAAAUAGCUAACUACUAAUGGAUAUUACUACAACUUAUUUCUUUUGACUAUUAGUUACUAUUACUAUUACUUACCAAUUACUAGUACUAGUACUAUUAAUCACCAAUUACUACCUCAGUUUACAUUUACUACAAUUAUUUGCUAUUUACUAUUAAUAUUUAAUUUUUACUAUUACUAUUAGUAUUACUAUUUGAUUUUUAUUAUUUAAUAUUACUAUCACUCUUACUAUUUAUUAUUAGUUCAUUACUAUUACAAUUAACUAUUACUAUUAAUAUAUACAAUCACUAUUUACUAUUUAUUAUUUACUAUGUAUUAUUUGCUAUUUACUAUUUAUUAUAUACGGUUACUGUUACUAUUACUAUUUGCUAUUUACCAUUUAUUAUUACUAUUUAUUAUUUUUUAUUUACCAUAUAAAUUCUCUAUUUCAAUCAAACCUAGCAUACCUCCAAAGCAUAACAUUCAUUAAAAAGAAAACACAAACAAACUAGAAAUUUAACCAAGCAAAUGAAACUACAGGAAAAACACCAAUUAGGCAUUUAACCAGAAAACACAAAUUAGAAAAACACAGCAACAAAAACACAAAUUAGACAUUUAACCAGUACCUAAAAAUCAAACUUGUGACAGCCCCACUUCCCCCUAAGGCGAACCAAAGGGUUUAGCGGACCGCCUGCCCAACUCUCGCCGGGACUCAGUCGUUCACUCAAACGAAUCAGAAAUAAAACCUCAAGAAGAGUAAAACAAGGAUCCAGUUCAUUACAGUCCUUAAUCAAAACCCGAAUUCAACCACAGGAAUAAAUAGUACGAGAAGUCAAAACUUAAAGCGGAACUUAUAUACAUUGAUAUCUUAAGAGGAAGUACAACCGUCAAAUAUACCGAGGUUCUCAAUUCACCAUACAACCAACCCGUGCCAAACACUAGGGCGAGAACCAUUACAAUAGAAAACCAAGACUAGACCAAGCUAGUCUAUACAGGCUCUCUUCCUUGCUCGCCUUCCCCUGUUAAGAAAAACAAAACUAAAGGGAUGAGCUGGAAAGCUCAGUGAGGUUCCGAUCACAUAGGCAAACAAGAAGUUCAAUGCAUUCAUUACACGUAGCCAAUAAUUCAAGAUACAAAGAUAAGAUAAAGCGAUAAACACAUUCAUUAAAAGGAUACAGGCUCACAUGGAGCUAUUCGUUCGUUCGUUCGUUCAUUCAUUCUUCUUUCAUUCCCUUAUACCUUCAAUCAUUUGAAAAUGCAUUUUGUAUAAGUAAAACCCCUCGUUCAGUCAUUCGUUCAUUCAUUCAUUCACCCCAUCCCGGACAUUGUCCAGGCUCCAUCAACCUCCACCAACUUACAAGGUAAUACUCAAGUAUACCGAAACGUUCACCCAGGUCCUUAAUCGCCCGACCGAGUCCGCUUCUGGCUCGAGACGACUGGUAACAAGGGGUAGUGGCCAAUUCAGCCAAAAGGCUUACAUUCAUGCACAAUUAACAUUUCAAUCGUUCAAUCAUUGAAAACUUUUCAAUCAUUUAGGUCGAGUGCGAUAAAGUACACACUCACCUAGAAAACUCGUUUUAGCAAUCAUUGAAAACAUUUAACAUGUUAUCAAUCAUUCAUACAAGCCAUAUAACCAUGAAACAUAACAAACAAGGAACACUCACCUAUACACGCAAAAUAACGUCCACUUCUCAAUCACCAAUGAAAUCUAAAAUUAAACAAAGAACACAUUACAAUCCAUCUAGCAUGCUUUAGAUGCAAUCAAGAAUUACCCGACUAUUCGCGAGUAAACGUAUAAAAAUGACUUUUAAAGUGUAAAGAGGAUAUUUGGAUCCGUGGACGGGAAUAACUAGGGUUCAUAAACCAACCGUGAAACCAAACCCAAAAAGGUUAUGAAAUUUCCGACAGAAAACACUUUAACCAUCGACAAAUCGAAAUCCAAUAAGGUAAGCUAAGAAGUAUUGUUUCCGGAAUCGUUUAUGCGGCUCAAAAUCAAUAGACUAUAUGCCUUGAUGAAAAUCAUGAAAAGGUGGCAAAACUACCUCACUUUCACCCUUAAAACUUCACUUAAAAGUUAUUCACUUGUGGCCGAGAGAACCCGAAGUCAACCUCUAUAUUUUGGUAAACAGUAGGUAAACAUUUGGAGUUUCAAACCAAAGAGGUAUUAGGUUUUAGAAUAGUAAAAUGAUCACUUUAUUUGCCAAGCGGAAAUAUACAGGUUCAAAUAGAAACUUAGCACUCGAGCGAAAAUUGGGGCAGUACGCCCUUUGUAUUUUCCUAUUUCCAGCCAUUUAUGGCUUCAUUGUUUUCCUCAAUCAAUCCCAACAUUACACAUAACAUAAACAACCACUCAAUAUGCUCAAGACAAUAUAAGGACAAAAUUUAAACUAACACCAAGUGCGGAAACGAAGUUUACAAAAGACAGUUUUAAUGGGUUUUUGCGGAAUGGGUACAUCCGAGGCUACGCUUAUCGAAUUGAGGUGAAACUUAUACCAUUUCGAAGCUAAGACAGGGGGCUACAAGGUUGAAGAAGGCCACUCAGUCCAGUUUGCAAUGUAUCUAGGUCAAAAUUGAAAUAUACGAAACCAGAAUCUCACAAACAGGUUGGCUAACCGCACAUUUGUUAAACAGCAAUAACUCAGGCUACCGAAGUCCAAUUGAAGUGUAUCUUAUGGUGUUUCGAAGCUAAAACACAACCCUACAUUUCUUAUGAAGACCUCCAAGGCCAAAUCAAGCAUUUUCAUGAUCAAAAAUGGAAAACUACACGAAAACAGAAUUCUAGGCGCGAAACAGGUUUCAUGGACAGUCAAGGGUAUUUUGGUCAUUUCACAUGCUACAGUGGUCUGAUCAAGCUGAAAUUUUGUAGGAAACUAUUUUAUACUAUUGGAUACAACUUUCAUGUUUUGGCCAAAAUAUAAUUCGGUAAGGAUCAUAGUGAAAAGUCACGGUCAGAUUGGGUGAAAUGUCAACCCUGUUCACUGAACUCCUACCUAGACCAGUCUGGGUAUUUCCAUCUUAUCUCAGGCUACCAAGCUCGGAUUGGGGUGAAAAUUUACAGGCAACUAGAAAACAUCAUUCCAUACAACUUUCAUGUUUUGUGCUAAGGCGAAUUCGGCCUCUAACCUGGUCGAACAGAAAUGGGCAGAACAGGGGUUAGUGAAACCCUAAUCUGGAAUCUUUGCCCUAAACCAGAAUUUUUGUACAAUCUAUCACAUCCAACAUAUAUGAACUUCAUUUUACACUAUAAUAGGCUAUCAUACCAUGAGUAAACAAUAAAAUACUAUAUAAAACAGAAAAAUCCUCAAUUAAUAGAAAAAAUUAGACAACUCAACCAUAACUUAUGAAAUAACCCACAAAAUGACAUGCUUCACCACUAAAAACCCUUAAUUGAUCAUUAUUAUCAUGAAAGGGAAGAUAUCUAGACAACUCACCUUUACAACUCAAGAAAGAUAAUAGCUUAGGUUUCUUUCUUCCAAAAUAACGCCACCAAUAGCUUUAAACCUCCUUAGUGAGCACUUGUAUAGAGUAGAUUCAAGUUUGGUUGGUUGAAACUCAAGAUUUGAGUAAAUUUGGAAGCUAGAAAUUGAAGAAUCUUCCCUUGUUUUCCUCCUUAGAACAGCCGGCCAUGAGGGAUGAAAAAUGGAGAAAAAUUGGUCAAAUUUUGGUUUUAGUAAAUGUAAGAAAGUUUGGUCAAAAUCCAGCUACGAAUCGGAUCGCGACAUGUGACACCUUAUAAGUUUAACACUUAUCCUUUCGUCUCUCCAUCAUUAACCAUCUAAACAACCUCUAAUUAUCUCUUAACAUCUAAAAAAUUAAUCCCAGUACACAAAACUUAAAUUAAUUGACCGAAUUUUACCGAACUUUCCGCACUAGCGGGUCCCACGUCCGGUAUAUGCUCCAAAAAUCUCAUGAACUAAAUUAUACUAGAAAAAUAAUUUAAAAACCAUAUUUGUUCAUAAAAAUUAUCUAGAAAAUUUUCUUAAUAAAGAAAAUGCAUAAGAAGCGUGCAAAUAAAUAAAAUAAAGCCUAGAAAAUAAGAAAUUUUACGGGUUCUCACACUCUCUCCCCCUUAAGAAAUUUCGCCCUCGAAAUUUUUACCUUCAUUUGCCUCAGACGAGUCUGGAACUGUUUGGGUGCCUAACGCAUAAUCUUUUGCUGGCCCACUAGUUCGGUUUCCUCUUUCAUUUGCUUGUUUUGUUUUAGCUCCCUCCAGUUGCGGAAUACUACCUCCGCGUGACUGUUUCUUCGGACAGUUGCUAACUUGGUGCUCACCACUCCCACAAAUCAAGCACUUCCGCCAUUUCCGCCAACAAUCGUUCUCGGUAUGAUUGGCCUUUCCGCAAUAGCCACAAGUCAAGUAGGAAGCCAUCUUUUGGCUUUCUGGAGAAGUCUCCCCAUAUCCGGUCUGACUUCUUUUGGUAGACAUUUCAUCUCUCGCCCCUACUGUCCAUGGCGGGUAGGACAAAAAGUUCACUUUCUGCAUUUUAGAAGGUGCUAUUGAUUCACUAGGAGGUUCUUCAAUCACACUACCAACUGCACCUCUUUUCCGAGUUUGGGAGGCUUUUACUUGUGCCUUUGCAUUCUCGAUUCGUUGAACUUUCUCAAGGGCCUCCGUAAAAGUAUUCACUUGCGCCGCGGCUAACGCCUCUUGGAUGUCCAAAUUCAGUCCCUGUAUAAACCGUCUUACUCUUCGCCGUUCAGUGGUUACUAGUUCAGAAGCAAACUUGGAUAAUCUUGUAAAUUUUGUUUCAUAUUCGGCCACACUUAACGUUCCCUGGCGUAACCCAAUAAACUCCUCAUCCCUCCUUUCUUGGACUAAAGGUGGGAGGUACUUCUCGUUAAAUUCUCUUAUGAAGUUCGCUCAUGUCCAGAUAGUCUGUUCUCUUUCCCACUUUGCUCUAAUUACGUUCCACCAUGAUCGGGCCGGUCCCUCAAAUUGAAAUACUGCAAAGUUCACUUGUCUUUGCUCAGUGUAGUUUAGGGCUGUGAAGAUAUUAACCAUGGUUUCUAUCCAUUGUUCAGCCACGUCCGGAUCGGGCCCUCCAAGAAAUUUUGGCGGAGCAAACUUCUGGAACCUUUCAAGAGCCUUAUCCUUGCCCGUUUCAGGGUUCCGAUUUUGGUUUACAGGUAUUUGGCCUUGUUGAUCCACCAGUCUUGCCAAGAUAUCCGUCAUUUGUUGCAUUGCCGUUGCCAUUUGGUCUCCAGUCGCAGCUCUUGAUCCCUGCUCUUGCUCUGCUGACGUUUCCCUUUCUCCUUUUGAUUCCGGGAUCCGCUUAGUUCCCCGGCUUCUACCACGUCCACGACUACGUUUCCCAUCCAUAGAUAUGUUUUUCCCUCUCUCUUUUCUUUUCUUGUCCUCAAAAGGUAAUUUUAGUGAAUAAUCACUGUAAAUUGACUAAGCACCAAUUCCAGCAUACCAAAUACACAAGUAAACAUAUAUGCACAUAAUACGCCAUAUCAAGGAGGCAGAUAAUCAAAUACACAAAUACAUGUCACAAAUACAUAUCAAGUUUGACAGAUAAUCAUAUACACGAAUUCACAGGCUAACGUCAUGUAGUAGCCCUAUAUGGGUGCAUCAAAAGAAAAGGGAUACGUUGUCCCACACCCUGUUAACCCCGUCCGGUCUCUUACGUCACUUUCUAUCCAACUAGAUGUCCAUUGGCCUCUUGAAAUCAUUCUAGCCAGACAAAGCCUGUUCAUUUCCCAAAAUGCGAAUCUCAAAUACUGAGCAUCGCCUCAACGCUAGAGUACUCGGGCACAAGAAUCCGAAAUAAGACAAUUCACAUCUCGAGCUGGCCAGUCUCAAGAGUGAACCAUCUACAAUCGAAAUUUCUACCCGACAUACCUAUCUAUGAUCCUCAGAUACCAUGAGAGAGAUUUAAGACCUAUAACACUCACAAUUCAUAACUUAUGCCCAAACAAGCACUUAUUCCUUCAUAUCUAUUCACCACUCAAUCCAGGCUCACUCCGCGCAGAGACCACGCGAAGCAGGCUCUGAUACCACCUGUGACAGCCCCACCUCCCUCUAAGGCGAACCAAAGGGUUCAGCGGACCGCCUGCCCAACUCUCGCUGGGACUCAGUCGUUCAGUCAAACGAAUCAGAAAUAAAACCUCAAGGAGAGUAAAACAAGGAUCCAGUUCAUUACAGUCCUUAAUCAAAUCCCGAAUUCAACCACAGGAAUAAACAGUAUGAGGAGUCAAAACUUAAAACGGAACUUAUAUACAUUGCUAUCUCACGAGGAAGUACAACCGUCAAAUAUACCGAGGUUCUCAAUUCACCAUACAACCAACCCGUGCCAAGCACUAGGGCGAGAACCAUUACAAUAGAAAAUCAAGAGCUAGACCAAGCUAGUCUAUACAGGCUCUCGUCCUUGCUCGCCUUCCCCUGUUAAGGAAAACAAAACUAAAGGGAUGAGCUGGAAAGCUCAGUGAGGUUCCGAUCACAUAGGCAAACAAGAAGUUCAAUGCAUUCAUUACACGUAGCCAAUAAUUCAAGAUACAAAGAUAAGAUAAAACGAUAAACACAUUCAUUAAAACGAUACAGGCUCACAUGGAGCUAUUCGUUCGUUCGUUUGUUCAUUCAUUCUCGUUUCAUUCCCUUAUACGUUCAAUCAUUUGAAAAUGCAUUUUGUAUAAGUAAAACCCCCCGUUCAUUCAUUCGUUCAUUCAUUCAUUCACCCCAUCCCGAAUAUUGUCCAGGCUCCACCAACCUCCACCAACCUACAAGGUAAUAUUCGAGUAUACCGAAACGUUCACCCAGGUCCCUAAUCGCCCGACCGAGUUCGCUUCUGGCUCGAGACGACCGGUAAAAAGGGGCAGUGGCCAAUUCAGCAAAAAGGCUUACAUUCAUGCACAAAUAACAUUUCAAUCGUUCAAUCAUUGAAAACUUCUCAAUUAUUUAGGCCGAGUGCGAUAAAGUACACACACGCCUAGAAAACUUGUUUUAGCAAUCAUUGAAAACAUUUAACAUGUAAUCAAUCAUUCAUACAAGCCAUAUAACCAUUAAACAUAACAAACAAGGAACACUCACCUAUACACGCAAAAUAACGUCCACUUCUCAAUCUCCAAUGAAACCUAAAAUUAAACAAAGAACAUAUUACAAUCCAUCUAGCAUGCUUUAGAUGCAAUCAAGAAUUACCCGACUACUCGCGAGUAAACGUAUAAAAAUGACUUUUAAAGUGUAAAGAGGGUAUUUGGAUCCGUGGACGGGAAUAACUAGGGUUCAUAAACCAACCGUGAAACCAAACUCAAAAAGGUUAUGAAAUUUCCGACAGAAAACACUUUAACCAUCGACAAAUCGAAAUCCAAUAAGGUAAGCUAAGAAGUAUUGUUUCCGGAAUCGUUUAUGUGGCUCAAAAUCAAUAGACUAUAUGCCUUGAUGAAAAUCAUGAAAAGGUGGCAAAACUACCUCACUUUCACCCUUAAAACUUCACUUAAAAGUUAUUCACUUGUGGCCGAGAGAACCCGAGGUCAAUCUCUAUAUUUUGGUAAACAGUAGGUAAACAUUUGGAGUUUCAAACCAAAGAGGUAUUAGGUUUUAGAAUGGUAAAAUGAUCACUUUAUUUGCCAAGUGGAAAUAUACAGGUUCAAAUAGAAACUUAGCCCUGGAGCGAAAAUUGGGGCAGCACGCCUUUUGUAUUUUCCUAUUUCCAGCCAUUUAUGGCUUCAUUAUUUUCCUCAAUCAAUCCCAACAUUACACAUAACAUAAACAGCCACUCAAUAUGCUCAAGACAAUAUAAGGACAAAAUUUAAGCUAACAACAAGUGCGGAAACGAAGUUUACAAAAGACAGUUUUAAUGGGUUUUUGCGGAAUGGGUACAUCCGAGGCUACGCUUAUUGGAUUGAGGUGAAACUUAUACCAUUUCGAAGCUAAGACAGGGGGCUACAAGGUUGAAGAAGGCCACUCAGUCCAGUUUGCAAUGUAUCUAGGUCAAAAUUGAAAUAUACGAAACCAGAAUCUCACAAACAGGUUGGCUAACCGCACAUUUGUUAAACAGCAAUAACUCAGGCUACCGAAAUUCGAUUGAAGUGUAUCUUAUGGUGUUUCGAAGCUAAAACACAACCCUACAUUUCUUAUGAAGAUCUCCAAGGCCAAAUCAAGCAUUUUCAUGAUCAAAAAUGGAAAACUACACGAAAACAGAAUUCUGGGCGCGAAACAGGUUUCAUGGACAGUCAAUGGUAUUUUGGUCAUUUCACAUGCUACAGUGGUCUGAUCAAGCUGAAAUUUUGUAGGCAACUAUUUUAUACUAUUGGUUACAACUUUCAUGUUUUGGCCAAAAUAUAAUUCGGUAAGGAUCGUGGUGAAAAGUCACGGUCAGAUUGGGUGAAAUGUCAACCCUGUUCGCUGAACUCCUACCUAGAUCAGUCUGGGUAUUUCAGUCUUAUCUCAGGCUACCAAGCUCGGAUUGGGGUGAAAAUUUACAGGCAACUAGAAAACAUUAUUACCUACAACUUUCAUGUUUUGUGCUAAGGCGAAUUCGGCCUCUAACCUGGUCGAACAGAAAUGGGCAGAACAGGGGUUGGUGAAACCCUAAUCUGGAAUCUUUGCCCUAAACCAGAAUUUUUGUACAAUCUAUCACAUCCAACAUAUAUGAACUUCAUUUUACACUAUAAUAGGCUAUCAUACCAUGAGUAAACAAUAAAAUACUAUAUAAAACAGAAAAAUCCUCAAUUAAUAGAAAAAAUUAGACAACUCAACCAUAACUUAUGAAAUAACCCACAAAAUGACAUGCUUCACCACUAAAAACCCUUAAUUGAUCAUUAUUAUCAUGAAAGGGAAGAUAUCUAGACAACUCACCUUUACAACUCAAGAAAGAUAAUAGCUUAGGUUUCUUUCUUCCAAAAUAACACCACCAAUAGCUUUAAACCUCCUUAGUGAGCACUUGUAUGGAGUAGAUUCAAGUUUGGUUGGUUGAAACUCAAGAUUUGAGCAAAUUUGGAAGAUAGAAAUUGAAGAACCUUCCCUUGUUUUCCUCCUUAGAACAGCCGGCCAUGAGGGAUGAAAAAUGGAGAAAAAUUGGUCAAAAUUUAGUUUUAGUAAAGGUAAGAAGGUUUGGUCAAAGUCCAGCUACGAAUCGGAUCGUGACAUGUGGCACCUUAUAAGUUUAACACUUAUCCUUUUGUCUCUCCAUCAUUAACCAUCUAAGCAACCUCUAAUUAUCUCUUAACAUCUAGCAAAUUAAUCCCAGUACACAAAACUUAACCUAAUUGGCCGAAUUUUACCGAACUUUCCGCACUAGCGGGUCCCACGUCCGGUAUAUGCUCCAAAAAUCUCAUGAACUAAAUUGUACUAGAAAAAUAAUUUAAAAACCCUAUUUGUUCAUAAAAAUUAUCUAGAAAAUUUUCUUAAUAAAGAAAAUGCAUAAGAAGCGUGCAAAUAAAUAAAAUAAAGCCUAGAAAAUAAGAAAUUUUACGGGUUCUCACAAAACUAGCUGUUCGUCUACUUAGGACUAGUAAGCAAUCAACUAUUCUGAAGUCAAUGACCACCAAAUCCAAUAAAAAAAUGUAAUGCUAUUAAUUACUCAAAACUUACAAUAUUUGCUAAUAUUAUAAAACAAUUAGUAAUAAAACAAUUAAAGAAAUGUACCUUACACCUUACCUUAUAAUGACAGCGGUUCUGUACUUCUUCAACUACCCUUUUUCUGAUCUACCACUUUUUUUGUCGACUUAGGACCUGAAAUGACAAUGUCAAUAAACAGACUUUGACAGUGACUUUGCGAAUAUACUUGCCACCGAAUCUGCUCUCGAAACUAUCCUUGCCGAUGCCACUCGUUUUAGAAGAAAAAGAAGAAGAUAGGGGGAUUUGGGGUUGUGCAAGAGAGAAAUAGGCUGAAGUUUUAGCUGAAGUUGGGGUUGUGCAAGAGAGAAUACACUCGUUUUGGAUAAAGUUGAGCUAUUUUUAUAGCAAAACUUCAGUAGCAACUUAGGUUGUAUUGACAUUAUCGAACAAAAAAGCAAAACUACUUUGAUUGUAAAGUUUUUUGACUGAAGCCUAGAUCAACGGUCUAGAGCUGCGGCAUUUAAAAAAAAUUCCAUCGCUAAAAAUUUAAUUUGUGGUGAAGGAAUAAAAAAAUUGGCACCUCAUAAAGUGUUGAUGAACAUUGAUCAAUGGUCUAGAGCUUUUGCAGCAAAUUUAAUGUGCGGCUUCUAAAAACAAUUUAAAUCAGCUGCAAAUUGAUGAAAAUUUGAAUUUGCGAUUGUUAAAAAAUUUUUCAGCCAUUGAUCAAACGGUCUAGCACUUUUGCCACAAAUUUAAUGUGCGGCUUUAAAAAAAUUUAAAUCAAUCUUUAUUGCAAAUUUUAUGUGCGACUUUAAAAAAAAUUUUAAAUCAGCCUUCGUUGCAAAUUUUAGGUGUGGCAAUAGAAUAAAAAUUUUUUUUCACAACUUUAUUGGUCUAGCAACUUUCGCCACAUAUUGGAUCUGACGGUCCAGCAGUUUUCGCCGCAAAUUGGAUCUGCGACUAAAAUAAAAUAUGCAGUAAAAAAUCUUAACUUAAAUCUUGAGCAACUGAAAAAUUUCCAAAAAUAAAUCAAAUUUUUUGUGCACCGAUUUUGUUAAUUGAGACGACCCUUAUUUUGGAAACAAAUCUCACACAACACUACAUUUAUGAUGUUUUUGUCUAUCAAUAAUAUAUCAAGAAAUUCGCCAUGGAUACGACUAGUGAUAUGAUAAAUGAUGAAAAGACACACCAUUGUCAACCUUAGCCAUAGGUAUGGAUUGAGAUGAAUGGUGGAUGAGAGUGUGAUAUGUUAAGACCUAAGCGCGGAAUACACGAUUAUUGAGAUAUCAAAUAUAUAAUAAUUUAAUGACAAACAAUUCACAAGCAUAAAAGAUAAAUGACAAACAAUAUUUAACGUAGUUCGGCUCCAUAAGAGAAAACCUGUUCUUUAGUAUUAGAAAAAAAUCUUAUAUAAGAGUACAAUUUGAAUCCAAACCCAACCCUUAUAUACCAUCUCUUAUCUCCCAAGAACCUUUUCUCACCCCAUGUAUAAGGUUACAUAUCGCCCUUUGUGUACUCUUGUGUGUACUUUGUGUAGUAUGCCAACCCCCUAUUUAUAUAUAAUAUUAUUUGGCUAAAAAUCAAAUAACAAUAAGAAAUCAGUACUAAUUCCUAAACUUGUACAAAAUAGGAAAUAACUUCUAAAUUCUAAACAAAAUAAGAAAUUUCUUGGCUACUAUUUCAAGUAACUAAAAUCAAUUAUAAAACUAGUUACUUCCACAAAAAUUAAGAAACCUCUGUAAAAGAAAUUAAGUCAAUUUCCUAACAAAUCUCCACUUUGGCAAAUAUUUCUUUUAACAAUCAUUUGUUUUCAACUAUCAAAUAAUAUGGUACCAAACUAUACGUUCGAAUCACUAUAGUCUUGACACCGAAUUGAUUCAAUCGACAAAUGAAUAUGUGUAGUUACUCCGAAUCCAACCUCUAGUUGACUCGCGAGAAGGUAUCUCAAUUUAGCAUCUCCCUUUGUAGGAUUUCUUCUCAUCAUUACUUGCAAUUCGGGAUUCUCUUCUGUGAGUUCUAUUUCUAACCAUUGAGGCAACUAAGUAGUAAAAUCACCAUACUUCUUUCCAUUCUCAGGACUAUCUUGCCAUGUGUGAUUUCCAAAAUUCUACUUGCAAUGUAAAACUCGUUGCCAUCAGAGUUUUCUGACAUUUAGAAAAUAGGGUCUUUUGUUUCUUUAGGACAUAUGCCACACCACUUAAAGAACAUAUAUCCAAAUCUAACAACCAUCUAAGAUGAAGUAACAACCGUUGGAGUUGUGAGAAAGUUUCCACCGAUUCAUAUCUAAAAUCAACAUUAGAUUCCACCUUUUUCUUGACUCUUGAAUUACCUGUUUAGAUUCACCGUUAAGUAUCUUCAUAUUUUUUGACUUUCCGUUCUCCACAUUCAAUGUUUCUUACAAAACUCUUAAAAGCAAGGAUACUACCUAUUAAAUUGUUCAAUUGGUAAUAGCUACCAAUCCACUUGAUUUCAAUAGUCAACCAAGAUCCAACCAUGAACCCUGUUUUGAUUCCAGUUUGCUGGGAUUCAAGUGUCUGUGAGUAGUGCAAUCUCGUAGCCAAAUUCUGAUACCAUUUGUUAGGAUCCAAACGUGGAAUAUACGACUAUUAAGAUGUCAAAUAUAUACCAAUUUAAUGACAAACAAUCCACAAGUAUAAAAGAUAAAUGAUAUAAAAUAUUUAACGUUGUUCGACUCCAUAAUUGAACCUACGUCCACGAAGAGAAAAUCCGUUCUGUAGUAUGAGAGGAAAACCCUAUACAAUAAGACAAUUUGAAUCCAAAUCCAACCCUUGUAUACCAUCUCUCAUCCUCCAAGAACCUUCUCUCACUUCAUGUAUAAGGUUACAUAUCGCCCUUUGUGUGCUCUUGUAUGUCCCUUGUACGUAUCUUAUGUAGUAUGCCAAUUCAUCUAUUUAUAGAGAAUAUUAUUUGGUUAAAAAUUAAAUAAUAAGGAAAUCAGUGCUAAUUUCUCAACUUGUAAAGAAUAGGAAAUAACUUUUAAUUUUAAACAAGACAUGAAAUUUCUUGACUACUACUUCAAGUAACUAAAAUCAAUUAGGAAACUAAUUACUUCCACACAAAUUAAGAAACUAGUUUAAAAAAUUAAUCCAAUUUCCUAACAUGAUAAAGGUCAUCAUUGGAGAUUUUGUGAUGAGAAGUGUGAUGAGAAGUGGCCUAGUCCCUAUUCUCACGUGAUAUGAAACUCUCAUAAACCUAUUACUGAGAGUUAGUAUUACUUAUUGUAAAGAGAGUAGAAGAGCUAAUUUCCUCAGUAUAACACUUUUAGCCAAAGACUACUGAUCUGUGACCAUACUUGAAUGUACAUAUAUCCUUUUUAUGCUUUAUUACUCCUUGGGGCUUUUAAUCAAGUGAACUAAUAUCAAAAUUUAAAGAGAUGCAACUAGCCUUUGUGAAACAUAUAAUUAUAGAUAAAUUCUGAAGAGAGAGAAGGAUAAUGACCAACCAUUGCAUAGUUUUUCAAAUGUGCCAUAUUGGUCCAGUAGUUUUAUAUUUACAUGACUUCUGAAUUAUGUAGUUAUCUCUAGUGACUUCAUUAUUUGGUUAAGUUUUUGAUGGGAUGACAAAUAUGAGUUUUUCUCUUACUGUUUGUACUCUUCAAUGAAUAAUUAAAUGAACAAACAACAAUACAAAGAAAGCAUUUCUUUAUUGAAUUUUGGGUUAGAAUCAAGAUUUUGUAGUGUAAUUUUUUUUCCUUGUUAAAUUCAAUAUAUCAUUGACGCAAGACCAAAUUUAGAAUUAGUUAGUAGGGAUGUUAGUCAAGUGAUUAUGAAAUUCCUGAUUCACUUUUCAAACUCUCAUCUCUUUCCCUAUCACAUUGUAAAGUUUGGAAUCUCCCAUUAAAUUAGAAAAAAAAAAGAAUUCAGCAUACACUUGAAAAAUUGAUAAUUAGUCAAAUUUCUUGAUAAAUGAAAUGCAAAGGUCAAGAAUGGGAAAAGUAAUAGAUUACCAAGAAUUGGCUGGGGGAUUUCUCACUGAAAAGAUCAACUAAAAUUAACUUGAAGAAUUUGCAUCUUGUUUUUAUACACAGAAGGACCGCUUGGAUUUUAAAAGACCAAGUUUUUUUUUGAGGGAUAAAAAGACCAAGUUUUAAAAGACCAACUUCAAACCUUUGACUGCAGGGUCUUUAAUUUACAUACAACACUUAUUUUCCAUUGCAAAUAUGUUUUUAAUUUCAAUAGCUUCCUUUUCGUGAAAUCUAAGCUACUAACAAGUUUUGGGGAAAAAUAUGCCACAAUUUUUUCCCCUUUUUUAUGCAAAACAAAAUAUAUGUAUCAAAGAUCUCUAUCUUGCUCUUAUAGUGAGGAAGGAAACAUUGCACAGAUGUUGCACCCAUUGAACUAUGUAACCAAAAUCAUCUCACUCUUUCCACUCAUUAUGCUUUUAGCAACUUUUAAUUUGCACCCCAAACUUUUGUUUUGUAUACUUUCCACAUUUAAUUUAUUAAAGUGUUUCAAAUCACCUCAAGUUUACAUAUCGUUAGAGAAAUUAGAAAGUAGGUAUAAAUUCUUUUGCUUUUUUUGGAAAAAAUAUUUUAAGUUUUAUGCUAACUAUAAUUUAAAAUUGAGAAGGAACUAGGGUCCUGGUAUGUUAGCACUUGUCUUCCAUACACUUUCACUAAUAAUAUGUGAGAUAUUAGUUAUUUGGGAUGCAUUAGGGUGCAAAAUGAUCAAUAGUAAAGUUUGAGGUGCAAUGUACCACUAAUCAAAAACUUCAUGUAAUUAAAUUAUCCAAAAUAAAGGUUAAGGGUACAAAUUGAGAAUCAUUGAAAAUGAUACGGGUAAAAAGUUGGAAUAGUUCUUUGAAAUAGCUUUUGGAAGUUAAUACUAAAUUACUAGGAAGAGAUGUUGUUAAACAACCUAAGCUUUUGUCACAAAACCAAUUGAGUGGACCGGGUUAGGAUUAGAAUAAUUAGUAUAAAAGAUUGGCUAACUGAUGUGGCAUUAUUUUAUUUGUUAGGCAUUAAAAUAGGAGUUAGAUUCUAUAUUACAUGGCAACUAACUGCAAGUCUCAAUUUAUUAGGACAAUAGAGGUUUCUUAAUCUCAUUGAAAGUUUGUUUAAUUUCAUUGGAUGUUUUACCAAACAUAUUUGGUUAAUAAACACCCAAACACAGUAAUACCAACAUUGUAACCUUGACAAGUUUGACUCUUGAGGGUGGAGCAAACUAUGGUGAAUAUUAGAAGAUAAUGUGGAGCAACUAUUUGUAAACACCCUUGCUGCUGGCAAGGCCCAACCAUUGAUCUACAAGGACCAAUAGGAAAUCAUGAAAGGGGAUAAGGCUGUCCAAACCCUGGAGUAAUAGUUUGAAGAUCCAGUAAUAGCUAAUCCCUACACACGUGUUCCGCACAUGUUCAGAUCCAUGAGUUUUCAUCUGUCAAUGCAUGGUCAUUUCUACCAAAAUAACACCGUCCUACUAAAUCUAACCCAACGCAACAACACACUAGGCAAAUGGUACUCAAGGCCCCCUCUUAAUUCCAUGGUUUGUGCCUAGCAGUGCCCUAACACUUAACCAAGCACCAAGGCUCCAAACCACUUAAAACCCAUAGAAUAACCCACAAAGUCUUAGCCAAUCCUUGUCCUCAAGCACUAAGUUUUUGGCCAUGAUUAGUUUAAGAUAGUCAUACAAGUAUAUAUGCUCUAAAAUCAAUCAACUUCUAGGAUUUAGUAUGUACUUGAACUAUUUAUAUUAUAAUAAAUGAUAUUUUAUCAUAUUGAUUGAUUAAAUAUAAUGAUGGUGAGAUUCAUUUGAUUAUAGAUAAGAUUUAUGUUUAAAUCUCUAUAGUCAAAGUAUUAAUAAGAUGGGGCAUUGUCACUACAGUUAGACUAACGUAUACUAUACUGCUUCUUUAUGAGAAGUAGUAGACCUCAUCUGCUAUGUUGUAUGAGACACCUAAACUAGUGUAUGGAUACUUGAUAAGAUGAUCAAAUUCACUAGAUUGAACCAUGUAUAGAUAUCAUUAAAUGUCAAAGAGUUAAUCUCUGAGUGACAUUUAUGUAAGUGAUUUUUAGACCUAAGAUUAUCAUAGUAUCUUAAGUAUGGAUAGUUAUACUUUCUUUGUCAUAUGAUUGCUCCCAUAAUAGGGAAUGCUCGCAUAAUUAGCAUAUGGAUAUAUAUUUAAAGUACGGAAAGGUGAUAAAUAACCUAUAAGGAUUACCAUCUCUUAUGCAAGAGGAGUUUUCUCAUAUCUGGUUACUUGUAGAAGUAUAACUCAGUAUUCUUAAGACUAAAUAGAAGAGCCUUAGAAUAAGACCUUUUUCAUUGGAGUUAUAUUUUGUUAUAAGAAAUGAACAUUAAUCACAUAAUGAAAUAGGCACAACUCAUUCCAAAAUUAAUGUGACAUAAAUGUGGUAAAAGAAUAUUGAUUACAAAGUAAAUGUUCAUUGAAAGUUUUUCAUUACCUGGAUGGUCAUGAUGUAUUGUUAGACGCCAAUCUUGAUUUAUAAAAAUGACUUGAUUGAUUAGUGGAAUAAAUGACAAAAUAAAAAGGAGUUUUAAUUUAUCUAAUUCUUAUUUAUUAAGAAUUAUAACUCAUACUUAUUGCCAAUUUAUAUGAGAAUUUAAUGGGUCACACACAUUAAGAACAUUUGUAGUUGGAUUAAAAGAAUUUCAAACAAGGACUUGAAAGAUAAGUUUUUAUAACUUAUAGUUUAAUUUGUAAGAUAAAUUAAACUUGAGAGACUUAUGAUGCAAAUAAGUUUAAUUCUUCUAGAUACAAGAGUUGUAUUAGAAUGAAAAAACUAAAUCCUAUUGGAAACCAGUUUUAGGCUUCCAUAAGGAUAUGAAUAACUUAUUUGUCUAUAAAUACUCACUAAACUUUUGCUAGUAAGACUAAUCGAUACACACACACACACACACAUACAUACAUAUAUACACACACAUGAGCGCGAGAGCACAUACACUAUAUAUAUAUAUACACACACACACGCUCACACAAAUUUAGUAGAUCAAUAAGUUCAUUGUUUGAGCUGAUUCAUGGUAUAAACAAAUUCAUCAUUUGUACAAAUACAUAAUAUAUACAAGUUCAUGAUUUAUACAAAUUCAUAGUUUCUCCUAAAGGAAUUUACUGAUUAAUGUUGCAACUCUUCAUGAACAUUUUAUCAACCUAUACAAAGGUCAAAUGGGUUUUACAUUGCUACAAAAAACUAUUAUCCUGCCACUUCACAAGUUAAUAGACUGUGCAAAUCAAUAAUAAUGUACAAUUUUAUUCCAAGUGCAAUCCCUUAACUUUUUUUUUUUACCAUUUUCAGUAUAUUGUUGUUGAUUUGUAUAGUAGCAAUUGACUAAUAUUGUUAUUAAAAUUAACAAGAUAAAGGACGACAUAAAUUAAUGAUAAUGUAUCAUUUUGUUUCAUGUCCAAUAUGCUGGCUCAUUUUGACCACCUUUACUUUGUCAAGUCCUCUAUACCAUUAAUUUUGCUAUUGUUAUCAUUGAUUAGACUUAAAUGGAACAAACUUGAGAAUUUAUGAUACAAAGUAUCCAAAAUUGAGAGUUUGGGGUGCAAAGUUUUUAAAAUUAAAGUUUAGGGUGCAAAGCGGGAAAGUAAUACAAGUUUCAAUGUGCAUAGUGGAAUUAGACCAAUUUAAAUUAGUUUUUUUUUAACAUCAACUAUAGCACUUACAAAUACAGUUAAGUUAGUAGGAUGUUUCAAAUUAUUGCAGUCAACAUUUACAUUUGCUUUUUUUCUUUUUUGGGAUAAAAAAAAUUUCAUUAACUUAUUAUUGGAAAUUGUCCAUCAUGAUUUGAUUUAGGUAAACAUGCACUAGAAAUUACAAAUUUAUAAUUUAAUAGAUAAAUAUAUAUGAACAAAUUAUGAACAAAUUUGACAAAUAUAAUAAAUUUCAAAAUUAUCUUUUAAUAAAUCACCCAGCUCCUUUUUAUGCAUAUUGUGAUCAAUAGAUCUGCUAAUUAAUGGUUUUAAACUCCGAUAAUAAUAAUGAGAUUUGUCCAAAUAGAUCUAAGAUCCAAAAAAUUUUCAAAUCUAGCAACCAAAUCUAAAAUACGUUCGGAUCUAAGAACAAAAUAAAAAAAUAAUGCAGAAAUCUUUAUAGAAACCCCUAGGAGAGUAAAAAAUUUUCACUAGGGAUUCCUAGGAGAAACAGAAAACUCUUACCAAGAAAAUUUAGGAGAGACUUUAUUAAAAAUAAAAUAAAACAAAAAUCAUGGGAGAGAGACCACAUGGGUCCUUAAGAGGAAGGCCUCUGAGAAAGGGAGAAAAAUUAGAGAAAAGUUUGAGAAGAAAAAGGUAGACAAGAAAAUAUAUAACAAUUUAUGCACAAGUAUUUAAAGAAUUCCCAAAGUUUAACCGGCGUGGAAGCUAACCUAUCAUGGCAAGAGAAUAGGGUUUAAUGUUGUUUGGGAGUUCAGAACAAAAAAAAAAAGGGGAAAGAUUCUAGACAUAUAUGUCAUUAAAUUUUGGGAGAAUUGGAGUUUUGGUCCCCAAUGUACUACAAACGCGCGAAAGUAAUCCCCAAUCUAGUGGGGGGAACAAAUGCGAUCCCCAAUCGAUCCAAUUUUCCUCGAAAGUGGACAAUUGACUGGUUUUCUUCAUUUUUUGCUGGAAACAAGUCACGUGAGAGCACGUGUCGGCAGUUAAAAUCCUUUUCUCAAUUUUUUAUCCGUGAAAACCCAUAAAAAAUUAUUUCCAGCAUUCUAGUGCCCCACUUUUUAAUUAGCAAAGACAAAACACACUAAUUGUCCCCCCUUUCUUCUCUUCGGUCUCCAGAAACGACAACAAAAAACUAGACCUAACAUUGUGCAUAAAACCAGCAAAUCGGAAGCAAAAUCUUGAAGAACUGGGUGAUAGUGGAGUUGUUCGUGAGUCUGGGAGGAGGAAAUGGCACUUAGACCAAAAGAAAUGAACGGAGCACUGCCACCAGAUUACGGUAUGUGAUUUUUACGUCAGGUAGCAUUACGCAUGCUUAAUUCAUGCUUAUAUUGUAAGAAUGUGAUGAUGAAUGGUGAUAUUUUCACUUGGGAGACAAAAUGUCUUAAAUUUUGGAUUUUUAAGACAUUCUGACAAAGUCCUAAAAUAUUUGUUGUCUACCAUUGUAUGUGGUCCUGUAUGUCUCUCUGGUGUGUGUUGUCACGUAGACAAUGUUGGGUGGGUAGGAAGACUCGGUAACAUGCUUUUGUGGUCCUUGUCUGAACUUUAUAUGGUAGGGGGUUAAAUUCCCAACUUUAUAACAUGCUCUUGUUGCCCUUGAAGCUGAUUGAGUGCAAAUUACAUACUUAUAUAAUCUAAUUUGUCACUUAUGGUACUUGUUUAUUGUGUUUGUUUCUUUUUUUUUUUGUCCCUAAAUUCAGACAGUGAUAGCAUUGAAGUGACUAUGAAGUGUUAUUUAUGGGGAAAAAUUGAAACCGAACCUGAUGUGCAUUAUGAGGGAGGAGAAUUAAGGAUUUUUUAUCAUGUAGAUGCCACAGGCAUUAGUCUAUUUGAAAUGGAUAGAAUGCUAGAAAAUCAACUUCAAGCUGUUGGUGACAAAAAGUACCAUAUCCUAAUCAAGGAACAUGGAUUUAGUUUGUUAAGACAUGAUAGAGAAUUGCAUGCAUAUUGUGCUGAUCAUUUUGACUAUGGUAGGGUAGUUGAUUUGUAUGUAGAGGUUUCCCUUAAUGAUAUACUAGCAUCACAAUGGGGGUCUAACAUUGAGGAUGGGAACUUUGUGUUAGAAGAUGAAGAGGAUGAAAGUGAUGAUGAAUAUAUGGCUAGUUCAGGUUUUGAUUUGGGGAGUUCUCAGAAGAAGACUCGGAUUAUGAUCAAAAUUCAAAUGAUAAUGAUUAUGAUAAAAAUGUUGAUGAUGAUUCUGAAUGGUUAGGGGUAGAAAAUAGAAAACAAGAGUAGCUGAAUAAGCAUAUUAAAAAAAACUCUACAGAUGCUAGGAUGAGACACAUGUCUAGGAAACAAAUGCCUAGUGAUACUGAAAGUGAUGAUGACAAUUCUGACGUAGAUGCUACCCCAGAUUUAGCCACUGAUAUUGGUAGUGAUACAGGGUCGGAUGAAGACAAAAGCUUGAGACCCCCUGUGUUUGAUCCCAAGGAUGAAAAUAACCCCAAAAUUAAACUUAGACAAAUAUUUUCUUCCUUCAAGGAGUUAGAAGAAGCAAUUAGAACCUGGAACAUCAAGAGAGAGAGAUCAUUUACAUUUGUCAAGAGUGAUAGCAUAAGAGUUAGAGCAAUAUGUCCUAAAAAUGGGUGUGAUUGGUGAAUAUAUGCUAGGAGAAUGAAAGGGGAUGGCAGAUUGGAGGUUAGAACAUUUCAAAAAAAAGCACAAAUGUGGAUUUUCAUACCACAACAAGAGUGUGAAGUCUGGGAGGGUAGGAAGAAGAUAUGUUGGCAUAUUUAGGGAGAACCCAAGGCUGGACUAUAUUAGUUUUAAAAAUCUGGUAAUGAAGGAGCACAAAUGUCAUCUUAGUAGCCAUCAAGGCUAUAGAGCUAAGAAAAUUGCAGAGAAUUUGGCCAAAGGUAGUGAGAUGGAUCAAUAUAAUAAACUGUCUCAAUAUAUCAAUGAAAUUGAGAGAAGUAAUCCAGGUAGCAUAGUAAUUAUGAAGCUGGUAGAUAACUAUUGUGAUGCAGUAACUGGACAGGGAAAAUUUCAGAGAUUAUACAUGUGCUUUGCUUGGGUAAAACAGGGGUUCUUAGCAGCUUAUAGGCUCGUGUUUGGAGUGGAUGGAACUAUUCUCAAAGGUUCAGCAGGGGGUGUACUAUUGACAGCAAUUGGAGUUGAUGCUAAUAAUGGAAUGUAUCCUAUAGCUUAUGCAGCAACUAAGGGAGAAACCAAAGAUUCUUGGAUUUGGUUUCUAACAUUACUCAAAGAAGAUUUGAAAAUUGGAAGGGACUAUGAGUGGACAAUAAUGAGUGAUAAGCAAAAGGGAAUAUGUGAAGUAGUUUUUUCGAAUGCAACCCACAGAUUCUGUGUUAAACAUAUGCAUAGUAACAUGUCAUCUGCUGGGUUCAAAGGGGCGGCAAUAAGGAAAGCUCUGUGGAAAGCAGCUAAGGCAACUACUCCAAUUCAAUUCAGAAGAAGAAUGGAGGCAAUUGCUGAACUUGAUACUGAAGCAGCUAAGUGGUUGGAUGACAAGGAUCCGGCAGAGUGGAGUAGAUCACACUUCAGUACUUACCCAAAGUGUGAUAUGUUGCUGAAUAACAUAUGUGAAUCCUUCAACAACAAGAUCUUAGAUGCUAGAGAGGAGUAAAUUGUUGCAAUGAUGGAGUCAUUGAGAUAUUUUAUGAUGUCAAGAAUGCAGGAAAACAGAGACAGAGCCAGAAAAAAAUGGAGCAAAUUUGCAGUCUGCCCAAAAAUUAGGAAAAAAAUGAUGGAGAAUAUAGAUAAGACAACUUAUUGUGUGCCUUACAAAUCCAAUGAAGUUAAUUAUGAAAUUGCUGAUCCCUAUGAUGAAAAAUAUGCAGUUAACAUUGAAGAGAAGAUAUGCUCUUGUAGGAAAUGGGACUUGACAGGGAUACCUUGCUAUCAUGCAAUUUCAGCACUUUGGAUUGCAAUGAAGGAUCCAAUGGAGUAUGUUGAUGAUUGCUACAGAGUGCACACUUAUCUCAAGUGUUAUGAGCCCUAUAUACUACCUCUUCAUGGAGAGCAAGAUUGGGCAGAUGUGAAUGUCCAGCCCCCACUCUUACCAACGUAUGGAAGAGCACCAGGAAGACCCAAGAAACAAAGGAGAAAAUCUACUGAUGAGGUGUAGGAAAUGAAAGAUAAAAGAGUUAAAGUAAGAUGAGUUGGACAAAUCUGUAAAUGUACUUACUGUGGGGAAAAGGGUCAUAACACAAGAACAUACAAGCUUAGGCAACAAAAAUGUGGUGAAGAUGUAAGUCUAUCACAGAUGUCAUCUGCUAGAUUGCAUGAAGCACAUUGUGAAAGAAACUUGUCACAAAUGGAUACAAACCAUAACAUAUCUGUGAGUGAUAAGAUAUGAUAUAUUUGAAUUCAAGUCCUGUGAUUUUCUAUUUGCUUAAUGAUAAUGGUUUUAAUCUCAUGUUCUAGGUUGAAGGUAUUGGCUCCACUACUAAGAAGACAACCAGAAGAGCAGUGAAAAAAGCUGUACAGUUUUCUUAUUUUCAGAAUUUGAUUUUAUAUUCUAACCAACAUAACUAUUGCACAUACUCAUUAUUCAUACUACUGUUGUGUAGGGAAAAAGCACUAGAGUGUAGCAAAGAAAGUAACUUCAUCACAAAAUAGCCAACAAGCUACUGAUAGAUCAAUACUACCUCUUCUGCCCCUGUUGCUGAGCCUAACUUGUAUGAGGUUUUUGGAAUUUCAGAUCCACAUGUGGCACAUAUCAGCCAACCAGUUGCUCCCAUUGCUUCUGCACCAUUUAGAAUUAGGGAUGUUCAUAUUCAUCUCGGACUCCCCAGGACCAGUGAAUGUGGUGACAAGUCUGAUGUUAAAGGAAAAACAAAAAUAAAUUAAUUAUGUAUUUCAUUUGUUGUUGGGUAGACUUGGUACUUCUUUUAUUAUGUUGGAAGUAAUGUAGAUGUUGCAAUGCAGCUUAUUUUGUACUUUUUUUGUCAUAUAUUUUGUAAGGGAGAAAUGGAGGUCCCUUUUUCAUGGUUGUAAGAAGUGAAUUGCAAUAUUAUUAUUUAAAGAUUGCUGGUUUUAUGACAGAAUUGUUGUUGUUGAGGUUUUACAGUUUUUUUUGUUUUUAUGGCAGAAAUGGAGGUUUUAUGGUUUUAUGGGUUUUAUGAUUUUAUGGCAGAAAUGGAGGUUUUAUGGUUUUAUUUAUUUAAAGAUUGUUGGUUUUAUUGCAAUUGAAUUGAGCAAAGAAAGUGAUAAGAUGAUGUUCAGGUGUAGUUGAGGUUUUAUUUUUGUCCUGCAAGUCAAAAUGUGACUCAUUGUUGUUAUUUCACAGAAUUUUGCUUUUAAAUCCACCUUCUGCCUGACUAUUUGGCUGGCGAGUACUAGAGUUGAAGGAACAGGGAGUUAGUGAAGAAGAAGCAAAGACAUGGCUGAUGUUUGUUUUUGUUUCUUUUUCCAUUUUUUGGGUGAAUUUCAUUGAUGCUGCAUCAUAUUAAGCUGCUGGUUACUGGUGAAAAGCUGCAGAACAUUAGUUUCCCUUGGGAUUACACGACCAUCAUAUAUUUUUUAGAUUACAAAUCUGUUUUGUAAUCUAAACUAUCUAAAUUUUUACAGGGAUAAUUUGGAAAUACUGCCUUCAUUUGGCCUUUAAAUGCCUUAAUAAUGCCUUCAUUACAGUACAAAAUAGCAUUGAAUACAACAUUACUGAUAUCUUAUUAGUAAUAUAAUACAUCCCAACCUACACAAUCACCCAUUGCUGAUUACUAGUAGCUUGUUACAAUCCUGUAAAACAUAGCUAUUCCAUCCUAAUUUCUGGCCUUUUACACUAGCAAAACAAACAACAACAACAGUGCCAACAACACAAUUGCAGACACUAAUUUUCUUUCCCUUGCUCUUAGUUUUUUGAUUGUGGCAUCCUUAGCAUUCAUGCUCCGCAGCAAACCAGGUAUCAAAGCAGUGGAUCUUCGGCACAUUAUCGGAUCAUACCACUCGAAAUAGUUGCAACUUUUUCAUCUCUUUUGCCCUUCACGGUCAAAAAAAUAUUGCUUCAGAAAAAACAUAAAAUUCAGAAGUGGAAGCAAGAAUUUGAGAUAGCCCAUACCUUCUUCAUGCCGCAGUUAAAAUACCUUCUUCCAAGGUUUUUGUGUGUCCAAGAGGUAAUAAUCAUUGCUUGUAACUUGCAGUAGCAAAGCUUUUCUGAUAUCAUGAUAACAUACAACCAGAUAAGAAGACAAGACAAAUCUGUCAAAAUUAUGCCAUCAGUGUGAAGGAUGAGGAAACCCGAAGCACAAAAUUCCAAUCUGUACAAGUCUUUGUCACGUGCCGAUAAUUGAAUUUGGCUACAAGGGUUUUUUUCUACAGUUGGGGAAGAAUAGAGAGAACGACAAAAAGAAAAAGAGGGAUAGAUUGGGUUUUGCUUUUGUUAAACAAAAAUUUUACCCCCUGCUCAAUUAUAUAGUAGACUAAUACUAAUUAAUAUAAUUAACUUCAUUUGCUAAUUGUGUUUUGUCUUUGCUAAUUAAAAAGUAGGGCACCAAAAGGCUGGAAAUAAUUUUUUAUGGGGUUUCACGCAUAAAAAAAUUGAGAAAAGGAUUUUAACUGCCGGCACGUACUCUCACAUGACUUGUUUUCUGCAAAAAAAAAAAAUGAAGAAAACCAGUCAAUUGUCCACUUUCGAGCAAAAUUGGAUCGAUUGGGGACCGCAUUUGUUCUCCCCAAUAGAUUGGGGACUAGUUUCAUGUGUUUGUAAUACAUUAGGGAUCAAAACUCCAAUUCUCCCUUAAAAUUUUGUUCUAUACAUAUUUAACGAUGAAAGUGGAAUUUUGAAAAAUUCUAUCAAGUUUUGCUGAGCUUUCGCUUGUUUACCGCCCAAAUAUGGGUUGAAGUUUUCCAACUGUAGCUACCAAAAAGAUCCUACAAGAUCUUUUGCUUUCCAUUCUUUUUUGUCCCCAUCAAACUCCUAAGCAACAGAAACCACCUCCUUUAUUUCACUUUCUUUUCUUUUCUCAUUAAAUCUCAAACAAAUUGUUAGAGUCUAUGAGAGGAAUGCAGUGUAACACAAGUUUCAUAAAGUGUCAUUCAUGUACACAUAAUCUUUACCUUAAAUAAGUUCCUUCACUUUUCUCAAAUUUUUUCAUUGGCAACUAGUAGCUUUUGGGCAAAUUUCUUUUAAAGAGAUAUAUUUUGAACUCUCUUGUAUUUUAGUAGUAGGUGCUUUUGUGUUUAGGAACACUUUGCUAAUACUUUUGUAUUCUCUUCUUCAUAGUGAAAAUUUGCUCCUCUUUCGUCCGUGGACGUAAAUCAAUUUGAUCGAACUAUAUAAAUUUUAUGUUCCUGUUUCAUAUAUUUUUUUCUUUGUUAUUUGUCUUUUGGAAUGGUCAAGAUGCCUUUCAUCAAUUUCCUGAUACCAGAACUAACAAUAAUUUUCCCCAUAAUCUGAUCACAACUCACUUUUGGGCAAUUUUUUUUCCCCGGAAAUAAUAAUCCUUAGUAAUUUUCCUCUUUCGUAAGCCAUCUAAACUAACAGCAUAAUAAAAGGUUUUGAAUCAUAAACAACUAAACCUUCAAUGAAUUAGUUAUGUUUGUCGAUAUUGUCUACACUACUUAUUUGCACGACUAUGUGAUGUCGUACAACAAAACAACAAAUCUCCGACUAAGACCCUAUUGAGUCAUGUGUUUAAUUCUUUCUAAUUGAUCAAACAUUCUCAAGUAGCACUACAACAAAAAUGACCUUUCCUAACAUGCCUAUAAGGACACUUGUUGGUUUGUGUCAUUAUAGUAAACAUAUCAUGACACUUAUUAAUAAAUUCAAUAAUAUGUAUUAUAAUUUUUUUAUUUUAUCAUGAUGUACAAAUAAUAAUGUGCCUUUAGGUAACUUAUGAUGACACUCUGGAAAAUGUGAGAUGAACCAAAAAAAAUCGAAAAAACACAGAAAACGACAUCGUUUUAGUUUGGGUCCAAAACACUUGCUGAAGUACUGUGAAGUUUCAUUUUGCCGGCAAAAGGACUUGGUGAAAAUUUUCUUCUUCUCAUCUCUCUCACCUCUCAGCAUACAAGCUAUCUCGGCCAGUCCAGAAUGUUGGUAGCAAUCGAAGCUAUCUCCGCAAACAACCAUCUUCAUCUUUUCUAACCUCAACUUUAAAUCCCUCGGCUAAGACAUUUGGAAGGGCAGGCAGGGAGUAAAAGCUGAAGAACGGAGCUCUACAUUGGGAAAGCGGGAAGAUACUUUAGGUGCGCAUAUCUUGUUCCAAAAUUGAAGUGGUAAACAUAAUGAAGCUGUUGCCCAUAACCUGUUUGAUAAAAUGUCAAUUCCCCCCUGUUUUUCAUUUUUUUUCUGUGAAUCUCUUUUAAUGUUAAUCUAUGAAACAUAGUUGUAAUUGAAGCUCUGUUUAGGCUAUGAAUAGAAAUCGACUUGGAAGCUCUUUGAUGAAGAUCAAAAUAGCAAUGGGGUGACUGGAAUGACCUUUUUGCAAGACAAGUGCAAAAGUUUAAGAAAUAGGUUGAUGAAAAUUAAUAUUUAAGGACUUAAUUAAUGGACUUCUUGUUGAACUGCACAUUGGUCAUGUGCUGGUUAUGCAUCCGUGACAGAUAGGUUCAGAUUGUUGUUGAGCAAGAUUAUUGAAUAGACAAACAAAUAUUAUGUCGUUAUUGAGAUGGGUGAGAUCGAAUGGUGUACCAUUUGAUUAUGUAGGUGUGAUUGACUCGAACUUCCACCCCUCCCAGUUCAGGAUGACAUAGCACCCUUACGGGUUCUGUUUUUUUUUUUCUCAAUUUAGUCCUGUUUCUAGAUCAAUUAGCUGAAUAGUCAUAGCAACUUAAAAGAAUCCUUGGACCAAAAAAAGAUUAUGAGUAUAAAAUAAAAGGCUAGAUAGAUUCUCUUCUUUCUUUCACAUUUCACUGUCUCUCUGUGGUGAAUGCUUUUUCUUCAUAAAUAUCUGCUGGCGGUCUAACCGUGUCAUAAACCUAUGCCUUUUCUAAGUACUAAUGUGUAGUUGUUGUUUUCAUGCUCUUGGAAGCUUGUUGGAGGACAUUUAUUUAUAUUAAAAGUAUGGAUAAAAGUUGGAUGGAUUUUCCAAGAACAAGUGAAAAGUAUGAGGCAGGACUUCAAAUGUUUCUAAACUUUGCAUUUUCUAGAUCAAGUUGUGACGGACUGAUUUUGUGUCCUUGCAAAGAUUGCGGCAUGGGUGUUUGUGUGACUAAAAUGGAAGCAUAUGAUCAUUUGAAAGUGGUAGGCUUUAUCAAGGGUUAUAAUAAUUGGAUAGCACAUGGAGAACUUUCAAACUACUAUGAAGCCACAUCUAAUUCUGAAAAUACAUCAAUUGGGGUUUCAAAUGGGACUAAUGACAUGCAAGACUUGGUCCAUGAUGUAUUUGGGAUACCACAUGGAACAAAUGAAUUGAAUAGAGAAGGGGACUUUCCUGUUUCAGAGGCUGAAAAAUUUUACAAAUUGAUUGAUGAUUCUCAACAGGAUUUGUACAGUGGUUGCAAAAAUUUCUCGAAGUUGUCUUUCAUUAUUCGUUUGCUUCACCUAAAAUGCCUUGGUAAGAUGAGUAACAAGAUUUUUAAUAUGCUUGUUGAGCUGUUGAGAGAAGCAUUUCCGGAGGCCAUGACUAAUUUGCCUUCUUCUUACUAUGAGGCUGAGAAAUUGAUGAAUACAUUGGGGCUGGGUUAUGAAAAGAUCGAUGCAUGUCCUAAUGAUUGUUCUCUUUAUUGGGGUAAUGCUGAAAAAAGAACUUCAUGUGAAACAUGUAACGAGCUUAGGUGGGUUGCUUCAGAAAAUGAUCCAACUGGUGAAAAAAGAAAAAUCCCUCAAAAAGUAUUGUGGCAUUUUCCUUUAAAAGCUAGAUUACAAAGACUAUUUAUGUCUUCUAAAAUUGCAUCUCAAAUGAGAUGGCAUGAGGAAAAACGUACAAAAGAUGGUUGUAUGAGACAUCCAGUUGAUUCUCCAGCUUGGCAAACUUUUGACCAUCUACAUCCAGAAUUUGCUAAGGAUUGUCGAAAUGUUAGAUUGGGGUUGGCAUCUGAUGGGUUUAAUCCAUUCAACAACAUGAGUUCUACACACAGUACUUGGCCUGUGGUUUUAAUACCAUAUAACUUACCUCCGUGGAUGUGUAUGAAGCAACCGUACUUCAUGUUGUCCUUGUUAAUACCCGGACCAUCCUCUCCUGGGAAUAAUAUUGAUGUUUAUCUACAGCCUCUAGUUAAAGAAUUGACCGAAUUGUGGGAUUUUGGCAUUCAAACUUAUGAUGCAUCCCAAAAAGAAAAUUUUCAAUUGCAUGCAGCUCUGUUGUGGACCAUUAGUGAUUUUCCUGGAUAUGCAAUGUUAUCUGGGUGGAGCACUAAAGGUGAAUAUGCUUGUCCUGUUUGUCACAAGUUCACUCAUGCUCGACGGUUGACUCAUAGUUUCAAGCAUUGCUAUAUGGGUCAUCGUAGAUUCUUAGAUAGUAAGCAUAAAUUUAGAAAUCAAGCCCAAUUGUUUGAUGGCACCGAAGAAUAUGGAAAGCGACCACCUUUACAAACUGGGGAUAUGAUUGUGAGUGAAUUGGGAGACUUGCAAAUUAAAUUUGGAAAACUUGUGAAAGGUAAUCCGAAAUUGCCUUUUAAUUGGAAAAUGAGGAGUAUUUUCUUUGACUUGCCAUAUUGGAAAGAUAAUGUCUUAAGACAUAAUCUUGACUUCAUGCACAUUGAGAAGAAUGUUUGUGAAAAUAUUUGGGGGACAUUGCUGGAUAUUGAGGAUAAAGCAAAGGACCAUUAUAAUUCCCGCCGUGAUUUGAGAGAAAUGGGAAUAAGAAAAGAGCUGCAUCCCAUUGAGACAGAACCUGGAAAGGUUUACUUACCUCCAUCUUUCUUUGCAAUGGAUAAAAAACAGAAAACUAUGUUUUGCAAUGUGCUAAAAAAAGUGAAAGUUCCAGAUGGUUAUGCAGCUAACGUCUCAAGAUGCGUUCGAGUAAAGCCACCAAGAAUUUCGGGGCUUAAAAGUCAUGAUAAUCAUAUCCUAAUGCAGCAAUUGAUGCCUAUAGCUUUGAGAAAGACUUUGCCAAAAUCAGUGCGCUAUCCUUUGAUUCGAUUGAGUAGAUACUUCAGGCAGCUUUGUUCUAAAGUUAUUUGUCCUCAAGAUGUGGUUCGUUUGGAAAGUGAAAUUGCCGUUAUACUUUGCGAUCUUGAGAAAUGCUUUCCACCAACAUUCUUCGAUGUCAUGGUGCAUUUAACUAUUCAUUUGGCAACUGAAGUGAAAUUAGGUGGCCCGGUAUAUUAUCGUUGGAUGUAUCCUGUAGAGAGGUACUGCUUGUAAUUCUAAUUAUGCCUUAAAUGUUUAUUACUUUUUUUCUUUCUUUGAUUUGUGGAACUAAACAGAGAGUUUGGAAUGAUGAUACUUUAGGUACCUAGGAACAUUAAAAUCUUAUGUUCGAAAUAAAAGUAGGCCUGAAGGUUCGAUUGCUCAAGGCAACUUGGCAGAAGAAUGCAUAAACUUUUGCUUGUUGUAUCUUGCGGACUAUGUUGAGACAAAAUUCAAUCGUCCAAGCAGAAAUGAAGAAGUACAUAAGGAAAUUGAAGAGGGUUUAGAUAUAUUCUCUGAAUCAGGACAUCCUCUGGGGAGGGGCAAGCCAGCAGUCUUUGAUGCUCAUAUCUUGAGUAAAGCAUAUCAGUAUAUUUUAUUUAACUGUGAUGCUGUCACACCUUACAUAGAGUAAGUUCAACUACAACUUGAUGCAUUAAAAUUUUAUUGUAGAAUUCAAUGUAUGAUUACAAUUUUGACUCAUGUACUUCUAGGCAGCAUCGUAGAUUGAUAGAAGAAGGGCAUCCUCAAGUUCCACAGCAUCUAAAAGAGCGCUUGCAUAGCGAAAAUUUUGCUUGUUGGUUUGCUGAACAUGUAAGUAAAAUUCUGAAUAUUAAGUACAAUUUGAAUUGUAGGACUUCAAAGUAAGUUUCAUCAUUUUUUUUUUUACAAAUUGACAAGUUAGAACUUCCUGAAAAUGUUUCGGUGUUGAGAGACUUGAGGUUCCUUGCUAAAGGUCCAGAUGUUGUUGGAAUCCAACAUAACAAGUACGUUGUUAAUGGAUUUCAGUUUCACACCAACGAAGUUGAGAAGAAAAGAAAAAUGCAGAAUAGUGGUGUUACAGUAAAUGCAACAACAUCCAGUUUUGCAAGUAUAAGGGAUCAAAAUCCAGUUUUGAGUGAACUAGUUUACUUCGGCGUCUUGAAAAAUGUUGUUGAAUUAAUUUACAGAGGUCGUCGGGUGGUGUUAUUCGAAUGUGAUUGGAUAUCAAAUGGUUCGAGAAUGAAACAAGAUGCUGAUGGGUUUACUGUAGUCAAUUUUGCAAAUGUGAGGCCUCAUGUUGAGCCAUUUAUACUCGCUUCACAAGCAUCACAGGUUUUUUAUGUGGAAGAUCCAACUGAUAAGGAUUGGCAAGUUGUUAUCUCUACCACUGCAAGAGGUGGAUAUAACAUGGGCACAACCAUGGAUGUUGAGACAUAUUUGCAAAGUGAUGUUGGAAAUCCUGUUGUUGAGAAUGAAAAUGAGGAAAUUAGUUGGGUUCGUGAGGAUGGACUUGGGAUUGAAGUUGAUUUGUCCCAAUAUAAUCUGAUUUAGUAUCUUUUAUAGUUGCUAAGCUUGUUGGCCCUAUUAAUUGUUAUAUGUUUCAAUUGCUAAGGCUCUACUACUGGCUGCAAUUACUUGUCUACAUUUCGUUGGUCUGAAAUUACUUGAAGCUUGUGAGUUUUGGUUCGUUUGAUUAUUGUAUACAGCAACUAAAUUUGAAGGGACAAAUAUGGUUUCAAAUUUGCGGAAUUGCAGAUCAUGGUGUUUAUUCAAGCACUUGCCCGUACACCAUACAUGGUCUCAAUUGAAAUGUUCUGUGCAAUCUCUAAAUGCCUUUGUGUUAUGGGAAAUUGCUAUCCAUCAAAUUCACUUUCAAGUUUGAUUAUGAUUCGUUAAAUGUUUUAACAAAAUUGUUAUUAUUAUUUUUGAUAAUUACAAUAAUCAUUUCUUUGUUUUGUUUUUUAAACUUUUGAGUGUAAGAUAUAAUGCAAUUUUUGCAAAUCAAUUCAGACCAAACAUAAAACAACCCAUUACUAAUUUUAAGAGCCCAAUAGGCUGGAUAAAUACUGGUCAUUAUUUUAUAAGCAAUUCCAUUAAUUGUAAGCUGUAAUAUUAAUGUAGUGAAUCAUUGUAUUAUGGCCAAUUUUUGAUUUCCAAUCACCCCUCUUUAAUUUUUGGUCAAUAGAAAUAAUUUGAAACUUUAAUCGAUAAAUUUCUUAAAUAAUUUUUUAAUACAAUGGAAAAAUUAUUUUUUAAAAAAAUAACAAUUCAAAAAGUGAAAUUCUCUAAAUUUCUGGUCGAACUGAUGUUUGAUCGAAUUUAAUCGGUUUAGUCGAAAUUUUGGAUUAACCAUUAAAGUGACUGGAGACACGAUCGAACCGGUCAAGCACGAUCAAAUCGAUCAAACCGAUCAUACUGAUCAAACGUUGUUAUUGCAUAUUCUGUAUAUAUACUCCAUAACUAAUCUUUGAUUGAAGGUUGUUCGGUUUAAUUGAAUUUUUGGAUUAACCAGUGAACAAGACUGGAGACACAAUCGAACCGGUCGAAUCGACCGAACCGAUCAUUCCGAACUUGGAUUGUUAUUGCAUAUAUGUCCACUCCAUAACUGAUCUUUGGGAAAGUUUAAUCGGUUUUGUCGAAAUUUUGGAUUGACCAUCAAACUUUCCACUAAUCUAACGUUUAUUAGUGGAAAGUUCAAAUUUAAGAUUUUGUAAGUGUUUAAUAGCUUCUAAUUAACACAAAGUUGAACGGCAAUUGCUUUGGAAUUGAAAACAUUGAAUAUUCUAAGUGUUUAAUUGCUUCUAAUUAACGCAAAGUUACACGGCAAUUGCUUUGGAAUUGAAAACAUUGAAUAUUCUAAGUGUUUAAUAUAAAAUUUAUUAUAUAAUAUAUAAUAUUAUAUUAUAUUAUAUAAAUUAUAUAUAAUAUUAUAUAGUAUAAAUUUUAUAUUACAUGUAUAAAAAAUAUAUUUAUAUAUUAAAAACGAAUUUGAAAUCAAAAUCGGAAUUCGAAUUCCGAAUUCGAAUUGUGAAUUCGAAAUCGGAAAUUCUGAUUUGAAAAACUCCAUUACCGAAUUCGAACCAAAUUCGAAAUAUAUGAAUUCGGAAAACCCAAAUUCGAUUUCGAUUUCCGAUUUACUGAUUUCGAAAAUUUCGAAUUUGGUCGGUAAAUCGGAAUUUUUCGAUUUUGCACACCUCUAAUUUAAUUGCUUCUAAUUAACACAAAGUUGAACGGCAAUUGCUUUGGAAUUGAAAGCAUUGAAUAUUCUAAGUGUUUAAUUGCUUCUAAUUAACGCAAAGUUACACGGCAAUUGCAGUGAAAUGUUCAAUUUUAAGAUCUUCUAAGUGUUUAAUAGCUUAUAAUAAACACAAAGUUGAAUGGCAAUUGCUUUGGAAUUGAAAAUAUUGAAUAUAUAUAUGUUCAAUCAAUUCUAAUCCUAACGUUUAUCAGUGGAAAGUUCAUGUAUUCACAAGUUCAUUUUUAUGUUCCUUAAACUAAUUCGAUCCUUCUAACGGCUUGUUAGACUACAAGCCGUACAUAAUUGCUAGUAGCAUAAAAUAAAUUGGGUACCGAAAACAUUUUGAUUAAAUUCAUAUUUUUUGUUAGCUUCACAAAAUUUUUAAGUUAAGAUAUUUUUAGUUGUUAUACUAUAUUGUGUACGUAUAGCUUUAACAAAAUUUUUACUUAUUAUAUAGCUUUAACAAAAUUUUUAGUUGUUAUUUUUGUAGUUGUUAUAUUAUAUUGUAUAUAGCUGUAACAACAUUUUUAGUUGUUAUGUAGCUUUAACAAAAUUUUGCCCAAACACACAAAAAUUAGCGCGGCAAAUUGAAAAAUUCAAGUGGCUUGACUAAUUUACUUUGGCGUCAUUAGUACCGCCUUUAUUUCAGACAUCUUCUCCCUCUCUCGUUGUCCUAUCCCUUUGCCCUCUCUCUCUGUUUCAAGCUUGCACCACCAAUUUGGAUAAACCCGUCCAUGAACUCGAACCCAUUUGGGUAACUUUGUUGAGCUCGCACCAUGAAAAUCCCUAAUUCGGCUGUUGCAUUGGCUUGGUGGCAAGGAAUGAGAAAUUAGGGCUUCAAAGCUUGGGUGAAAGCUGGAGUUCAGAUCUUUAAGCUUGGGGAAACCGAGAAGUUAGGGAUUCAAGCCAUAGUUUGAGGUAAUUUCAGUAUUUUGUGUCUAAUUUUGCAUUGCAUGGUAGACAUUUGUCUAAUUUAGGUUGUUCGAUUCCCAUUUCUGACAAGUUCCUUCUCCAUUUCUGAGAAGCACAUUUCUAGUUGCAUAGGUCGAAAGCCUGGUAGAGAUGCUAUAUGUUCUUCUUUCUUGUCAAAUUAGGACAAUGUGGCUUGUGAGAGCUGUCGAAUGCGACAUAGUGUUGUGUAUUGUCAGUUGCUUUCUGUUACAUCUUUAAGGAGUAAAUUUCCAAAGUUUUUUUCCUCAUGAAUCUUGGACUUCUAAAUUGUUGGUGCUGAUUGUUUAUGAGGAAAUUUGUAGUCACAAAUGAAAAUGAUAGCUUUGGAUUCUAGUAUGAUUGUUGAAAAUUGUAAGUGUCUUUGCUAGUACUUGGUAGAUAUUGGGUUCUAAAAUGCCUAUUCUGUUAGUUUUGUUUUUCACCAGCAAAUGGUUGUGUACUGGACUGCUUGAUUUGAGCAAGUAGGGGGUUUCCCCAUGAAUGAUGGACUUCUUUUGGUUCUGCUCUGUUUUUACUUUCCAUGGGAGCUUUUCAGUAACCUCUCAAAUGGAGCUGCAUGACCUGAGCAGAUCUUGUGACGUGAGAACAUUUUGUUGAUAGAGAUGAUAGUACUAGGAUUUUGAGAAUUGAUUUGUGGGUUUCGUCAAAUUUACCCAACUGUAAUCAUCAAGUUCUUAAAGCUGUUUUCAAGUUCUGAUUUAUAAGCAAAAAGGUUUUUCAAAUAUAAUUAGAAGCAAACUGCUCGAGUUUGAUAUACAAUAGAUUCAAUAAUAUUCGUUGCAACUCAAAAUUAGUUCAAUAAAAGUAUGCUUGAGCUCGGCCUGCAGUGUAAGCUGUAGUCAAGAUAACUUGUUCAUUAAUUUUAGCUUGUAUACUUUAUCCAUUAUCCCAGAUUGAUGCACUGCUAUAGGUAGAGUGUCUGCUUCAAUAAAGGCUACACAUUUACAGUUGUCCCUUUCUUCCCCCAAAAAAUAUAUAUACGGUGGUGGACCUGGUAUCAAAUAAAUGGUGAAUUAUGCAGGUAUGGCCCGUAGAGGUCGAAAAUGUAAGCGCGCUGCAAAUGGAUUGAGAGAUGAACCAAUUGAGCAACCUCCCUCAUGUCAUGAAACAAGGCAGCAGCCUCCACUUGGAACAAGCCAUGAAAACGUAAUUGAACAAGUUCAAGGAGAAGCUGCUCGGGCACCUCAAUCUCCAAUUCAGAAUUCUACAUUGGGAAUAAUGCAUGAAUCAGGUGACCAAGUUACUCAACAAGCUGAUGGAGGUUCACAGUCGCAUGGGCAGUGCCAGAACUCUCCAAUUCAACAAUCUCCACUUGGAACAAGGCACGUACCAACUGAAGAAAAUCCAAAUCAGGAUUCUCAAGGUCAACAUUCCAAUGACACCACCUUCGUGUCAUGCAACUUGGACGAUGCAGGUAUUACUAACUGUUUGAACCAAUUCCAGAAGUGCAUUUUUUAUGUUCAUAACUUGCACAUUUUUCUUAUUUUAUACAGGAAAAGAAACUACAAAUGAUUCAAGUGAAGUACAUCAGAAAACCCGAGGCCCUACAUUUAUGAAAGAAAUUUGGGGUCGGCCUAAGGACCUUCCACGGAUUGAAAUUAAACUCGAUGACAAUGGGAUCCCAAUAAGUGAGAAAACCUCUUUCUUUGAAUUCUUGGGUAGUUUGGCUAGGAAUGGUAUGUAUUGUCCAAUAGAUGUUGAACGUUGGCUUAAGAUGCCAAGGAAACUUAAAAUGGACAUGUUAGAAGUGAUAAAGGUAAUGGUAGCUUUUGUAUUAUGUAUGCUUUCUACAAAAAUUACUGUGAAAUUAUGUUGAUUUUCUAGUUCCUAACUACGUUUCAGGAAAGGUUUGCUUUGCCCAUGGGACUAGAAGCUUGGACCUUAAGAUCUAUUGGCAAAAAAGGGAGAAGCUAGAAGGUAGAUUUAAAGGCUACAUAUUUUGAUCUUGCCGUGUUAAAUGCUGAAGCUCGGUUUCAAAAGGACAUAAGGGUACGGGAAGAGCAAUGGAUAAAACUUUGGGCUUAUUGGAAAAGCGAAGAAGCAAAGGUACAAAUCAGCUACAACAUUUUUCAUAAAAUUGUGUUUAUUCAAUGCUAUAAUCUUGCUUUUGAUUUUGAAAUUUAGAAACUAAGUGAGAGGAACAAGAAAGCUAGAGGGGAGAAGAAGAUGAACCACACAACUUGAAAAAAGUCAUUUGCUCAUCUUCGAAACCACUUGGUGAUAUCUCAUCCUUUUUUUAGUUGCUAUUUUUUUUACUCGUACAUGUUUCAUUAUGUUAGCUUGUUUUUUAAUUAUAUGCUAAAUGCUAAAACUAUAAUUAAAAAAAAUUCAAUUUCUUAUAGACCAAACAGUUGGGAAGACCUCCUACUAGAGUAGAAAUGUUCAAUAAGUUUUAUACCCAUGCCGAUGGAACUCCAUCAAGUACCAUAGUUGCUGAGAAUUUGGUAAGGAUCUGAGAACACAAGCCUAUAAAUUCUACCAUUGUUUUCAGACAGGCUUUUGCAAUAACAAGUGUUUUCCUUUAUUAUGUAGGAAAAAAUGAAUGAGCUGAAAAAUCAGCUUCCAUCGGAGUCACAAGAUCCAGUUGGUUGCAAUGAUAUAUUUGCCCAGGUGGUUGGGCAAGACAAACAUGGUCAUGUUCGCUUGUUUAGUGACGGUGUGAAUCCAACGGACUUAUGGGAAGACAUUCCUAGUCGUAACACAUGUUACCGUAUAAGUGUUCAACAACAGUCAACAUUGGUCCGUUUGGAGGAAAGGCUUCAGCGACAAGAUGAUGAAAUAGCCAGCUUGAAGAAAAUGGUUUUAGUUCAACAUGGAAGGGGCUCUCCAAUUGACAGCCCGAGACAUCCUUCAUCAUCAGCUAACAAUGUGUCAAGCCAAACUCCAUCGCAAGCCACGUGACCUAUUCGAGUAAGUAUUUACAACUUUUAAACUUUCACAUUUGUAAUCUGGAAUUUGGCAUGAAUUUGAUUCUUGUACUUGUUGGAUCUUUACUAGGUAGGGAAUAUGGUUUCACUAAAAAGUUUGUUUGACCCAACAAAAAUCUUGGCAAAGGGAUAUUUACGGAGUCUGAAUCCAUUGGAUGAGGUCGGGGGACAAGCUCUUGGGCCAAAAUGGUGUGAAAUACAAAUACAAGUUGCAAUGAGUCCACGUGAGCAAUUGAUUAGACCGUAUGAUUUGCAGCAAACAAUUCAAGAUGCACUUGGUGCACCAGUUGCUUGACCUUGUCAUUUGGUGAGAUAUGCACUUAAAUACAUUGCAGAUUUUCUGAAAUUUUAGUUCUAGCUAUGAUGAUCUAAUGAUCCCCUUGGUCCUUGUGCACAGGUGGAAACAGCUGAAGAAUGAUGAGGACUUCAUGGUUAUGACUGAGGACUCUCAACAAAAUGGAAAGUUUGGAAGCUACUUUUACUUCUUUCAACUUGUUAGGGAUGAGAGUCUUUUAGUUUGUGCACAAGAAAGUCUUUCAAGUUAUUGUAAAUGACAAUCUUUUGGUACUGGUUUGGAAUUUUAGUACUUGCUUUUAAUUAGCACUUGUUUGCGAUUUUAGUACUUGUUAUCGACUUUUAAUUUAAUGAAAUAUAUUUGAGUAUUGAUCGACUUCUUCUUUUAAAUUGCUAUAUGCAUUCUGCUCUUUGGGAUAAUUUUACAAGUCCCUUGGGAUUCUGGUUGAUGGAAUGUACAGCAGGGAGGACUAAUUGCAGGUUGCUUCCAUAUAAAAAAACACAGGGAAAAAACUCCUCGCAAUUAAAAGUGUCAGCAUAGCUUAGCUCAAAAAACACUAAUGACAAAUGGCCAUGUCGUCCAAAGCAGUGUAAAUUCACAUGGCUGCGUGUCCUUAAAGCCAAAUAUUAAGACAACUGAAGAUGCUUUCAUAAGUUGGAUAUCCUACUGAUGUUCUAAAGCUAUACGGACACUUUCGAUUAUCACAAAAAUUGUUUUUGUUGGCAGAAGGAAUGCUAUAGCAGCAUCGUUUUCCUGACACAUUUGAAUGCUGCUAAAGAUUCGAGGCUAUCCCCACAUUGGAAGGGACAACACUCGCCCUAAGUGUGAGGAUAGAUAAAGUGUCAGGUUAGAUUAUUUAGACUGACACCUUUAAAUGCCGCUAAAUGUCAUUUUUGUUGUAGUGUAGAUACUUAAGCUAUGCAUGUGAAAAUGUUUUCAAAUCGAGCUUUGUAUGUUGCAUCUGGUAUGUGGUUUUGGUGAUAUAUAUGUAUACACGCAUGUAUUUAUAGUUACAUGCAUAUAUGCAUAUACGUAUACUCACAUACAUAUGGAGUUAAGUGUUACUCACUGAAUGUGCGUCUCUCAACUCAUAUUUAAUAAGUUUUUAUUGUAGAUAAAGAAAUCAAGAAAGAUAAGAGUAAGGCAAAUAAAUCUACAAUCGAGUACUAGAUUUAUCGAAUAUAAUGUUAAUAGGAUAUUGAGGUUUAAGUGCUUAUAUUGCUCAUGUUUGGUUAUUUGGAUCGAGGUUGACAAUUCUAACCUUCAGUUCUAAAAAUCAUUUCUUCUACCAUGAAAUUUACUGAGGAAACAAAAGCCUUUCUAAAAAAAAGUUAUUUAGGAGUUUUUAUUUAUUAAAUGAGAUAAUUUCAAAAACCUCCCAUAAGGUUUCUAAUUAUUUCACUGGACUCUCUCCAGAUUUCAAAAAUUACACUAACCUCCCUUGAGGUUAAUUAUCUUGCAACAUUUAAACCUAAUCAAUAAUUAAAAAUUGAUAUUAGGAGAAAAAAGAUAAUAUGAUUCCAUCAUAGCCCCUCUUCUACUACAUUAUUUAAUUAAUUCAAUACCAACCCACAUAUUAAAGAAAAACACUAAAAUUUGUUGUUUAUUAUUAGAGAUUAAAUCACAUAUAGAACCAAAAAAUAGUAUAUUAUUUUAUAUUUUUCACUUAAUAUAAGAUCCAAAUUAGUGUUUUCAAUUACAAACCCAUUGUAAAGCAUGAUCAAUAACAAAUAAUCAAAAAAAUUGUAACCAAAAUAUUAGAAAGAACAAACUUUAACAUCAUAAAUAUUCUUGUCAACAUAUUAAGGCUAGUUACUAAGAUUUUUAUGAUAUUAAAGUUCACUCUUUAUAAUAUUUUGAUUACAGAUUUUUUAAUUAUUUGUUGUCGAUUUUGUUUGACAUGAGUUUGUAAUUGAAAAGAGCAAUUUAGAUCUUACAUUAACUGAAAUAUAUAGAAUGAUAUAUUAUUUUUGAUACCAUAUAUGAUUUAAAAAUUUUUGAUGAUAAACAACAAAUUGUAGUGUUUUCUUUAAUGUUUGGAUUGAUAUUAGAUUAAUUAAACAAUUUAGUAGAUGAAGCGCAAUGAUGGAAUCAUAUUAUCUCUCCCUCCUAAUUUCACUUUUUAAUUGUUGAUUGGAUCUAAAUGUUAUAAGAUAAUAAAUCUCAAGGGAAAAUAAUGUAAUUUUCAAAACCUAAAGGGAGGGCAAUGAAAUAGUCAGAAAUCUUAGGGGAGGUUUUUGAAAUUAUCCCUUAUUAAAUAGUAGUUUUUUUUUUAUCACGAUUAAGGAAAUCGCAAGAUUCACUAUUUUAAUGAUUUUUAUAAGUUAUGAUUAAAAUACCUUGUAUUCUAGGAAAUUAGGUUUCACAAAUAUGUUGCGUUACGGUUUCAAUCUAGUUUAUGAACAGAGCGGAACAAUUGGGAACUUGUAUCUUUGGGGCAAUUUUAUUUCCCCAGAAAUAAUAAUUCUUAGUAAUUUUCCUCUUUUACGAGCCAUCUAAAUCACCUAGAGAAUAAAUGAUUUUGAAUAAUGAGCAACUAAAUCUUGAAUGCUUUAUUUAUGUUUAUAAUUUAUAUUGUCUAACCUACUUAUUUACUCAACUUUGUGGUGCCGUACAGGCAAAUCAACAAAUGUCCGACUGAGUCAUGUGUUAGUUAUUUCUAGCUGAUCAAGCAUUCUCUAGUAAUUAGGUACACUAGUCAACGUUAUUUCAAUGACCAGUAGAAAACAAAAGACUAUUUCUUUUACGUUAUACCAAAUAAAAAGUUUAUUGUUCUUACAGUUGUUAGUUUGUGUAUGUCCAUUGACGUUUUAUUUGAUCCUUAGCAGAGGUUCUCUUGCAUUUAUUGCUUUAAAGCAAUAUUUGUCAACUUGGUUUCCAAUAUUUAAUGAUAGUUGGACGUAUCUAAUUCCAUUUAUCCAAAAAUACUCACGCAAAGUUAUGUAUAUCGAUAUAGAGCUGUCAAGAUCAACCAUUUAUAUAAGAGAACAAUGCAUAAUUGCAUUAGAAAUUUAGAAAAAAAAUAUUGAAUGCAUCAUUGCAAUCAGCAAUUUAUCACUAAAAAGCCGAGUAUGUUGUAUGUUUUCUCAAUGUCUUGAAUACAAUUAAAGUUAAGCUAAUGGUCUUUCUUCAUCCGUAAUAGAAUUGACUCUUUUUCUUUGGUUCCUGAAAUUACACUAAACUCCCAAAAAUCUUGUCUAAUUAAUUAGAUUAAUGGGUACUAAUGUCGUUAGAUUCUUGUUAUUUUUUUCCUGUUCUUUUUUCUUUUGACUUAGAAACGGAGAAGUGGGAAGAAUGAGAUCAUUGGGGAUGAUAGCAACUGAGUUAAAUUCUCUUUGCAACUUAAAGGAAAAUGAGAAAAAGCAUUUAGCUUAACUAAAAAUGAAAUAGACAUUAGCAACAAAGUAAGUCAUUAGUUAUACCAAUUUGUAAGAAAGAUCAGUACUGCCGUUGAAAGAGAUGGAGAUCUGAACUUGUACCAUUGUAUGAAAGUAUCUGGGCCAAACUUUUGCAGGAAGUAAUAAGUUUCAUUUAUUUAAAAGGAUUGUUCUUGUGUACGCUACUAAUUAUUUAAACAUUUUUUUUUGCAUUAAUUAGCUUAUAUUUAUGCUAAGGUGACCUUGAUUUGGUGGUUAACUUUAAGAUCUCUGAACUUAGAGAUCUUGAGGCUAUGGGUUCUAAUUCCCCAUUUCUUCUCCCUACUUCUUAAAUUUCACUCCUCAACUACUAAAAGGAAAAAAAAAAAGAUAAUUUUAGAAACCUCCCUUGAGGUUUUUGACAAUUGUACUCAGCUCCCCUCAGGUUUAAGAUAUUAUACUUACCUCCCUUGACAUAGUAAAAUACCUCUAAUGUCCUCCACUUAGUAGACAAUUUUAAAUUUAAGACAAUAAAUUUAUAAAACCUAAAAAAAUCUAUUUUUCUGUCUCUUGUCUAUUUUAUAGUUAAUAUAACUUCUUUUUAUUAUCUUCAAUUUUGUGGAUAGUAACAAAUUGAAAUUACAAAAUCUACAAAGGGAGUAGAUUAUGUGUCAAACUAAAAGAAAAUGAAGAGACUCGCAGUGAUAGAGAAAUAAAUAAUAAAAUUAAUGAUUGAAAUAGGAAGAAGAACUAAAGAUGUGGAAUUUGUCAUAUUUUGUUUAUUUUUAAGAAAAAAUUUUAUAAAAUGUCAAUAAUUACAUAAUGAUUUCUUUCAUUGGAUUAGAAAUUUUUUAUUAUGAUUUUAUUGUGGAGGUAGAAUUUAUUCUCAACUUUUGAGAUAUUAAUAUCUUUAAAACCAUAGAAAAAUUGUAAUGGUGGUUCUAGGUCAAAUUAGCUUAUAUUGAAAAGGUAUUUGAGCAUUGAUAUUUACUUUGAACGUAUAAAUUAGUUGUUAAUGGGAUUUUGCGUGUGUGUGUGUGUGUUUUUUUUUGUUAUCGUGACAAGUAUUGAUAUUAUAUAUGUAAUUUGGAAUCUUUUGGGUGGUUACUUGAUUUUAGAACUUAUACUUGAAUGGUUAUUAGAGAUUUGACUUGUUAAUUUAUGCAAAGUGUGGAAGAAAAAGAUUGAGUAUACUAUAUUUUUCUUUCUUAGUUUUGUACAAAUGGGCAAUUUAGGAUUUUUGAAAAAAAUAUAUAAGUUCUUGGACCUACAUUGUUAUUAAAUAGUAAAAGUAGGGGAGGUAUAUGUAAUUUUUAAAAUCUGAGGGGAGAUCUUUGUAAUUGUGAGAAGCCUCAGGGGAGAUUUGUGAAAUUAUCCCAAAAAAAUAGCAUAUAUGCAUGAUGUAUAACCUACGCAUGAACACAAUUGUAGUUAGGUCCAUGGAUAGGUUUAUUUUCUCACGUUAAUUUGAGAUAAAGAAUAGAGUGCAUAAUGCACAAAUUUGGCCCAUGGAAUACGUACUAACUUAAACUUUUAGGUUAAGAUUUAGUCCCAACGUCUAUAUUAACAACUUGGUAGGGGACUCUGGAUCUCUCUAUCUGAGAGAUUUCUCUUUCUAACCUGAGAGCUUUCUCUCCUCUGAGUGGGAGAUUGGAAUUUCAAAGUGAAAAGCCCGCCGAAAUUGCAUCUGCUUUCUUCUCGAGAAACAAAAAUUGCUGAAUACUACACAACACCAUUUCUGAACACUGAAUCAAACACCAGAUCUAUAACAACAUUUCCUUAGUAGAAAUAGGGAAGCUGGGAGGUCGUGAAGGAGCAAAGGUAUAUUAAAGGCGAGAUAUUUAUGACCACUCAAAGCAAGGCUUAGAGACCAGAAGGCAUUUAAAGCCGGUCUGUUGGACUACAAAAGCAGCAUUUUUUCAUAACCUUACAGCAGUCGUAGGUGAGAGGUCUAAAAUGCCAGGUUUCACUGCCAUUAUCUGCUCUUUUAAGUCUUUUAUGUCUUCUGCAUCUGCAUCUGCAAAAGUAGGUGGUUUUCUUUUUGUUUUUUAUUUUUCGCCUACCUAGUAGUGCACUUACCUAGUGAAGAUAGUAGUCGGUUUUUCUCCUCCCACUGUUUUCGUCAGGCUCUAGCAUUUGCUCUUUUAUAUAAAUAGAGGUAUCCCACUAAGAUCUACUGGGCACCAUGGCUGAUGAACUGGAGGAAGUUUUAAAGAAGUUUGUUUUAUCUAAUCUAGAGCAGAAUGGAACAUGGCUGGGCAUGGAUGACAUAAAUCCGGGGAUAACUGAGUGUGAAAAUAGCAUCAUUGGGAAGAUUAGAGGAGAAAAAGUUGCAAAUUUCACAGGAGUCAAGAACUUCGUGACUGCAGCUUGGGGUUACCCAAAAAAUCUGGAAGUAGCGGAGCUAGGUCCUAACUUAUUUCAAUUCUUCAUACCAGAAGAGGAGAACAGACUGAGGAUACUAAACGGUGGACCAUGGUUGAUAGACAGUUAGAUUCUAGUGCUAAAUAGAUGGGAGGCUGGAAUUGAGGAAAAUACUGAGGCAUUUAGAUUCGCCCCUCUAUGGGUGCAAGUAUGGAAUUUGCCAAUCCACUGGAUCUCGAAAGAGGCUGGGAAAAAGAUAGGGAAAGUGUUUAAAGAGGUGAAGGAAGUUCUAAUUUCCCACACAGGAGGGAAGGAAGGGAAGCACUUGAAGAUGCUAGUGUGGGCAGACUUGACCCAACCUUUACUACGUGGAACAACAGUCAAGAUGAAUGGGGUGCUAAAAUGGAUUAACUUUAGGUAUGAAAGAGUACUUGAUUUCUGCUACAAGUGUGGAAUUGUUGGUCACAGUGAGAAGAAAUGUAAGAACGAAGUGAGCAUUAAGAAGGGGCAACAGGAGAACCAAUAUGGUCCCUGGCUACGUGCACAAAAUGGGAGAGGAUCACCACAAAAGGAGAGUAAUCCCAGUUCAUAUAAUCCGGAUAGGCAGGUUUGGGGGUUUCAAAAUGGGGAAUGGAUCAAGAGGAGCAAUGGUAAAAAAGAAGAACAGGGGACUAAUUCUACCAGAACUGAGAGUGCUAAAAGCAUGGCUUUGACCAAGAAUGCAUUCACAGUAGAGGAUCAUAAUGAAAGGCAUGUAGACAAGGGUCAGGAACUAGAUGAGGGAGAUGAGGAGCUCCUGGAUGCUCAGGUGACAGAUAUGCACAAAAAAGGAACCGAAAGGAGAAAUAAUGUGAGUAAUCUGGAAUCUGCCUCAUCAGAGGGUGAGUUGGGGAGUAUGGUUCAAGCAGUAGGGUCUCUGGAAGCAUUAGGAGAACCUAAUAUUAGGAAACUGGAUAGGAGAAUGGAGGAAGGGAAGAUAAAACUAUGGACAUGCUGGUGGAUGAGGAAGAACAAUGCUAGAAUAAGGAAAAUAGAGUAAGCAGGGUGAGGAAAGUAAGACUUUGGAAUAAAAUGAGUGACAGAGGUAGGCAACCUCUAAGUGAUAUUCAGAAUAGGGAAUUCAAAAAAGAAGGUAAUACUAAAAGAAAGCUGCAAAUAGUUGAUAAGGAAAUGCUGGAUAUGGAGCAUAAUAAGCAGACUGGAAAACGAUACAAAUGGUCCGAUGAGAUGGAACACUUUGAUCAGACACUGAGGGGGGAAGAGACCAGCCCAUCUUGGUCUCUCAACCUUCAAUGAGAGCUCUGGUGUGGAACUUUCAAGGUGCAGCGAGCCCCUUGACAGUUCCCCAUCUGAAGGAGGAAAAUAGACUCCUCUCCCCUAGUAUCAUUUUCCUAUGUGAAACAAAAAAACAAAAAGAGUUAUAUGGAAAAAGUAAAAAAAAAAUUGAACUUUGACAAUAGUUUUGUAAUAGAGGCUAUGAAUAGGAGUGGUGGGAUGGCUCUCCUGUGGAAGAAUGAAGUCAAUAUUUUGGAAGUACAAGGUACAGCCUUUACAAUUGAGGUGAAAGUGGAGGAUGAAGAGAAAAAAGAAUGUUGGUGGUUGAUUGGAAUCUAUACAAGCGGUGAUAGUCAAGUGAGACGAGGUCAGUGGGAAGUGCUGAGUAGGAGGAAAGUUGGUUGGGGGGAUAAAUGGAUUAUAAUAGGUGACUUCAAUGAUAUCACCUCAAAUGAUGAAAAAUGGGGUGGAAGGAGGAGGGAUAAUAGAAGUUUUCAGGACUUUCGAAAGUUCAUAAAUGAGAACCAGCUGUUGGAUGUUGGGUAUCUAGGAAAGCCGUGGACUUGGAGCAACAACUGGUAUGGGAAUAGAGAAAUCAAAGAGCAACUAGAUAGAGGCCUAUGUACCACAAAAUGGUCUCAAUGCUAUGAGGAUGCAAAGUGUAUACACAUUGAUUCGAUUGCUUCUGACCAUAGCAUGAUGUUACUUGAAACCGAGAAGGAAAGAAAGAGGUGGAAAAAAAGAUUCCAAUUUGAUAAAAGAUGGUUACAACAUGAGGAUGUUGUGGAGGUGGUAAAGAAGGCUUGGGGUGUCCAGUGCGAGGGAACUAAAUGGUUCAAGGUGAAGGAGAAAAUCAAGAAUUAUAGGAUUGAGCUUCUUAAAUGGAGCAACAAUAAGAAAGGGAACUCUCUAGAAAGAAUUAAUUGGUGCAAAGAUCAGAUUGAGGCAAUUAAGGCAUCAGAGACUGAAAACAAAAGGCCAAGGUUGAAAGUGGCUUAUGAUAAUGAAGAGGCCUAUUGGAAUCAGAAAUCCAGAUUGAGAUGGCUAAAAGAGGGGGAUAAAAACACCCAAUUUUUUCAUGCAACAGUCAAAGGAAGGAGAAAAAGGAACAGAAUCCAGAAGUUGAAGAAAUCUUGUGGGGAGUGGACUACUACUGAUGAAGAACUGGGAAAGGAAAUUGCUGACUAUUAUGGAGAGUUGUUUAAGAGUUCAGGGUCGGAGGUGCCUGAUAACAUCUUAGAGGGGAUCCCUGUAUCUAUAACAGAGCAAAUGAAUAGAUAUCUGACCAAAGAAGUUGAGGAAGAGGAAAUCAAGACUGCCUUCUUCUCCAUGGAACCUAAUAAGGCUCCUGGAAGUGAUGGCAUGUCUCCGCUAUUCUUUCAAAAAUUCUGGAGCAUAAUUAAGCAGGACUUGGUAAGUGCAAUUCAAGGAUUCUUUCAUAAUAAUGUUAUUCUUAAGGCCAUUAACCACACAAUCAUCUCCUUGAUUCCAAAAGUAGACUGCCCUACAGAGAUCAAACAGUUCCGGCCUAUCAGCUUAUGCCAAGUGGUCUACAAAGCUCUUGCAAAAAUUUUGGUCAAUAGACUAAAAUCUUUCCUUUCUAAAUGCAUUAGCAAAAAUCAAUCUGCAUUUGUUCCAGGUAGGCAAAUCAUAGAUAAUGUCAUUCUUUCCCAUGAAUUGCUGCAUUUCUUGAAAAACAAAAGACAAGGGAGAGUUGGGAUGAUGGCAGUGAAACUAGACAUGUCAAAGGCCUACGAUAGGGUGGAGUGGGACUUCUUGAAAGUGAUAAUGAAAAGAAUGGGAUUCUGCUCCAAAUGGAUAAGAUGGAUUAUAGCCUGUAUUAGCUCAGUCACCUACUCUUUCAACAUAAAUGGUGAUCAGAAGGAGUUCAUAACCCCAACCAGAGGAAUAAGGCAAGGUGACCCUCUCUCUCCAUACCUGUUUCUAUUGUGCUCAGAAGGGUUGUCUAAUCUGCUACAGAAAGCUAAGAUGGGGAAACAGCUAACAAGUAUAAGAAUCGGUAGAGGGGCACCAGCAAUAACUCAUUUGUUUUUUGCUGAUGACUCUCUAGUUUUCUGCAGAGCUAAUGGACAGGAAGCUGGGAAGUUAAUGACCAUUCUCAAGGUGUAUGAAAAGGCAACUGGUCAGCUUAUCAACAUGGAUAAAUCUUCGGUGUUCUUCAGUAAAAACACAACCCAAGCUGUAAGAGAGGAAGUCUAUCAAUCAAUGGGAUACAUUCAGCAGAUAAGACAGGGUCAAUACCUCGGCCUCCCUAUGAUUAUAACAAGAUCUAAAGGGCAAGUGUUUGGGUACAUACGGAAUGCUAUUGAUAAGAAGCUGCAGAGCUGGAAAAAUAAGCUGCUAAGCCAGGCAGGGAAAGAAGUCAUGCUUAAAGCAGUAGCUAUGGCUAUGCCAACCUACACCAUGUCAUGCUUCAGACUGAUCUCUAAGAUGCGCAGAGACAUUAGUACGAAAAUGGCAGACUAUUGGUGGGGGGAGACAAAAGGAAAGAAAAAGAUGCAUUGGAUUGUGUAGACACCAAAUUUUUGAUCUUUUAAUUUUAUGUGUUUAAUUAAUUUAAUGGGCUUAUUUGUUUCAAUUCUAGGGUUGUUAUUUUUAUUUUAUUUUAUUUUUGUUUUGGUUUAUUUUGUCUUCAUAUUAAAUUUCAGAAAAAUAAAAGAAAAAUGAAAAUAACGAAAAUGAAAUAAAAAAAAAAAGGAAAACAGGCUCAUGCACCCGAGCUACACAGGAUCCGCGCCCAUUUCUUCAUAUAACAUUUCAAGCAGGCACCGCAACUCUUUGUUUUUGUUCACCAUCGGAUGAUCCACAAGGCUGAUGACUUGGCUUCCAUCAGAACCCUUUAGAGGAGGGUUUAGUGUUUUGUUUGUUAUAAAAGGAAGAGAGGGCGGUUCAAGCAGAGGAGAGGGUUUUUGGGGAGUAAGCUAAGAGUGAUAAGGGGAUGGCAAAAAGAAAGAAACAGGGAAAAGUUUUGGCGGCUAGGGUUCUUGGCAAAGAGGCCUCGGAAAAGUGUGAGGAAAAGAACAGACAAAAGGAAAAACCUAGGCUAUAGUGGGCGGCGAGAAAGAAAAACCAAGUGAAGGACCGAAAGCUAGGCUGAGAGAAAAGGCUACGGGUUUGGAUAAGAAAAAACAGAGGGAAAAGGAAAAGCAAGGACCGAGGGUUUCUUAAACGGGAGUAAGAAGAUGAGGCUUUAAGAAAGGAAGAAAACCACUGAAGCCAAGGAAAACAGAGGAGAAAGGUCUUCGGGAAGAAAACAAAGCAAAGGAAAACCGAGAAUCGAAGGAAUCAACAAGGAAUCGCAACUUUUCUCGGGCUCACGAAGUCACCAUCAUCAUCGGCAGAGAUUUGUAAGCUAUUUUUCUGUCUUCCCUAUUAUCCUUGCUUGCACUUGCUUGUGCUGAAAUCUAUCCUUUGAUUGAUGACGGUUUCGCCAUGAUAGGAUUCCAGUUCUCCAGGUGUAUAUAAAGAAAAAUUCGCUGCGUUUGUUUUGUCCACCUACUGUUUCUAUGCUUGCUCGAUAGUGUCUUCUUGCUGUGAGCAGUUUAUCUUGAGUUCAUAAAGUAAAGAACUUGACCUGGGUUUGGGGGACAGAAGCUCAAGAUUUAUGUCAAUUUGGUUGCUGGUUUUCUGUGCGCUUUUUUGUAAAAUAUCUGUUUGGGUUUGAGCUGCAAAUUUGCAGCAGAAAAUUGCAAAAAGGAGGUUGCCGUAUUGUUGACCAGUCAUUUCGUUUUGCUGAAAUUUUCUGGAAUGGUUUGAGUCUCCUUUUGGUUUGCCCGCUGUUUGAUGGUAAUCUCAUUGCUGGCUGCAAUUUAAAGUAGCAAUCUGCAAUUUGGUUUGCCCGCUGUUAUGCUGCCUUCAUUUUCCUUUCUCCUGUUUGUCUAUUUGCUCAAGUAGCCGCUUUCUUGUAUUCCGAUGGGGUCCUGUUGAUCGCUCAAAAGUUUGUUUGAGGUUGAUGUGGCCUGAAUUGGUUGUUUGAGGUCUGUUUUGGUUUGGCAGAAAUUGAGGUUCAUAGGCGGUAGCUUAGAGUAUAACACUGAUUUCGCAUUUUGGGUUUAGUUUUGGGUAAUGGGUAAACGCUGAAACGUUUCUUUGCAAGUGUCAAAAUGUUUCCUUUUUCAUUACCUGUAUUCCCUCCUGUUUCACGUUCUUGUUUUCAGAAGGCAUGUUGGCUAGAGUUGGGAAGCUCAAUUCAUGUCUUGAGAUUUCAUUUAUGUAGUUAACAUGGCAUGUAGUUUCAAUCUUUUUCCCUAGUUAUGCCAUAAAACAUGAACCAGGAGAAUAAACCAAAGUUGUUGGAUUUUUUUUAGCACUUGAAUGUUUUAUUUUCUGGGUUUCAUAUUCCAAAAAGGGGAAAAAUGGUUGGUCUCCUUAUUAGUUUUCUUGUUUGUUCAAGAUUGUGGUAGUUGUGUGUUUCAUUGUUUAACUUGAAGUUAUGUUUUCUGUUGAAAAGCUUUGAUUAAAGGUUGCAUACUUAAGUCUAAAAUUUGUAUUAGGAACAUGCAGCAAGGUUGUUGCAGAAACUUAGGCUUCUACGUAGUUGCAUGAACUUGCAUGAAAGAGCUUCCAAUAAUUGCCUUUUCACCCCUUGAUUUCUAUUAAUGCUACUAUGACCUAAGCAAUUGAAAAAUCCAUCAAAUUGAUCCUUCAAACUUUCUUUUCCCUUUUAAUUGGGUCCUAAUCUUGUGAAUAUGGGCUUUUUAGGCAUUUGAAUGCAUUUAAUGAUUCAAUUUCGUAUUAACGUGAUUAUUUGAGAUGCCUUGACCUUUUCUUUUGUUUUGGAGGGUAAAUAAGUAAUUUUGCUCCAUUACGGCCCCAACUCAAGGGAGGUAUACCCUAUCCCUUAUUUUUCACUUUAUUUGACCCUACGUGCCCUACAUGACUUUACGUGUUUAAUUGCAUGCCUCUGGGAUGUUUAUUUAUUUAUUUCAUUCAUUUAUUUAUUUACUUUAUUGGCUUUAGUUUUGUAUAUUUAUCAUUUGAAAGGCACUUGAAUGCCAAAUUUGUAAUAGUUAGGUAUUUCUUUUUAUUAUUUAUUUUAUUUUAUUUCCCCUUUUAGAGUGUAGUAGGCUCUCCCCCCUAAAAAUGUAAUAGUUAGGGCCUUAAUUGCCUUAUGUGUUUUGCAUGCCUAGGUGCUAUGUGUUUAAUCGUUUUCUUAGGUUUUGACAUCUAAAUAUGCAUGCUUAUGUGUUAUGUGAAUUACGUGCUCACAUGUCUACUUGCUUUAAUUAUGCACAUUGCUUAUAUAUUUGUACAAUGGAUGCCAACGCGCGUCACCGUGGCUAGUCCAACGCUGGUCAUGGUUUUUCCCCUCGAGCUCUCGCAAGUCCAAUGCUUGUGAGAGAAUUUUAGAAAAGGGCUAGUCCAAUGCUAGACCCAAUAGGCCGUCCCCUCUCGUUAGUACAUACUUUGCAUGUCUCACUACAUUUCAUGCAUUUUUCUUAAUUUUCUAGCAUUUGGCAUGUCCCUCCAACCCUUUCCCUUUCAUUUUAGACUUUUUGCAUCUCCAUGCUAGUUAUAGGGUACAUUUGCUUGAAAGUUACCCCUUAAAUAUGGGAUAUAAACGAGUGUGGCUUUUCUAAACCUUAGCACGCUUGUAUUCCCUCUAUCAAAGGGAAAAUUAAAAUCACAAAGUUAGGAAUCAUUCCUAUACCCGACUUGAUGCAUUCCUCUAGGUUCAUACACUCUCAUUUUUAUCAUAUCACUCCCUCAUUUUCUUUACCCACAUUCUCUUACUACUUAUAUUUUUUCUCAAUCCACAUGCCAUGUUUGCACUUUUUUCUUCUUUCCCUAUCACUUAUUUAUUUUCUACCUCACAAAUUACACCCAGUUGCACUUAUAUGCAUUUAUUACUAUUAUACCAUAUUUUCAUCCACUUGCACACAAACACCUUCAUUUUUUUCAAUUGGCACACUUGCACUUUCCUUACAUUUUCACACUUGCACUCAUAUUUAGGUCUUCAUUUGCAUUAUCCGUGACCUCUAUGAGAGUUUUUCUUAUUGGCCAUCACAACUCAUGUGAUUGGGACCAAAAAGUCUCAUAAGAGACAUUUUAGAUUUAGGAUUGUAUUUUUUUCAUAUCCAUUAGUCACAUCCAACAUGCAACACAUAUUUUGGGUAGAAGAAUUAGGAAAAGAAGGACUAAGUCACGCAACUAGCUUUGGUUAGGGUAAGGGAGUGCCUUAGGUUUUGCCUUUGCCUUCUCCCUUAUCAAAUGUGACCCCCGAUCCCUUUCUUUGGUUACGUAGACCUAAAAAAUUCUUUAAAAAGGGUUUGUUUACUUUUAUUUCCAAAAACAAAAAUCACUUUUUGGGUGAUUUGGUACACCCUAACUCUAUACCAAGUGGCGAUUCCUUUUUUUUUUUUUAUCUAAAACCCUUUGUUUGGCCAAACCGUCGCAUUUCACAAUCCCACGGCCUUUUAUUUUCACUUUCACACACGUUCACAUACAUAUCCUACACACUACUUUCACACCUCAAAAAGUGGGACGCAACAGCUUGGCGACUCCACUGGGGACCUCCUAAGUGGGUCCAAGCAUUUGAUUUAGCCAUUCUUUUUCGUUUUCUACCCUUGUUAUGCGUAGCAUUUGGAUAUUAGGGUUGCAUUUUCCAUUUUUGGACCUUUUGCCUCGCGCGCGUAUCAAACUACUCUCUCACUCACGUAUGUAUGAUUGGUUGCUUGGAUGUAUGUUUUAUUUGUUUUAUCUCGCGCUUUGCAUUGCAUUUGGGUAGGGGACAUCACCUUAGAGUCUCGCGUUGGUUCUCGAUCCCUCCCCUCCAAACGAGCACUAGCAUACGUGCAUAUGUUUUAUUUUUAUCCCUCAUUUAUUUUUCUUUUAGUGGCUUGUCACGCCACUCCACCCUAUUAGGAUUAGGUGACCCACUUGGACAUGUGAUCGUGACAAGACGUGUGCGUAGCAUGAUCCGAGGGGUCACUCAAUCUUCCGCUUUAAACUUUGGGUUAAUAGCCUUUAGUUUUUAGUCGAAAGUUGAGGAUUUCUUUAGAUUCACCUGGACAUGUAGCCGUGACACAACGUGUGCGUAGCAAUGUUUGGGGAAUCGCUCGAGCCACCGACAAGGAACCUUGGGGGUGAUGACCUUUGGUUUCCAAGUCUGAAGGCUCGGGGACCUGAGCUUAUCGAGUCUAGAUGCAUUCGUAAACUCCAACCUCAUGCAUCCAUAUUAGAAUUGCCUAGGGUAGAGUCUGCCUUACCCUAUUAGGGACACCAUUCACGAGGGGAGGGAUCCAACCCCUCCAUUUUUUUAUUACUUUAUCUCUUUGUAUUGAUUUGCUACAAUGUGUUAUGUGUAUUUAUCUGAUUGAACUAAUCUUUCGUGGUUUGUGUCUCCAUUGCAUUCAUUAGCCCUAGGAAAUAAGAGUCCUGGCAUGGCACUCUCUAGGAGUUUACCCUAUUUGAUGUGACACGUUUAAAUUCAAUGCUCCGCAUUUACACCCUGAAUACAUGUCAUUUUAGGCACACCCCGGCGUACAAAAGGGGUCCCUUUAGGUCACGUUUCACUUGUGUAUUUCAUAUUUACUCGCUUUGAUAAAAUGGCAUCAUGCAUAAACCCUAGAAAGGGAAUGCCAUUUAGGAGAUCCCGUGUUAGGAAUAAAUCACCUCGUGUCUCGGAUACUUAAUCCAAGGAGACUUGCACGUUUACAUUUUAUACCAUCCAAAGGGAUUGUGUACAAGGUAAGGUAGGAUCCGAUCUUUUCGAAAAUGGCAAAGCAAUUUUUGUACGGGUCAGUCCCGUUUCAAAAUUCUCGUCUGGGUCAGUCCCAUUUUAAAAUUUUUUGUUAAAGGAGGUCAGUCCUCAUUUUCAAAAGCGUCAGUCGCUCGAGUAAUUCGCAACCAGUUUGCAGGUAAAUAUUUGGUGUCUAUUUCUUUGUCUCAAGUUUUUCCAAAACUCAAACAAAGAAGGGCAAACUGUAGACACCAAAUUUUUGAUCUUUUAAUUUUAUUUAUUUAAUUAAUUUAAUGGGCUUAUUUGUUUCAAUUCUAGGGUUGUUAUUUUUAUUUUAUUUUAUUUUUGUUUUGGUUUAUUUUGUCUUCAUAUUAAAUUUCAGAAAAACAAAAGAAAAAAGAAAAAAAAAAGAAAAAUGAAAAUAACGAAAAUGAAAUAAAAAAAGGAAAACAAGCUCAUGCACCCGAGCUACACAGGAUCCGCGCCCAUUUCUUCAUAUAACAUUUCAAGCAGGCACCGCAACUCUUUGUUUUUGUUCACCAUCGGAUGAUCCACAAGGCUGAUGACUUGGCUUCCAUCAGAACCCUUUAGAGGAGGGUUUAGUGUUUUGUUUGUUAUAAAAGGAAGAGAGGGCGGUUCAAGCAGAGGAGAGGGUUUUUGGGGAGUAAGCUAAGAGUGAUAAGGGGAUGGCAAAAAGAAAGAAACAGGGAAAAGUUUUGGCGGCUAGGGUUCUUGGCAAAGAGGCCUCGGAAAAGUGUGAGGAAAAGAACAGACAAAAGGAAAAACCUAGGCUAUAGUGGGCGGCGAGAAAGAAAAACCAAGUGAAGGACCGAAAGCUAGGCUGAGAGAAAAGGCUACGGGUUUGGAUAAGAAAAAACAGAGGGAAAAGGAAAAGCAAGGACCGAGGGUUUCUUAAACGGGAGUAAGAAGAUGAGGCUUUAAGAAAGGAAGAAAACCACUGAAGCCAAGGAAAACAGAGGAGAAAGGUCUUCGGGAAGAAAACAAAGCAAAGGAAAACCGAGAAUCGAAGGAAUCAACAAGGAAUCGCAACUUUUCUCGGGCUCACGAAGUCACCAUCAUCAUCGGCAGAGAUUUGUAAGCUAUUUUUCUGUCUUCCCUAUUAUCCUUGCUUGCACUUGCUUGUGCUGAAAUCUAUCCUUUGAUUGAUGACGGUUUCGCCAUGAUAGGAUUCCAGUUCUCCAGGUGUAUAUAAAGAAAAAUUCGCUGCGUUUGUUUUGUCCACCUACUGUUUCUAUGCUUGCUCGAUAGUGUCUUCUUGCUGUGAGCAGUUUAUCUUGAGUUCAUAAAGUAAAGAACUUGACCUGGGUUUGGGGGACAGAAGCUCAAGAUUUAUGUCAAUUUGGUUGCUGGUUUUCUGUGCGCUUUUUUGUAAAAUAUCUGUUUGGGUUUGAGCUGCAAAUUUGCAGCAGAAAAUUGCAAAAAGGAGGUUGCCGUAUUGUUGACCAGUCAUUUCGUUUUGCUGAAAUUUUCUGGAAUGGUUUGAGUCUCCUUUUGGUUUGCCCGCUGUUUGAUGGUAAUCUCAUUGCUGGCUGCAAUUUAAAGUAGCAAUCUGCAGUAUAACAACAGACUGCAACAGGGCAUCUGUUUUGUUGCAGCAACAUUGCUAGACGCAUUGUUUGUUUGAUUAAAGUCUGAGUUUGCUUAUUAUUAUUAUAUUUUUUAGGGGUUUGUUUGCUAUUUUUUUUAGUUGCGCUGGUUGAGUAGUGGGGUAAGGGGUUGAAGUGGUUCUUUGCAAAGGUUAAAAUGUCUUUUCUCUCAUUGCUCGUAUUCUCCCUUGCUUAGCACAUUCCUGUCUCGGCCAGGUGGAACAAAAACGCAGCAGCUUGCUUGUUUUGUUGCAGAAUCUCUUGCUGCGUUUUCCUUUCUUUCUUUUGUUAUCGGUCACACCAUUCCCUAUCCCUAUGCAAAAUGUUCGAGACUAGCAGUAGCCCUAUAAGAUGGCAUUUCAAAACUCAAACCCGAAAUGUUAUCGAACGAAAUUGCUGCAAAUCCUCACGUUGCUUACUGCAUUUUAUGUCUGCUGCCUUUUCGUUAUGCUGCCUUCAUUUUCCUUUCUCCUGUUUGUCUAUUUGCUCAAGUAGCCGCUUUCUUGUAUUCCGAUGGGGUCCUGUUGAUCGCUCAAAAGUUUGUUUGAGGUUGAUGUGGCCUGAAUUGGUUGUUUGAGGUCUGUUUUGGUUUGGCAGAAAUUGAGGUUCAUAGGCGGUAGCUUAGAGUAUAACACUGAUUUCGCAUUUUGGGUUUAGUUUUGGGUAAUGGGUAAACGCUGAAACGUUUCUUUGCAAGUGUCAAAAUGUUUCCUUUUUCAUUACCUGUAUUCCCUCCUGUUUCACGUUCUUGUUUUCAGAAGGCAUGUUGGCUAGAGUUGGGAAGCUCAAUUCAUGUCUUGAGAUUUCAUUUAUGUAGUUAACAUGGCAUGUAGUUUCAAUCUUUUUCCCUAGUUAUGCCAUAAAACAUGAACCAGGAGAAUAAACCAAAGUUGUUGGAUUUUUUUUAGCACUUGAAUGUUUUAUUUUCUGGGUUUCAUAUUCCAAAAAGGGGAAAAAUGGUUGGUCUCCUUAUUAGUUUUCUUGUUUGUUCAAGAUUGUGGUAGUUGUGUGUUUCAUUGUUUAACUUGAAGUUAUGUUUUCUGUUGAAAAGCUUUGAUUAAAGGUUGCAUACUUAAGUCUAAAAUUUGUAUUAGGAACAUGCAGCAAGGUUGUUGCAGAAACUUAGGCUUCUACGUAGUUGCAUGAACUUGCAUGAAAGAGCUUCCAAUAAUUGCCUUUUCACCCCUUGAUUUCUAUUAAUGCUACUAUGACCUAAGCAAUUGAAAAAUCCAUCAAAUUGAUCCUUCAAACUUUCUUUUCCCUUUUAAUUGGGUCCUAAUCUUGUGAAUAUGGGCUUUUUAGGCAUUUGAAUGCAUUUAAUGAUUCAAUUUCGUAUUAACGUGAUUAUUUGAGAUGCCUUGACCUUUUCUUUUGUUUUGGAGGGUAAAUAAGUAAUUUUGCUCCAUUACGGCCCCAACUCAAGGGAGGUAUACCCUAUCCCUUAUUUUUCACUUUAUUUGACCCUACGUGCCCUACAUGACUUUACGUGUUUAAUUGCAUGCCUCUGGGAUGUUUAUUUAUUUAUUUCAUUCAUUUAUUUAUUUACUUUAUUGGCUUUAGUUUUGUAUAUUUAUCAUUUGAAAGGCACUUGAAUGCCAAAUUUGUAAUAGUUAGGUAUUUCUUUUUAUUAUUUAUUUUAUUUUAUUUCCCCUUUUAGAGUGUAGUAGGCUCUCCCCCCUAAAAAUGUAAUAGUUAGGGCCUUAAUUGCCUUAUGUGUUUUGCAUGCCUAGGUGCUAUGUGUUUAAUCGUUUUCUUAGGUUUUGACAUCUAAAUAUGCAUGCUUAUGUGUUAUGUGAAUUACGUGCUCACAUGUCUACUUGCUUUAAUUAUGCACAUUGCUUAUAUAUUUGUACAAUGGAUGCCAACGCGCGUCACCGUGGCUAGUCCAACGCUGGUCAUGGUUUUUCCCCUCGAGCUCUCGCAAGUCCAAUGCUUGUGAGAGAAUUUUAGAAAAGGGCUAGUCCAAUGCUAGACCCAAUAGGCCGUCCCCUCUCGUUAGUACAUACUUUGCAUGUCUCACUACAUUUCAUGCAUUUUUCUUAAUUUUCUAGCAUUUGGCAUGUCCCUCCAACCCUUUCCCUUUCAUUUUAGACUUUUUGCAUCUCCAUGCUAGUUAUAGGGUACAUUUGCUUGAAAGUUACCCCUUAAAUAUGGGAUAUAAACGAGUGUGGCUUUUCUAAACCUUAGCACGCUUGUAUUCCCUCUAUCAAAGGGAAAAUUAAAAUCACAAAGUUAGGAAUCAUUCCUAUACCCGACUUGAUGCAUUCCUCUAGGUUCAUACACUCUCAUUUUUAUCAUAUCACUCCCUCAUUUUCUUUACCCACAUUCUCUUACUACUUAUAUUUUUUCUCAAUCCACAUGCCAUGUUUGCACUUUUUUCUUCUUUCCCUAUCACUUAUUUAUUUUCUACCUCACAAAUUACACCCAGUUGCACUUAUAUGCAUUUAUUACUAUUAUACCAUAUUUUCAUCCACUUGCACACAAACACCUUCAUUUUUUUCAAUUGGCACACUUGCACUUUCCUUACAUUUUCACACUUGCACUCAUAUUUAGGUCUUCAUUUGCAUUAUCCGUGACCUCUAUGAGAGUUUUUCUUAUUGGCCAUCACAACUCAUGUGAUUGGGACCAAAAAGUCUCAUAAGAGACAUUUUAGAUUUAGGAUUGUAUUUUUUUCAUAUCCAUUAGUCACAUCCAACAUGCAACACAUAUUUUGGGUAGAAGAAUUAGGAAAAGAAGGACUAAGUCACGCAACUAGCUUUGGUUAGGGUAAGGGAGUGCCUUAGGUUUUGCCUUUGCCUUCUCCCUUAUCAAAUGUGACCCCCGAUCCCUUUCUUUGGUUACGUAGACCUAAAAAAUUCUUUAAAAAGGGUUUGUUUACUUUUAUUUCCAAAAACAAAAAUCACUUUUUGGGUGAUUUGGUACACCCUAACUCUAUACCAAGUGGCGAUUCCUUUUUUUUUUUUUAUCUAAAACCCUUUGUUUGGCCAAACCGUCGCAUUUCACAAUCCCACGGCCUUUUAUUUUCACUUUCACACACGUUCACAUACAUAUCCUACACACUACUUUCACACCUCAAAAAGUGGGACGCAACAGCUUGGCGACUCCACUGGGGACCUCCUAAGUGGGUCCAAGCAUUUGAUUUAGCCAUUCUUUUUCGUUUUCUACCCUUGUUAUGCGUAGCAUUUGGAUAUUAGGGUUGCAUUUUCCAUUUUUGGACCUUUUGCCUCGCGCGCGUAUCAAACUACUCUCUCACUCACGUAUGUAUGAUUGGUUGCUUGGAUGUAUGUUUUAUUUGUUUUAUCUCGCGCUUUGCAUUGCAUUUGGGUAGGGGACAUCACCUUAGAGUCUCGCGUUGGUUCUCGAUCCCUCCCCUCCAAACGAGCACUAGCAUACGUGCAUAUGUUUUAUUUUUAUCCCUCAUUUAUUUUUCUUUUAGUGGCUUGUCACGCCACUCCACCCUAUUAGGAUUAGGUGACCCACUUGGACAUGUGAUCGUGACAAGACGUGUGCGUAGCAUGAUCCGAGGGGUCACUCAAUCUUCCGCUUUAAACUUUGGGUUAAUAGCCUUUAGUUUUUAGUCGAAAGUUGAGGAUUUCUUUAGAUUCACCUGGACAUGUAGCCGUGACACAACGUGUGCGUAGCAAUGUUUGGGGAAUCGCUCGAGCCACCGACAAGGAACCUUGGGGGUGAUGACCUUUGGUUUCCAAGUCUGAAGGCUCGGGGACCUGAGCUUAUCGAGUCUAGAUGCAUUCGUAAACUCCAACCUCAUGCAUCCAUAUUAGAAUUGCCUAGGGUAGAGUCUGCCUUACCCUAUUAGGGACACCAUUCACGAGGGGAGGGAUCCAACCCCUCCAUUUUUUUAUUACUUUAUCUCUUUGUAUUGAUUUGCUACAAUGUGUUAUGUGUAUUUAUCUGAUUGAACUAAUCUUUCGUGGUUUGUGUCUCCAUUGCAUUCAUUAGCCCUAGGAAAUAAGAGUCCUGGCAUGGCACUCUCUAGGAGUUUACCCUAUUUGAUGUGACACGUUUAAAUUCAAUGCUCCGCAUUUACACCCUGAAUACAUGUCAUUUUAGGCACACCCCGGCGUACAAAAGGGGUCCCUUUAGGUCACGUUUCACUUGUGUAUUUCAUAUUUACUCGCUUUGAUAAAAUGGCAUCAUGCAUAAACCCUAGAAAGGGAAUGCCAUUUAGGAGAUCCCGUGUUAGGAAUAAAUCACCUCGUGUCUCGGAUACUUAAUCCAAGGAGACUUGCACGUUUACAUUUUAUACCAUCCAAAGGGAUUGUGUACAAGGUAAGGUAGGAUCCGAUCUUUUCGAAAAUGGCAAAGCAAUUUUUGCACAUUGGAAUAUGAGCGUCUAAUAAUCACUUUUGGCCAUUUUGUCAACAUUGGUAAAAAUCCCUUGCGUAAAGGACAUUAAUUCGAAAAACUUCACAAAUAAUUCCUCACUAUUGAGAUGAUAAAUGAAUUGAGGCCAAAAUCUGAUUUUAGAAGGCUCAUAGACUAAUGCAUCGCAAUAAAUUUUUGAAACUACCAGUUGAUAGAUUGCUUUUUAAAUAAUCUGUUAAUUCCAUUCAAUCCAUUGGACCAUUUCAUUCAUCAAUUUCAUCCAAUCUAUUUUAUCAACUUGUUCAUUUUUAAGGCAACCUAGUCGAUUUGGAAUUCAUUUGACCAGUUUACCCUUUUUUAGGGCAAUCUAAUUGAUUUUGAAUAGAUCACUAACUUCAUUCAAUUCAUUUGAUUGGUUUACCCAUUCUUAGGGCAGUCUUAUCGAUUUUGAAUAAAUUAUCAAUUUCGUCCGAUCCAUUUGAUCAGUUUACCUGUUUUUAGGGCAAUUCGGUUGAUUUUGAAUAAAUCAUCAUUUCACUCGAUUUGUUUGAUCAAUUGAUUUCAUUCAAUUCAUUUGGUUAGUUUAAUUCAUUUUUAGGGUUAUCCAUUCAAUUUUGAAUAAAUAAUCAAAUUUCAUUCAAUGCAUUUGACCAUUUUACCCUUUUUAAGGUAAUCUAGUCAAUUUUGAAUAAAUCAUCAAUUUCAUCCUAUCCUCUGGAUCUGCUUAUUCCUUUUUAGAGUUCAAAUCUAAAGUUCACUGAAUAAAUUAGUCGAGGCAUUGUGAUCCUUUUAAGAAGUAAGCUCUCUUUCACAUAUCAUAUGUUGAUCAAAGCAAGCAAUCCAUUCGGAUUUUGUCCUCAUUUUUCAGACAAAUGUCUCUUCUUCCUCUAAUUAGCCAAAAUUUUCAAAUCAUUUUUCACUCAAUCAAUUAAUCGGAUUCAUCAGGUAUUGUAUGGUGCCUACCCUAAAGGAUUGCAUUUUCAUGCUAAGCCUACCCUUGGCAUAAAAGGGUUCCCCCAUAGGACAUGCAUACCGAUUUUGCAGUUUUACCUACUAACUCGGGGUAUUUUUCUUUUGUUUUCUCCCCUCCCCUGGAUUCAUAAAAAUGCUUUAAUAAGGUGAAAAUAUUUUUCUAUGUCUGCUAAAUUUAAAAAUUACAAGUAUUACUUAAUUCUUGGGCAGAUCCUACAAUGUAAAGCAUGAAGGAUCUAUUUGGAAGCGUUAGGCUAAAGCGUCUAAGAGAUUUCAUAAUUGUUAGUCAAAGAAAGUUUUGUUUGUUAAUACAUUUUUGUUCCAAAAGAAAAGGAGACAAAAAGUGUAUAUGUGGAGUUUUUUAGAAGUUUUUCUCAUUUGUAUUGUAAUUGAACAAGAAAUUUUGUUUCAAACUUUUUCAACAAUAAAGUUUUUGGAUAAUUAUUGUAUUUAUGUACAUUUCAUUCUUUUGCUCAUCAGAGAUUCAUGAUGAAAUUUGGAAAAUAAAGCUAAAUUGAGAUUUCCUCAACUUCUAGCCUGAAGAUUCACAAGUGUAUGUUUUCUAAAAUCUUUGCGUACACUAGAUUGGUGAUCCGAGCUAAAAUAAGAGUGCUCAAAAUUAAAAGAGGUUAUUCAAAAGGCCCAAUGAGAUACCUGUUCUCCUUCACUGUACAAAUCCUAUUUUGCCCACUUCUAUUAACCCCAAAAUAAAAGCAGUCACAUUGAUUGAUAAAUUGGGGCAACUUUUGCUUGAAAAUGUUCACGGUGCCUAAUCUGGUUCAAUCACAUCUAAGUGAAAGCAAAAAUGUGCAUUAUUCUUGUUUGUUUUGAAAAUUUGGAAUGAUAUUUUGAGCAUUCGUUUCUCUACCUAUACAGAUUUUAUCAUUUGCUCUCCCAUUUGAGCCUUUAAAAGAAUAAUUUCGUUUCAAAUAAGUGCAUUGAUGAUCACUACCCUACAUUGAAAAAUUUUCAAAUAUCAAAAAGGGGAAUGGUUUAUCAAUGACCAUUUCGUUACUUUGGUUGUCAUGAGGUGUAAGAAUGAUACUUUAGCCAUCGUUUCUACAACCUAAACACCAUUUAUCCCUUGCAUCCUCAUUUGAGCUAAAAUUGGUGGUUCUUUUCAAAGCAUCUAUGAUCGCACCCCACAUUGGGGAGGAAGAUUGGAUAAUUUUCAAAACGGAGAAAAGCAAAAAUGCUAAAAUUAAAAGAAAAGAGGAAAUCACAAAUUGGAGAGAUUUGAUUUUCCCUGGGUUUAAAUUUUGAAAAAAGAAGAAGGAAAAAGAAAAAGAAGAAAGAAAAGAAAAGGAAGAGUUUUGUCCGGUGGAUCACCUAUGAACAGGAGUCUUUUCUCCAUCAAUUGAUUCAGAUACAUGCAAGAAAUUUCGCAUUAAUGAAAAUUUCCUUUCAGAAUUUAUUGUAAGGAACGGAAUAAAAGUCAGGUCUUCUUCUUUUCCAAUCAAACAUUGUAUCCCUAGUUAUCCCUUUUGAGCCUCCAGAAUAAAAUAUUUCGUUUGGCAACCCCUGAGAAUCGCAAACUCCACACUGGGGCAAGUUUGAGUUGAAAAGGAACGAAAAGUCCCAAGAGGUGAAAAAUGCUAAAAUGACAAAAGCCAAGGAAGAAAAGAAAUGAGAAUCGCAAGUUCAAAAAUAAGCUGGGGCAAAUUUUGAAAUUUCAAAGGAAUGGCGAAAGGCCGAAAAGGAAAAUCAAUCAAAAAGAGAAAGUUGAAAGAGAAAAGAGCCUCAAUUAAGAAUAAACUGGGGCAAAUUCUGAUUUAACCCUAAAAUAGGGUUGGCGCAACAAGGCGAUCUCAGAUCAUUCAAACCAUUUUUGAAAAUCCGUUUUCAAACCUUAAUUUUUCUAAGCACCCCACCAGACCCCAUUACAAAAGCCGAAAGUCCUGACUUCUGUUCUUUGCAAUAUCUUUGUCAAGAAAUUUUCUAAUUGGCAAGUGAUGCUCAUAUACUGAUGCCGAGAAAUUUUUUAGAUGUAUUUCUGAAUUGAUUAGAUGAGGUUGACAUUGCUCAUCAUGUGAAAAUCCGUAAGGGCACAUUUGAAAAGAAAAGAAAAGGCAAGCAAAAUGAAUGCAAAGAAAAAUGCAAAAAAGUUCGACGCUGAAGUUCCUGAUGAAUGAUGAGAAAAUGCAAACAAAGUCUGAGAUUUUUGAAUUCAAAUAGGGGCAAUUUUGAAAAAAAUGCGAUUUUCGGUGCAAUGUCCUUGAAAGUCUUAUUCUUUAACUAUCGUUUUCAAGCCACAUUAUAAGCUUAUAAAGUCCAUCGCUGACUUAUCUUUCAUGGCAACCCAAAGUGAGGAUUAUGCUCAUAAGAAGUCAAUCAUUUGUGAUCAUAAGGGUAUAACUAGUUUUUCACAUGUUUAACUAUCGUUUCUACCCAUUUUGUUGUAAGCCUAUAAAGUUUAUAUGUUGACUAAGUUUUCUUAAGAAAUAAGGGUGACAAACUCUUUGUUUUCAUUAAGAUGUGAUACUGAAGGGAUUACAUGCAAUUUGGGCACAAGAAUAAGACAAACCUUGACCUCCCAUUUCCAAAUCAGAAAUAACGCCCCACUUGAUUGGUCCUGAAAGAUGAGCCAAUAAGAAGUGGUGACCCGCUACCCUAAGCGUUGAUGCUAAAGUGCUUGUAAUUUGGUAUUAUUUUGAGAAAUUCAUCAUGAAAUUUUCUGUUAGGAAACAUAGUUUCUUACAUUGUUCAAAUAAAUGGAGAGUCAUCCAAAUAAAUUUUUGCAAUUAAAUGGUCCCACACUGGGGCAAAUUUUCAUUUGAGAGAUUUGGCAAAAUGAGCUCAUACUGGGGCAAAUUUUCAUUUGUGAGAUUUCACAAAAUAAGCCCACACUGGGGCAGAUUUUUUGUAAUACAUUUGAGAUUUUCGAAUCAAUCACGCUGCUCUUUUCAUGAAAUUUAAGUGCAUGUCAUACUUUGGUAAGCCCUUUGUGCAGGUAUUUAUGGCUGAAAUCGACGGAAAAGCAUCCCGUGAUAUGGAAGGCCGAUACUGGAAAAAAGGAAGAGAAGAAAGAGGGGAAAAGGGCCCUACACUAAGGUAAAUUAUUUUUGAAAAUGAUUCUCUCGAAAAAUAAAAAAAAAUCAGGAAAAUUCCAAAAAUCAAAGAAUCAAAAAGUCAAAUUCAAUUUCCUGUUUCUUGAAAAAAUCAAAUUUAUUUCUUGUUGGCAAUAUCCCAACUUACGCCGCGCACCCUUCUAUUCCCCCCCAUUCUCUUGACAAUCACACUUAAUUUCGUGACCAAUUGGAUGGCAGGAUUGGGUCUUAUCCCACUGACCAUUCACAAAUAUCGUUGGGCCUGGAUUUCGUGCCGGCAACAUUCCAAAAAUCACGUUGGGCCUGGAUUUCGUGCGGCCAACAUCACAAAAAAUCACGUUGGGUCUGGACUUCGUGCCGCCAACAUUCCAAACAUCACGUUGGGCCUGGAUUUCGUGCCGCCAACAUCACAAAAAAUCACGUUGGGCCUGGAUUUCGUGCCGCCAACAUUCCAAACAUCACGUUGAGCCUGGAUUUCGUGCCGCCAACAUCCCAAAAAUCACGUUGGGCCUGGAUUUAGUGCCACCAACAUCACAAACGUCAUGUUGGGCCUGGAUUUUGUGCCGCCAACAUCACAAGCGUCAUGUUGGGCCUGGAUUUUGUACCGCUAACAUCACAAAAAUCACGUUGGGCUUGGAUUUUGUACCACCAACUAAGGCAGGCUCGGGUUUAAUCCCACUGACCAAUACAUCACACUGGGGUAAACUUUUGGAUAGUUUUCCAAGCAAGUCUUAUACAGUUUCUUCACACAUACUAGCGUUUUAUUUUACAUUGUCACUAGCCGUUGGGUCAGUCCCACUAGUGCGCAUUUCUUCUAUUUUGCCACUAGCCGUUGGGUCAGUCCCACUAGUGAGCACUUUAUUUUACAUUGCCACUAGCCGUUGGGUCAGUCCCACUAGUGCGCAUUUCUUUUUGUAUCACCAUUAGCCGUCGGGCCAGUCCCAUGAUUUUAAACUUUGUUCGGGUCAAUCCCAUGAUUUUAAAUUUUGUUCGGACCAGUCCCAUGAUUUUAAAUUUUAUUCGGGUUAGUCCCAUGAUUUUAAAUUUUGUUCGGGCCAGUCCCAUGAUUUUAAUUUUGUUCGGACCAGUCCCAUGAUUUUAAACUUUGUUCGGGUCAGUCCCAUGAUUUGAAGUUUUGUUCGGGUCAGUCCCAUGAUUUAAAGUUUGUUCGGGUUAGUCCCAUGAUUAAAUUCUCAUUCGGGUCGGUUCCAUUUUAAAUUUUCUAUCUGGGUCAGUCCCAUGAUUAAAUUCUCAUUCGCGUCAGUCCGAUGAUCUAAAUUUUUGUACGGGUCAGUCCCGUUUCAAAAUUCUCGUCUGGGUCAGUCCCAUUUUAAAAUUUUUUGUUAAAGGAGGUCAGUCCUCAUUUUCAAAAGCGUCAGUCGCUCGAGUAAUUCGCAACCAGUUUGCAGGUAAAUAUUUGGUGUCUAUUUCUUUGUCUCAAGUUUUUCCAAAACUCAAACAAAGAAGGGCAAACUGUAGACACCAAAUUUUUGAUCUUUUAAUUUUAUUUAUUUAAUUAAUUUAAUGGGCUUAUUUGUUUCAAUUCUAGGGUUGUUAUUUUUAUUUUAUUUUAUUUUUGUUUUGGUUUAUUUUGUCUUCAUAUUAAAUUUCAGAAAAACAAAAGAAAAAAGAAAAAAAAAAGAAAAAUGAAAAUAACGAAAAUGAAAUAAAAAAAGGAAAACAAGCUCAUGCACCCGAGCUACACAGGAUCCGCGCCCAUUUCUUCAUAUAACAUUUCAAGCAGGCACCGCAACUCUUUGUUUUUGUUCAGCAUCGGAUGAUCCACAAGGCUGAUGACUUGGCUUCCAUCAGAACCCUUUAGAUGAGGGUUUAGUGUUUUGUUUGUUAUAAAAGGAAGAGAGGGCGGCUCAAGCAGAGGAGGGGGUUUUUGGGGAGUAAGCUAAGAGUGAUAAGGGGACGGCAAAAAGAAAGAAACAGGGGAAAGUUUUGGCGGCUAGGGUUCUUGGCAAAGAGGCCUCGGAAAAGUGUGAGGAAAAGAACAGACAAAAGGAAAAACCUAGGCUAUAGUGGGUGGUGAGAAAGGAAAACUAAGUGAAGGACCGAAAGCUAGGCUGAGAGAAAAGGCUACGGGUUUGGAUAAGAAAAAACAGAGGGAAAAGGAAAAGCAAAGACCGAGGGUUUCUUAAACGGAAGGAAGAAGAUGAGGGUUUGAGAAAGGAAGAAAACCACUGAAGCCAAGGAAAACAGAGGAGAAAGGUCUUCGGGAAGAAAACAAAGCAAAGGAAAAUCGAGAAUCGAAGGAAUCAGCAAGGAAUCGCAACUUUUCUGGGGCUCACGAAGUCACCAUCAUCAUCGGCAGAGCUUUGUAAGUUAUUUUUCUGUCUUCCCUGUUAUCCUUGCUUGCAUUUGCUUGUGCUGAAGUCUAUCCUUUGAUUGAUGACGGUUUUGCCAUGAUUGGAUUCCAGUUCUCCAGGUGUAUAUAAAGAAAAAUUCGCUACGUUUGUUUUGUCCACCUACUGUUUCUAUGCUUGCUCGAUAGUGUCUUCUUGCUGUGAGCAGUUUAUCUUGAGUUCAUAAAGUAAAGAACUUGACCUGGGUUUGGGGGACAGAAGCUCAAGGUUUAUGUCAAUUUGGUUGCUGGUUUUCUGUGCGCUUUUUUGUAAAAUAUCUGUUUGGGUUUGAGCUGCAAAUUUGCAGCAGAAAAUUGCAAAAAGGAGGUUGCCGUAUUGUUGACCAGUCAUUUCGUUUUGCUGAAAUUUUCUGGAAUGGUUUGAGUCUCCUUUUGGUUUGCCCGCGGUUUGAUGGUAAUCUCAUGCAUUUGCUGGCUGCAAUUUAAAGUAGCAAUCUGCGGUAUAACAACAGACUGCAACAGGGCAUCUGUUUUGUUGCAGCAACAUUGCUAGAUGCAUUGUUUGUUUGAUUAAAGUCUGAGUUUGCUUAUUAUUAUUAUAUUUUUUAGGGGUUUGUUUGCUAUUUUUUUUAGUUGCGCUGGUUGAGUAGUGGGGUAAGGGGUUGAAGUGGUUCUUUGCAAAGGUUAAAAUGUCUUUUCUCUCAUUGCUCGUAUUCUCCCUUGCUUAGCACAUUCCUGUCUCGGCCAGGUGGAACAAAAACGCAGCAGCUUGCUUGUUUUGUUGCAGAAUCUCUUGCUGCGUUUUCCUUUCUUUCUUUUGUUAUCGGUCACACCAUUCCCUAUCCCUAUGCAAAAUGUUCGAGACUAGCAGUAGCCCUAUAAGAUGGCAUUUCAAAACUCAAACCCGAAAUGUUAUCGAACGAAAUUGCUGCAAAUCCUCACGUUGCUUACUGCAUUUUAUGUCUGCUGCCUUUUCGUUAUGCUGCCUUCAUUUUCCUUUCUCCUGUUUGUCUAUUUGCUCAAGUAGCCGCUUUCUUGUAUUCCGAUGGGGUCCUGUUGAUCGCUCAAAAGUUUGUUUGAGGUUGAUGUGGCCUGAAUUGGUUGUUUGUGGUCUGUUUUGGUUUGGCAGAAAUUGAGGUUCAUAGGCGGUAGCUUAGAGUAUAACACUGAUUUCGCAUUUUGGGUUUAGUUUUGGGUAAUGGGUAAACGCUGAAACGUUUCUUUGCAAGUGUCAAAAUGUUUCCUUUUUCAUUACCUGUAUUCCCUCCUGUUUCACAUUCUUGUUUUCAGAAGUCUUGUUGGCUAAAGUUGGGAAGCUCAAUUCAUGUCUUGAGAUUUCAUUUAUGUAGUUAACAUGGCAUGUAGUUUCAAUCUUUUUCCCUAGUUAUGCCAUAAAACAUGAACCAGGAGAAUAAACCAAAGUUGUUGGAUUUUUUUUUAGCACUUGAAUGUUUUAUUUUCUGGGUUUCGUAUUCCAAAAAAGGGAAAAAUGUUUGGUCUCCUUAUUAGUUUUCUUGUUUGUUCAGAUUGUGGUAGUUGUGUGUUUCAUUGUUUAACUUGAAGUUAUGUUUUCUGUUGAAAAGCUUUGAUUAAAGGUUGCGUACUUAAGUCUGAAAUUUGUGUUAGGAACAUGCAGCAAGGUUGUUGCAGAAACUUAGGCUUCUACGUAGUUGCAUGAACUUGCAUGAAAGAGCUUCCAAUAAUUGCCUUUUCACCCCUUGAUUUCUAUUAAUGCUACUAUGACCUAAGCAAUUGAAAAAUCCAUCAAAUUGAUCCCUCAAACUUUCUUUUCCCUUUUAAUUGGGUCCUAAUCUUGUGAAUAUGGGCUUUUUAGGCAUUUGAAUGCAUUUAAUGAUUCAAUUUCGUAUUAACGUGAUUAUUUGAGAUGCCUUGACCUUUUCUUUUGUUUUGGAGGGUAAAUAAGUAAUUUUGCUCCAUUACGGCCCCAACUCAAGGGAGGUAUACCCUAUCCCUUAUUUUUCACUUUAUUUGACCCUACGUGCCCUACAUGACUUUACGUGUUUAAUUGCAUGCCUCUGGGAUGUUUAUUUAUUUAUUUCAUUCAUUUAUUUAUUUACUUUAUUGGCUUUAGUUUUGUAUAUUUAUCAUUUGAAAGGCACUUGAAUGCCAAAUUUGUAAUAGUUAGGUAUUUCUUUUUAUUAUUUAUUUUAUUUUAUUUCCCCUUUUAGAGUGUAGUAGGUUCUCCCCCCUAAAAAUGUAAUAGUUAGGGCCUUAAUUGCCUUAUGUGUUUUGCAUGCCUAGGUGCUAUGUGUUUAAUCGUUUUCUUAGGUUUUGGCAUCUAGAUAUGCAUGCUUAUGUGUUAUGUGAAUUACGUGCUCACAUGUCUACUUGCUUUAAUUAUGCACAUUGCUUAUAUAUUUGUACAAUAGAUGCCAACGCGCGUCACCGUGGCUAGUCCAACGCUGGUCAUGGUUUUUCCCCUCGAGCUCUCGCAAGUCCAAUGCUUGUGAGAGAAUUUUAGAAAAGGGCUAGUCCAAUGCUAGACCCAAUAGGCCGUCCCCUCUCGUUAGUACAUACUUUGCAUGUCUCACUACAUUUCAUGCAUUUUUCUUAAUUUUCUAGCAUUUGGCAUGUCCCUCCAACCCUUUCCCUUUCAUUUUAGACUUUUUGCAUCUCCAUGCUAGUUAUAGGGUACAUUUGCUUGAAAGUUACCCCUUAAAUAUGGGAUAUAAACGAGUGUGGCUUUUCUAAACCUUAGCACGCUUGUAUUCCCUCUAUCAAAGGGAAAAUUAAAAUCACAAAGUUAGGAAUCAUUCCUAUACCCGACUUGAUGCAUUCCUCUAGGUUCAUACACUCUCAUUUUUAUCAUAUCACUCCCUCAUUUUUUUUAUCCACAUUCUCUUACUACUUAUAUUUUUUCUCAAUCCACAUGCCAUGUUUGCACUUUUUUCUUCUUUCCAUAUCACUUAUUUAUUUUCUACCUCACAAAUUGCACUCAGUUGCACUUAUAUGCAUUUAUUACUAUUAUACCAUAUUUUCAUCCACUUGCACACAAACACCUUCAUUUUUCUCAAUUGGCACACUUGCACUUUCCUUACAUUUUCACACUUGCACUCAUAUUUGGGUCUUCAUUUGCAUUAUCCGUGACCUCUAUGAGAGUUUUUCUUAUUGGCCAUCACAACUCAUGUGAUUGGAACCAAAAAGCCUCAUAAGAGACAUUUUAGAUUUAGGAUUGCAUUUUUUUCAUAUCCAUUAGUCACAUCCAACAUGCAACACAUAUUUUGGGUAGAAGAAUUAGGAAAAGAAGGACUAAGUCACGCAACUAACUUUGGCUAGGAUAAGGGAGUGCCUUAGGCUUUGUCUUUGCCUUCUCCCUUAUCAAAUGUGACCCCCGAUCCCUUUCUUUGGUUACGUAGAUCUAAAAAAUUCUUUAAAAAGGGGUUGUUUACUUUUCUUUCCAAAAACAAAAAUCACUUUUUGGGUAACUUGGUACACCCUAACUCUAUACCAAGUGGCGACUCCUUUUUUUUUAUCUAAAACCCUUUGUUUGGCCAAACCGUCGCAUUUCACAAUCCCACGGCCUUUUAUUUUUACUUUCACACACGUUCACAUACAUAUCCUACACACUAUUUUCACACCUCAAAAAGUGGGGCGCGACAGAUUGGCUGGAGAAAGAUGACAAAAUCAAGAAGUAAGGGCGGCAUGCGAUUCAAAGACUUGCAAGGGUUCAAUAGAGCUUUAUUGGGCAAACAAGUUUGGAAGUUAUUAACACAACCAAACUUGCUAGUCAGUAGAGCCCUGAAGGAAAAAUACUACCCCAGGCAAUCAUUAUUCACCAGUAAGGUCCCUCAAAAUGCCUCCUGGAUUUAGCAAAGUUUAGCUGAUAUGCAAAAAGAAGUACAGAAUGGUGUCAAGAGGAAGAUAGGAAAUGGCAAGGCAACGAGAAUCUGGGAAGACUGUUGGAUUCCAGACAGCAAAAGUGGGAAACCAACUACACUAAAGCCACCGGGGUGUCAAUUUCAGCUUGUGUAAGAUCUUAUCGUCAACAACAUAUGGAAUGCUGUUUUGAUAUUCAGAAUUUUCAGCCAACAAGAUGCUGAAAGGAUACUGAGGAUACCUAUAAGCUUUACAGGGAAGGAAGAUGGUCACUACUGGGUACACUCUCAAAAUGGUCAAUAUACUACUCAAUCUGGAUAUAAGAAAUAGAUGAAGAAAAAGGAGCUGGAAAGUAUAAGAAGGAGGGAUGGUGUUGGGACAAGCUAUGAAGGAUCUAUCAAGAGAGUUUGGAAAGCAGUAUGGAAGCAGAAAGUGUGCCAAAAAAUGAAAAUAUUUAUAUGGAAAUGUCUGCAUGGAGGUCUCCCAGUGAGAGGUGAAAUUCACAGACGAACAAGGCAAGGAAAUCCUAAAUGUGCAGCGUGUGGAGAAGAGGAAGAAACAAUAGAACACCUGCUGCUCCAAUGCAACAAAGUAAAGGAAGUAUGGAAGCUAUCGCCUGUACAAUGGGAUGGAAUACAGCAUACAUCAAACUGUUUCAUCAAAUGGUGGACUGCAAUCAUGGAAGCUCAAGAAGAGAGAGGAGGGGAGGACCAAGUGAACCUCACCAUAAAUAUUCUCUGGCAGAUUUGGAAGGCCAGAAACGAGAGGAAGUUUGAAUACAAGGAAAAGGAACCUCAUAAGGUAAUACAAAAGGCAGUGAAGGGAUGGAUGGAAUUUGAUGAGGCUAACAGAGGGAAGGAGACAAGGAAGAACACCCAGGGAACAGAAAUACUGGAACGUGUUGAGCAAGAUCAAAGCCAGAGAGAGAAUCAAGCCAGGAUGAUGAUCAAGGUCCACACUCACCAAGACAGAAGGCAACAUAUGGUGGGGAUUGGAAUCACUGCUACUGACUAGGCAGGUAAUCUACAAGCAAUCUGGGCAUUAAGAGAAAGAAUGUCUGGAGACACAAAGCAAGACCAAGCUGGUGCGGUGGGGCUUGCACUACUGAAUGCAAUCAGUCAAGGCUGGACGAGUAUAAAAGUGGAGCUGGAAGAUAGGGAGCUGGUAGAGUGCAUAAAACAUACAAGGACCAGUAACCAACAGAUGGCUACUCUGGUGGAGGAUAUACAAUACAUUAAUAAUUUGUUCCAAAAGUGUUCUUUCUCUUUUGUUGAAUCCGGAUUUGUAGGAAGUAUCAAGUUGAGCAUGCAUGCUCUAAACAUCCUUGUAGAUGAGGAAUGGGUGAAUCCUAACUUGAGGUGCUAGGCACUAAUGUUUUGGUAGGACUAUUGUCCUGAUGAUUGGACCUUUGUCCAAAUAUUGUAAAUUUUUUAGUACUUCUAUAAAGCUAACGUUUCGACAAAAAAAAAAACAACUUGGUAGACCAUUUGUGGUACAAAAACAUGUUAGAAGCUUCUGCAAUUAUAACAUAAUUCCCCUAUUUUCCUUUAUAUGUUAAGUAUGUGGAGUAGAUGAUUAUCGGGAGGAGACAAAGAAAAAAACAAGUGGAUUCAUAUUGAUCCAGAUAAUACUUUACCCAAGUAAGCCAAGUACACAAUAUCUCCGUAGUAGUAAGAAAAUCAGAUUUAUUCCUUUCCAUCUGAUAGCAAACAUCAGAAUGAAUUAGCUUAUGGAGAAAGGAAACUAAGAAAGUGGCGACAGAACAAAACAAAGACAAAGAAACAAUCAGGCAUCAAUUUCAACUCACUAUAAUAAUAGCCAUAAAAAGGGGGAAAAACAAAAGAAAGGCUUAGAAACAUAAAGAGCUUUCUUCAUUUGAGACCUUUUUCAAGAGAACUUGUUUAAAUUAUUACACUGAAGGAAGAUUUAUGUACGUGAAUAUGAUGAUGGGAGGAAGUAUGAUAGUACCAAGACCAAUAUAAUAAUAAACAUGUACUCCGUAUCAAGUUACUCAUUACUUUAUUCAUGGCGGCUUUGUUCAGUGUCCCCAUACUAUGACUGGAACCAACUUCUCUAAACAAGCUAGCAGCUCCAUUUCUCUCUAUUUUCUCUUUCCCACACAAAACCUUAAGCUGAGAUCAUGACAAUGAGUAUUGAUAGGUGUCUUGCUGUGCUAUUGGCUCACACUUCAGCAGUAAUCGAACGAUAACCUAAUAAGCAUGCUUUUGGUGUUAAUGUCAUAUAAUUUGAUCUUGAAUUGAGAAAUAUGCAAAUGUAUAUUAGACUAAAUGUGGCUUGAAAAUGAACAGCACAGACUAACCAUAAAAUAGGUGACUAUAGCAUUUGCCUCAAGUGAUUGGGUAAAAUGUAGCUUUUGAAAACUUGUCUGUAGAAAGAGGUUGACUAUUUUGUCUGAUCAACAUUGAAGUGCCCACAAAAAGUGAAAUUUUGUAGAUUUAUUAGUGAAAACUCAAUGUGUAUUGCUAAAGAACUCUCUGUUUGACAAAGUUGUAUAGAUUAAGUUCUGGGUUAAUUACAAUUUAUCCCUCUAAGGUAUACUCUAAUUCUUACUUUGCCCCUUAACAUUUUUUUUUUGUCACUCAAUCCCCUAGGAGACAAAAGUAUCCACUACUAUAAUAAAAUUUUAUUUUAAAAUUUUUACUUUCUUUUCCAAUGAAAUUUAACCUAUGCUUCGUCUAUUUUGAAUCCUUUAAUUGAUUGGAUAAAGUUUCACAUAAGAAGAGUCUACAUGCAUGAGAGUAAACUACCAAUUGAUUAUUAUAAAAAUAAUGGCAAAGAAAAGAACUUAAUAAGCAAAAAUCCAUUAGAGAGAAAACAAUAUCCAAAUACCUGAACGUGAACGUGUGAUUGUAAAAAAUGGGUAACUAAUUUUAAAUUGUUUAAUUAUAAGGGAAAAAAUACAAAUGCUUUCUUAAAUUUCUGAAAUUAGAGGAUGAAUGAAAUUGAUUUCUAACUAAAUAAUUAUAUAUAUAUAUAUAUAUAUAGUUUCUUCAAUAUUGUAGAUUGGAGAAUCGACAUCCUAAAUUUUUUUGUUAGAGAAGCUUUGUCAUUGAUUAAAAUAAAAGUUUGAAAAAAAAAACUAAUUUGGAAUAAAAAAAAAGAGGAGAGAAAACUAAAAGAAAAAAUCACCAUAGUAGAGGGGUACUUUUAUCUCUCGGGGAUUAAGUGACUAAAAUAAAGGUUAGGAAGUAAAGUGAGAUUCAGGAUAUACCUUAGGGGGAUAAAUUGUAAUCAUUCCUUAAUUUUUUGGUAAACUAUAAAGAAAAAUUGAAUAAAAUGGUCCCUCACACUUAAAAAAAAAAAAAAUUUCUUGGUCCCUCACAUUUUAGACAUUGAAAAAUAAUUGCUCACGUCACAUGUAACAAAUGUACCUAUUUAAGAGGUGUUGCAUGUAUUGAGGGAGAGUAACUCGUGGGCAGACCACGAUGCUAGGAUGAGCUUAAAUUUGCCAGCUGGUUUAACAGAGUUCAGCAGUCCACCGUGCUGAAUCAAGUCGUUGCUUUCUUUAGAUAUAAGAGGUGUUGCAACACCUCGUUUAAUACCUAUUUAAUGGCCUAUGGCCAUCCCUAGAAUCAAAAAAGGGAAAAAACAAAUUGUACCUAUUGCACAUCCUAGCCUCACCUUGAAGAAAAGAAUUAGAACAAUGAUAAACUUCCAUCUCAAAAGAAGUCAUUCUCACCCAAGAGGCAUUGAUCUAGUGAUUAAGGUUCGAAUCCAUUGUCCUACCCUUCCACACUUUAAGUUCCACCCUUCCCUUGCAAGGAAAAACAUUUUUUAAAAAAGAAGAAGAGGUCACACUUUAAGCUCUCCUACUACCCCCAUCUUGCUACCCUUUCACUACGCUUACCUCCCUCAUCCCUCGUCCCCUUACCUCUUUCCACGUACCACCAACUCGCCCCCUUCCUUUCUCCCGCUUCCCCCACCAACCUCCCACUCCUUCCCCACCACUGCCUCAUUUCCCCUAUUCUUUUUUGUUUGAGUUAUGUCAAUAACACAUGCAAUGUUUGUAUGUAAUGUACUUGAAUUAUGCCAUAAUGUAACAUUUGUUCGUAUAUACCUUAAUUAUUGUAUAUCACAAAAAAAGUUAUGUUACAUUAGGGCACAUACAAAUUAAAAUAAUGUACCCAACGUUUUAUGUGAUGUACUUGAAUUUUGCAAUAUAAAAAAAAAUAUUAUGUUUAAAUAACCAAUUAAACAUGUGACAUUUUAGCCCCCCAAUUUUUUUUUCACAGUAUGCAAUAGUGUUAAGGUUCAUAAAAAUAAAUGGUACAUUAUCCACAUAAGUUGAGUACAUUCCAUUAAAAAAUUGUACACAUUAUGUACAUUAUAUUAAUACAUUUUCUGCAAAAAUGAAAUACAGUUAGUACGUUGAAUAUAUGCUACUUCCUACCAUUUUUUUCUUCUAGAUAUAGUGGAAUAGAUAAAUUUACAUAUUGUGUUGUACUAACACAAUAUAGUAUUUUAAAUUAUUAGAAAAUGUUUGUGCACACACAAACAAAUAUUUGAUUACGUGCCUAUCUUUUUUCCAUGUACUCGCAAUUAUUUUGUCAUAUAAAAAAAUAAUAUAUUUGCAGUGUCAACAUAUAAUUACAUAGCUUUAAUAACCUCACUAAUAUAUUUUUAGAUAAGUAUAACUUAAAAUAAAUAUUUUCAAAACACUUAUGAAAAAAAUUUACAUAUAGACAAUGCAUCGCAUUUUAGGUUAAUUUUAUCUUACAAUUAGUUAUUCUAUUUAAUUUUGCAGAAAAGUACUACUAUAAUGUGCUUAUUAAUCGGUAGGUGUGCAUUCGAAUGAUUAUUUAUGUUCAUCAGAGUGCACAUUUUAUUAAGGUGCAAAUUAUUAUUUAGUAAAGUGCACAUUAUUAUGAGGAUGAUUUAUAAGUCAUUUAGUAAUAAAUUUGUUAAUUAUAUUGUUUCACAAGCGUAUAAUUUUAUUGUUCAUAACUAUUUUUUAAUUCUUACAAAGAAAUUGAAGAGAAAAAGAUUGAAUAGUGUGUCAAAAACAUGUUAAAUCAAUAUAAAUUGCCUUUAAUAUCACAAAAAGUCAAUAUGGCAAAGGUGGGAAAUCGUUUGUCAGCCACAGUAGAGGUAGCGGUUUGAGACCUUUGAACCUCAUUUGCUCAAACCUAUUGGUUUGGUUGCUGAUUGAGCUACCACGCAACCACGUCACCAAGGUGACUUGGCCACCACAAGGCAUUUAAACGCUAUUGUUGGUGGGAUAUCAAGGAUUCAAGUUUUGUCUUUUAUAAUUGCUAUUAAAUAUGGCUUUCUCUUAGAUAUAGCGGGUGUUUAAUGCAUUCAUAUAAUCCAAUGACAGUUUAGUCCUCUUUGGAUUCUCGAUGAUCUAAUUGGAUCUAUCCCAUUCUCCGUGCGUUAGUAGUAGGUGUAGAUGUGUGGCGAUUGAUCCAAAAAAAAAAUUGAGGUACCACAUCAUCAUUCGUAAUAUAAUACUUUUUUCAUCUCAUUGAAAGUAUCAUAUUUUUUAUUUUGGAAUGUUCCCAAAUACUUGUUAUCUUAUUAAAGUCAAAAGUACUUUUGAUCUGUUCUCUUAGUGUUAUCCACACCUUUAUCUAUAUUUCAUACUAAAUUCAAAUUUAAAUUUUGAAAAUUUUUAGAGUAAUUUUGAAAACAAAUCCACUAAUUACUAUCAAUCCACUAUUCUUAAAAUAUUACAAUUGCGAAAUCUGACAAAUAUUUUGGGAUGGAGGGUAAUAUCACAGCCAAGUGGUGCCAGAAUUGGGACCCGAUAGGUAUGGGGGCAAUUGUAAACGAGACGUACAUAAAAUGUAGUAGAACCAAGACUUGUCUUUAUUGCGUUUAUUGUAUAUCUCGUAAAUUCAUAUUGUUCUCUUAGAUUUUUGAUGCACACUACACAAUGUAUUUGUAAUUAAAAUACUGAAACCUUUUAACCUGUUAAAGUCAACUUAAAUAUUUAAUUUAGAGUAAGUCCAAUAAUUUUGCUAAUUGUCAUGGCUGUAAAAAUUUUAUUUCUUUAGGGAGGCCAAUGGAAAUACUAAAGAGAAUUUCACAAAGAAGAAAUUUAGAGGUGGGGGAGGGGGGCAAUAUAAAUAAAACAAGGAGUUCUAUAUAAUAUAGGAGGUGCAAAUGUGGCAAAGUUAAAAUUUCGAAAACUUCAAAGCCUAUCAUAUAAUUUUAGAAAACUUGUUGGGCAGGGGGAAGAAGCAAUCGCCUACACUAAACGCUAUUUAGCUCCACCUGUUUAGCCAAGUCCAGAAUGAGGCGUCUUAGUGGGGGCCCAAUCUGCGCGGUGUUCAAUUAAGUUACCACGCCAGAGCCUUACUAGCUAGCGGUCCCUGCACCAAUUGAAUUUGGAAAUGGGAAGAUUGGUUAUUUGAGACGAGUCAUUGGACGCCGGAAAAAUCCAAAAUUAGGAUAACCCUGAUGUAUUUUAAGCUCUUGCCCAAAUACGAAUCUAGAAAAAGUUACACACUUUUUAUGAAUUUCCAAAGCUUUUUUAUUUGCAUUCUGGAAAUCAUCACAAAAUUUUACUGUCCUUUUUUCAUAUAUUUUAUCGUAUUAAGAUGAAAAUGGGUGGGUAAUAGAAAAAAACCUACUACAAAGUAAUUAAAGAAUAAGAAUAAACCACUAAAAAAGGAAUGGCAAAACAAAAAAAAAAAAGAAAAGAAAAAUGUAGAAGGAGCCUAUCAUACUCAGUGAUUAAUUCCAAUUGGCUUUAAACAAUCAUUUCUUGAUUAUGAUCAAAAUUAAAACACAUUCUUGAAACUAGAACCCACUUACCUAACACCACCACCUAGAUCAGGGAUCCCAUAAGUUGAAAUUCUAUCUAAUUCAAAUUGAUUUGUGAAAUCCCUGCUACAUUUGAUAUAACCUUGCAUGGUUUUAGUGUAAUUGUGGAUUUGCCUGUAUGAGUUGAUAAAUUCAAAUUUACACUUAAAUUGUACAAGUUUAUUCCAAAACUUAUAAGAAUUAUAUCAACCGAUUUAAAUUGAACAAAAUUCACCUUAUGAGACAUCUGGUCCAACACCCCCUUAGACAUUCAAUUACGAAAGGAUUUGUUAAUUGCAAAAAUUUGGCCCUACCUACGUACCCACAAUGCAGUAUACGUUUUUAGAACAAGUCACACGAAUUCAUGGAACAUGCGGACGUACUGUACUCUACGAAAGCUCCUCUAUAUAAACCAGGCAAGUAUAUGGAAUCUAGCAUCAAAUUUCAAGAACUUUGAGCAAAUUUUCAGCCUACAAACAUGCAGAAAUAUAUUUGCAUUGUUUUGCUUCUUCUGGCAUUUCCUUUCAUUUUUAGUCAUGCUAAGAGAACAAACCCCGACAAACCAUGCAAGCAUUUCACAGUGUAUUACCACACCGUCAUAUUUAAUGGAACAAACACGGCAAAUGCUACUGCUGCAGUGGUUAGAGAGCCAACUAAAUUCUGGAACACCAGCUUCGGUCAGAUGGUGAUUUUCGACAGUCCUUUAACCAAAGACCAAAGUCUUCUUUCCACACCGAUUGGACGAGCUCAAGGGCUGUAUUUCUACGACAUGAAGAUGAGGGUCGGUUCUUGGUUUGCAUAUAGUUUGCUGUUUAACUCAACUGAGCAUAAGGGUAUCAUUAACAUUAUGGGUGCAAAUCUGAUGCAUGAGGAAACUAGGGAUCUCUCGAUCGUGGGAGGGACAGGCGACUUCUUUAUGGCCAGAGGCAUUGUAACACUUCGAACUGAAGACGUUGAUAUUCCUCGAUAUUUCCGUCUCCAAAUGGAUGUCAAGUUGUACGAAUGCUACUAGAAAAGAAAGCGUUCUGCUCGAAUGCAAUAACUUGGAUACAAUUCAGUUUAACUGUUCUUUCGCUAAUGAAAUGAUAGUUAAUUAAGAACCCUUUAUCUUUUGAAUUAUAGAAGCUGCUACUCUAAUGAUAGCUAGCAGAAUACAAAUACACUUUCCAUAAUGAAUUUGAUUUUUAUUUUGCUCUUUAUAUUGAGGUAAUAGCCAAAUGUCAGAUAAAAAGAGAACGCGUCGUCACCAAUUGAGGGCUAAUCGAGAAAGGCCAGAGGCUUGCAAUUCAAUCAACUAAUAAGCUGAUCGAUCGUCUUUUAAUUGUACUAAAAGGGCCGGCAAAACUUUAGAAUAAUUGAUGCUAUUGAGCUACCUUACAAGAAAUCAAAAAUUUGAGAUAAUAUAAUAUUGAUUCAAUUGAUAGUUUAGGUGAGUAAUGCUAAUCACAUAUACUUUAGAAGCACAAUUAAUUGAAAUGAUCUAAGAAAUAACAAAAGGAAGAGGGAACGACUUUACAGGCCGAGUCUUUCUCAACCCAACUUUGCUCUCAACUCAACUUUUUACUCAGUGGUGUUUUUUAAUCAACAAUUAAUUAGUUAGUCAUGUAUGCGUUAAAUCAUUGCUUCUAGUUGAAUCAGGUGAUUCACAUCCAUGUUUGUCAAACACUUCCGGCAAACAUCAUUUGAGUCGCAACUUUUUCUGGUUAUGUUUCUGCAGAAACUGGCAUUGCAAAAUUGAUUUCCAGGAUAUCCGGCCCAACGUGUUUAAUAUUGUAUUUGGUAAGGACUUUUGGUAUACUAAACAACCUAAAAGUAAUGGGUUGAUUGAAGAUAAACAUGAUUUUCCCUCUUUAGUUGCUUUCUUCCACCACAAAAUACUGCUCGAAGUUUAGAUUUCACGAUUAACUACAAAGGUAAGGUAGCCUCUUUUUAUAUUUAGUAUGGAGAACGUGCCUCUCGAUUUUGUUGGGUGACUUUUUGAAGGAUUUGAUUUAAAUUGAUUUACUUAGAGAGUCAUAAUUUUGUUGCAAAACAAGACAGAAUAAAGUCUACGUACUAACAUUAUAGAGAUGUUAUAUAUUUUACACUAGAAAGGAAGAAAAUACCCAUUAUUAAUUUUGAGUAAUUCCUUUUUUGCUUUCUUCAACUUUUUUUGAUCUAUUGUUAGCUUUUAUUCUAGUUCGCAUUUGCCAAUGACAAUGUUCAUAAAAAUUAUUGAGCUCGUUCAUGAAAGAAUUCUAAAGAUGGCGCAUGAGAAAUUUCAAAUUUGACUUUUUGAUUGGAUGGAUUGAUUGGGCAAAAUCUACGACAAUUUAUUGAUAGAGGUACGUGAGAUAAACUUGUGUUUGAAGAAUACGUCAAAAAAUCUUUUGAAUUUUUUUGUCGAAGAAAUGCGAUUUAAGUACCCAAAGUUUGGCCCAUAUGUCAAACCGGUCCCCAACAUUUCUAGCGAAACAAAUUUCACCCCCAUAGUUUCUGAUGUUAUUAUGUAGAUUUAGGACAAUUUAUGAAAAUUCGAUAAUCCUGAAGGACAGAAUCAACGUGCCAUUAGUCAAUAGUUUGACUUUGUAUUAUUCGUUCCUACAGUUUAGAAUUUCGAUCACUAUGGUUCGUUAGUUUUCAUCUGAGCAUAGUUAUGGUUUUAGAAUAAAAUAAAAUAUGAAUUGAAUCAAAUAUAUGAAACAUAUUGUUCCUAAAUCCCUAUAAAAAUCUCUAAAAGCACAUUAUAUUGGCACAAAAUUAUCCACUCUUUGGUAAGUUAUAAUUAAAUAACUAGAAAAAUAGUACGUAUUUUAAUACUUAACUUAAAUCUAACUAUUAUACAACUUAUUGUAAUAAUGUGGAUGUAAGUUUUAAUUGGUUAUAAUUAGAAAUUGCGAUUACAAUAAUUAGUGAUGAUCAGUCAUGAGACAACUAAUAUGGUUAAUAGUCCUAGCUUUAUGUAUCGAUUUCAUGUAAUUAAAUCAAGUGACGGUCAUAUAAGCAACUUGAUUUGCCCUAACAAACUGAGGCUAAAUCUAGACCAAAUACUCAGUGCUGAUGAAGAUAUGUACAAGUUUUUGACCCAUUUGCUUGUCACAAGUUUUGCUGCACGUUUACAUGAUCGAGACUGUGAUCAUGAGCAUGUUCAUGUUUUAUUUCGGAUACGGUCAAUCAGCUUGACCAAAAACACAUUCAUUUUAUGAAAUGUUAAAGUUUGGUUGCCACUCAAAACAUGACAUGCUUGUGUUACGUGUAUCAAAUGAUUAUUGUCUCAUGAAUCGGUAUUUGUGUAUUUGACGAAUUCUUAAGCGAUUUAAAAGGAUAGGUAUAUGUUUUGGAUUAAUUUUCUAUACACUGAAAGUGUAUAUAUUUUCACUGUUGGAUGCGUGACACAUAAUUCGAAUUUGAAUUUGAAAUCCAAAUUUUACAUAUGUAUAAUGCAUCCAAUCGUAAUAGUAUAUACAAUAUCAGUAUAUAUAAGAUUUACUCAUAUGUUUUAGACACCAACUUUGAAAUAUACAUUUUAAAAUUUUGAAAAAAAUUGGCCCAAAUAUUUUUUUUUCUUGUGCUCUUUGAGCCCAAUCCAUCCACUUUUCGUCCCAUUAGAAUGAGGAAAGGCCAUGUCCAUGCCCAAAUAGAAUUUCAGCCAAAGAAAAGGAAAAAAGAAGCGAUAAAUAGUGACGUGGAAAUGAAAUUAGCAUUGUUCUUUUACACUCUAACACCCAGCUAUUCCAUAUCUUCAUGGCUCCUUUUCUUAUAGAGUAGUGACUCCUAAUUUUGAAAAACCCUUUUCUAAAGUGUUAUUGGGCCAUUUUCAAAGUUCCAUUGUGGUUUCUCUCUUAGUUUUACUUUUUUAUUUUUAAUUUUUAUUAUUAUUUUACUUUAUUAAAAAAGACCCUCCAAAAACUUUAGUUUUCACUUUUAUUUUUAAUUUUUAUGUUCCAAAUUAAAAAUAAGGCACCACACAGACACAUAUGCAUAAAUGCACACAUUAUCGGUAUUAUCUAGCAAAACACAGAAGGUAAUUACUUUUCAUUAGAUGCAUGUUUUCUCAAACCAUGUUAUUUCCUGUUUUUCUUCCGUUAAUUACUAAGAGUUAGUUUACCUGGAUGGUGAUGAGAGUAUGAUGCAGUGAAUGGGUUUAGCCAAUACAGAGGUCGACUAGAUUUAAAUGCUUAUUCAUGCUAAGAAAAUAUGAUUACGUGUUUCAGGAUUAUUGUUCAGUUUGAGCAUAUGGGUUAACAGACAUUUUCAAAGUUUUCUUUGGUCUUUUAGAAAGUUUCGCACUUAAUAAUUUAUUGUUCUUGUGUUUUACUAUAAAAAAAAAAUUGUGAAACUUUUUUUUUGUAACCCGGAAUGUGCCUCGACGAACCCUCAGGACCCGAAUCGGCAUACUAAACCGGAGUGCGCCACGGCCCCACACAGCGACCCCAGGCGAGUCACAGGAGUUUAAGUCCAGGAUAAGAUUCGAAUCCAAUACCUCAAGAAUCUUCAAGAGCCCGCUUACCGCUGGACCACCCUUGUGAGGGCAAAAUUGUGAAACUUUGCAUGAAUUAUGAUGUCUUGUAUUCUUCAGCAAGACUUGAGGAUAAAAAAGAUUAUGGAUAUGGGUCUAGUUAUAUUUCUUUUGUGAUUGCACCUUCUUUUAUAUAGAGAGAAAUAUUCCGCUCAUUUUACGUGGUAAGAGGAAAAAAUAAACAAAUUAUUGUUGGAAAAUUAUAAUUUGACUAUAAUUAAAUGGAUUAAUUUUUUUUACACUGAUAGUGUAUACACCGUCAACAUUGGAUGAAUGAUAACUAUGCAGAAUUUGAAUUUGAAAUUUAACUUUUGUAUACAUGUCAUAAAUCUAAUAGUGAUAGUGUAUACACUGUCGGUGUAUAUAAGAUUUACUCUAAUUAAAUCUCUAAAAAUGGUUGGAUAGCAUCUGAGCAUAGUAUAAUUAAAAAACAAUUUGAAAGAUAAAUCCACCAUGUUUCUCUCCUUCUUUUAGUGUUAACACACACACACACACAUAUAUACACACACACACACACAUGCACACAUUCCCACGUAAAGAGAAUAUCUACUUAUUAAAAGAAAAGCACACCCAUAUUUACAUUCGAAAAGAUGCUGACAAUAUCCAAACAUUUUUAGGUUUUUAAAAAUAAUUUCACAUUUUAAUUUGUUAGUAAUAAUUUUGUUAUUUUUUACCCUUAUUAUGUGAAAUAAGUGGAAAAUUACCUCCAAAUAUGGGAUGAAAUUUAACUGGAUCCAUAUGCGUACAUAUAUUAUUAUUUCGCUAUUAUGUUUAGAAUAUUGAUUUUAAAAACUAUUAUUUGUCCUGUAUGUUAUAAAAUAUUGAGUUAACGAAUGAUUUUGGUGACAGACAAACAAAUUGCGAUAAAAUCAUGUCAAAGAAUAAUGUGCAAAGCACACUAGACCUUAAAGGGGCUUAUUGUAGUUGACACCUUAAAGGUAACAUUGUCGUUAUACAACAUUAGACUGAACUAAUGGUUUUGAAGGUAAAAUGAUAAAAUAACAAUAUUAGCGAUUAAAGUGUAAAAUUAAUUAUACUUAAGGGAGUGUUUUGGUAACUAAUCCUAUUCUGUAUUAUGAGUGUCCCGUAUUUUACUAAUUAUGCUUAUUCAAUGGUUAGAGCAUGCCCAUCAGCCCCGCUUCUAGGAAGUUGUCACGAGGUUAUUAGUAGAAAAAUCAAACGUAACCUUCUCUAAGUUUGCCUCAGAACAAAGUCAUGUAGGAUAGAAUUUAGCCUUCUCUUUUAGGGACUAGAUAAAUCGUUUGGGUUCAAUAGUGAUGGUUCAAACUUGGACCUCUUUUCAAAUGUAUCAUUCUCGAUUACCUUCCUACCUUGAUUCAUAGUUUGAUCCCUUUGUUAAAGAGCUCAACUUUAUACUAGAAAUUCCUAAGGGAAUUUGCCCCAUUUAAGCAUCCAAAAAACCCUAAGUGUUUAUAAGAGUACUUAGCAAUGAAUGGAAAUAUUGCCUAAAAAUAUCCUGCCUUAAAAGCUUAUAAGUGGAUAUUCAACUCUAAAAGUUAAAAUCAGACAAUAGGAAGCCUUUCUUUCUCCUACUUAAUCUAGUUCGCAAAGCAAAAGAUAUUACACAAAACUAACUCUGCUUUUGAAGGUGUUUUGCAGAAACAUAAGACAUAAUUGACGCAUUUUAAGACAAAAUUGUUCAUUUUUGUUUAAAGGAAAAAUUUGAUACUUGUGGUUUCCAAUAUCAUUAGGAGUUUUAUUAGAAAAAGGGGGGUUUGAGAAUAAACAAAAACCAGUUCCUCUAUUUUAUUUUGUUCCAAUAAUGGUCCUAAUAAUUCCUCGUCUGACAGUCACAAACAUUAGCUUGUAAGUUAAAAAAACCAUUAGUAAAUGUUUGCGAGGUACGAGCAACUGGCAUUCACCCAUCUCUUGCAGUGAAUUGAAGACCAACCCAUCUGGCCGCCAGCAAUUUUCCAAACCAAAAGGCUGAUCUGACAAUACCAACUUCAAAUUAAUGCUGCUAUAAAUGAUGUACAGUUCCAAAGAUUCAAAACAUGUGGUCAUCUCAUUUCUCCCUCUUUACUUCCCUUAGACUUUUUUCAAUCUGAUUUGAAAAAAACUAGCUAUUUGAAGGAUGCUAUCCCCCAAAUUGCCAAGAAACAAAACUUCCCCAGAAAAGAGUGGCUUAUGGCAGAAACACUUCAUAUACCUUACCACCUUUUAACCUUUGUCUUGUUCCAUUUAGCUUUGUUUGCAUCUUCAUCGUACAGCGUCUCUUUUGGCUUCUAUGCAACUUCUUGCCCUACAGCUGAAAUAAUAGUGAAGAAUACAGUAAGAGAAGCUUCCUCUUUGGACCCAACACUUCCUGGAAAGCUUCUUCGCUUGGUUUUCCAUGAUUGUUUUGUGGAGGUAAGCCUUCUCUCAUCUCAUGUGUAGUGUCCUAAAGACAGAAGCAGCACUUUAAUCUGGUUGCGUCCAGGGAACUUUCAACCUGCUUGGCCUGUAACUUUUUCAUUCAUGAUAUAGUUGCAUGAUACGUGAAACAAUUUUUUAUUAUUAGAAUAGAAAAACAAAAUAGUUCUAAUGCAAUGUGUAGACAUCGGGUACGCUCAGGGGCGGAGGGAAGGGGGGGGCCGGGGCCUCCAAUUGUUAAAAAAAAAAAAUUCUAAGUAAAAAAAUUUUUAUUAUAUUGUUUUGCCCCCCAAAUAUUGAUAAAAAAUUUCAUUUUGCCCCCCCUCCAAUUGUUAUAAAAAAAUUUCUAAGUAAAAAAAAAUUUUCUUAUAUUGUUUUGCCCCCCCAAAAUAUUGAUAAAAAAAUUCACUUUGCCCCCUCCUAAGGACCCAAAUAAUAAUGUUUGAAAGUUAUUUGGAUUUUGUCCAAAUAACAGAGACUCGCCCCCCCUAAUUGCAAUUCCUAGCUCCGCCACUGGGUACGCUACAAGAUAUAUCUGCAGAAAAUUGUUUACUUGUGUAAAUUCCCAAUAAUCUGUACAAGUUAAUGUUUUUUCUUUAACUGGUUAAGGUAGCAUAAACAAAUGUUGUGCUUUCUUAAAGUUGGCUCUUUUCGGCUUGCACUUUUUAGGCAAAUGACAAUGAAAAUUUUCCCAGUAUGCUCUCAAAUUUCUUUCCACACAUACAAUUUGUUGAGAAAGUGUUAAUUACAAGUGUUCAAUGUGAGUUCUAGCCAACUAACAUGAUCUUGUACGUCUUUACAAUAAUAAAGUCUAUGUAGAUAGUUAACACCAAUUUGGUGUUAAUUUUGUGUGUUUUUAAAUUUAUCCUUAUCCCUAUCUAUAUCAUAAAUAAAUGGAUAGAAAGCCUUUUAGUGCAAAUAAAAAGUUGUUAUUUUAUGAUUUUUCUAAAUUACCUUUAAGUAUAAUUAUCCACUGUCAUGUCUACUUUUGUUUCUCCAGCCUAUUAUCAUAUCUACCUCUAUCUCUCCUACCUAUUAUCAUAUUCAGUUCUGCCUCUUUUUUUUUUUUUUUUAAUAACUACUCACUGUCAAAUAAUAAUCUAUUUGUACAUUUUAUUUAUGUAAAUGUCAAUUUUCUGUACGUAUUAACAAUAUAUAAAACCAAAUCUCAUAAAAAAUAAUUUCAACAAAUAUCUUUAAAAUUUUUUUAAAUAUUUAUUUAUUGCUAGACGCAUAUCGAGUGUGCAUUAAGCACUAGUAUAUAAAAUGUAUCACAUGCCGGGAUGGAAUUAGGGGGGAAUAGAAGGGGCUCCCGCCCUCUGAAAUUUUAUAAAAUUUAUUUUCCUCCUAUAUAAAUUUGAAAUUGUUAAAAAUAUUCUUUAUAAAUUUAAAAUUUGGACCCGCAAAAAUUUAAAAUCAGUUUACAUACCAUAUGCAAGUUUAGCUAUGCUGAAGUUCACUCCCUCGAGAUAAAUUUUCUAGUUUUCUCUAUGAUCACAAGACUUGUGCAAAAGCAUGUAAUCAACAUUCUUAGAAGCCGUGUUUUCCAUGUUUGCAGGGCUGCGAUGCUUCUAUACUACUACAAGGAAAUGGCACUGAAAGAAGUGAUCCAGCAAAUUCUUUCCUAGGAGGGUUUUCAAUAAUUGAUUCAGCCAAAAGGGUGCUUGAAUUCUUCUGUCCAGGAACAGUUUCUUGUGCUGAUAUUCUAGCUUUAGCUGCCAGAGAUGCUGUCGAAUUUGUAAAGUCAAAUUACCACAUUUUCACUUUAAUAAUAAUGACCAUUUCUUUCUAAUUAAUAACUUCUUCAAUUCUUGAUAACUAAUUAAUGUAGUAUUGAAUUGUCAAACUAAUAAAACUGUACAACAGGCAGGAGGGCCAAGUGUGCUGAUUCCAACAGGAAGGAGAGAUGGGAGGAUUUCUUUGGCUUCAAAUGUGAGGCCUAAUAUAAUAGACACAAGUUUUACAAUGGAUCAAAUGCUUAAGAUAUUCUCAGCUAAGGGCCUAUCGUUGGACGACUUAGUCACUCUCUCAGGUAAGAAUCCUUGAAUGCAAGCACAUGAUAUGUACACACUAACAAACAACAUUUAAUAGGCUGGAUAGAGAAAAGAAUCCGAAGAGGGGCACAAUUGAGUACUGAAGGCGUUGUUUUUUGGCUUUAGAACGAGCACGCUUUUUCAUAUUUCCUCGGUUCCCUAACUUUUUCCAUCCCUAAGUUCUUUUCUAUAAAUCCAAGAAGUUAGAUGCAUAAAUAAAAUUUAGUCGAUCUACUCUUUUUGUUAACGUCUUUUUUUUUCCUUCUUGCAUUUUUUUUAAAAUGAUAGUGACUUUUCAAAAAUCAACACAACAUUUUUUUAGUUUUUUUUUUCUAUUUUGCCAUUUGAAAACGUAAAAUUCUUACCAGAGGGGAAAAAAAUCUCUUCAUGUUCUGAUGCACUUUUCCUAAUUUUGAAAUAUGAAUGUCAUGACCAUACUUUAAAAUCAUCAAAUGCGUUCCCGUCCAACAAAAUAAGUAAAUGGUCCACCAACAAUAUUUUAAUUCCCAAAAAAGUCUGAUGGGACGGAGGUAGCAUCUGGAAAGUAUUUAUGUAUUGUGAAUGCAUGCAUGCUAGUAUUAUUUAGGUACAUAAAUGUUGUCGGUUGUUGUUUGUUGGAGCUUUACUCAAUAAUUGAUGUUUUACUCUUCUCGUGCGAAAAACAAUAAAUGUGUUUCAUUGCACAACACCAAGUUAGGGAUGUUGCUGCUGGAGGUCAAACAGAUGAGGCUGCAGAGGCAUAACUUGCAUAUACACUUCCAGAUGAUACCCAAAAAGAAAAAAAAAAUAAAGAAAAAGGAAUUCCAUCACUAACUGUGAAAUGGCAAGGAUUAGAACAGAAAUUGAACAAAGUUGAGAAUCAAAAAUGCGUUUGAUAAAACUGAAAUCUAAAAGUAAAAUUUAAAAUAUGAAAUCUGAAGUUUAAAUCUGUUAAGUUAUUGAAUUGUUAGGUAUUAAAUUUAAUACAUUUAAGUGUAUGUCACAGUGAACCUAAGAAACAAUGCAUUAUGUAUAUCAAUAAUGAUUAACAAACACAAGAGUUAGUAGAGCUACAUUCACUUGAGGAGGUGCAGUUGCACCCUUCAAUUUUUUGAAAAUUAUAGACUAACCCAUGAAAACUUUAGUCAUUUUAAUGUUGUCUCACUCUUGCCCUUCCUGAAUUUUCAAAAUAUUCAAUCUUGCCCCACAACUGCCCCUCAAAAGUGUUAAAAUUUCUUAUAGUUGCCCUCACUAUUUCUAAAAUGGAAGUUUGAAAUAAAAUAUUAUACUAUUCUUAUUUUCUUUCUAAUAAAUAUUUUCACUUAUUUCACUUAUAUGCCCAACCAUAGGAAUUACUCCUACAUGGGAACCAAAUAUUUGAUAAUCACUUAGUUGUGCCAAAAAUCCACACACCACACGCUAUAAGUUUAAUCUAAUAUUAUUGCACCCUCUAAGUAAAGGUCUUAGCUCUGCCACUUAGUGCUCAAUAAUUCAUAUUUUAUUUUGGGUAUAUCUAUUAUCCUGGUCCUCCGGGUAAUAUGUUACUAUUAUAUUUACAAGAGGGCUGUUAAACGUUAAUUACCAUAUUAUGCAAUUGAAACCUUAGAUAAAGCAAUUCAGUUAAAAUUUUUUCUAUUUCUUUCUACAAUUUGAAAUUUUUUUAAAACAAAAUGAAUAUGAUAAUCAUGACAACUUGGGGGAGUACUUGGUUUACAAUUUUUUUUUUUUUUGUCAAAUACUUGUGUUGCUACGUGGUUAAUUUGCUCUGAGCAACUAAGACCAUGUUUAAUAACUUAAUUUAGUACUUAAACCUAAUAAAUUCAGAUUUUAACAUGUUCGUACGUGUUUGAUAACCAAAAAUAAAUAUCUGAAUUAAUUAAGCAGCAUUGAAAUUUUUAGACAAAACAUGUUCGAAAAAUUAAGUGAUAAGUUAUUCACUUAUAAUUAAAUAUGAUGUACAUUCAAGUAUAUCAAAUGUAGUACUUUACAAUUCAGUAAUUUAAUGGAUUCGGAUUUUAGAUUUUACAAUUCAGAUUUCAAUUUUCAGACUUUAGUUUUAUAAAUAAGUGUUGUAGCCGCAUCACACAUUAAAAGAAAAGAAAAUCUUCUACAUCCUUUGAACUUCAAUUCUCUCCAAUAUCUCUAUAGGUCCAUAAAAAUUCAUGGUUUUCGCAGGGGCACACACAAUAGGAUCAGCACAUUGCAACGCAUUCAUGGAUCGAUUUAAAGUUGAUUCCAAGGGAAAUUUCACUCUUAUUGAUUCAUCUCUCGAUAGAGAAUACGCGGCACAGCUAACCAAAAGAUGUCCAGGAGGGGCAGCAGCUACAUCACCUACUACAGACAACGACCCAGAAACACCUAAUUUAUUUGACAACCAAUAUUACAAGGAUCUCCUGGCUCACAAGGGCCUCUUUCAAUCUGAUUCAGUUCUGGUAAGUGAUAAGAGAACAAUCAGCAAAGUUCAGAAUUUUGCAAAUAAUCAAGACAGUUUCUUUGAGAGUUGGGAACAGUCGUUCUUGAGGCUUACUAGCAUUGGGGUGAAGAUAGAUAAUGAAGGAGAGGUUCGACAAUUAUGUGCAGUUGUUAAUUAAGUGAUAAUCAAAUAAAAGAGCUUUUGAAAUGUUUUUUAAAUUUUACAAUGCCAUUGUUUGCAUUACAAAUCAAAUACUCCAAGUUUAUACGUUUUUUUUUUUGGGCUAGUUGUACGUAGAUUACUUUAUGUUUGAUUCUGAUGAGGCGAAAGAAUUUAAUUGAAGUUUAUUACAUUACUAUAUUUGCUACACCUAUAGUAUUUUUUUUUUUUGAGAAAUUCCCAAUUAUAUAAGAUUAAGGUAGGUUGUAUCCCGUAAAUGUAAUAAUUCUUAUAUAUUUGGUACUUUUUUUUGUUGAAUUGGUGUAUAUGAACAAAAAUCACGAAUACACCAAAGUUACAUGAAUUAUAAUUACUCUCUACAAGCUCAAACGAAGGCUUUGAUGUAGAAUUGACAAGGUGCUAGGAACUCUUUGACAGCCUCCCAACUCAAGGAGGUAAUUAGAUCCCAUUCCCCUCUUGUAGUUUUCUCAGUGAAACCAAUAAACAAACAAAAAAAAAAUUUAAGGAGAAUGUUAGAAGAAAAUCAAACUAUGAUGAAGUGGCUGUACUUCAGUCGGUAAUCAAGUGCUUUAGCUUUCCCUGGAAUAAUAAUAAUGUUAGAGUCUAUUUGUACUACUUUUAGUACUGAAAUGGAAAUGUAUGAUUUUUUAUUUUUUAUUUUUUUUUAUCAAUUGUCAUCCCUACUCCUAUUCAUACUCUAAUUACGAGGAGACUCACUUGAACCUACGAAAAAUCAAUGAGGAUAGAACCAUCACCGGAUCAGACAGGUGCACUACGCACCAGUCUGAAUUUGAAGUAAAGCCACUAGAGUGGCAUUUUGGUGGGGGGGAAGGUCCCCACCAAAGCCUUAAGGGCUUGGUGGUGGCCAGCUGGUGGUUGAAAUGGAAAUGUAUGAUGGUGAAGCAAAUUGCACUGGGUGACUAGUGGGAAUUUAUUUCAGCACAGGACAGAACAAUGGAAGGGCGGAAGGGCCAGACUUGACUGUAGCUUUAAAGAUUUCAGAGAAUUCAUCAAUAUUAACAGGCUAAUUGACAUUGGACCCCCCUUGGACAUGGUAUAAUUAGUGGGAGAAUAAGGGAGAAGUAAACGAAGAUUAGGCAGAGGGCUAGCAAAUCCAGAAUGGUUUCAAAAUUUUUAAAAACCAAUAUUUUCCCACAUUGAAAAGGAUGCUUCUGAUCACUGCUUGGUACUUCUAUGCACAAGUCUUGAAAUCAGGAGGAGAAAGAACUAAAGUUUCUUCUUUGAUAAUUAAAAGAGCUUAAGACGCAGACCUAAGGGGAAAAAACUGUAUAGAGUAAUGAGGAAGAGAAUAGAAUGCAGGUUGGCUUUGAGAAGUUGGAGCGAAUAAAACACAAAUAAGUUUGUGCAAUGUCAUUUUUAAAAUUAUAUAAAAGAUUUUGGCCAAUAGAGGGAAAAAAAGUAUUGGCAGACAAAUGCUUGACAGUGUUGUGAUUGCUCAUGAAAAUCAUUUAUUUUUUGAAAAAACCAAAGAAAUAGGAAAUAUGGUUUGGAUUAGAGGUGUCAAUCACAAUCCAUAUAUAUUGAUCCAUUCAUUAAUAAAUGAACUUGGGUAUCCGAUGCAUUUUAAAUGGAUUUAAACAGAUGACUCAGUUAGACUCAUUUAAUAAUUGAAUAGUGGAUUGACUUGUCUCAUCUAUUUGUACUCAUUUAAAAAUAAUUACACAUUCACCAUCAAUUUUAAGGGGAUAAAUUUGAAUUUUUUACUAAUUUAAUUACAAUAAAAUAUCAUUAUUUUUUAUCGAACAACAUGUCGAAAAAAAGGUAGAGUUUCAAAUGGAUCAUACUUAUUUAUUGAAUGGAUAAUUGAAUAUACGUAUACCCAUUUAUUAAAUGGAUACAAAUAAAUUAACUAAAUUAUUUUUAUAAUCUAAUUAUGAUUGAUCAAACCCAUACGAAUUACCCAUUCUAUCAUAUCUAAGUUUGGAUAAUUCAAUAAUUCAAUUCGAGCCAUCAUAACUGUUUUAAAAUUGGGCUUCGCUUAUGAAGUCAAUAUGGGCUUAGAAAUUAUUCUGAACCACUAAACAAAGAGAGAGAAGUCAGACCCAACAGAAGAACCGAAAGAGAAAAUGGCAGAUUUGGAUUGUUGCUGUGGAACCUGAUGUUGAACUCUUGAACACAGCACAAACAAUGAGAAAAAUGGUCGAGAAGUUGAUAAAGAAAGACAGGCCCAAUUUACAAUUUCGGUUGUGCAAGUCUAUGACCUAUAUAAUUAGUGGACAUACAAAAUACAUACCAAACUUUUUGGUGUUAUACUUCCACCUUUGCACCUGAAACACUUUUAAUGUUUCUCACUAACCUUUUUCUUGUCAGAUGUGCUCUUUGAAGUUGUCAAGUAUGUAUAAUGUUGCACCUUCAACUCUUAUUUUAUACACUUUAGUUAAAUUAAUCUUUUAUUAGAAGCAACAACCAGGUAAGUAUUGUCAGUGAGAAAUGUCUCAAUAAAAGCACAACAAUUCCUAAAUCAAAAAAAAAAAAAAAAAAAAAACAAAGGUGCUACACAACACUAGCUAGCUAGCUAAUACAAACUCAUAUCAAACCAUGGAUAACUUUUUUUUACAGUGUCAGUGCAUAAUUUAUUUAUUUUUUUUAACGUUAGCAAAUUAGAUCAUGUCACAUAACAUGAUUUCAAAUUUGAAAUUCAAAUCAUAUAUAUGGCAUACAUCUAAAGUUAUUAAUGUAAAAAAAAAUUAUUACACUGUUAGUACAUAAAAAAUAAAUCCAAAAAAUAAACCCUCAUGUACUCGAAAUUAAAAACAAAAGGCCCUCAAAUCAAAGUCUCAUGAAAUGCUGAUCUGCCACUUAGCUUUACUUCGACCAAUCCCUCUCGAAGAAGCAACGGCAGCAAGUAUUUGCUGCAAUACAACUAUUCAAUACCACAAAAUGAGGCUUCGGACUCUCUUGCAAAACAAGUCUCUGGCUCCUUUCCUUUCACAAAUGAUAAACCACAGCCAAGAGAUAGUCUAGACACACCUGACCAAUAAAAGAAUUUUGGACCCGAUGUGUAGACACCUUAUAAUUUGAAAUUAAAUUACCAAAUUACCAUCAUCUUAUUCACUAUAACUAAUGUAUACAAACAAUAGACUUAUAUAUAUACCACAUUCAAUCUUCCUUCUUGUCCAAAUCACACUAGCCGAUAUGGAUUCCCAAACAAAAUAAAGAAAGACAAAGAGUGACACGUGUGCAAGAAAAAAUAUGUAGACUAAAACUUUCCUGUACUAUAUACACUAAUAGUUUUAAAUGUAUGAUACAUAUGCAAAAAAAAAAAGGGAGUUUUCUAACUUUGACACCUAAUGUUAUUUCGGCUAUAUUUUGAGUUACUAGUAUUGGAUUGAGCUGAUUAUAAAACCAUUUUGAAACUAAGAUCUAGAUCUACAUUUGUUGACCUUGGUCGAUCAAUCCUUGGUUUUGAUGAUUAACAAACCAAAAUGUAGAUUUGGGCUAAUGUUUUUAUGUGAGUAAUUUGUUAGAACAGAUUCUUGUGGCAUAAAAGAAGAAGCAAAAACAGGGCACUCAUGUCGGACGCUAUCGGACGUCCGAAAGGAUGAAGAACAUCAAGAAGGAAACUCUGUCGGACGCUCGUGAGGAAGCAUCGGACGUCCGGAAGGAUCGGACGCACGCCUCGGACGCACAUCGAUCGCAUCGGACGUCCAAGAAAUUUCACAAAAAUUUGAUGACUCUCUGCCUACGUUCGGACGCAGGGUUCGGACGUCCGACAGGUGGUUCGGACGUCCGACAGGCACCUGUCGGACGUCCGACAGGCCAACGGCUAGUUUUGACAGCAUUUAAUAUUUGACCGUUGGAGAGUCUUUUGGAGCCAUUUCUCACCUUCUAUAAAGACCCCAAAGCACAAGAAGACAAGAGACUUUUGCCAACACAAAAUACAAGCUUACAAGUGAGAUUUUUGAGUAGAAAGAUUCUUUGUUGGUUGUAUAAGGGGUUGGGAAAGUUGGGUUGUGAGGUUGCUCAAGUGAAGGUUAUUCUCUAAGAGGAGUAAAACCUUGGUGAAGGUGAACCUAUCACUUGAAGUGGUAAAACCUUGGUGAAGGUUGCCUCAUUUGUGUAAAAUAGUUCUUAAUUGGGUGAGUGAUCUUUCAAGUGUAGGUUGUUGAGGGUUAACUAGAAUAGUUGUAAAACUCCUUGGCUCAACCAAAGUGUGUUUGGGGUGAGGAAGGAGUGAGCCUUCACUUGUACAUCUUGGUUAGCAUCGCCAUCUAUUGAAGAGGCUAUUGGAUUGAUAUUUGGUUUGCAUUUCUUAUCUUUUCUCUUUAAUUAAGUUUUCUUUAUUGUGCUUAAAUUUGAUAUAUCUUUGUGCAUCAUUGUGAAUUUGUUUGUACUCAUUGGGUUGCACCGGGCUCUUACAAUUGGUAUCAGAGCUUGGUCUCUUUUGAUCAAGCUUAACCGCUUAGAGUAAAGAUCAUGGCAACCAUAAAAGUUUCUUUUUUAGAAGGGCAAUCUAUUGAUAGACCACCUAUGUUUAAUGGUUCUCAUUUUAGCAUGUGGAAACAAAGAAUGAUGAUUUUCUUACAAUCCGUUUAUAUUGAAUUAUGGUAUGUGGUAGAAGAUGGUCCUUAUGAAGCUAGAAUAGUUGACUCCACCACCAAUUUGAGUAGAUUAAAGACUAGACAAGAAUUGAAUGAAAAAGACAAGAGAUACCUUUCUUUGAAUGCCAAGGCCAUGUGUAUAUUGUACAAUGCAUUAGAUGUAAAUGAAUCUAGUAGGAUUAAAGGUUGUAAAUCUGCUAAAGAUAUUUGGGAUAAAUUGUGUGUAUUUCAUGAAGGUAACCAAGAGUUUAAAGAACAAAAGAAAUCUUUGCUUGUUUCUCAAUAUGAAUUUUUCAAAAUGCAUCCUCUUGAAAAUGUUGAUAAGAUGUGUAGUAGAUUUUGUGACAUUAUUGAAGAUCUUAAAUUGUUUGGAAAAGAAUAUUCUUUGGGUGAGAAAAAUAGAAAGAUUUUGAAUGCCUUGCCAAAAGAAUGGGAAAACAAAAUAAAUGCUAUAGAAGAGGCAAAGGAUUUAAAUUCUAUGUCCAUUGAAUCUCUUGUGAAUUCCCUAACCUCUUAUGAAUUAAAACUGAAACUCAAAGUGCAAGAGGAAGAAAAUGCAAGAAUGUAUAUGAGAGGCAUAGCUUUUAAAGCAUCUCAAGUGAGGGAUAACCCAUCCUUCAUGGGUAAUGAAAUCAUGGAAGUGGACAAUGAUACAACUCCUCACAUCAAAAGUUUCAAGAAGAUCUUCAACAAGAGAUGUUCAAGAGGAGAUUGCAAAGUUACAUGGGAUGAAUGCAAUUCAAAAAGAGAAAAAGAAGAGUUGGCCCAAAUAGCACUAAUGGCCGUUGGAGAAGAUGAGGUAAGUUCUUAUCACUCUUCUUGUGAUGAAGAUAAUGAAGAUGAUGAUGUGAAAAUUCUUAUGAUUAAAAUGCAUAAAAGUUUGAGAAAAUCUUAUGCUAAAAAUAAAGAUUUGAAAACAAAAAUAAAUGAUUUGUUGGAAGAAAACUCCAAACUUUUUCAAGAAAACAAAUGUUUGAGAAUGGAAAAUGAUGAUUUAAAAAAUCAAAAAAAUGUUUUGAAAAGGAAGUUGGAAGAGACAACAAAGUUUUAUGAAAAAAUGUUGGAGGAACAAAAUUUGUUAAAGAAAAGAAUUAAUGACUUGAACGAGUUUCUCCAAAAUGAAAAACAAAAGUUUUCUCAAACAAAAGAAAGCAAAUCUUUUCAAGGCACAAAUAAGUUUGUUAUGAUAAGAAGUAAGAAAAUUAGUUGCAUUAAAUCCACCUAUGUGCAAAAUACUUCUAUCAUGUGUCACUUUUGUUGCAAAUUUGGACAUAUGCAAAAUGAUUGCUAUGUAAAGAAAAAUAUGAGAAAAGACAUGAAAUCCAUGUGGAUUGCUAGAUCAUGUCGUAUUAACUCCCAAGGACCCUAUAAAGAAAUGGUACCAAAUGAAAUUUCUCAUAUUUAGGCACAUCAUGAUGAUUUGAUCCAAGAAGUGCUAUAUGGUUGUAAGUACAAUUGAAAAUUUUGAUAUUCAAUAUGGUCUUGAUUUGAAAAAUAAAGGGGGAGUUUGUUUUUGAUUGAUGCCAAAAGGGGGAGUAGGAUUUAUUGAAAUUUCUUUGUAUGUUGGCACUUUCUAAGGGGGAGCUUUAUUUGAACUUAUUUGAUAAAAGAAAUCUUCAUUUUGUUUGUCAUCAUCAAAAAGGGGGAGAUUGUUGACCUUGGUCGAUCAAUCCUUGGUUUUGAUGAUUAACAAAUCAAAAUGUAGAUUUGGGCUAAUGUUUUUAUGUGAGUAAUUUGUUAGAACAGAUUCUUGUGGCAUAAAAGAAGAAGCAAAAACAGGGCACUCAUGUCGGACGCUAUCGGACGUCCGAAAGGAUGAAAAACAUCAAGAAGGAAACUCUGUCGGACGCUCGUGAGGAAGCAUCGGACGUCCGGAAGGAUCGGACGCACGCCUCGGACGCACAUCGAUCGCAUCGGACGUCCGAGAAAUUUCGCAAAGAUUUGAUGACUCUCUGCCUACGUUCGGACGCAGGGUUCGGACGUCCGACAGGUGGUUCGGACGUCCGACAGGCCAACGGCUAGUUUUGACAGCAUUUAAUAUUUGACCGUUGGAGAGUCUUUUGGAGCCAUUUCUCACCUUCUAUAAAACCCCAAAGCACAAGAAGACAAGAGACUUUUGCCAACACAAAAUACAAGCUUACAAGUGAGAUUUUUGAGUAGAAAGAUUCUUUGUUGGUUGUAUAAGGGGUUGGGAAAGUUGGGUUGUGAGGUUGCUCAAGUGAAGGUUAUUCUCUAAGAGGAGUAAAACCUUGGUGAAGGUGAACCUAUCACUUGAAGUGGUAAAACCUUGGUGAAGGUUGCCUCAUUUGUGUAAAAUAGUUCUUAAUUGGGUGAGUGAUCUUUCAAGUGUAGGUUGUUGAGGGUUAACUAAAAUAGUUGUAAAACUCCUUGGCUUAACCAAAGUGUGUUUGGGGUGAGGAAGGAGUGAACCUUCACUUGUACAUCUUGGUUAGCAUCGCCAUCAAUUGAAGAGGCUAUUGGAUUGAUAUUUGGUUUGCAUUUCUUAUCUUUUCUCUUUAAUUAAGUUUUCUUUAUUGUGCUUAAAUUUGAUAUAUCUUUGUGCAUCAUUGUGAAUUUGUUUGUACUCAUUGGGUUGCACCGGGCACUAAUAACAUUUCUUGUGAAGAUCUUGAAGCCCAGUUUAGUCGUUUUCAUUGUAAAAAUGUCGAAAUACAGAAGUGCAAUUUUGUUGUUAAAAGCUGAAACAAAGUUUUGACCACUUGAGGUUAUUUUGGUCAUUUAUUGGUUCAUAGAGCUCUAAAUUCGAUGAUUCUAGAAGCAUUGGAAAGCUAACUCAAAGAGCUACAACUUUCAUGUUUUAUAGAAGAGCUAGUUCAGCCUCCAUCAACGAGAAAAUAUCCAUAGAAAUUGAUACAAAAAUAGAACAAGGAUGAAGAUUGACAAAAAAUGAGUAAACCUGAAAUAAGGCAAAACAGGGGGUACAAUACGCCAGUUAGGUCGUGUUUUCAAGGCCGUGUAUUCUUGUUUUGCGGCUGCAACUUGUGCUCUGUUCACGCAAGCUUUUUGAUUAAUUUAUCUGCAAGAAAUCCAUCAGGAAAUGAGAAAGCAAGCAUAGAGAAUUCAAGAAACAACUUUUGGUGAUUCUAAGAUGAAUUUUACAUUAACUUUAACAAUUUACCUUGAGUUUGAAUUCCUCUAUAAAUGGAAGCCUUGGAGGACAUUUUUAACAACUUUGGAAGGGUAGAGAAACUCCACAAAAAUGUAGUUUUCACUAUAUUUCUUAGUUCAUUAGUAUAGUAUAAUUAGUGUAGUUUAUCUUUUUUUUUUAUAUUUAUAGUUAGACUUGGAUGAAAAUUUAAAGAGCAAAGAUGGAGAGUUGGAACUCAUGUGACAAGGGUGACUUCUCUCCUAUCACUUUCUUUAUUGUAUUUGAUUUCAUGUUUAGCUAUAAUACAAGUUUGGUGUUUAUCUUCAUGUUUUGCUAAAAUUUAUGCCUAGAGUCAUGGAUGAACUUUCUAUAUCGUGUUAGUUAUAUUUAUUUGGUUAUUUGAUAAUAUUAUUUUGAACAAGUUAUUUAUCAUUUUUGCUUAUCUAAUCAUGAUUAACCAGUUAUUAAUUGUGAUAAUCUUAAGGUGUUAAAUUUGCAAUAAGAAUUGGGAUUUAACACUAGUUCAACGAAGUGAUAAAUCUAGAGAAUUCACUCACGAGAGUAGAGGUGUACCUAUGUGGUUUCAGUGACUUGUUUCAUGUAAUUUCAUAAAGAAAAUGAACUUGUAGUUAAUUUCAUAACCAUGAGAGUAGAUAUGACUUAGUUACAAGUAUAGUUGAUUCACUACGAGAGUAAGUUUCACAUAUAUGAGAAAAUUGCGCCAUAACUAGACAAGAUAAUAGCAUUCACUUAAUCGAUAAUUUCAUUUGCAAGAGUAGUAAGAAAUUCCAUACCUGUAGGAGUUUUGUAUUGUUAUUUUUAUUACUUUUAUCUCAUGUUUAUAGUGUAGAUUUAAUUUUUUGCAUUUAUGAUAGUCUAAAUAAUAAAGAAAUUUAAAAACAUUGGUAAUUAACAAUCUUUCCUGUGGAUUUGAUUCUUAAUACCCUAUAUUGAAUUUUAACUCGCAUACUUACGAAAAACGCGUGUAGGAUAUUUAUGAAUUUAUAAAUAUAAAAUUUAAUUGUGGAAUGAGUUUAAUAAUUUUAUACACAUCCCGUGCUCGUUAGAUCACAUGGGGACACGCGUUUUUGUUUUAUGUACUUGUAGUACAAUAAUGUUUUGUAUUUGGGCGUGUAAAUUGAAUUUUUGAGUUCAAUUAUUCUUCUGUGCCCUUUCGAUCAUGACUUCCCGGUUGACUCGUGAUCCACAAUUCACGCGAAUUCCCAAUCAAGAAAGAGGAUGCUUUUAGUUAUGUGGCUUGUAUCAAAUCCUGGUUGAUGUGCUUUUCCUGGCAUUGUCCACCCGGGAAAAUUACAUAUGUAGAACCUUCCCCGGAGUGUUAGAGCCAUAAUCACUUUUAAAAUAACUUUUUUUUAAGUAAGUGAGAGAUUUUAAAAGUUGAAUAAUUUACUUACAAUUUUUCUUUUUUACCAUCCAACCCAACUGUUCUAUUUUGAAAACAACUUUAAACACGUUAUCUACUUUUCAUACUUAGGUGGUUACACAAAAAUUUACUAAAAUUCUCCGCAUACAUCUCAAAAAACAACCAUUCAAGCGCAUGCUUACUUUAGUUGAUUUUUUGCUGCAAUAAACAGAGUUUGGAAAGUGACAUAUAUACCAAUAUACCAAUACUUAUUUGAAAAAUAUCACAGGCCCAUAUUCAUAGGUAUAAAUGAAAGACAAAUCAAGAAACUAAUACAGGCAAGUGUACAGGAUCACCCAGGAGACUAUAUAAACAUCAAUUAAUUAGAGAUUGAAUCUCUUACUAAAUAAUUUACUUGUACUGUUAUUAAGAACCAUUGUGAAUUCAGGGUCUUCGUGUAGAAACCAUUUUGUGGUUGCAAAUAAAUUCCUUGUGUCACAGGUUACUUGUUCUUGUCAUGAGUUGUUUGUUUUCCUACAAAUCAAUUUUCGGUGCAAAACUAGCCAACCGUUCAUAGGCCAAGUUUUAAACAACCGCUAAUGCCGCAUGAAGUGUUGGCUCGUGGAAAAAUAAGCCACCGUGACACUUGGAAGGCCUUUGGGAAAACCAUGAGAGGUACUAAACUUUGCAAAAAGUCAACAUUUCACGCAAGGGGCUUCAUUCUCGGAUAAAACACCAUUGAGGGGACACAAUACAUUCAAUUAAUUAAAUAAAAUACUAUCAAUAGAUGAAAAUGCCAAACAAAACAGGGAAUGUAUCUGGGUAGAAGAAAUUAUCGUAAAGGCAAAAUGUAACUAGAAAAGCCAAGAAAGCUGCCUAGAUAUGUAUUUUCUUGCUAACAACAAUCCGUCGGCAAUUAAUAGAGUUAGUGUGGUUAUCACAUUUCUUUUUGCUUCAUCAAUUGAAUGAUAUUAUGUUAAAUGAAAAGUUAAUAAAGGUGGUCUAAUUACAAGUUAAUUCUUGCUGAUUGCAACUCGCAAGCUAGUUCUUGCUGAAAUAUAAAGAAAAGAAACAGAUGUGAACCCUUCACCAACUGGCAUAUGGAAUUAUGGUCCCAAACCUAAAGCAUAUAAGCUAUUUAACCAUUAAACAGUUGAUGCUCUUAGCUUCCCUGAUAUGUUAUAGUUUUCAGAGUGAGUUUGUUUACAUUAAGAAAGAGACAGAUUCGAGCUUUCUUCCGUGUAUUGUUUGUAUUAAUUAGUUACUAGAAUAUUGAUAGCUCCAAUACUGCAUGAUUGAACCAGAUCCAAGUAGGAACAUUUUACUUCGUUUGAGAUUCCAAAUCAACCUUAACCAAGUAUAUCAAUCUACAACUCUCAUGUUUGGUCCCGAGGUCCCGGGGCUUUAUGAGUUUGCUGGGAUUAAUGGUCCUCCAGGUCUAUCACUAGAAGAAGCAAGCAUCAAACUUGCAGAUCAUCAACUGUCAUUAUAGUGAUGCAUGAAAUAGAAAAGACACACAAAUGUUAAUUAUAGUCUUAAGCUAUUAGAUUAUGAAUAUCUAGACUGUGUUUUCAAUUCUGAUUUUUGUGUUCAUUGCAUAAUGGUUAAUCGGAUGUGGAUCUAAUGUAGACUUAAGAUACCUUGUAAAUGCAUAGAUUUACGUUUAUUGCACUUUUUCAAUUUAAUUUUACUUAAAAAAGAAAACUUAGACAUGAAGCCUCUCAUAAUGUCCCUGUAGCAAACCCUUUCAAUUAAUAGAUGACAAUUUCUCUUUGUUUUUUUUGAGACAAUUCAUGAUGUACUAGUAUUUAACUUGAUUAUCUAGUCUGUUUUUAGCUUUAAAGUGUAAUUUUUUUAAUUGAUUUUUCAAAUACGUCAUAUCUAUGAUGUCGGCUGUAAUUUCUGCCAUUAGUGCAAAUUUUAUUAUUUAAUAAAAAUUAUGAUAUGUUUUAUAAUAAAAGAACUUGACUAAAUUUUAAUAGCUGAAAGCACUAAAGCAUGGUUUGUCCAAAUAUAAAAGUAAAAGUCAGAAUGUUGACAUAAUAAAAGUAUCAUAUGUAAAAUAUUAACCAUUCAUACGAAGUUAAUCAAAGCAGAAAAUGAUAUGUAGUGUAGGGGAAAGAUGGAUUAAAUGCUGUCGGGAAAGUGAGUGUAAGUAAGAGGCUCUGCAUUCAAAACCUCCCACUUAUACAAACAAAAAAAGAUGUGCAGUUGUCUACAGCAAAAGUGGCUAAUAUAUCCAAGAAUGCAUGAUUGUUACGGGACGAGACCGAUAGGUCAUAAAUUAAACGCGGAAAUUCCUAAUCAAUACUUCUUAAUCAGAUAAUGCAAACAACACCAACUAUGGACGGUAACAUAGCAUUAUAGCUCUUUUGUCUCCUCAACGACUUGGUCAUAUACAACUUGUACUAAUAAAUUAAUUUAGUGGGUUUUCUGCAUCUUGCGUGGAUUCCUCAAUUGUUCUCUCCUUGGGUCCAUGGACGCAAUAGGUUGCCUGGUAAUGGAUGACCAUUGACCAAUUAUGAUACCACAUUCCAUUAUUAAAAAAAAAUUAAACAAUAGUUUUUUUUAAUCUAUCUCUAUCUAUUUUUUUUUAUAUCUUAAAAGCCCAUAUUCCUAGCUCCCACCAUCACACUUGCUAUUUUCAUAUGUAUAAAUAUACUUGUCAUUUUUUAUUAGAUGUCAUUCAUAUUACUUUUUAUUUUCAACAAUGAUAUUCUUCGUCCAAACAUUUUGUCUUAUUUAUAGAAUAUUGGGACAAUCAUCACGUAUUGCACCCUCUAAAGAUUGUCUUCUGCUUUCAUGCCGAAAUCAGACGGAGUGUAGCAUCCAUUAUUUUUUAUAUGACUUAUAUAUAUAUAUAUAUAUAUGUGUGUGUGUGUGUGUGCGCGCGCGUGCGUGCGCGCCCACGCACGCGCGUGUGUGUGUGAGGUUUCUGACACUUGCACUGACCUCUCCUGAGAUAUCUAAAAUUACAUUGACCUCUCUUAGCAGUGUUUUGGGGCCAAUUGGUAACCUAAAAUAUGGUGAAUUUACUUGUGUACCCUAAACAAUCAAGGUUGUUAACAAAUGAAUUUAGGGACAAAAUAAGAUUAGGUCAGCAAAACUUGAGCGUAACUAAUCAAACAUGAACAUAAUUUUGAAUGCUACCCAAACUUGUGAAAUGUUUCUUUAGUUAAUGUUCAAAAAUCUCAGAUCCAAGGAAAUUAGGCUUUCAAAAGAUGACUAUAUUUAGAACAAAGUACUGUACAAGUUUCAUACGCUGUAGCAUAAGUUUUUUUCCACCACGAGAAAAGUUCAAAUUGGACAUUGAAGAGUGAGGAUUCUUUGUGUUAGGGUAAAUAUUUUAAUAAUUAGGAAAGAAUGUAUUAAAAAGAGAAAUAUUGACCAGCCAAAACCAUUCAUAAUUGUUACUAAAAAAAGGAACAAAUAUGGUAUCAGUAUCUAGUUUUCAUCUACACAAUGCAUAUUUUGUGCAACUUUUCACAUUGAGUUUAAAGGAUUUGACUCAUACUUAUAUACUUUGAAUUAUAAUAUACAAUGACGAUCAAAUUUAUUCAUGAAUCAUUUCUCAUUGUAAGUUGGAUGCAAGAACCUCAAUAUAAAUACUUAGACCUUUUCCUAUUUGAUUAAGAUUUUAGUCUCAUAAUUUUGAAUUUUUUGUACUAUUAUUCACAAAAAGCUUUUAGAUUAAUUUACUUUCAUGGAUAUGGUUUCAGUUGUACACUCAUAGUGCUUUAUUAGUUUAAUCCCCUAAACAUAGGCAACAAUAUCUGAGGCAAAUUAAUAUUAACAAAUUGAUGCUCAAGUAUUGAAUAUGCUUGCCUAUAUCUCAGGCAAUUCUCUUUGCACCCAUCUGAAAUAUUAUAGACAAUGUAGUGUACAUUAUUCUCAUUGUCUAUAGUACAUAAUUUUAAUUAAAACUACACUUUAUGUGAUUAUAAUUGUAAAAGGGUUGUAUUAUGCGAUGGCAUACCAUGAAAUUGUAUUUUCAACUUUAUACUCUUUUAUUUGAUUUUAUUUGUAAUUAUCCAAUAAUUCAUAUUUACUAUUUAAUUAUUUAAAGUACUGUUAGUAUAUAAUUAAACAGCUAAUAACAACUGAAACACCCAACAGUACCCCACAUCUUGUUGUGGGGUAGCAUUCCUUUCUUUUACUAAUACAACUUUAGGAAAAGCAAAAAGGGCAUAUGUGGAAUAAAAUUAUCAUCUCGCUCCUCAAAACACUUUUUUAAUGCCACUUUUUCUAACAUAGGCUGAAUCUGUCGCCAAGACAUUAAGCUCAGGGGAGGUUAGCGUAAUGUUAGAAAUCUCAUGGGAGGUCAAUGCAAGUAUUACAAAUUUUAGGGGAGGUUUUCGAAAUUAUCCCUAUAUGUCACAUACACACAUAGGGUGUAUGCCUAAAGAGCUUUUCUUUAACCUUAAGAAGUAAAAUAACACAACUCUUAAUUUUGUGAUUGCUUUAUUUUUGUUCUUCUUUUCUUUUUCAGUUUUGGAGUCUAAGAGUAAGAGAAGAAAAACCUUGGUAAUCUAUCUUUGUUAGCAUUCGAAACUUCUGUUUAAACUUUCCAAUAAAAUAAGAAAGACAAGACAAGACAAAUAGUUUCAGGCCAUAAAAUUAUAGCUUUCCUCCACAAAAACGCCUAUGGAAAUGACUUUCAUGAUCAUUUGUUACGUCAGUAAAGGUAAAUUACUGUUGAGGUCAAGUUUUAUAUGUUUUUUUUUUCAAGUUCCACCAUUGGAUUUUAGCGCCCCCCAACCACCUUUUUUUUUUAUUUUUUUAUUUUUUUUAUUUUUUUAUUUUAAGUUCUUACCAACCCAGGUAGACAAUAAUUUCAUCUGAUUUAUUCUAAAAAUUGUAAAUAGAUAUUAAUUGCGUCUAGCAUGCAUCACUAUCAUCAUUUCCUGUAAUCGAGUGUUUCUGGAAAUCUCUAAGUCUCAAUAUCCUGUGCAAUUUCAUAUGUAUGUUGACCACAAGACUGCAAUGAAAACUUAAAUUAGAAUAAUCUUCAGACACAAGCAUAUAUUUAGAAUAAAAUUUGAUUGAGAACUAAUACCAAGGUUGAUUAUACACAUCUUUUUAGAAGCAAAAGGAAGGAUUGCUUAUGAAAUUAACAUUUUCAAUAGUUGUAAAAUCAACUAGUAAACUAGAUUACGUAAUUUUGUAAAACAUGGCAUCGAGCUUACAAUUGUAGAAGUCAAGAAAAUUGGUUUUAACUUCUUUUAGGUAAUGCGAAUCGCUAAGGCGCUGACUGAAGUCAUAUCGCUCUACAAGAAGUUGCAAAUUCUAGGCUUUCUAACAUGAACUUGAGCUUUUGUUAAAAUCUUAAACCAUUUUUUCAGACUAAUAUUGUGAUUCAUUACAGUUUAGUUUGGCAUGCUUCAAUUCUACCACCUCAAACUAGUAAACUUCUAUUUCAAACAAAAGGGGGAGCAGAAACCCUUAUAUACAUUAAAAAAAAAAAAAAUCCUAGUUCCAUUAUACCAGAUUCAUUCUUGGAAGUGGACCAAAACUGUGAAAGAAACAAAUGAAAAUGACCUAGCAGUCUUAUGGUCUUAUUAUGAUUGCAGUGUGAAUGUAUGACACUAUCCAAGUACCCAUCCAAUAUUUCAAGAAAUUGGAAGUACAAAUCGUACAAAUUUCGCUCAAAUUAAAAUAUUCUUGUUUUUCCAUGAGUGGGAGUGGGUUGGUGUUAUUAGCUAACCACCGAAAGAAUCAGUCAAGUCGUCCAACUAUGGAAGACUAGCGGAUCUAUUGGACAAUUUGAAAGAAUUCAUCUUCCUCCUAUUGUUUACUUUGCUUGUCUCUUAAAGAAGGUUCUUAAGGUAGUGGAAAGGAAAACUAGUGUCUGCCCACCAAUGAGCAACAAAUGGUUCACUAGGGAAGGGGUUUCAGUGUUCUUUUCACUGUCAAGUUUAAUAUUCGAAUUUUAAAUCUGAUAGUUAACAACGAAAGGUGUGAAGAGGUGUGGGAGGUAAAAAUAAAUAAAUAAUGAGCAACAAAUGGUCCUUAAAAAAUUUGUUUGUUCAAUAUUUUGCUUUUGUGGAUGGACAUAAUGAGUCGACCUCGUCUCAUCCGUGUUUCAUAAAAAAAAGUGCAAAUAAGAAAAAAUUGCAAAAAAAAAAAAAAGAAAAAGAAAAAGCCAUAGUCAUGUAAAGGUUUUGGGAAUAUAACCGGACAAAGAUUUAGUACAAUUGUAUUUUGUGCGGUUUCAUCUAGUCAUUGUACUUGUUUAAUUUUUUGAUAGAUAAAUACAUCAUAGUGUUGUAUUGCAUAUAUAUCCAAUAUUUUAUCCAUGCACGCUACUUUUAUUUCGAAUACAACAACAAAAUAUAAUUAUGAUCAAUCUUUGUUUAAUCUUAAAAAAUGUAAUAAAGUCCUGUACAGUUUAUCAUCAGGUAAAAAUGUAUCCUAUUAAAAACUGACAUUUCUGGCAAAUUGACUUCCUGUAGACAGUUCUUCUGAGAGUGAUACACAAGAAAAUUAAAGAAAGACGACAUACAAAUUCUUUUCAGUGUAUCAAAAUAUGCAAGUGACAACUGUAAUAUACUAGAAAAUUACAAAACUAUAGUAUCAAUAAUUUAGCAUCAUUUUAAGACAACAAGCCACGCUGAUUUGACGUGGAACUUGUAUUCUGUGUACAAGACGUUAGAUGAAGUAGAAACUUAUUGUAUCUGUUGCAUCAUACGAAUAAAUAUGGAUAAAAACAAUGCAAGUGUGGUUGUCGUGUCGUAAGCAACUUAUAAGAUGAAUCCUUAUCAUAAUAAACAGUUUAAUUAAGUGGAAAUGAAGUAUUUUUUUUUUUUGGAAAAUAUAAUAUAUCAAACAGUUAUUACAUGUUUUAUUACGUUUAGUUCCAAAGGUUCAUAUAUCUUUCAGAGUGAAUAAAAGUGUAUAUUUCUUUGUGCCAUCUGAAGAUUGGGUGUUAUGAUGUAUUAUUGGAGCAUCAUGUGAAUUUUUAAUAAUUAACCGAACAAUUUCACAUAAAAAAGCUAAAUCCAUUCACUUCUAAUCUAGAUUCAUACUUUAAAAAAGUUUAAUUCUUAUAUGCAGCUCAUCAAUACGUCAAAUAUCUAGAUUUAACCACUGCUUUUCCUACGUUUCCUAAAGAAUUUGUAAUUAAAGAAAAUAUGAUAAUCAUGAUUUCUUUUGACUAAUUACUUCACUAAACUGUGACAAAAAUUAGGACAAGAUUAUGUGCUCAUUAUACUUUUUGUUUCAGUUACGUGCAAAUCUGUGAAGGCAUAGUUUGGAGGCAUGUACUUCCACAAUUUGUGAGAUUUGCAUAAUUAGCCCUAACAAAUAUAUAUAUAUAUAUAUAUAUAUAUAUAUAUAUAUAUAUAUUUUGAUAAUAGAAUCCGUAGCCGUUAUUUGAGAGUGCGUAUUGGGUAAACUCCAUCUCAUACAAUAACCUGUCAACCACACGGACGGGUCAAACACACUAGACAAGCCAUAUGCGACUAGGGACAAUAUUCUUCUUGAUUUCCCCAGAAAAAAAGAAUUUUUUUUUUUAAAAAUUUCGUAAGUUACCUUCAUAAAAGGUUUCCUUUUCUUAAACAUCCUUUUCAGCCCUGUAGUGUCAUAAGAGAAAAUGCCAAAUUAACAUUUGCAUGUCUGCUUGUUCCAUUGUGCACCCCGUGUUCCACUCUUUCUUCUCUUAGAGCCCACUUGAACAAUAAUCACAAGAACAAACGCGUAAUGGAACAGGAAUCACAAUCAUAUGAGGCUAGCUUUAGUGCCACGGCUGGUGUUAUAACAUUUUCGUUCAUAAUGAUAAAUUUUUUAGUUUAAAUUUGCAGCCAAUUUUUGACUAAUGGAAGGUAUAUCUUGAAAAAAUUUACCAUGGUCUUAAAGCAAUAGAUUUGGCAAUACGAUUUGCCAUCAUAUGACAAAGCAAUUACGAAGUUAUGUCCAUGAUGCUUUAUUUCGCGCGCGCAUAUAUAUAUAUAUAACACAAACUAAUUUGUUGGUUUCAUAAGCAUAAAAAUGACACUUUCUUUCUGUCAAAUCUAUGUCUACGUCACAUUCUUGUUUUGGAAUUUUGGUUAGAGAUAGUAGCUUUAGUUUUGUGAAACACGAUAAAGGUAUAUAUCUGUUUGAGGGAUGAAACAAAAAGGUCAUUCUUUCUUUUCCAUGGGAGUCAUGCAUGAAACAUAGUUCAUUUCAGCACUUGACUUUUAUUUCCAUGCCACAUUAAUUAAUUUCCCAAAAAAUAAGGGAAAUGAAAAAGUUAUCUCACUUCUCCAUUUGGUUUGAUAAACUAAAAAAGGAAAAUACAUACCUUUAGCAUAAUAAACCGGAAAAAAAAAAAAGGUUCGGAAGGAAGAAUUGGCACGACAACUUUCAAGCCUUUGUGUGUCUUCCGUUUAGCCUUUUUCCCCUUUUGAGGGGAUGCCAUACCUACAAAAUCAACAAGCAAUUGUGAUGUGUGGAAUUGUGCUAAAACUAACUACUUUUUUUUGCAUAAAGUCAAUUAUUAACACCUUGAUGAUUAGCUGAAAGCAGUAAUUUUGCACUAGACGAACAUUACGAGUUUGUGACUCUCUGGUCCACUCCACGUCCCAAUUUCUCUUUUUAAAAUGAGUAAUUCUACUAGAUCAUUUGUAUGACUUGGUGGACCAUCCCAUUUUACUUCUUUAUUAGUACAGGACCAUCCAACAAAUCACAAUAUGGAGUUAAGCUAAACUUCCAAGUCCAAAGAAACAAUUACGCAGUCCUAGAGGUGACUAGCAAGCUUCAAACUUUGUCUAUUUAUAUACUGCUUCAGAUGCCAUAUCUUUACAAGCCUAUCAAAACAAAACACACCAAUGGCACCUCCCACUUCCAUCACCUUCUUCAAUUUUAUGAUCUCCACUUAUCUAAUUCUCUCUCAGAUUUCUGUGACCUUCAUGAAGGGCCAUGCUUUGGAAAGAAGUCUAGCUGCUGAAAUCAACUACCACACAGUUCAUGUCAGUUCAAUACUACCAUCCUCUGCCUGCAAGCCCUCUGCCAAAGGUUUUAUUCAAUUCAACUUCCAGCUUCUUUCUUUCUUUCUUCAGUGGAAUUGCUAGCUAGUUUCAGUUUUUGGGCUAGAUACAGUAUUUUCUUUUGCACUACAUAAACAUCCUUUUGUCAUAUUCAUUCUAAAUCUUAGAUUUUGUGUUUGUUUUAAAAAGGACUAAUGAAACUGCGAAUGAUAGAUUCUACCAGUUUUAAGCACUCCAUGAAGAUUACUAGCUUUUGAGGGCUAUUUGUUUAGUUAAAGAGGUCCCUAAUAUUUUUGUGGAAAGGAAGGUCGUUCAAAGAAGGAGAUUUUAAACAAUGAAGACUUCUUAGUUAACUGUCCCUCCAUAACUAGUUGGUUCCUAGACAACAAUGAAGACAAACUAAGCAAAAUCGCACCUAAUAUUGAUGGAUUAACAAGGGUGACCAUUCUCACUUCUUUCCAAAACAAGAGAAGUCAUAUUCAUUAUUCUUUUACAGACUUCUGAAACAUUUAGUUUAAAGAAAAGAUUUAGCAUUGAAAAGUUUUGCAGCCUCCAUCUCAUUUCAGUGUCAUUAUUUCUUUGAUUGGGUGUCACAAAAUAAGAGUUUCUUUUUGAAGGUCAUUAGCUAGUGAGACUCAUUAAGUCACCAUCAGGUUAGCUUCCUCUACCCCAUUGCACCCCCCACUAUUUAGUGUACUAAAGGGAAAAAAAAAAACAAAGAACUUUUAAAAGUAUUACUAUAGUUUUCCUAUUUUACCAUUUGAAAAGAGCAACUUUUCCAAAAUUCGAAUGCAAUCCUCAUUAUUAUACAUUGUAAAUAUGAGGUUCAUGAUUAAACUAAGCCCCAAGAAUUAGAAAUUUCAGAUUUCAGUCCCCCUUUCCCUCCCCAUUUCUUAAAUCUCAUCCUUUUUCUAUUGGAAUUUUGUUAUAUAUACAUAUAAAAAAAAAAACCUAAGGCCAUAACCGAAAGACAUGAAUAAAAUAUUCCCAUCUGAAGUAAUGCAUUCUCAUUUGAGUAAACUGUUAGCACUGCAAUGGAUAUCGUGGUUCAGCUCCAUAAACAUUACCAGCCCCAAUUUUAUUCAAAUUCCAGCUAGUAUACAAGAAAAUGAUUAAUUUUUGAAAUUCAGCAAAUGGUUUCUAUCACCAAAAAGUGCAGUUUUUUUUUAUUUUUUUUUUAAAACAAUCAUAAUUGGAAAGCUAAUGAUAAGUCGAUGUUCAUUAUUCAGAACAAAUUAACAAAACACUGCUUCUGGAAGUAGGAAAACAAUAAUUGUUAAAAAGGUUAGCAACGUACAACUUCUACCUACUAAUAAUGACAAGUAUUUCAAGGCUUUUCCCACUUAGGAUUUAAUAUUGCUUUCUGGUAAAGGGUGCAAUUUGGGGUGGGGGAGGGGGGUGGGGAGGGGUGAAGAACAGCUAAUCCUUCAGCCUAAUGGCAAAUAUUAAAUGAGAUUCUACCAAUAAUCCAAUCACCCAAGCAAAGGGGCCCAUCCAUAAUCAAAGAAGAACUUUCUUUCCAAUUUUUUCUUUCAUUGGAACAGGUGAUGUGUUAAAUUUUGUCAAAAGAACCUUCCCAGAAAUAGAAAAAUUUUGGAUAAUUAAUGUUAAACAAACAAUUUAGAGGCUAUUUAUCACAAGGAGAUGUCUUUAUGUUCUUGAAAUUACGCUAGUUUUUGAAUAUAAUCAAUGGCUCGUUUCCAAUUCCAAAAGACUCUUAUUCGUGCUAUGCGCAGGGAAGAUUAUGUAUGGUAAGGGUAAAAUGCUUAAAGCAACUAGCAUCUUGGCAAAGGAAAAUGGCAUUAUUGAUUAGUACUGGUAUACAUUUAUUAGCAAAAAAGAAAAUCCUUUAUAAUUGAGAUGGAGCUGUCCUUAUUACGAUAGACCUCAUCAGUAUUAUUCCCUCGCUAAAUGCUAUCACUUCAGCAGCCAUUAGAAGACAACUGAUAAAGAAGCCAACCACCCAAAAAAACAAAAAAAAAACAGCUAAUAAAGAAAAACGUCUUUUUGGGCCAAAAAGCUAGGAAAGAGUGUGGUGGACAUUAUUGUUUCUCUCUCUUUAGCAUCAUCAUGGGUUUCAUCGCCCCUUUUGUUGAAAUAUCAAGUCACGGAGUGUGUCACAGCUGUGCCGGCUAAAUAAAUGUCUCUGUAAGUGGAUUAAUGUCCACUGUUUUAGGAUUAAUCAUUAACUGUAUCCUCAACAUCUUUUCAUAGUUCAUAUCUACUUGCUAAUUAGAUAGUGAUUAAGCAAAAUUUUCUUCUUGCUAAUUGGAUAUUUUACUCCUCUAGCUCAAUUUUAUGUUGGUUUAGACAUUAGUACAUUUUCCAUCCAUUGAGUUUCACGAAAGGGUCCUCAAGGUCUGGCCGCAAAUCAUAUAUAUAUUGAUGAAACUAUGGCUGAAAAUGGCAGUGCGCCUAAUUUCCAAUAUUAAACAUAAUAAAUGUUCAUGACAAUAGCUUGACUAUUACUAUUUGUGAAUAACCCUCCUUCAUGUUCAUUUGUUGAUCAUGAUCAAAACCUCCAUAAUUUUAAGUUUGAUGAAAGAUUCUUGUGGACAUAAAGAACCCUCAUGAGAAAAGAAAUGUUGUUUGUUUCUUUUUAGGUUCAUCAUGGGCUCCAUUGCCCUUGUAGUUGAAAGAAAGAAGUAACCUGGAAAUUUCCAGAGUACCUACUUGUCUACAGCUAUUUUGGCCAGACAAAAAGGUCACUCUAAUUGAAGGAGACAAUACAAUUAUCAGAGUACCCACUUCUCUUAAUGAAUCAAGAAAUAAUCUGAAAAUUUCAAGCUAUUCUUUGCCACUGCAAGUUGAAAUUGGAAAUCCAGUAGAGUAACACCCAUUAUAUAUUCUACUUAUCUACAUCAUCUUUCAUAUGAGGUCUUUAGCUUUAGGAUCAAGCGUUAAUAUGUAUCCUCAAUCCCAAGAUCAAACUUCCUUGCUAUUAGAUAGGGAUUGUGCAAAAAAUUUUCAAAAGCUUCUGAUGUUGUAAACUAAUGCUCGAGUUUGGAUUUGUCACAUUUAAUCAGUGGUUUAAUUUUCACGUAAAUGGUUUAGGCUGUAUUAAUAGUAGAACAAGUUAUGCAUAAUUUAUUUGGUUUUAGACCUCCAACUUCAUCGAUAGUACCUCUUUUAGCCAUUAAGUUUCAUUGAGGGUCCCCAAGUCAAGAUGUAGUGCAAAAUGUGGAAGGUCAAGCGUUAGACAUAAUAAAGUUUUAUGUCUAGUUUGACUGUUUACUGAUCACCCAAAACCCUUCUUGACGUUCAUUUGUUAAUCAUGAUUAGAACCUCCAUAAUUAUGAGUCUAAUGAAGGAAAUACCUUGGACGUUAAAACUAAUGAAUCACACUCUUUUGCUUGACAAAGUUUCUAUCAUCAUGUAGUCUAAUGGUGAUAUUCAUCCACGAAUUUACAUAUGCCGACAUCACAAAUUCAUAAUAAGACAUAUUCUAUACUAAAAACUGUCUUUUCCCAUAUAAUUGCUUUGUAAACUUGCCAUAACAUCAAAUUUAUCAUCUAACUAAGCCAUCAUUAUCAUCAGGUCCCAGUAGAAAAUCAUCAUUGACGGUAGUUCACAGACAUGGUCCAUGCCAUCAACUCAAUCAAGAAUCAUCCAACAGAGAAACCCUCACUCAAAUCCUUUCAGAAGAUCAAACUCGUGUCAGGUCCAUUCAAGCCCGCCACGCUUUUGGAGCCGACACGGACAAAAUUCGUGGUUCAAAAGCUGACCUACCUGCUAAGCGUGGAAGCGCAAUUGGCACAGGCAACUAUGUUGUCUCAGUUGGUCUUGGCACCCCAGCUAAAUCAUAUACGCUUGUUUUCGAUACUGGAAGCGAUCUUACAUGGACUCAAUGCGAACCAUGCGUGAGAGUUUGCUACAAACAGCAAGAUCCCAUUUAUGAUCCUGCAAAAUCUUCAUCAUAUUCCAACAUUUCUUGCAAUGCUGCCCAAUGUUCUGCACUUUCCUCAGCAACUGGAAACAGCCCGGGUUGCUCAGCAUCUAACUGUCUCUACGGUAUACAGUAUGGCGAUCAGUCUUUUUCGGUGGGCUUUUUUGCUAAAGAGAGGCUAACAUUGACACCUACAGAUGUUUUUAAUGAAUUUUUCUUUGGUUGUGGGCAGAACAACCAAGGAUUAUUUGGAAAAACUUCUGGCUUGCUCGGCCUUGGCCGUGAUCCGUUAUCCAUAGUUUCCCAGACUGCUCAAAAGUAUGGGAAAUACUUCUCUUACUGUCUUCCUACAAAGUCAGGAUCAAAUGGACACUUAACUUUUGGAAAAGGGUCGGUUCCAAAUACCGUGAAAUUCGCUCCUUUCUCGAGUUCAAGCUCUCAAUCGAACGCGUUUUACUUCCUUGACAUUCAAAGCAUAAGCGUUGGAGGACAGCUGUUGUCUAUUAGUGCAUCAGUGUUCCAGACAGCCGGGAAUAUUGUUGAUUCUGGAACAGUUAUAACACGGCUACCUCCAGCGGCUUACUCUGCAUUAAGCUCUGCUUUCAGACAGCAAAUGUCACAGUAUAAAACUGCACCUGCUAUAUCCAUACUGGACACUUGCUACGAUUUUAGCAGCCAAUCCACAGUGAAAAUACCAAAGAUCAGUAUCUUCUUCAGUGGAAACGUAAAGGUUGAUUUAGGUAUUGAAGGGAUACUUCUUGCAUCAAGUUUAUCACAGGUCUGUUUGGCUUUUGCUGGCAAUAGUGCUGCCACAACCGUGGGAAUUUAUGGUAACAUACAACAGCAAACUUUUGAAGUAGUUUAUGACGUUGCAGGCGGGAAGCUGGGGUUUGCACCUGGUGGAUGCUCUUAAAUUGAACUAGAUAUACAAUUGGACUCUAUUAGCAGCAAAAGUGAUUAUCCUACAAAAAGAAGUAUCAAUUUCUGAAAGUAGUGUCUGUGAUAAGAAAUAACCUAGUUAGGCUGAGAAAAAUCAGUCAGAGGAUAAAUAUACAGCUAUGUCUGAAGUUAAUAUUAUCAGUUUGCAAUUUACUUCACGCUUUCAAGAAUUUAUUACCGUUUCCUGCAUUACUAUCAAAUUCUUAGAUAAUGUUUUUCCUUUUUGUUUCUUGGAGCAGGAAGGGGCUUGUUCAGGGUCCCAACUGCCAUACUAAGAAUCGCAACUGUUGUAGUCUAUGACAUAUUAAGAGUUAAGAAUCAUAGCACCUUGAAGAAAAUGGAGACUUUCAAACUGAAAUUUGAACAACUGUAGUUGAAUUAUAUUAGCCAACAUUUUUGCUGGGGACAGAGGAUCUAACAUUAUUCAAGAAAAGGAAGAGUAGAAAAUUAUAUGAAAUAGAGGUAAUUGUUCUGCACACCAACAGGGUUUCAUCCCACCACCUACAUUUUCUGCAUCUAUAUCAAAAAGAAUAUCCAUUUUGGGCUGAUGAUUAAUCCCAGUAGUGGUAACAUUAAUUGAAAUUUUGUUCAUGAUAAAUUUUAAACACCGAAUUUACCAUUUUUUCUGCAGUUUUUGAUAGGUUCAAGCUCCAUCGGUCCCAUCUUACCUGUGAAAUGUAUCACAAUAUAUUUUUUAGGGAACUGAAUGCUUGCAAGUUGCAACCCAUUGUGAUUAUAAAAUCUAAGUUAUUCAAAGAUAAUUCAUAGUGAAUAUUCAGCUAUUGAUUGCUUAAAAUUGGUGUGCAGAGAAUCAGAUACUGUUUCUGUCAAGCAUGAGACAACUGUUACCAAAGAGUUCCCACAGAUGUAAAGACUCGCAGAAACUUUCAAUUUACUUUCAGCAACACUGAUGCCAAGGAGUUCCAAACGCAUAAAGGAUCCUUGACUAUAAUUUGAUUGAAUUUUCAAAGGUGUUAGGAAAUUAGCUUAAUUUCCUUUAGACAGGUUUUUUAUUUUGUGUGGAAAUAACUAGUUUUCUUAUUGGUUUUAGUUACUUGAAGUAAUAGUCAAGAGAUUUCCUAUUUGUAUGAAUAUAGGAAUAGAAGUUAUUUUCUAUUAUGUAUAAGAUUUGGAAUUAGCAGUUAUUUUCUAUUAUUAUUUGGAUUUGGAUAUUGGCCAAGUAAUGUAACUUAUAAAUAGGUGGGGGUUGGCAUACUAUAAAGUGGCAUAUAAGGGCGAUAUAUAACCUUAUACAUGGAUUGAGAGAGGGCUAUUGGAAGAUGAGAAAUGAUAUAUAAGAGUUGAGUUUGAUUUCAAGUUAUAUUCUUGUAUAAGAUUUUUUUUUCAUAAUAAAGAAUAUGUUUUUUUCUGUGAACGCAGGUUCAAUGAUAGAGUUGAACUACGUUAAAUCUUAUAUGCAUUUAUCUUUUAUUCUUGAGACUUAUUUGUCAUUAAAUUAUUGUAUUCUUGAUGUUUCAAUAGUCGUAUAUUUCGUACUUGGAUCUUAACAACUAGUAUCAGAACAGGGUUUGUGGUUAGAUUCUGAUUGACUAUUGAAAUUAAGUAGAUUGGUGGCUAUUACUAAUUCAAUAAUUUAAUGAUGGUAUCUUUGUUUCAAGGAUUUGACAAGAAGCAUUGAAAGCAAAUGAUGGAAAGUCAGAAAGUAUGAAAAUAUUUGACAGUAUGAAUCUAGAUAUGUGAUUCAAAGGUCAAGGAAAAGGUGAAGUCUAAUAUUGAUUUUGGAUGUGAAUUGGUGGAGACUUUCUCAUAAAUCCAAUAGUUGAUAUUUCAUCUCAAUGGUUUUUAGAUUUCAGUUAUGUUUUUUGGGUGGUGUGGCAUGUGUUCUAAAGAAAUAAAAGAAUCUAAUUUCCAAAUGUUAGAAGACUCUGAUGAUUAUGAGUUUUACUACAUGUAGUGUUUUGGAAACCACAUAUGGCGAGACAGUCCUGAGGAUGGGAGAAGUAUGAUGAUUUUACCACUUGGUUGCCUCAAUGGUUAGAAAUAGAGCUCAUAAAAAGGGAUCCUGAAUUGCAAGUGGUGGUGAGAAGAAAUUCUACGAAGGGAAAUGGUGAAUUGAGGCAUCUUCUCACGAGUUAAGAGGAGGUUAGACUCGGGGUAAUUACACAUAUUUAUUUGUCAAUUGAAUUAAUUGGGUGUCAGCAUUGUAUUGAUUCGGAUGUUUAGUUCAGUACAAUAUUAUUUGGUAGUUAAAAGCAAAUUGUUACUAAAAGAAAUAUUCAUCAAGGUAGAAAUUUGUUAUGAAAUUGGUUUAAUUUCUUUUAAACAGGUUUUUGUUUUGCGUGGAGGUAACUAGUGUUCUUAUUGAUUUUAGUUACCUGAAAUAAUGGCCAAAGUGAAUUUCCUAUUUGUAUGAGUAUAGGAAUAGAAAUUAUUUCCUAUUAUGUAUAAGAUUAGGAAUUAGCUUAUUACUUGGAUGUUGAUCAAGUAAUGUAACUUAUACAUAGGUUAGGGUUGGCAUACUAUAAAAUGGCAUACAAAAGCGACAUGUAGCCUUAUACAUGGGUAGAGAAAGGGUUUUUGGAAGAUGAGAGAUGAUAUAUAAGGUUGAAUUUGAGUUCAAAUUAUAUUCUUGUAUAGGAUUUUUUUUUCCAUAAUAAAGAACGGAUUUCUCUCUCUGUGGACGCAGGCUCAAUGAUGAAGUCAAAUCACGUUAAAUUUUGUGUAUCAUUUAUCUUUCAUGGUUGUGAUUUGUUUGUCAUUAAAUUGUUAUAUUCUUGAUGUAUCAAUAGUCAUGUAUUCUGCGCUUGAAUCCCAACAGAAGCUGUCAUGUCAGAUAUUUGAACUUCAAAGCAGAAGAGGAAGUUGUGGAUCUUGCAGUCCACCACAUAUCCUGAGCAACAACUUGUCAAUUUAAGGAUUUAGCCAAAAUUUGUAAUAGUUUGAGAAACAACUGAAAGAUCACCUCUGUCAACUCUGCCUGGCUAUCCCCUUUGUAAGUUUGAGAGCAACCAAAGAAUCAUUUCUGCCAACUGCAAAUGUCCCAUUCCUGUGUUUGAAAAAAUACGCUGGCCACUAUAAUUAACUAUGCCAUAAUCAAAUGGAUUUGCUGAAGACAUCUGAGGUAGUAACCAGUAGUAGAGCUUGACAGGUCCCCAUGUUCUUUGGAAUCAAAUUUCUCAUUGUGUUUCAUAUUGAAUAGCUAAUUUCCAGAGUAAAGGAUUGAAAGGAAGGUAUGUCAGCGGCUGGCUGGUUACUACAUAUCAACGUGCCAAAAAUUGGCUUUGAAGAUGUCAUCAGGAUUUGGUAUACUGUUCCCUUCUAUCUCUGGGCACAAAAAGUGGACGUCAGGUAAGGUACUCUACAUUCCCUAUGAGAAACGUGGCUUCCACUUCAGGAUAGUUGACCAGACAUUGAUAUGCCAUCAAUCUCACGAUGUGAUAAAGAGAUUUGAGUCUCAAUUUUUUGGGAUUAAUGAGUCAUUAACAUGUUAAUCAACCUAUGUCUGUCAAAGUUUCUACUGUUAUCAGUUCUGCUACCAAUUAUUUUGGGUUCCUUGUUAGUGUCAACUUAUUAAAGUUUCCUGAAUACUAGCUAUGUUUUUUAGUAUUUGAAAAGCAACUUAAAAUGGUCACAAGUUCUCAGCAGCCAAUUGUUUUAGUUAUAUGAGUGAAUUCCUAUGCAAUGCCUAAAUUAAGAAAUCAUUGCGUAAUAUGGGAAACUAAAGACUUCCAAUUUGAAAUUUGUAAAGUAAAAUAUAUGUUGAAUUACAUAUGCCAUCAGUCUUGCUGAUGGCUCACAAAUAUUCAAGAAAAGAAAAGGUACAAAAUUCUAUGGAGAGCAAGAUUUUGUUUCUCAAUCUCCGCAAGGUUUUGUUCCAAAGCCUAUUUUUCCGGCAUCUAUGUCAUAGAGAAUAUCGAGUUCUCGCUGCUGAUUAUUACCAAUAAUAGUAAGGUCUUCAGAUUUUUUAUUUGCUGCAAAUCCUAAGCACCAUAUGUAUCGAUUCUUCUUUGCUAUCCACACAAUUCCUGAUGGAUUCAAGCUUACAUCAGUCGCACCUCCAAAAUGGAGUGUAAUUUCAGGUAACUGAAUGCUUCCAUACCCCUUCACAUUGUAGCAUGUGUCUAACUUCUCCUGAGAUGGUGCUGGUGGAUAAGCAGCCAUUGAUUGCUUAAAGUUCUUACUUAAAGCAGUAUAUGCUGAUGGCGGUAGGUAAGUGAUAACUGUUCCGGAGUCGAUCACAGUUCCUACUGAUGUAAAUAUUGUAGGUGGAACAUCCAAUCUGCUUCCCGCCACACUGAUGCCAAGCAAUUCCAGAAAGUAUAGGGAGCUGCGAUUAUAACUUCGCGGAAUGUUUUGUGGAGGUUCGAUCAGAUUCGUGAAUUUUAAUCCAGAAGAUGAAGUUGCUGAUCUUGCACGAUCGCCAAAGUCUAUAUGCCCCUUGGAACUGGAAGUUUUAGGAAGACAAUAGCUGAAAGUUUUGGCGAAUUUUGAAGCAGUCUGGGAAACAAUUGAAAGAUCACCUCUGCCUAGUCCAAGCAACCCAUCUCCAUUAGCAAAAUUGCCAGAACCCCCCUCAGUAAUUAAACCACAACCAAAUUGAAACCUUUCAAACACAUCUGAUGGUUCCAGGGACAGUUUGUCACAUCCCCAAUAUCCUCUAGAAUAAGUUUUGUCUAAAUAGUUCAUACCGAAUGCACCAUUUACAGAGUUAGGUUUGCAGGAACCGUUUAAAUAAGUGGAAGACUUCGAAGGAUCAAACAGACUGUUUUCAGAUUUGCAGCCUUUUGAGCAUGGUUUGCAGCGUACCCAAGUGGGGUCACUACCUGUGUCAAUUAUUACUUGGUAGUCUACUUUGGGAGUGCCUAAACCAAUGGUAGUAAUGUAUUCUCCACUAAAUGGGAUUGAAUCAGAUGUUUGGGUUCUUGAUCCUGAAUCAGCAGCUUUUGAAUGGACAUUUGAGGCUCUCUUAUUCAGUGACCGGACUCUGUUUUCAUCCUCGAGCAAAGAUUCUUCAUAAGCAGAAAUUUCCUUUGUACGAGGGAUUUGUGAGCAUGGUCCACGUUUAGAUGUUACUACCAUCUUUCGUGAUCCUACAGAAGAGCCUGCGGAUAACCAAAAUCUUGUUAGAUUCUACUUUUCAGCACAAUCUAGUAUCCUGAUUAAGCUAAGCAAAAAAGCAGGAAAGAAAUCAAGAAUCAUUAUUCAUGUGUUGUACACUUUAUAUUGGCCAAACCAAUCUAGGCUAAAAUGGUAGGAAAAUAAAAACUACAGCGCGAAUCCUUAGAUAGGUUCGAUAGCAACCAAACCAACAUAUGGAUCAUGUGAUAUACGUAAUAGUAAAAUAAAAUUUCUUACAUAAGUACAUGUUAUUUAUGAGUAGAAAUUUUAUAUUGGUCCAAAUCAACAACUUGGCAUUGUCCAGUUAUUAAUCCAUAAUCAAUGAAAAGUUUAACGCGAAUACAUAAAGGCCCUACUUGCUAAUUCACAUAUUAGGUGAGGCCUUCCUCACAUGUUAAAUGGAACUAAGUAAAACUCUUAUAUAUUCAUAUAGAACUCUUUUAUUAAUCCUAACGCAACUACUAUAUUUGUCAAGUAGUUGCUCUGGACAGACAUAAAAUUUUUCUAUUCAUGACUAUAUACAUAUUAAAAUCGCAAUAGAUCAGACGUACCUAAUAUUUGUCAAACUCAAAUAGUACAGUACAUAGUUAUCAAGAAACUAUAGCAGAAAUUAUUAAAGGAUAGAACAUGCUAGAUAUACGCACCUUUGGUAUGUCCUGUGCAAUAUGGCUUUGGCAACAGUGAACUCACAUUCACCGUAUGAUAAUGAGGUUUUGCUGGCUUUUCCACUCCAUGAGAAAUUGCAACACUAGAACAAAUUAACCAAAACAAAGUAGAUUUAAAGAAAGAUAGACGAUUGCUGGUAGAAGGCAAUUGUGCAAGUGCCAUGGAUAGUGUGCAAGUGUGACACUUUUGUGACUGCGUGCGUAAAUAUGAGAGGAGGAGUCAUUCUUAUAUACUAGUACAGUACUUGCACUAGUACUAGUAACAAGAGGAGAGAAAAGGUGCUAUUGACGUGGAACUGAGGGAAGACUUCGGGUGUUCUGCCUUUUAGGGUUGGCAUGCUUUUCUUUUGCCACUGUACUUGGAGACGACCGUUACCAAGGUUGACUUGACUUGUAAACUGAACUAAAGAGCACGUUAACCUCCUUUAUGCUCUAGGCAAAUUCUUUUUAUUUCUCUUUGGAAGUUGACUCGUCAAUAUGACAUUUAAUAUUAUUGGCUAAGAAUUUUUUAAAAUCUCCUUAUUUUCUUUCUCCCCUUUAGGAGACGUUUUUGAGGUUUGUGGAAUUCAUGCACAAGUGCAAAAAAGAAAAAAAAAGUUUAAAUUACCUUAGGAAAGGCCUAUUUGAAUAAAAGGGUACAUGAUUAAUCAAAUUGAUUUACUGUAGGAACAAUUGUCUGAGAAUUUUUAUUUGCUUUUGAACUUUUUUUUAGAACUCUUUAUGAUUUUCACUGUUUAAAAUGCUCAAAACUUAUACUACAAUAUAUCUUCGACAAAAGGAUUUCUCAACCUCAAAAUGUACAUUUUUCUAGUCAUCUUGACCCACAUGAUACCAAAAUCUGGCUAUUGUGUCCACCACACGACUGACCUAUGAAUCUUAAUACCAAGCCGAGGACUUGGUCAAGUCUCCCAACAGGACAAAACGACGGAAACAAAUUCUUCCAAACCAAAAUACAAAAAACAUUCAAACAUCAUGUAAUGGCAUGGGACAGAUGUUGAGACAUACUAUAUUUAUAACAGUCCUUUUUUAUAACAGAUGUUGAGAAAAUAUUUAGUACAAAAUCAAAAAAGCUUUUGGGAGAUUAUGUAUGCUUCAUUCAGCUGGUUUUCGGCAGAAUAUACACACCAAAAAGUGGACACACCCUUAAUGUAAUCUAGCUAAUAUGAUAUGUAAUCUAAUAUGAAAAAAUGGAUGUGUUUGUAUAGGAGAUUAUUUGAAAUAAUUACGGUAGUGCUUUUUAUUAUAUAAUGUAUGUGGGAUAAAAAGGUGAUUGAGAAAAUAAAAAAUUGUAUUGGAAAUUGUAUUUGUGAUGCAACCAUAUAAUUUUUGGCCACACAAUGGUAUCCACUCAUUUGCACUCCAGUUUUUUGUUAAUUGCACUGCUACCAUUUUUUUUAUCAUAUAGUUUAAUAAAUAAAAAUCAUAUGAUAGAAACGAUAGUGAAAGUGUGAUUAACACAAAUGGAAGUGCAAAUAACAUUUCACUCUAAUAUCUAGAAGAAUUUUCAUUUAGGAGAGGCUAAUAUUCAAACAUAUUCGCUUGAAAAAGAAAUCAAUUUUUUGGGAAGCAUUUUUUAUUUUGCUGUCUGAUAAGAUGAAACAUUUCAUCAUCUGAUUUUUUUUAAGUUAACUAUAAACAUCACAUUUAACUAAACAGUUAACCUAGUUUGAUUUAUUUCUGCUUUCAGAUUAAUGCCAAAAAUAUAAUUAUAAAGUUCUAGAUAUUAUAAAUUUAGAAUGAGAAUAACUGAAAUGUUAGUAAUUGCCAUAAACUUCACAAUUAUAAAAUUAGAAUAAGCAUAACUGACUAAGAUCUAAAAUAUCAUAAAAGAAAUUCUAAAGUAAAAAGAAAAAAUAAAUAGAACUUACCUUGAAACAAUGGAGGUUGGGGAGGAGUUGAUGUUUGAAAUAGGAUCGGAUCAAGUUGUUUGGGGACGUAGAUAUUGAUGAAUAAAUAAAUGUUCGAGUGGAGUUGGGGAAGGGAAUCAAUGAUGAUCAACUGACGAUUGAAAAAAUUCGAUUGUAUUUGUGUUUCUUUUACCGUAAUCAAUCUAGUUUACAUAGAAUUGCAUGGACAGUUGAAUUCCUUUUGUUUGUUUUUUAUUGCCAUGUGUAUAGUGUUUUCUGGUUGCUGUUUUAAAUUAUAGUAAUCAUACGUAAAAUAGGAAAACUAAGAAUUAAUUUAUUAUAGGACAUUCGUGUUAUUUAAUAGUAAAUAUAAAAGUUCCUCUUCCUCUGUUUUUGUUUUAUGUUUAAUAAAGUCUAUCCUAGGCUAUUUUAGUGAGAGUUUCUCUCUCCUAGUGUUUAUUAGUGAGGGUUUUCUUUUCUUAUAAACUAUUCUAGUGGGAGUUUUAUUUAAUUUAUUUAUUUAUUUUCUCAGAUCUAAGAGUUGUUUCAGAUAUAUGUAUUAGAUUUGAGAUUUCUUGAGUCUUCUCGUUAGAUCUCAGAAUCAGUUUUGAAUUUGAACUAGUUGAAUAGCAGAUUUAAGGGAAUUGACACGCAUACAUAUUUGUGAAAUAGAUCAUACAAUUAGUCAUAUUUGAUGGUUUGUAAUUGACAGCGUAAUCUUUUUUAUUCUAUAACUCCAUUAAAUUUAAUGAUUUUUUAGAUCACAUAUAUUUGUGACAUGAUCUAUGUAUUUUUGUCAAUAGUACAGUUUUCUUUGUCAAGCAAAUUGUGUUAAACGAUUUUCAACUAGUUUAUUAAUAAAAUUGGCUUCUGUCUUAUCAAAAAAAAAAAAAAUCUUAUACUAACAGUAUACUAAUAUAUGGAAACUAGUCAUUCGUUUGUUAAAAGAAAUUUUGACUAGUUAACAGAACAAAAUAGUACGUUAAUGUUUGUGCUUUAGGCAAUUCUUAUAAUUUCUCUUUGGAAAUUGACCAUUCAAUAUGAUAUUUAAUAUUAUUAGCUAUAAGCUUUUAAAAUCAUCGUUAUUUUCUUCGUCCCCUUUGGAGACGUCUUUGAGGCUUGUGAAGUCAUGCAGCUGUGGGAAAAAAAAAAAAAAAAGGAAAGAGCUUAAAUUGGCUUAGGAAUGGCCAAUUUGAACAAAAGGAUAUACGCUAAAUCAGAUUGAUUUACUGAUAAGAGCAACUGUGUUAGAAUUUUUAUUUGCUUUUGAACUUUUUUAGAAUAGCUGUAAUCCAUACGAUUUUCCCUUUUUAAAAUGCUCAAAAUUUAUGCAAUAUGCGUUUGACAAAAAUGCAUUUCUAAAGCCCUUUUACAUAUUCCAUGGAUAUAUUAGAGGUACGUUUCAAGGGCCAGUAAUCUUGACCCAUAAUACACUGGUCUUGCUGUUGCGUCCAAGACACGGCUGACCAACUAGGCAAACAUUUGGAAAGACUCCUCUACAUACUGUGUGGCCCAAAUUUUGUUGUUCCAAAAAUUGAACAUGUGGCAAACUUUGGGCCAGCCCAAGUUUUUGCCUUACUUCUAAGCCGAAGACUUGACCAAGUCUACCAAGAGGCAUGGGACAACUCUGAGACGUAUCAUAACUUCGAGGCAUCCUAUAUUUAAGACUUGAAAGGAAAUUUAGUACAAAAUGGUAUUGGUUUUUUGGAGUUUAUUUACGCUUCAUUCAUUGGUUUUUGCUGGAAGCCACAUACCAAAACGUUGACACAUCCUAAAUCUAAAUCUAAUCUAUAGUGAUAUAUAAUCUAAUACCAAAUAUAUUGUAAUCUAUGCUAUGAAAAAAGUAUGAAUAUGCUAACUUUAAUAUUUUUCUUUUUAUGGAUCUAUCUAAUUUAUUCCUGUUGAGGGUUCUUUUGCAAAAAAAAAAAAAAAAAAAGAAAAGUCUAAUACCCAAGGCCAAAGCUAAAGAACUCUUGUAAGGGUACUGGUGGAGCAAAAAAUAAAAAUAGGACAAAAUUGAAAAUUCAUCGAAAGUGUCAAACCUGCAAAUGACUGGAUACGGGACUCAACACCUGAGGUACACCCCCUGUUUCCUGCCUCACAGAUCCUGAUCUCAAUUCUGCAAGUUGUAGAGCAACUUGGAGCUUAUUCAUUCAAGUUUUUUAACAACUUUUCUGAAAAAAAAAAUGGAGAUUUUAAGAAUCAUCUUUUAACAAUUCUAAUAGCCAACUUGUAUCAACUUUAACAUGAUUGAUUGCAGUUUUGAUCUUCUAUAAAUAAAGAUCUUGGAUAACAUUUCUAACAAUUUUGGAGUCUAGAGAAACUAUACAAAAUACAUUUUUUUUUCAUUAGAAUUUCUUAGUUCAUUAGUUUAGGAGUGUAGAUUAGUGUAGUUAUCCAAUUCUUAUAUAUCUAACUAAACAAAGGAGGAGAUGAAGGAUGAUGAUAAAGAGUUUGGAAUCUCAUGUGAUAAUGGUGACAUCUUUCCUAUUACUUUAUUUCUUGUAUCAAAUCUUAUGUUUAGUUAUAAUACAAGUUUGCUUAUUCUUUGUAUUUCAUUUAUGUCUUGCUAGUUUGUGUAUCUAGGGAUAGUGAACUAUUUAUUAUUGUUAUGUGAUUUUUUCAUAGUUUUUUGAGUUAUUUCUUGUGUAAGUUAUUUAGCACUCUUGCUAUUUCAAUCAUGAUUAAUUGGCCACUAGUUGUGAUUAUCUAAAAAUGUUGUAUCAUCAAUGAAAGUUGUGAUUUACCACUAGUUCAAAAAAGCACUAGAUCUAGAGAGUGUACUCAUGAAAUUAGAGGUGCAAUUUUUGUGGUUUUGGUAGUAAUUCCAUGUAAUUUCAUAGAAGUAAUGAACUUAUAGUUGAUUUCAUAACUAUGAGAAUAGGUAUGAAUUAUCUAUAGGUAUGAUAGGUAAACUGGCAAGAGCGGGUAUUGCGUACAUUAGGAAAUCCUGCCAUGUUUAGUCAAAUAAUAACAAUCAAUUAAUUAGUAAAUUUACUUGAAAGAGUAGUUUGGAAUUUCAUGCCCCUAGGAGCUUUUAAAGGUUGGUUUUACUCCUUUAAUUUCAUGUUUAUAAUGUAGAUUUAUAUUCAUGCAUUUGUGAUAAUUUAAAUAAUAAAGGAAUUCAAAGCCUAUCGGUAAUUGAUAAUGUUCCCUGAGGGAUCGACAUCUAAUAUUUCUAUACUGAUAAACGAUUUGUAUUCUUGUAUAAAAUUAGAUAUUUAGCUUUUUAAAAUUUGGUGCAAAGAGAAAGUCUCGUCAUUGGCUAUAAAUAGAGUGGGUCUUUCGUGAGAAUAAAUGCAUCAAAUCAAAUGAGUUUUAAGUGGGCUAUUUGAGCCUUUGAAUCAUUGAGUAUUUUUGUAAUAAAAAUAUUUUAGACUCUCUUGCACUUUAGUGUCAGUUGCUUUUGCAUCUUUGAACACUUUACUAAGACAUUUGUACUUUCUUAUUUAUAGUGAAAUUUUAUUCCUCCUCAUAUAGAUAUAGGUCAAUUUGAUCGAAUCAGUAAAUUCUGCAUCCGCAGAUAUAAGUCUAUUUGAUCGAACCACAUAAAUUUUAUGUCUCUAUGUUAUUUAUUUUUGCUUUAUUAUUUGUCUUUUAGGGUUGUCAAGAACCCUUUCACUAAUUUCUUGGAACUCGACCUUACGUAUAUUUAUAUGAAGAAUUGCUUGGACAUUGGAAAAUUUGACUGAACUACAUAUAUUAAAUGUGUUUGUUUUAUUUAUUUUUGCUUUGUUAGUUAUCUUUUGGGGUGAUCAAGAACCCUUUUGUCAAUUUUCUAGGACUAGAUUUUACAUUUAUAUGAAGAGCUGCUGACAAAUUUUUGCACUCUCACAUUUUCCAUCUUUCAUCCCGGAAGAACUGUUGCUGUUUUUUCCGGUAACACAAGCAUUAUUACUUGAGCAUGAAGUGCUAGUGUAAUUGUAGCUCGACAAAGGAACGUCUCUAAAAAAUCAUGAUCAAAUACAGCAAAAAUUCAUACAUCAUGUCAGGGCAUAAGACAAAUGUUGAAAGUCUACAAGAGUCCUUGUUACUCGAAAGAAAUAGUAUAAUCUAAUAUGAUAUAGAAUCUAAUACCUAAUUUAAUCUAAUCUAUAUUAUUAUAAAAGUGGGAAUAUGCUCAUUUUUUCAUGUUUCUCCUGGCUUAUACAUGCGGAUUAAUACCUAUCCGAUUAAUGUCCCACUUUGAAUAGAUUAAUAUCAUCCAUAAUAUAUUUUAGGAAAUUAUUUUCAUUUUUUCUUUUUGGUGGAGCUUUUUUUAGGCAGUUUGGAAACCGUUGUUGGCAUAUAAGAUCUUUUUUUUUUUUUUGCAAAUUAUAGUGUGAACCCAACUAAUUAACUACCUCCGUGCAGAUAACUCCCAAGACUUGAAAAAUAAGAACUAGACACAUACGUGAUGAGGACAAUGUAUAAAGUAAUCUUACAAAUUUGGCUUAAUUUCAAAUAACCUCCUUGCAAUCAAGGGUUAGAAGCAAUUCAUCUCCCGUACUCAUGAAACUUAUAAAUUGCUUCGUGAUGAUAAUGAUCAUAGGGAUAAUUUAUCAAACCUCACCUGAGGUUUGUGCUAAUAUCACUUGGCAUCCCUUAAGCUUUAGAAACAUUGCUUACUUUAGGGGUGCUAAUUGAUUUUAGCACAAACCUCAGGAGAAGUAUGUAAAAUAACUGGCAAUGGUUUUUCAGCUCCUUAGAAGAAAAUUAUCACAUGAUCUGUGAGGACUCGAAAAUCUAUUAUUUUUAAAUCCCUAAUUUUGGCUCAAUUAAUUAUUUAUUUGGAUUUUUGCCACGAAUAAUAUUUUCUAACCUUAUUAGACCUAAGUACAUGGUAUUAUAGCUUCGUUAUAUUUUUAAAGUGUCUCGUUUUAAAAAUUAUUUUCUUAGAAGCUUGUUUAGUGAAAAAGUGAAAACGCGUUUGGAAAAUUUAACCAAUUGGGAGUACAUUAAGCCUGGAAAAUUGGAGACAUGUACAAUGGUUUUAAAAUAGGUAAAUUUAGGUUUAAGUACUCAAGUGAUAGUUAGUGGUACGAUCGUUAUAAGAAUUUCUCGAAGGUUUCACUUUAUCGCGCCUAAAUUGAAAAUACGCGUUUUCACGCGCACGAUUAAUUGAGGGACUUUAGACCAUUAUUUUGGGACAAUUAAGAGUGAAUAAUAUUUAUAUGAAUAUAAGUGCAUUAGAGGUUUAGUGCAUUAGUGAAAUAAACUCGAAAGGAAUCGAGCCCAAAAUGCGCGCGUACACGCGCAAGAGAGAGUUGACUUUCGGCGAAUUGUGACCACAAUUUAAGCUUACUUUAGAAGCUUUAUUUCAGCAUAUCACACGCCUCUUUCUUUCUCAUUUGGCCGAAACAUCAGCUGCAACAAAACAACUCCAAGUUUUGCAAAUUCCAUCACCAAAUCUUCAUCCAAUUCACACCCAACUUAAACCACACGUGGCUUAACACUUAAGGAUCAUUUGAGCUGCAAAGGGGAGCUGAAAAUCACGGUUUUGCUGGAGUAAAGGGGGGCCGAAAUUCUGCUUGAACAUCAAACCAAAGUAGGUAAUGAUCCAACACUCUAAACUUGGUUUAUAGAGGUUGUUUAACACCUUUAAGUUUGGAUAUUCAUAUGGGUGGUUGUUAUUGUUGAAAAUUUGGAAGGUGGGCUCUAUAAACUCCCACCCUUUGUCUUGAUGGCUGAUGUGAUGAUUGAUGAUGAAUUUAAUGUUGGUUUAGUGCUCAAAAUGGUAGAUUAAUGGUGUAUUAGUAGUAUGAACUUCAAGAAAUGCAUGAGAGGAAAAGUUCCAAUUCUGCCCCUGCUUUGAACGUAUCUAUUUCUGCGGAAUUUUGGGGUUGUAAUGACUUAUAUAUGAUGUUUAUAUGUUGUAUAGAUAGUGUAUAAAAUUUCAUUGAAAAAUAUUGAGGUUUGGUGGGUCAAAUGAAUUGAUUUCACAAAGCUAGUAAAUCUGGAACUGUUUCUGUAAUGCUCUGACCAGCUUUCGUGUUUCGGCCAUAAUUUUGUGCUCCGAUGUCAAAAUCAAGUGCCGUCAAUGGCAUUUGAAACUAGACAUUCCAACCUUUCUGACGGUAUAAAAUACACAUUCUGGUUCCAUGUAUGUGAGCCGAACCAACCAUUUAAAUUCGGCUGUUCUGUUUCUCUGUUUUACUGGAACGAAAUGCUGAGGCUGCAACUUGUGGCUCGAAUUCGAGCUAGUUGUGUGCCGAAUUUCAAAAUGAUUUCUUCUGUGAAAUUAUAACUCUAUGAAUGUGUUUUCCAACGCCAUAAACCAUGCCAAAUUCUGAGUUAAUUUGAGUGAUUUGUGAUCAAAAUACGGAACCUGUCAUGCUCUUGAAAACCCUGACUUUUGGACAGAUUUGAUGCAAGGCUUGGUAUAGACUUGCUAACUGAAUAUUUUGGUGCUAAACACUUACCAAAUGUACCAUGAAUAUUCCUUAGGCUUUGCCUACACUAAUGAGCCAUGUUUGAGGAAUUUUUCCUUGACCAAAUGUUUAAAAUGGAAAACAAAAGGUUCAAGGUAGUUUUGUCUUAGUAUUUUCGAAACUUUGGGUGUUUGAUUGACUACCUUCCCGAAGGUAUUUUUCCAUGAAUUUGAUAGAGGGAUACUUUUUAUAUAGGAGUAUUAUACUGCCGAAUUUUGUACCAAUCCAAGUCCAUUUCGAUACCUAACUAAAGUCCCAAAGUUGGAAGCUCAAAUCUGGAAAUUUGUUCACCAGUUUUGAAUUUUCCCAAACUUCGAGCUACCGUAUCUCGGGGCUCGAAACUCCGAUCCUUAAUCUACUUUUUCUGUUAUAAACCUUACUUGUAACUCUAAUUGAGGUACAAAUUUCAGAGGCUAGCUCGCAACGUGUGAAUUUUGCCGAAUUUCCAAAGUUAGAGAAAAACCAACCCCGGCUCAAUUCUGAGUGUUCUGGAACAGCAACUUUAAGCCCAUUUUUGAAUAUCUUCCACUUAGAUUCAUGGAAAAGUGUCUUCUAAGAACUUUUAGUACUUUCAAAAAGGUUUCCAACGGUACCAAGUUUUUCAAUUUUUGAUAUGUAGAAUGUGAGAUACGAUUUUUCAAAAUAUCAUAUCAAAACUGAAAAUUUUCCGAAUUCCAAAGGAAGGGAGUUUUCAAGCACUCCUUAUUCCUUCGAUAUUACUUGAACAUGCUAUACCUGAUUUUCCAAAAUGAAAACUCGAUCGCUCUUGUACUUUAAGAAACUCUAAUUGAAUCUCGAUUUACGAGUAAUUGAGGUUCGAUUUCAUGAAAUUUCCUUAGAUUGUACUAGUGUACAAUCUUCCUUAACAAUUGGGAUAUAUGAGUGAUGCUUCACUAUUAUUUGGUCAGGCGCACACGAGGACCCACAAGAGAAUCUCACGGUAGACGCUUAAACUUCGAGUGCCUUUUUCUGCUCGUUUUACUUGGUGAGUGUCAAGUGUGCGUUACUUGAAUUCCUGUGAAUUCAAUACGUGAUUACUUGUUAUUGAUACUUGAGAUUUUGGGAAAUGGAGUCGAGUGUGUACUUUAUCGCACUCGUUCUCAUUCGAAAUGAUUUAACUCAUGAUCAAAUUUCUUGAAUAUAUCGAUUGCUUGGAUACAUCGAUUGCUUGUACGUAUCAAUGCUUGAUACAUUAUAUGGUAUGCUAUGGCUGCAUACUUCGUUGGAGUGAAUCUCCUCGGCACACAAUUGCACAUAGGGACGCCCACAUCUCAUUGGCCGACCUUGGACUCGAGCCGGCAUGGGCUUGGUCGGGAAUCUUGGCGAGCCAUGAAAUAUAUAAGUUUGACCUAAUGAGAGGUCUUGCUUGGCAUACUCGAGUAGUAUCGCCACAAACAAAUGAUAGGCGGGCCCGAUACAGGGGUAUGUAAGGUGAAAGGGGACAGGUUAAGUGGAGUUCUACGGACAAAACCUACCCGAUUGACGGAGUGUCAAUUCGUGGAGGUUAUUGAUCGUGCAAGUGGAAUAUAGCUCUUGAGAGCUCCUAUAUCCUUGAAUUGUUUCCGUUUACUUUCCGGUAAAUUGUUAAUUAUUGAAACAUAUUAUUGCUUAGCUUGUAAUUGGGAUUGUUACUUGAACUACGUGCUUGCAUAUGUGUCUUUGGCCUCACGAGCGUUUUGCUCACCCUGUAGAUUUGUUUUCCUUAACAGGACUGGAAAUGGAGUUUACCCGGAGAAAUCUCCUUUUGGAUAUAUUUUAUUUUAGGGUUUCAAGUGUAUUUUGGCUUGAACCCCUUUAUGAUUGUACUUUUGGAAGUUUAAUGUAUCAUUCGGAUAUAUGUGAUGUAUAUUUUGGAAUUUAAGUUGUAUUAUGAACGCCCGACGUGCGGGUUGGAUAAUGAAUGGAUAUUGUUAAGCAUGAACGCUUCCGCACUAUAUGUAUUUGUACCAAUUUGAUUGUGGCAUCUAGUAUCGCUUUAAGUUUGAACGUUUAUUGCUUGAGUCCUGGCGAGAGCUAGGCAGGCGUUCCGCGGAUACCCUUUGGUGCGCCUUAGGGAAAAGUGAGGGCGUCACAUGAUCCUUUUCCCUUUUCUUCUUUUCCAUAAUAUACUUAGAAUUCUUAUUUUUUUUCCUCUUCCAUUUCUAUUAUAGUAAAAAUUUUGACGACAACACGCUAAAAAACUAUUUUUAAUGGUUAAGCAUAUAUAUUGCUAUUUCCCUAUGAAGAAUAUCUUUUUCUAUUGACAAGAUUUUUCUUUCAGUUCAAAUUUUAAAACCUAAAUACCCUAUUUUUUACAAGUAUAUAUAUCAUUUAUCGGGCAUAAGGGAUUUAUGUGUCAAUUCUAGAUGGAAAAAUGAUCAACUACCGAUGAUUUUCCAAUUCCUUUAUUAUUUAGACAAUCACAAAUGCAAAAAAUUAAAUUUACACUACAAACACGAAAUUAAAGUAGUAAAAACUAAUAAUUAAAAUUUUCUAGUGUCAUGGAAUUCCUAACUACUCUUGUAAUGGAUCUACCGGUUAAUUAAGUGUUAUCAUCUUGGCAAAUUGUCAUAUAGUUUCCUAAUGUAUGUGAAACCAACUCUCAUAGUAUAUCAACUAUACGUGUAGCUAAACGAUACCUACUCUCGUGGUCAUUAAAUUAACUAUAGAUUCUUUACUUCUAUGAAAUUACAUGGAAUAAGAGACCAAGACCACAAAGAUGCACACUAUUCUCGUAAGUGUACUCUCUAAAUUUAGCACUUAUUUAAACUAGCAUCAAAUCCCAGUUUAAAUCGUUGACUUAACACCUUGAAAUUAUCAAUAUUAAUGGCCAUUAAAUCAUGAUUAUAAAACUAGAAAUACUAAAUAACUUGUUCAAAAUAAUAACAUCAAAUAAUCAAGUAAAUAUCACAAACAAGUCAUAAAAGGUUCAACCAUAACUCUUGGCAUAAACAUUUAGAAACACAAAAUAAAAAUCAAAGAAAAGACCACAUUUAUGUUGUAAGUAAACAUGAAAUGAACUACGAAAAAGAAAGUAAUAGGAGAGAAGUCACCCUUAUUAUGUAAGUUUCAACUCUCCAUCUUGCUCUUUAGCUCUUCAUCGAAAUCUAACUACAAGUACAAGAGUAGUUGAGCUAAAGUACAGUAUCUUAUUCUACUUCUAUACUAACUACUAGGAGCUUGUAGCUUAAAGCUGCUUUUUUGGUGUUUCUCUUCUCUCCAAUCUUGUUUUGAUGUUUUGCCCCUUUUUGAUCUACGUAAUAUAGGGCUAUUAGAGGUUUCUAUGAGAAAUUGGAAGAUUUAAUUCAUAAGAUGGCUAAAUUGGGGCAAAGAAUUUAGUUUAAUACUAUAUUUUUCUCUAUGACUAACUUUUCACACCUUUAUACACAAAAACUAAGAGAAACUUUUUUUAUACUAUUUUUUUUAGUAUAAGUGGGAGAGUUCAAACAAGGAUCUCUCACUUACACUCCAUCCCCCUGAACCACCCACCAUCCCUCUGCCUACGAGAUCUAAGUGACAUGAUUUUUUGUUUGUUUGCAAGUAUAAUUUGUAUGUCUUCUAAUUAUAGGAAUAAUUUGCUAAUCAACUCACCUUACAGGAGAGCAACUUGCAAUCAAACCUAUUACUUAAUACAUUUUGCUUUUUGUUGGAAUUGCACUUUAAAAGAGGACAAGUGUAAUUGGUAGUGAGUUUAUCGGAGAUUGAAUCACACAAAAAAAAGGAAAAAUGAAUGUGAGAGAAAACAAGGGGAAAAUCUUAAUCAAGAUAGCAACCCCCUUGAGUUUAUAAUAAAUCUCUUAAUUAAUGACGUAAGACAAACAACCUUGAUACAUUGUCAUCAAGGCUACGAAAAAUACAUACACGUACAAGUAAGUGCAUGAGAAACCAAUCUAAACAGUAUAGUUUCUCACUUGCUUUGUGUCUCCUGGCUUAUAUUGUCCCACUUUGAAUAGAUUAAUAUCGGCCAUAAUAUAUUAUAGGAAAUUAUUUUUUUUCUUCUUGGUGGAGCUUUUUUUUUGGUAGAGGUUUUUUUUUUUUUGUUUUGGGUAGAGGUUGAAAAGUGUAGUUGGCAUAUAAGAUUUUUUGGCUAAUUAUGGUGUGAACUCAACUAAUUAACUACCUCCCUGCAGAUCAUUCCGAGGACACCAAAAUUAAGUAGUUGACACAUUUGUGAUGAGGACAAUGUAUAAAUAAUCUUAGAAAUUUGGCUUAAUUUCAAAUAACCUCCUUUCAAUUAAGGGUUGGAAGCAAUUCUAUCCCAUACUCAUGAAACUUACAAAUUGCUUCGUGAUGAUUAAUGAUCGUAGGGAUAAUUUCACAAACUUCACCUGAGGUUUGUCUUAAUAUCACUUGCUACCUCUUAAGUUUUAAAAACAUUGCUUACUUCAGGGGUGCUAUAUGAUAUUAGCACAAACCUUAGGAGAAGUAUCUAACAUUCUUCCACAGUCAAAUGUAUGUGGGUAGAAAAAGGAAAAUCAUGCUCUCACUAGAAGAAAAUUAUCAUAUGAACCUUUUCCCUUUCCUUAUUUUCCAUAAUAUACUUAGAAUUCUUUUUUCUCCUCUUUAAUUUGUAUUACGGUAACAGAUUUUGACAAUAACAUGCUAAAAGUUUUUUUUAAUGGUUAAGCAUAUAUGUUGCUAUUUCCCUAUGAAGAAUAUCUUUUUUUUUAUUGAUGAAGUUUUUCCUUCACUCCAAAUUUUAAAACCUAAAUACUCCAUUUUCUACAAAUAUACAUAUCAUUUAUUGAGUAUACCCCAUUUAUUGUUGGACUCUCUGGUACAACACCAACAAGAAAUUUUUUGAAGCACAAAAGCAACAUGUGGACCCUGUUAUAAAUUGCCUAAAUGUUUUAUCUUGAUUCUUUUACUUGCAUCCCAUAGCUAAUUCCAACACCAAAAAAAAGGAAAUUCUUGUUCACGAGUCACCCCCACCUAUUUCAUAGUACAAGUUAAAUAUUGACGUUUUGUCUUUGUUAAGGAAAAACAUCUCGAGAAAGUCCACAAAAAAGGUGCAAUAUAUAAAUCAAGAACCCAUUUUUUAUCCAAAAGUUGAAACUGAUAAGUCUCAGAUCCUUAUCUAUUAACCUCUUUUUCUCUAUCUCUCAAACCAAUGUUGGACACAAUUUUUUACUUAUGAAUCUAGCAAUCUCCCCCUUCAUGAGUGACUCUCUACAUUGAACCCAAGUUUACAAAUUCUUGUUCGAACCCAUUUUAAUACUCAACGCAAGCUUAUUUAACACCUAAGAUCACCUUUUUCCCAAUCUUGGACGCCACUCUUUUUCAAUAUCCAAACUGAAUUCCGAACCCUUUCCAAUCCUUGGCUCCUUGGUCUAAUACCAACCGGAUCCUCUGUCAAAUCUAUAGCACACCUAGUCCAACACCAACUAAACUCAUUGGCACUUUGGUUCAUCACCAAAAAGAAAAUUUUCAUCAGCCCAAUUCCGAGAAGAAUCCAUUUGCCCAUGAGUAGUCUAGUCUCACAAUCAGAAACUCUGAUACCACUUGUUGGGAAGAAACAUCUCGAGAGAGUUCAUCAGAAAGCCUCAAUAUAUAAAUCAAGAACCAAACUUUGACUCAAAAGUUUAACCUAUUAGGACUGGGACCCUUUCUUACAUAUUAACUGUUUUUUUCCAACUCUCAAACCAAUAUGGGAUAUAACUCUUUACUAGGCUUCUUUGAGCUCUGGAUGCUCUGGAGCUGGGGUUUAAUUAGAGAUUGUCAGGGAAGUUGGAUUACUAGCUUCUCAAGGAGAUUAGGCUCUGCAUUAAGUCUAGCUGCUGAGUGUUGGGGGCUUGUGGAUGGCCUCAAUUUAGCAGCCCAAUUAAUUAUUCCUCUGCUGGAGAUUGAACUUGACUCUCGAGUGCUGGUUAAUCUAUUAAAGAUGAACACUACUGAUACUCAUGAACUAAAUUUCUUUUAAUGGAUUGUAGGAGAUUAAUUGUGCAGUUUCAGCAAACCACAUUGAAGCAUAAUUUCCGUGAAGCCAACUAUUGUGCAAACGUAUUGGCGAAAGAGCGUAGUUUGCAAAAUUGUCUUUUUGUUGUUUGUCCCCAGUGCCCAACUUUUGUAUCCACCCUACUUUUGGACGAUAUUAGGAGCUUAGCUUUGCCAAAGAUGACUGUACUUGAUAACUUCUAAGCUCUAUUGGUUACCUUCUUUUAAUCUAAUUUAUCCAUUUUCUACCAAAGAAAAAAUUGAUAAUUUUUGAACUUCUUUAUUAUUUCAACUAUCACAAAUGCAAGAAAUGAAAUUUACAUUAUAAAUAUGAAAUUAAAGUAAUAAAAACUAACAAUUUGUAGCUCCUACUGUUAUUGAAUUCCUAACUACUCUUGUAAAUGGAUCUACCAUUUAAUUGAGUGUUAUCACCUUGGCUAAUUAUCACAUAAUUUGUUAAUGUAUGUGAAACUCACUCUUGUAUUAAAUCAACUAUACGUGUAACUGAACGACACCUACUCUUGUGAUUAUAAAAUUAGUUACAAGUCCAUUACUUCUAUAAAAUUACAUAGAAUAAACUUCCAAACCUAUAAAAGUGCACUUCUAUUCUCAUGACUGUAUUCCCUAAGUUUAGUACUUUUUUAAACUAGUGUUAAAUUUUAAUUUUUAUUGCUAAUUUAAUGCAUUGAGAUUAUCACAAUUAAUGACUAAUUAAUCAUGAUUAUAAAAGCAAAAGUACUAAUAAACUUUUUCAAAAUAAUAGUAUCAAAUAACCAAGUAAAUAUCACAAACAAAUUAUAGAAUAAUCUAGGCAUAAACUUUUAGAAACACAUAAUGAAAAUCAAAGAAAAGAUCAGUCAAAUUCAACCAAGUAGAUAGCAUCCUUCUUGGGUGACAAGAUGGCACGAGUUUCUGCCUUGAAGGUUAAAAAGUAAGAAUUCUACCAUUUGUUUAGAAAUUAGAUCCUACCAUUGUUUUGCAUAAACUUAGACAAAAUGAUAAAGAAAAACUUUGCCAAUUGGAAGAGUAUCAACUUCAUACACAGCUAUACUCUCACAAUAGAAAGUUUUAGAUUAGCAACGUGUUAUUUUUCAUAACAGAUAGUUCUCCAUAAACAGAUAUAUGUCCUUUCCAGGAUAGCUCAUCAUUGCCGUUUUUAAGGUAAUUCAAAAAUUUUCUCUUGUUUUAGCAUAAUUCAAGAGCAUCCACCAGCUCCAGACCCAAGUUUCCCUCCAACAACAUCAUAGACAACCUUCAGUGUUUUCCGCUGUCUGUUACCAAAAAUUCCCACCCUAAUGGCUUCACUAUUUUCAGCAAAAGCCAAGCAGACCUAUGAAGCAUCAACAGCUAUGAGGGUUCUUGUGGUAUCCAGGGUUCACCAACUCGACCGAAUCGUAUCAUAACCGGAACGUGGGGGAUAGGUAUGAUACCGAUCCCCAAAUCACCGAUAAGUCUAUAUCGGAUGUGAAUCGUGCAGACUCGGACGUUAUUGACAAAGUCAAAAUAGUGUAUGAAGAUGUCGGCCAAAUUCUAGAAUUCGACUCGAAGUCGAGUCGGCAACUCAUGAAUAGAAUUGAACAGAGGAAAUUGAACCGAGGAAUUUUCAUUGCUUACACCUAAUAAUUGAACAGAGGAAAACCUAACAAUUGAAUACCAAAUAUUUCACUGCUUUUUUUUAACUUUUACUCAAAAAAUGAACCGAAAAGGCCAAACAAAACAUUGAACAGAAACAAAAGCUACACAAAAGCCUACAACCACUCAAUUAUUGUCAUACAAAUACAAAGCCUUGCAGUUUUUCUCUCAUUGAGAGCACCUUUCUCUCUUCUUGAGAGCACUUUCCCCCCAUUGGUGGGUUUUCAAAAGUUUUCAAACUUCCAAACUCACAAAUCUCGGCAAAGUACAAGAAUUCAACACCUUUCCUAACAUCCAAAAAACGGAUUUCCAUAAUUUUCUAGUUCGGACAUAGUAAUUGCAAAGUGUUGAUGCAACUAAAAAUAUCGAUUCUCUGGAUUGACAAGAAAUAUGAGUUACAGAAGGACGAGGAGAGUAGCAUUUAUGAAGCUGCAAAUCAAGUUGAACUUGAUAGUGGGUUUUUCUUCUCGCUGCCAUAGCUCCAGUUAUUGAGGUAUUAUAUGUAUCCCGAGCUUUUUUCCUGCUUAAGUAUUCUUGGUUCUUGGGUGAAGUAGUUGCCUUUCUUUCUUUUCUUUCUGCUUCCUGUCUAGUUGUUUCGCCUAGGUCUUUCAGCUGAGUUAGGACUCUGAGCUCCGUCUUGCUCGGUAGUCUGAUCCUUUUUUCUCUGACUAAUCUCUUCAGUCUCCUCUGGUGAUAGUGUCUGUGGACUCAUUUCCUUUACCCGAGAGUGGGUUUUCCCCCGUAGUACCUCUGUUUAUAUCUAUGGAAGUGGAUUUGAGUGAAAUGAUACAAAAGUUCUCACUAGCUGGGAAUGAACUCUCUAGAGCUAUGUUAGACUUAGGGGAUCUGGAAAAUGGAGUAAGAGAGUGUAAGGACAGUAUAAUAGGGAGAAUAAUGGAAGAGAAGAUAGCGAGUUUCACAAGGGUGAAAAACUUUGUCACGGUAGCAUGGGGAUAUCCCAAAAAUUUAGCUGUCUUAGAUUUGGGACCGAAUCUAUUCCAGUUCAACAUCCCUAACCCUGAGGAUAGGGAAAUGAGAGUGGAAAGAGGGCCUUGGGUAAUAGAUAACCAAGUUUUGGUUUUGAACAGAUGGGAGGAAGGAAUAGAAGGAAAUAUGGAAACUUUCAAGAUGACACCUUUGUAGGUACAGGUGUGGAAUUUACCAGUAUAUUGGGUUACUAAAGAGGUUGGACGUAAGAUAGGGGCAGUGUUCAAACAGGUUAAGGAUGUUAUAAUCCCCCAAAUAGGGGGAAAGGAAUGUAGGCAUUUGAAAAUGUUUGUGCUAGCGGAUCUAUCAAAACCUCUUCUUAGAGGGACCAUAGUGAAAACUGAGGGUACUUUGAAAUGGGUGGCAUUUAAGUAUGAAAGAUGUUCUGAUUUUUGCUAUAACUGUGGAUUUGUGGGUCAUGGAGAAAGGACUUGCACCAACCAGCAAGAAACAUCAGGAGGGAAUGUUGAUAAUCAGUAUGGCCCCUGGCUGAGAGCAGGUGCUAACAUUCUUACGAAAGCCCUUCCAGUGGAUCAGUUUGUAUUUUUUAGAACAAAAUUGGGCAUUUUGGAAAAGUUUUUCUGAAAAUUCUCUGGUCACACUUUAUCGGACAUCCGAUAUCUGUUGAACAGACAUCCGACAAUGUUCUAAGCCAUUUUUUCAGAAAAUUUUGUUUCGGACGGUGGUGUCGGACACUUCUUUUCAUUUGGCCGUCCGACACUCAAAAUAUGUGUAUUAUAAAGCAGUUCUCUCAUUCAUUUAGUUUAUUUUAAACCGUUAUUUCGGACGCAACCCUUCCUCUUCUCCCACUUUCAAAUUUUAAAAAUUCAUCUCUCUUCUGAACAAGUUCUAAGAAAUUGAUUUGUCCAACACCAUCACAUCCCUCUUGAGUGUCCAUUAGCCCUUAUAACUUCCUUUAACUGCCAACCACCACAUAAAUCCCAAUUUUCAACCGAAACCCUAGUCACUCAAAAUUCACUCCUUCUAGAUGAUUCAAGCAUACAUUGUAGUCUAUACCGCACUCUAAGUCCAUCUCAUACACAUUUGCAUCAUACUCUACAACAAAAAUAUCCUGCAUAUUAUCAUGGUUAGAACAAGAGGAGGAUCUGUUGGUGUCGAACGCACUAUCCGGCUUAGAGAUGAACAUGUCAAAAUUGUCGAGCCCUCCAUCACAAAAUCACCCAGAAAAGGAACAGAAACUCGUGGUGAAAAAAUAAAACCGUCUACCAGAAAGAAACGGCAAAAUGCUGAGCCUUCUGUUGAGCAAAUUGAGGAACAGUAAACUAUUGAGCAAACUGUUGAGGAACAACAAACUGCUGAGCCUUCCACCAGGAAAUCACCAAGAACAAGGUCUGAUGUACGGACUGAUGUACCAAUUGCUCAACGCAGUGGAAAGAGGAAACGCCCUGUCAAAGCGCAACCUGAGGCUCAACCUGAAGUAGAACAUACUCCAUUAUCCAAAUUCAUUGAUGAUGAUGUCGGGGAGAGGUUUGAAUUGAUCUCACAGAAGGGUUUCAUCACUCAGAGAACCAUUCUCCUUUCUGAAUUUCAUAAACUUGACCUUGAACCUGUUCUUAAGUUUUUUGAAUUCAAAAAAUGAACUUACAUUCUGACAAUUUCCUACACCUAUUAUCCUGAUAUGUUUCAUCAAUUCUUUGCUAAUCUUAGAAAGGGUAGCUCAUACACUGAUCUUGUUUCUCGAGUCAAUUCAGUCAAUAUUACUUUCAAUCCUGACACUGUCAAUGCUAUUUUAAAGAUCAAAAUUAAAUAAGAUUUUAAAGAAAAAAUUAUAAAUUUUUUCUCAUAUGAAGAGUUUCCUUCUACCUAUCAUCAUUUUCAUGUUGCAAAAUUGAUGAUAUAUUUUCAAACACGCCUUAAUACACCCGUUGAAGCAAGGUUGAAGGAUCUCAAUUCUCAAAAUUUGAUCAUGUUCACCAUAAUUUCAAACUUGUUGGUCCCUAUUGAUGGUCAUAGAACUGAUGCCAACAAAAUGGAGCUUUACUUGUUUUACUAUUUUGUUGAAAAAGUCCGCAUUGAUUUUGGCUUUGUAAUGUGCAAAUUCCUGCUUAAAAUCAGCACUAACAGCCGUAGGAAACUUUCUUAUGAAAAAUUUUUAACUCCAAUCUUUGCUCACUUUAAGAUUUCUUUCACUGAAAUGUCACCAAAAGAGAGUGCAUCUACCAUCUUCUCAAAAACUUAUUUUGAAAGAAAAAAUCUGAGAUUUUUUUAUGGUUAUUGGUGCUACAAGGAGUCUGUUUUGGAAUUUAGGACAAAGAGUCGUCAUGAAACUCUUGUCACCCCCAGAACUCCCCGAGAUUAGUCUCAAUUUGUUUUACCUUUUACCAUCCAUUCCAAAAAAAUUAUCCACUCACCCUUCCUCAUCUACUCAUGAAGUCAUUUCCUUGUUUGAAGAUCUCAAACAACACAUUCUCUUUCUUGAAGAUAGUCUAAUGAUGACCCUGUCACCUGAGCAACAAAUCACUUUCAUUGACAAAAGAAACUUGCUUGUACCUCCUAUCCCUCAAGAAGAUGAGAAUACGCAUCAAAAGAAGGCUAGAACUGAGCCAACUGAGCAAACUUCACAAACUGAAUCCACUCCAAAAGUUUAUGCUUCCAGUUCUCAGCUACAAGAUAAGAGCAAGGCUCCAACAACUGAAAACAGUGAUAAUGAUGAGGAAACUGAAAAAGAAAAAGAAGUGGAUCCUACGUAGUUUCGCCUAACAAGGAGGAGGUCUGGAUCAUCCAAGAUCACCAUUUAGGCACCUUUAGGCACUUGCAUUUCAUGUUUAGGAUAGCACUUCAUAGUAAACAUUUGCAUCUUUUCUAUUUUAACAUUUCAAGAACUCUGUACUCAUGAAUUCUGGUUAACUCUGUUGGUUUGUAGUUUAAUUGGUUAACUUUUAUAUUUUGAUAUAUAACCUUGAUGGUUUCUGGUUACUUUGUUGAUUAACUUUUAUUUGAUUAAUUUUGUUUGUUUUUGGGCUAAUGACUGCUGAAUGAUUUGUAUACCUGUGAUUACUGAUUUCUGAUAUCAAUUCUUUGUGCCUGUCAACUGCAUUUCUGCUAUUUUUUGGUAUAUUAUAUUGGACAUUGGAUAUUGAUUGCAUUAGAUUGCAUCUCUGAUGCAUCUCUGAUAUUGAUUGCUGAUAUUGAUAAUGAUGAGUAUUAUUGAUAAUGCUGGAUCAUCAAUAUAUUAUUGAUGAUAUUGAUGUUGACUUUCUAGUAUGAUGUGGUAUAUUGGAUUGGACAUUGAAUUUAAUUUCUAAUAUUGGCUUGAUGACAAAAAGGGAGAGAAAUGGAUGUUAAGAAAUUAUGUUGAUGUUAAGAGGAGAUUAUGUUGAAAUGCCAAGAAGUGUAAACUGAUAAAUGUGUGAGGGGGAGUUAUCCUGAGGGGAAGUGAGUAGUUACAAUUUUUUUUUGAUGCAUUAAGUGAGGGAGAGUUUUUGACUCAAUUAUUUUUUUCUCCAUCCAUUGUUUUGUCAUCAUCAAAAAGGGGGAGAUUGUUAAUCUUAGUCCCUAACUUUUGAUAUUUACAAAACAAAUCGAUGUUACUAAUAUCUUCUCAAUGAUCUUUUCAGCAAUGAAGCAAAUCAGAUUCAAAAAUUAAGUAUAACUGAAAGAGACAAAGAGUGCUGAAAGCUGUCGGACGCUCAUGAAUACUGGAUCGAACGUCCGAUAAUCAUUGCACAACUUCGGACACAUGAAAAAUACAACCACCAGACGUCCGAAAGAAUUAAAACAUUCAUUCUAGCUCAUUGAUCUCGAUCGGACACAGAGCAUUAGAGUACCAGACGUCCGAUAAACUUUGCGGCACUUCGGACGCAAAGUUUUGGAAGCUCCGGACAUCCGAAAGAACGGAAGAAGAUUUCUCAACUACUUUCGCACGCAAGCAUAAAAAACAUCGGACGUCCGAAAGAAUUAAAGAAGUAUCUUUAAGCUCACUGCUUGCUGUCGAACACAAAAAACCAUUGUACCGGACGUCUGACACACCCAACGGCUAGUUGACUCUUCAUCUGCUUUCUAUCCGUUGGAAACAUUAAUAGGACACUUUUUAGUCUCAUAUAAAUCGUGAAUGGCCAACAACUUUCAAAGAACUUUUGCACAUUGAGAAUAUGAAAGAUUUAGAGUAAUUUUAGUGAGAAAAUUCUCUUCUAAGAAGAUUUGCACUCUUAGUUGUGUAAACUUCGCAUAAGAUUUUCUUGUGUGAGAAAAUUACUUCAAUAGUAUUACUUUGUGAGGGUUAUCCAAGUAAUAGUAAAAUUUUCUAACUUGACCAAGUGUGGCUUGGGGCAAGGUGGAAGUGAUCCUUUCUUUGUACAUAAAAAUUGGUUGUAAUUAAUCAACUUGAAAAAGCUUGUUCUAUAAAGUAACAUUCAAUCUCAAGAGGAGUUUGAAAUUUGGUUCACUAUUCUUUCCCUAUUAUUUAUUAUCUUGCAAAUAUAAAUUGCUCAUCUCUUCUACUCACAAGUAAUCUUGCUUUCUUGUUUACUAUUCCAUUGAGUGGUCAUCUAGAAAAGAGGGUAAAUUUCAUAUUGAGCCAAAAAGUGUCUCAUAACCUGAUUGAUUUUUAAAUUACCUAAUUGAUAGAGCAGUUAUUGGGCAUAUUUUGCAGUGUUAUUUUGGCCUAAUUUUGGCUAUUUAUGGUGCUAAGUACUGAGAUUUAACUCAUAUCUCACAUUCGUAUGAAUUAUAGGUGAUCGGCAUUAAAAAUGAUCUCGCGGGGUAGAUUUUCAGAAAACUUGUCGUCCCCGGGCGUGACCACGCCUUGGAAGGUAGACGAAACCGAAAGAGGGACCGUGGUCCAUGUGGACCAGGCACAUGGGAUCAAAACUCCAAAAGGGAAAUGGCUUUUGUAGAAUCAAUUGCACCAGACGUUUCCUUCUUUGACUCUUCUUGGACGGUGGCUAUAAAAAGAAAAGGAUAAAGCAAGAUUGAGCAUCAUGUACUUUUUAGCCUUAGGUUCUCUUUUUCUACUUUUUGGGGGAGAUUGGUCAGACGGUUCUUUUUUUUUGUUUUUCUUUUGUUCCUUCUGCGGCUCUGGGUCAGACAUUGGAGACUUUCUCCGUUGCUGUAUCUUUUGCUUUUGGCUUCUGUACAAUUUUUCCUAUUCGACUUUUGCUUCUACUCUCGCUCCAGGGGUACGAACACGAAACCCAACAAAGGGAAGUGAAGCUUUUUCAGCAGUUCCUACGUUAAUUCAUCUUUUUCAAUUCUUCGGCAAUUAAUUGAAUGAAUUCAAUUAAGUCACGCGGGAUUGAUACGAUGAGGAGCGGCUAAUUUUCUCCUCUACCUAAAGGUUGACGCGAGGGCGCGGUCCAUAAAAUCUGUGAGAUCUAAUCGAAUCUUCAUUAUUUCUUCCAAUUUAUUGCUAUUCAUGCAUUUUCUGAAUUAAUUGUUCAUUGGUAUUUGAUUAAUUGAAUAUCAACGGCCGGGUAUUUGAUUUAAUUUAAUAGCCUACUGUCACGUUAAUUAAAUAGAAUCCGUAAUUGUUCAUUUAAUUGACACCUCGUGGCAACCACCAUAAUUGGUUUUAUGAUGGGAAAACGCAAGAUCUAGCUUAAAUAAACCCUCUUAGCGUGUUUAUUGGUUAGGAUUGGUUCUUCUAGAUUUAAUGCAAUUGGGUAAUUAAAUUCCUACGGUCGUACCUAGGGUUGUUAUCUGGUUAGGGAAGCAGUCAAUGGUCGUACCUUGACUGUCGAAAAGGUAAGGAAUAAUUGGUUGUCAGAGCUUAUUGAUAACUAUAACCAACCUAGUGAUGAAUGGGUGAAAUAUCUUUGCAUCGAUGAUCAUUUAAUUGGACCGUGCCUGAACAGUUGAUCCUUUGGGUGGAAUUUUGUUAAUUGCUAUUUUUAGUGAAUUGUACUUUGUGAGUUAGUUUUGAAUUUUGUUUGUUUUAUUUUUUGUUAUUUUUAUUUGCCUCCCAUUGAAAAUCCCCCAAUUUCGUUCUACUAAUUUGGAAAGAAAUAAUUUCCUACCUGCUCCCUGUGGAAUCGACCCUACUUGCCAUUGUACGCAAAAUUAGUAUUUUUAUAGACAAAUCCGGUAUAUCGGAUCAAGCAAACUCUUUGGGAACAGGGUGAAUCAAAUAACCCAUUGCACACCUAGGGUCCCUGAUCCAGUACUUGGAUUUGUUCUAUAAUUAUUUAAUUAAGGUGGUAAUUAGAAUUUUUUAGUAAUUAUUAUUGCACAGGUUCGGCACCUGUCAAUUUUUGGCACCGCUGCCGGGGAGUUGGCGUUUGGAUUAUUUGUUUCUUUUCAAAUUCAGUUUUUAUUUUAUUUUAUUCUUCUUGGCAUUUUUGCUAGUUUAUGCCCCGUUCUUCUCGCACAGGUGAAUUGAUAUACGACGCGGAGGUUGAGAAGGCAUCGCGUAAGCGGAGGCAAGAGACCAAGAGACGAAAGGAAGGGCACUUAUUUAUUGCAAACGAGUCAGUAGAAGACGAAAUAAACAUGGCCAACACCCAAACAUUAAGGGAGCUGGCUGCCCCGGAACUGACUCACCAGCCCUUGUGCAUCACAUUCCCUACUUUGGCUGAGAAUACGGCUUUCGAACUGAAGUCGGGGUUGAUUCACCUCUUACCUUCUUUCCAUGGUUUCUCUGGCGAAAAACCCCACAAACACGUCAAGGAGUUCGAGGUGGUUUGCUCUAGUAUGAAACCUCCUGGGGUCACUGAAGAGCAAAUUAGACUGAGAGCCUUCCCUUUUUCCCUCAAGGAUGCAGCGAAGGAUUGGUUAUACUACCUACCCGCAGGUAGUAUCACAACAUGGGCCCAACUUAAGAAGAAAUUUUUAGAAAAAUUCUUCCCUGCCUCCCGGGCUGCAAGUCUAAGAAAAGAAAUAUGUAGUAUUAAACAGUAUCCCGGGAAGUCCCUAUAUGAUUAUUGGGAAAGGUUCAAUAAGUUGUGCACUAGAUGCCCACAGCAUCAAAUUAGUGAACAACUAUUGAUCCAAUACUUUUAUGAGGGACUACAAACGUCCGACAGGAGUAUCAUUGAUGCAGCAAGUGGGGGAGCAUUAGCAAACAAAACACCAAGGGAAGCAUGGCUACUCAUUGAGUCGAUGGCAGAAAAUUCUCAACAGUUUGGCUUCAGUGAGAGUAACCCUACCCGUAGGGUUAAUGAGGUGGAGACGAUAUCUAUUCAGCAACAGUUGUCAGAGCUGACAUCCGUUGUUCGACAAUUAGCUGUGAGAAAUGUGCCCCAAGUAAAGGCCUGUGGAAUCUGCACAAAUAUGGGCCACCCUACUGACUCAUGUCCUCUGUUGCAAGAGAAUGGGGCUGAACAAGUGAACAUGACUGGAGGCGUGCCCGCGCCUCGUAGACAGUACGAUCCAUACUCCAACACAUACAAUUCGGGUUGGCGAGACCACCCCAAUUUCAGUUAUGAUAAUAAGCCACAUAAUUCAUUUUCUGAUCGUCCACCAGGAUUCCAGCAACCGUGGCAACAAAAGUCUCAACCCUCGUCCUCCAAUUCAGGAAGCUCUUUGGAGGAAAUUGUCAAGAGUUUGGCCACGACUACCACUCAGCUCGUCACAACCACCACUCAGCUCCAGCAGGAGACAAGGUCCUUAGUUGCGAGUACUACUCAGUUCAAACAGGACACCAAAGCAGGCAUGAAGGACAUGGAGAUUCGAAUGAGUCAAAUGGCAACUGCCAUUAACCGCCUGAAGUCCCACGUCUAUGGGAAAUUGCCAUCACAACCCGAGGCAAAUCCCAAGAAUGUAAGCGCCAUGACAUUAAGGAGUGACAAAGAGGUGGAAGGACCUAAGUUGGUAAAUUCGAAAAGCAAAAGUGAGGAGCAGAUAGAAAAGGGAAUUGAAGAGGAAGGGCAUAUUCGGAAAGAGUCUAAGGUAACAUCUAUUCCUUCGAUCCCUAUUAAAUCUGAUCUAGCUCCUUUUCCUUGCAGAUUGGAAAAGACAAAGGGGGCAGAAAAGGAAAAAGAAAUCCUAGAUGUGUUCCGCAAAGUUCAAGUAAACAUCCCCCUAUUGGACGCGAUCAAGCAGAUACCCAAGUACACAAAGUUCUUGAAAGACUUGUGCGUUAACAAAAGAAAGCUAAGGGGUGAUGAAAGAGUGAUGGUAGGAGAGAAUGUAUCAGCUGUACUUCAAAGGAAACUCCCACCCAAAUGCGGAGAUCCAGGUAUGUUUGCUAUCUCCUGUAAGAUUGGUCAUUCUAGUAUCAAAAAUGUCAUGAUAGAUUUAGGAGCUUCUAUUAAUGUGAUACCUAAGUCAAUCUAUGAUUCGCUAAAUUUAGGACCUUUAAAAGAAACGGGGAUAAUAAUUCAAUUGGCUGAUCGUACAUGUGCUUAUCCGGAUGGGAUAGUUGAGGAUGUUUUAGUGCAAGUAGAAGGAUUAAUUUUUCCUGCUGAUUUUUAUGUGCUUUACAUGGAUGAUAGAAGUGCCCCAAAUCCAUCACCCAUUAUAUUAGGAAGACCAUUUUUGAGUACUGCCCAAAACUAAAAUUGAUGUUAGUAAGGGUACUCUCACGAUGGAAUUUGAUGGAGAAAUAGUCCACUUUAAUAUUUUUGAUACAAUGAAAUAUCCUGUUAACUCUCAUUCUGUGUUUGCUAUGUAUGCCAUUAAUCCCUCUGUGCAAGAAUUUUCUAAGUUUGCUUAUAGGGGUAAAUCCAAGGUUGCUGCGAACAAGUCCUAUAGGAUGAAAGCAAUUCAUGAGGUGAAAAUGGAGAGAAAAUUUAGGAAAAAAGUUGCACUCAAUGGCCAUGUGGAUCCUGGAGGAGGGCCACCAAUUACAAGGAAAAUUCAAUUACAUCCAAACUAAAGAGUGGUGUUAUGUCUAGCCAAAGACAUUAAAGAAAGGCGCUGCUUGGGAGGCAACCCAAGGCUUCUUUUGUUUUAGUUUUCUUAUAUUUUUGAAGUUUUUGUUAAGUGUUAGUGUCAUUUAGUGGGUUGUUAUUUUGUGACAGGAAGUUGGCAGCUAGACAUACCCACGCUAGGUCAUCACACCUAAGGAAUGGAGUUUUGGAAUUGACGGUCAGACGACUAUAACUUCUAAGGCGUGCCCACGCCUUCCAACCCUUCCGAAAAAGAAACUUCAGUCUUCUCCUUCCUGUUGGUGUUACGUCCGCCGCCACCACACCACCUUGUGCACACAGCCGUCUCACCUCCUCCGCUUUAGUGUCUCACUUUCUCUCCCCGGUGGUCAGGGAAGUUUCUUUUCUUUUCCCCUAAUACUUCAUUUGUCUUUUCUACAUUGAGAACAAUGUAGGUUUUAGGUGUGGGGGGAUUAAUGGCUUCCAUUAUUUUUUUUUUCUUUGUUACUCAAAAAAAAAAAAACAAAAAUAAAACAAAAAUAAAAUGAAAAAAAAAAUAAAAUAUUGUAGUUAGGCGGCUUUUUGGCUAUUUCUAUGCUUGUUAGUAUUAGGGCAUGUUGCUGUGAUGAAUGACACAAUCAAAGUGAGUGGGUAUGUGGUCGAAUAUACUAGCUGUGCAUUUUGUUUCCCUUGGCAGUGUCGUUGAAUGUUGAAUAUGCUGGAAUUGACCCAUUCUUGUAACUUUUGGGGGAGCUUUUGAGCCUUAUAUGAGCACAUUAUUCUUGUUUGCUCUAUUUUUGUUUGAUUGAGUGGGUAUCACACAUGGUAUUGACAUUCUAGAACUUGCUAGUUUAUACAUGUCAAGGCCACAUUUUUGUUGAAUUGGAUGCAUUUGAAAUGAUAAGGGCAUUUAGGAUUUAACCCUCUUUAGCUAUCUAAAAAAAUCAAUCCCUCAUCUUAUCUCCCAAUAGUGAACCAAUUUGAGCUUUUGUCCUUCAUUUCUGGUUGUUAUCCGUGUUUGUUAACCCAAGCCCUCUUUAAACUUUCUUGUUUACCCCUGUGUUGUCAAGGGAUGCCUGAAUUCCAUCAUUUGUGCAAAGCAAACAAAAUUGGGGUUGCAAGUGCUGUUAGAUUAGGAGCUAUAUGAUGCUAUCCUUGUAUAAAGAAGGGAAAAUUGGAAAAAGGCCACUGACCAGAGGACUUUGGCUUACAGGGCGUGCCCACGCCUUACAGGACUUUCUCCUUAAAAAAAAAAAAAUCCUGAAGAGACCUCGUGACCAGAGGACUAUGGGGUACAAGGCGUGCCCACGCCUUGCAAGCAGUAUUCAAUCCAAAAAAAAAAAAAAAGAGAGAGAAAGAGAAAAAAAUUGGGGACACUUGUACAAAGGGUACAGCAAAUGAAAACUGCCUUGUUUGUGAAACUCCUCCGGUGAAGCACUGUGGUUAUUGGUGAGUUUCGGACAUUCUCUUGAUACUUUACCCCCUAUCUAUACCUUCUUAACCCGCCUUUCACCUGAGCCCCAUUACAACCUUAUUAAAGUCCCUUUGAUUUAUGUGUUUAGUUCACUUUUAAGUGGUGGAGAUGUGAUGAAUGUGCAAGCGUAUGGUAAUGGCAUUCCGUGAUGUUGAUUUGAGCGUUCCUAGUAUUCAUAUAUUGUAGACACCAAAUUUUUGCCAAAUUUUUGUCAAAUUUUAUGUUUUAUUGAAUAUUUUCUAUUUGAUGAAUCAUUUGUUUUCUUGUAUUUUAAGUAUAUUUUGUCUCAUUUUUGUAGGUUUAUCUUAAAAAAAAGAAAAGAAAAGAAAAGAAAAAAAGAAAUAACAAACAAAAACCCAUUUGACAAAAAUCCCUUGGUUCCCUCCUGAAUCUCGGGGACUGACAAAAAAAAAGAACGGCACUUUUGGGGCUCAAGAAAAACUACUCCCUCAAUUCAGCACACUCUCGGUUCUCUCCCUGACACAGGGACAAGAAACAAAAACGGACAGAAAGAAAAAAUUCUCUCCCGAGCCCUCCUCAGAAGCUCUCAACAGACGAAGGAAAAAUUUGCAGAGAGGCCCCUGAUUCACUCUCGCAUCUCUCCCUCUCUCGGACGAAGGCUACGGACAGAAAACGGAGAAGGAAAGAAAAUUUUGCAAGAGGUCCCUGGCAUUUCUCUCUCGGCUGGAGCAGAACGAGCAAACAAAAAGGGAAGAAGAAAUUUGCAGCAGAGGCCCUGGCUCCUCCCUUCUGGAAUUCUCCUCCUUCGGAUCUAGGCAGAAAGACAAGAAGAAAAUUUGCGGCAGAAGUCCUUGGCUCAUCUCUCUCUGUCUCGCCUCUCUCAGCCAGAAGAAAAGAAAAACGCAAGAGAAAGGAAGAAAUUUGCGAAAGAGACCUGGACUCUCUCAGUUAGAGUUCUCAGCAGAACAAAGGAAAAGGGAAGAAAAAAAAUCUCUCGGCUCUUUCUCUCAGAUUCUCCCUCUCAUUUUUUAGCAAAUAAAACACUCCCUCUCAAAUUUUCUCUUGGACAGGGCAAGGCCAAUAAAAAUGAUUGGAGCCUGCAAUUUCAUCAAAUUUUAAUCAAGAGACUACAAUCUUCAUUGAGGUAUUUAUUCUUUUUAUCUUUUUUCCAACUUUUUCCUUUCUUUAAUUUAUUAAAUUAAAUACAUGAUUUGAUGUUUGUUUGUCCCUUGGCUUCGUUUGUUGUUGUUACUGAUGUUGUUGAAUUUUUGGGGAAUCCAUGAAUAAACAUUAAAAAAAAUGAUUUCUGUGAAUGCAUGCUAAUUGUUUAAAAAAUGUAAAAAAUGGGAAAAAUGAAUUUCAAGGGCUGUUUUGCUUUAUUUUAAUUUUUUUAAUGUUGGUUUCUUGUCAAAUAAAAUCAUAGUUAUAUUGUAGGAAUUGUAAGGAGUGUUGUAGUAUAAUUUUUAUAAUUUUUGGUAAAAGAUAAGGUGAUUUGAAAAAAUAAAAAUCGUGACUGUUUCUGGCAUUUUGACUAUCUUCGGAUUAUUUUCUGUACAAAUUAAAUCCGGAUUUGAAAUCUACUCGAAAAAUCGAGUGAAAAUGUGUGUUUUGAUAAUUUUUGGGUGACCGGAAAAAUUGCCGGCGAUCGGUAACCGGAGGCACCGUCAGCGGUAACCACGGCCACCGACAGAAUGUUGUAGGAAAAGUUGCAGAAGUUGAUUUCCGAAGCUUUGCAUGAUAAUCUGGAAAAUUUGCGGUUCAGCCCCCAACUUUCAAAUAAUUACAUUGUGGCCCAAAAGCUUUUGUAAUUGAACCAGUCAUGUCCUUAUUGAGUUUUUAUUUUUUAUUUUUUAUAUUUUAACUGCAUUUCAGGUAUGUUGUUUCUGUGAUUUGAGGGUGUAAUUAUAUUCUAAUGAUUUUGAUAGAUUUAUUAUUUUGAUUGGGUUUGAUAAAAUAAUUGGAGUUUUUUGGGUUGGGAUUUGUUUGGUUGGGUUUGGUAUAAAAUUUGGAUCAUUUUAUUGGUUUUUAGAAAUGGGUUUUGGUUUAUUUCUUGUGGGUUUGGGUUAGGCUAAGAAGUCAAAAUCCAUGUAUUUAUUUGAGUUGAUUUGAGUGAUAAAAGACGGGCUGGCCUGUGAGUUUUGGCUUGGAUUUCGGUUGGGCUAGGAGGUCAUAGCCCAUGUAUUAUUUGGUUGGGUUUGGGGAAUGGACUUUUGUUUUAUUUCUUUCGGGUUUCGGUUGGGCUAGAAGGUCAGAGCCCAUGCCUUUAUUUUGGUUGGAUCUGAGUGAUAUAAGACGGGCUGGCCUGCUCGUUUCUUUUGGGUUUCGACUGGGCUUAGGCAGUACUCGGCCCAAAUAAAUAAAUAAUGGCCCAGUGGCCUGUUUUCUUAAGAAGAUCUGCUAGCGAAUUUGCACUUCAGUCCCUGAUCUUUGGAGUAAUUUUACUGUGGCCCAGAACAUUUUAAAUUCCUUUCACUUAGGUACUUAAUUUAAUUGCACUUUGGUUCUUGAAUUUUAUCUUUCAUUUAAUUUUGACCCUUAAACUUUGGAAAAAUAUAACUUCUGUCCCUAAAAGUUUUCAAUCUUUGCAAUUCAGUCCCUGAUGAAUUUUGACUCUCUUUAUUAUGAUUGUUUCUUUUCUUUAAUAACUAAUUAUGUUAUUUUUGAACAUAUUCAACUUGCAAUUUUUAGAUGUUCUUAAAUUUCUUUGCGUUUAACAUGUUAAUGUGAAUUUAGUAUUUUAACAUUAUUAUUAUUUUCAAUUAAAGUGGUGCCAUGAUUCUUUUGUUCAUUGUGAGUAUAAAUAGGACAAUUUGACUCCAUUUAGUCACCACUUCAAACGGGAGGUACUCCUAUUUUAUUAUUUCAAUGUCAAUUACGUGUUCUUAUGUGCUCCUAUUUGUUCCUAUGUGUUUAUAUAUUUUUAUAUGCUUUAUUUACUUGAUUUAAAUAUUCAUUCAAAUUUUCUUAUAUAUGUUUUAGUUAAUUUUUAUAAUGAUUCAAGAGGCAUUUAAAUACCUCAAAAAUGUAAUAGAUAGGAUAAUUAGAUUUGUUUUAUUAUAUUUUUCCCUUCUAGAUUGUAGUUAGGCGCCCCCGAUGUAAUAGAUAGAUUGCGUGUUUAUGUGGCUUAUGUGUUAUGUGUUUUGUCCGCUUUUCUUAGGAUUUUGGCAUCUAGAUAUUAUGUUUACGUGUUAUGUGCUACGUGCUCUUAUGUGUUUAUUUGUUUCGCUAUGAAUUGUUAAUGCAUGACGUCACCACACUAGUCCAACGCUAGUUGUGGUUUCUCCCUCCGCUUACUUGCUAGUCCAACGCUAGCAAGGAUUUUUAGAAAUGGGCUAGUCCAACGCUAGACCCUUUAGGUCAUCUUGUGCUAGAUUCAUCAUUGUAUGCUAUUCACCACAUUUUCAUGCAUAUUUUCAUUUUUAGGAUCUUUUCUCAUUUGCAUGAUAUUCCCUAUUUUAUUAUCCCCUACCCGCUAUAGGUGCUAAUCAUGUCAUUUAGAAUUGCAUCCCAUUUAAGCUAGUUCAUUUGCUUGUUCAUGUUAGGAUAAUUAUUUUUCAAACAUGGGAAAUGGGUGAUUAUAACUUUCUAGUUUAAAUACCCUAUUAAUCCAUGUAUAAGAAAAUUAUGUCACGAAUUUUUUUGCCUCCCGUACCCUUUAUGUUGCAUUCCCUUUUUCUUUGAUCACUUAUAUAUAUGUAUAUAAUUUAAUUUCUUUUCUUUUAUUUUCUUUUCUUUUUCAUCAUUUGCAUCCUUGUGACACCUUCGAGGAUUUAUUUUGACCUUCGCAAUUAAUGCGAUUGGUUCAAUUAAACCCUUGAAUGAACAUGUUGUCCCUUGCGAUAUUUUUUAGAUUUGCAUUCAUAUAGAAAACAUCCAAAUGUGAUAAAUUAAGGGUUAGAUUAGGAAAAUUUUGACUAAACCUCGCAACUAGCUUAGACUAGGUUGAAAGGGUGCCUUAGAUUUGAGUUAAUCGAAUCUUUGCCUUCCCUUUCUUCAACCGUGACUCCCGAAUCCAUUUUCUCUUGUUUUCAAAGACCUGGAGUUGUCAAAAAGGGUUUUAUUUUGUUUUACUUUAUUUUUUUGGGUGACUUGGUACACCAAAACUCCAUACCAAGUGGCGACUCCUGUUUUUUUCUUAAAAACCCUUUUAGACUAAAUUUUGGACCCAAAUUGUCGCAUUCUUUUUAAGUCCCAUUCUAGGUCCCUUUUAACUUGUUUAAAAAUAAAAUCAUAUCUUUUAUAAACCUCACACUUUAUUUUUAUUUCCAUCGCGAAAAAUGGGGCGCGACAACUUGGCGACUCCACUGGGGACGUUAGAGAGUCCAAGCACUUGGUUUAGUCGUCUUUUCUCUCUUUAACCCUUAUAUUUAUCAUAUUUGGAUGUUUUAGGUUGUAUUUUUCUUUUUUAGGAUGUUUUGCAUUUCACACUCGUAAUUGUUCCUCGUCUUACGUGUAUGUGAUGAAUGAUUUAUUUAUUUACUUUUGUUUCGCGCUUUGCAUUUGGGGGGUGGGGAAUAUUACCCUAGAGCCUCGCAUUGGUUCUCGAUCCCUCCCCUCCAAACCGAGCACUGGCAUACGUGCAUACGCUUUUAUUAUUUUUUGUCCCUCAUUUAUUUUUCUUUUAGUGGCUUGUCACGCCACUCCACCCUAUUAGGAUUAGGCGACCCACUUGGACGUGUGAUCGCGACACGACGUGUGCGUAGCAUGAUCUGAGGGGUCACUCAAUCUUCCAUUUUAAGCUUUGGGUUGAUAGCCUUUAGCUUUUAGUCGAAAAUUGAGGAUUUUUUAUAGAUUCACUUGGACAUGUGGCCGUGGCACGACGUGCGCGUAGCAAUGUCUGGGGAAUCGCUCGAGCCACCGACAAAGAACCUCGGGGUUGAUGACCUUUGGUUUCUAAGUCUGAAGGCUCGGGGACCUUAAAACCCAUCGAGUCUAGAUGCAUUAGUGAGCCAAUAUCUCAUGCAUCCAUAAUAGUUUACCUAGGGUAGAGUUUGUCUUACCCUAUUAGGGACACUAUUCACGAGGGGAGGGAUCUAACCCCUCUUUUCCUUUUAUUGUUUUAUCUUUGUGUAUUGCUUUGCUACAAUGUGUUAUGUGUAUUUAUCUGAUUGAACUAAUUUUUCUUGAUUUUUGUCUCCAUUGCAUUCACAAACAUUAGGAAAAUAAGAGGUCUUGCAUGAUCCUCUUUUAGAACCUACCCUUGUAAAUAGGCUAUUGCACGUUUAAAAGAUUUUGAAUAGUGCAUUCAUAGAUUAACAGUUGCACAUCAUUUUAGGCUUACACCGGCGUUUUAAAUGGGGCACUUUUAGGUCAUAUUUCAAUUAUUUCAUUGCAUAUUUAAUUGCUUUAAUAAAUUGGCAUCAUGCAUCCACCUUAGAAGGGAAUGCCAUUUAGGGAAUCCCGUUAUAGGAAUAAACCACCUUUUGUCUCGGAUAUAUAAUCCAAUGAGAUUUGCAUGUUUAUAUUUUGUGUACCAUCCAAAGGGGUAGUGCACAAGGUAAGGUAGGAUUCGAUCCUUUUUGUGUGACGGCAUUGAGAAUGAUGGAACAGUUUUUACGCAUUAGAAUAUGAGCCUUUAAUAAUCACCUUUUGGCCAUUUUAUCAGAAUUGGUAAAAAUCCCUUGCGUAAAGGACAUUAAGUUGAAGAAAUUCACAAAUUCCUCAUCGUUGAGAUGAUAAGUAUGUUAAGGCCAAAUUUUGAUUUCUGAAGGCUCAUAGACUAAUAAAUCACAUUGAAUUUUUUGAAACUACCAAUGGGCAGACAAUUCCAUCGAUUUGGAUAAAUCAUCAAUUUCAUUCAUUUCAUUUUUGUAUCUAAGAUGAUUAAAUCGAUUUUUUUUUAUAGAUCAUUCGACCCAUACAAUUUUGCUCAUUUUUUUUUAAUUUCAUUUUCAUUUUGAAUAAAUCAUCAAUUUCAUUCUGUCUAUUUGGCCAGUGAUCCAGUCGAUUUGUGAAUAAACUGUCAAUUCCAUCCAAUCCAUCUUGACCAAUUUAUUCACUUUAGGUCAAUCCAGUCAAUUUUGAAUAAAUCGUCAAUUUCAUCCAAUUAAUUUUACCAGCUUAUUCAAUUUUUAGGACAAUCCAAUCAAUUGUGACUAAAUCGUUAAUUUUUUAGUAAAUUUUCAAUUUCAUCAAAUCCAUUAUUUUUUUUAGGAUAAUUCAGUCAAUUGUUUAGUAAAUUUUCAAUUUCAUCCAAUCCACUUGUUCAGUUUUAUUCACUUUUAGCAUAAUUUAAUCAAUUUUUGAACUAAUUAUCAAUUCCAUUUGAUCCAUUUGGCCCGUUUAUUCUUUUUUUUUAAAAGUUUUGAUCUAUGGCUUAUCGAAUAAACUUGUCGAGACAUUUCAAUUCAUUCAAAAAUAAGUUUUUCACACUAAAUUAAUUUUUAAUAUCACUUUAUGUGUCAAUCAAAGCAAUCAAUCCAUUCGGACUUUGUCCUCAUUUUGUUAGAACAAAUUGUUUCUUGUCACUCCAAUUAACCAAAUUUUUUAAAAUUGUCUUCUAUUCGAAUUUCAAUAAGUCGAUCGGAUCCAUCAGGUAUGGUAUGGUGCCUACCCCUGAGGAUUGCAUUUUCAUGCUAGGCCAACCCUUGGCAUAAAAGGGCUCUCCCAUAGGACAUGCAUACCGAUUUUGCAGUUUUGCUUACUAACUCUGGGUAUUUUGCUUUUAUUUUUUCCCCCUCCCCUGCAUUUAUAAAAGUUGUUUUAACAAGGUAAAAAAAAAAAUAUUUUUCCUAUAUCUGAUAAUAUUUUUGGGUCUAAUAAAUUUUGAAAAAUUACAAAUGUUACUUGAUUCUUGGGCAGAUCCUACAAUGUGAAAAAAAAAUGAAAUGAAAAAAAAAAAGAGAAUGAAAAAUCCAUUUGAAAAUGCUAGUGUAAAGCAUCUCAAAAAUCUCUUGAUUCAUUAUUUCUAAUCCAUUUUGUCUCAAAAGAUAGAAAGAGAAAGUGUGUAUAUAUUUGAAAGUGUAUUCUUUAGAGAUAUUUUUUUUUCUCACAUGUAUUAUAUUUGAGAAAUUUUCAAACAUUUGAAUAAUAAAGUUUUAUUUAGACAACUAUUGUUUUGUAUAUACUCAUUCUUUAUUUGCUCAUUAGGAGAUUUCAUGAUGAAUCCUAAGAAAUAAGGCUAAAUUGAAAUUUUUUGACCUCUUGUUCGAAAUUCAUGAGCGUAUGUCCAAUUCUCAAAAUUCUUUGCAUACACUAGAUUUGUGGUCUAAACUAUUCAAUGAGAGCAGUCGAAAAUAAAGAGGGGUCAUUCAAAUUUGAUAGUUUGUCAUAGAAUAUCAACCCCGACACUUUUCUUUUUCAUCUUUUGUCCACUUCUAUCGAACCUCCAAAGUCAGUCACCUUGGUUGACUUGCUUCAAAGUGAGAUAAUUUUUACCGUGAAAUGUUCACUGUGUCUAACCAGAUUCAAUUCACAUCUGAGUGAAAGCAAAAAUGUCCAUUAUUUCUUAUUUGUUUUGAAAAUUUGGAAUGAUACUUUAAGCUUUUCGUUUCUAUAUCUAUACAGAUUUUAUCAAUUGUUCUCCCAUUUGAACCUUUUAAAAGUACAAUUUCAUUUCAAAUAAGAGCCUUAGUGAUCAUAAUUUUACACGUCAAAAGGAAAUGGAUUUUCUCAACGGGCUAUUCUUUACUUUGGUUGUCAUGAAAAAUAAGAAUGAUGCUUUGGCCGUUGUUUCUACUAUCCAAACACUAUCCAUUCUUUGCAUCCUCGUUUGAGCCUAAAUUGGUGGUUCGUUUCAAAAGCACUUAUGAUCGCACCCCCACACUGGGAAAGGAGAUUUGAGAAUUGAAAAAAAUGGCAAAGAUGCUCAAAAUUUUAGCAAGAGAAAAAUUACAAGUUGGGGGAAUUUGACUCUACCAUUGAUAUUUUGGUCUUCAAUAUCAAAAAGAAACAGGGGCCACCUACACUCCAAAUUAGGGAGUUUUCAAUUUUAUCAUUGACAUUGGGGAUAUCAGUAUUGGUAAAAUAAAAAAUAAAAAAAAGGGAAAAGAGAGAAAAGAAAAAAAAUGAAAAAAAUGAAAAAUGAUGAAAAAAAAAAGAAAAGAAAGAAAAUGCGAAGACAUCCAAUACUGCAUUCCCCUUAGUGAUUGUUGAAGAAAAAAGAGGAUUGAUAAGAAAGAGAGUCAAAAUGGGGUUCCGGAUUUCAAAUCCAAAACUGGGGCAAUUUUUUAAGGAAUGCGAUCUUAAGUGCGUUGUCCUUGAAAAGUUUAUUUCUUUUAGCUAUCGGUGUUAAGCCAUAUUACAAGCUCAUAAAGUCCAUUGUUGACUUAUCUUUCAUGACAAUUUGAAGUGAAAAUCUUGCCUCUAAGGAACCUACCAUUCACUCGUGAUCAUAAGGUCAUAACUUGUUUCCAUAUGUUUGGCUAUCGUUUCUACCCAUACAUUAUAAGCCCAUAGAGAUUAUAUGUUGACUGAGUUUUCUCAAAAAAUAAGAGUGAUAAGCUAUUUGCUUUCACCAAGAUGUGAUAUUGAAUAUGUUGGAUACAAUUUGGGCAAAAAAAAAAAAAAAAAAAAAAAAAGACAGAUCCUGACAUACCAUUCCCCUGAGUCAUCUCAAAAUCCUGAAUAAUAUCCAUUUGAUUGGUUCUAAAAGAUGAGCUCAUAAGAAAAGUGGUCCUUUUCCCUCAACACCAAUCCCAAAAUAAGGAAGAGAUCUUUUUCAAUUUGGUCUUAUUUUUGAGGGAUUUAUCAUGGAAUCUUCUACAUGAGUUUGGAUAUGAUAUUUAAAUUCUUCAUGUGAAAAAUGUAGUUUCUAUUCACAUUGCAUGUGAUUAUUUUGCAACUAAAAAAAAAAAAAAACCCCAAAUCUGGGGCAAAUUUUUUGUAAUAUAUUGUGAGAUUUCAUCAAAUAAGUUCAAAUUGAGGCAAAAAUUUUAUAAUACAUUUGUAGGGUAUGUCCAAGAUCAAGUAUAUAUUUUUAAAAUUUUGAUAAGUCAAUACUUUGCAUGAAUCUUAAUUGUUACAUCAUUGCUUAAAAAAAAACACAAAAAAAAGAAUAAAAAAAAAUUGAAAAAUUCAAGUGCUUUGAAAAAUUCCCCUUAUGCAGGUGUUUAUGGUUGAGAUCGAGGAAAAAGUGCAAUUCAAAACUUGCAAAUUUGGAGAUUAAUCACAAAUAAAAAUGGAGCAAUAAUGCUACAUUGCAAAGUGGAGGAUCGGCUAUUUGCUCAAAAGGAGUACAUACUUCAGCAGCCAACUUGAAAAAAAAAAAAAGAGAAAAGAAAAGAAAGGAGGAAUGAAAAAAAAAGAGAAUAAUGAAAAAAAAAGAGGAAAAAAUGAAAAAAAAGAAAAGAAAAAAGGAUUGAAAAAAAAAGAAAAAAAGAAAAAGAGAGUUUUUCCUUCGAUUUUGCGAAAUUUUGCAAUUGAACUCUGGGAGCAUUUCAUUGGAGAUUACAUUUCUAAGUUGGGGUAACACCUUGCCCUCUUAUGCUGUAAUGGAAGUGGUAAUACAUGCCAAAACCGAGAUUCCGUCCUUGCACAUUUUGACAAAGGCUCAGGCAGAAGAAAUCGAAUGGAUUAAGGAGCACAAUGAGUUGCUGUCUCUAAUUGAUGAAAAAGAAGUUGAAUGUUUGUCAUGGACAAUGCUAUCAUCAAAGGAUGGUUCGUUAGUUAUGACAAGAAAGACAAAUCUCGCUUAUUUGAAGUGAGGGAUAAGGUUUUGAAGUAAAUUCUUCCGAUUCAAGAGGAGGUUAAAGAAAAGUUUGCUCCAACUUGGCAAGGGCCAUUUAUUGUUCAAAGAGUGCUAUCCGGAGGAACACCCAUUCUCACAGAACUGGAUGGACAGGUUUUUCCUCUGCCAAUCAAUUCAGACAUGUGUAAGAAAUUCUUUAUCUGAUUAGGUGAUUUUUCUUUUUGAGAUACCAUCUAGGGUGGAUUAAAGGCGAACCUUCUUCUUUUCUCUUUGAAUAUCUUACCCUUGAUUUUUCCCUUUGAACCUUCAGAAUAACUUAAUCAUUCUUUUUGAUAGCCCCCUAAAGAUUGCAAAUCCCACACCAGGGCAAAUUUUAUCUCCUAUUUGUCAUAAAAAAAGAGAAGGAAAAUGAAAAGGAAAAUAGAUUCAAAAGCCAAACUGGGGCAAUUUUUUCAGUUUUAAUACCCUCAUACUGGGGCAAAUAUUGAUAGAAUGCGGUCUUAGGGUUUUUGAAACCUCUUUGAGGAUUUUGCUCUCAAGCCUUAACAUUUCUUCCACACCCCACCUGACCCCAUCAUAAAAAAUCAUGAAGUCCCGACCUCCGCCUUAGUAGUAUCUCUAACAAAAAUCACUUAAUCAAAUGGCAAAUGAUGUCAAUACACCUUCACCAAUUUUGCAUGGGAAGGAUUGUCGCACUGAUGCCAUUAUUUCUUAAAACAUAUUCUUGAGUUGAUAAAGGUUGUUGACAAAAUUUGUUCAUUGAGUGAAAACCCGAAUGAGUGUCUUUUCAAAAAGAAAAAAAAAUGAAAAAAUGAAAAAAAUGAAAAAAAAAGAAGAAGAAAUAGAAAAAGGAAAAGAAAAUGGGGGUGACCUUAGGAAAAAUCCGAAAUGCUAAGGUCAUCAAUGUAAGGUUUUGGAGCACAAGAGAAUCAUGAACGAAGAGCAGAGUGUUGAAACUUGAAACGGACAUUCCUUCAAAUCUGGUCAUUAGAAAGAGUUGAUUUGUGAUACAAAGGGAAGUAUGACUGACUGAUGCUAAAAAACUGAGAAGAUUCAACACAAGUUGCAGCACAACUCUUGGGGAGCAGUUUUGACAUAAAAAAUCAUGCUUGCAUGGUUCUCAAGGCCAAAGGAAUCACAAGGGAUCACAUGGGUGGUGGCAUUAUGUGAUCACUUUUUCUGCCUUUUCGAAAGUAGGAAAAAUGUGGUCUUUGUUAAACAUGAUUUAUGCUGGAGCAAAUAGCAAAAGGAGUGAGCUCCAAUUUUGGUAAUGCAUUCUAAAUCGGUUUUGUGAAAGAAAAAAAAGUGAAAAAAGAAAAAGAAUCUUUUAAAAUCGAGAGGAUAGUGACAUAUGUAUAUACCUCUCGAAUCUCUUGAAGGGAGAAUUGUCAUUGGUAUUCUUCUAGUUUUAAAAUUCGUCACUUCGGACUUUUUCAAAAACAAAAAACAAAAAAAGUGUGUUUCUUUCAUUUCUUCUAAAGUUUGAAAAGAAAAAAAAGAGAGAUUGCAAAUCCACCAACUUGAGCAACGUGCAUUUUUUAAUCUUUCAGUUGGAUAGUAUUGGACUUGCAUUUUCAUUUCUUUCAUUAUUUCAUUAGGCCCGGGUCUAUCCCACCAAUCUGUUAUUUCAAAAACAAAAAAAAAAUUCAAAAAUCAAAAAACAAAAAAAAAAUCAAAUCAAAAAUCAAAAAAAAAAAUCAAAAAAAAAAUCAAAAAAAAAUCAUAAAGAUCAGAAGAUCAUAUUUAUAUUCCUGUUGGUGAGUCUCAGCGUCCACCGCGCACCUUUCUACCUCCCCUUCUUGACAAAUUUAAUUUUCUGUUGGAGCGUAAUCGCGUCCCUCCGCGCAUCAAUUUAAUUUCCUGUUGGUGAGUCUCAGCGUCCACCGCGCACCCUUCUACCUCCCCUUCUUGACAAUUUAAAUUUCUGUUGGUGAGUCUCAGCGUCCACCGCGCACCCUUCUAUCUCCCAUUCUUGACAAAUUUAAAUUCCUGUUGGAGCGUAAUCGCGUCCCUCCGCGCAUCAAUUUAAUUUCCUGUUGGUGAGUCUCAGCGUCCACCGCGCACCCUUCUACCUCCCAUUCUUGACAAUUUAAAUUCCUGUUGGAGCGUAAUCGCGUCCCUCCGCGCAUCAAUUUAAUUUCUUAUUGGUGAGUCUCAGCGUCCACCGCGCAUCCUUCUACCUCCCUUUCUUGACAAUUUAAAUUCAUGUUGGUGAGUCUCAGCGUCCACCGCGCACUCUUCUACCUCCCCUUCUUGAUAAUUUAAAUUCAUGUUGGUGAGUCUCAGCGUCCACCGCGCACCCUUCUAUCUCCCAUUCUUGACAAAUUUAAAUUCCUGUUGGAGCGUAAUCGCGUCCCUCCGCGCAUCAAUUUAAUUUCCUGUUGGUGAGUCUCAACGUCCACCACGCACCCUUCUACCUCCCAUUCUUGAUCAAUUUAAUUUCCUAUUGGUGAGUCUCAGCGUCCACCGCGCACCCUUCUGUCCCCCUUCUCGACAAUUUAAAUUUUUGUUGGUGAGUCUCAGCGUCCGCCGCGCACCCUUCUAUCCCCCUUCUUGGAGCGUAAUCGCGUCCCUCCGCGCAUCUUUUUCUAAUUAUGACAAGUUACUUUUCUUGACUGUUUUGACCAAUAAUUGUUGUGCUUUCUCAUUCAUUUGGUGUUUCAUGUUUAGAAGUUCUGAGAGCUCAGACUUUUUCGACUUUGCAAAGACCACAGUUGGUCAAUGCACUUGUUUCAUUGUGAUUCACUUGUAAUUCGAACUACGUUUGACCUGAUUCCCAUGGUGGGAUACGUAGGCAACUCUACAUGGGUCCGGUCACAUUUUCUGCAAUGUUAUUGCAUCAUUUUGUCCAAUAAUUUCAGCCAAGUGUUGGUUUGUUUAUUUUAGUUCAGGUGCAGCUACAAGAGACAGAUAAGCAAUUUGGUGUCUACGUCUUUGUCUUGAGUUUCUUAGAAACUCUAGACAAAGAGGGGCAACCUGUAGACACCAAAUUUUUGCCAAAUUUUUGUCAAAUUUUAUGUUUUAUUGAAUAUUUUCUAUUUGAUGAAUCAUUUGUUUUCUUGUAUUUUAAGUAUAUUUUGUCUCAUUUUUGUAGGUUUAUCUUAAAAAAAAGAAAAGAAAAGAAAAGAAAAAAAGAAAUAACAAACAAAAACCCAUUUGACAAAAAUCCCUUGGUUCCCUCCUGAAUCUCGGGGACUGACAAAAAAAAAGAACGGCACUUUUGGGGCUCAAGAAAAACUACUCCCUCAAUUCAGCACACUCUCGGUUCUCUCCCUGACACAGGGACAAGAAACAAAAACGGACAGAAAGAAAAAAUUCUCUCCCGAGCCCUCCUCAGAAGCUCUCAACAGACGAAGGAAAAAUUUGCAGAGAGGCCCCUGAUUCACUCUCGCAUCUCUCCCUCUCUCGGACGAAGGCUACGGACAGAAAACGGAGAAGGAAAGAAAAUUUUGCAAGAGGUCCCUGGCAUUUCUCUCUCGGCUGGAGCAGAACGAGCAAACAAAAAGGGAAGAAGAAAUUUGCAGCAGAGGCCCUGGCUCCUCCCUUCUGGAAUUCUCCUCCUUCGGAUCUAGGCAGAAAGACAAGAAGAAAAUUUGCGGCAGAAGUCCUUGGCUCAUCUCUCUCUGUCUCGCCUCUCUCAGCCAGAAGAAAAGAAAAACGCAAGAGAAAGGAAGAAAUUUGCGAAAGAGACCUGGACUCUCUCAGUUAGAGUUCUCAGCAGAACAAAGGAAAAGGGAAGAAAAAAAAUCUCUCGGCUCUUUCUCUCAGAUUCUCCCUCUCAUUUUUUAGCAAAUAAAACACUCCCUCUCAAAUUUUCUCUUGGACAGGGCAAGGCCAAUAAAAAUGAUUGGAGCCUGCAAUUUCAUCAAAUUUUAAUCAAGAGACUACAAUCUUCAUUGAGGUAUUUAUUCUUUUUAUCUUUUUUCCAACUUUUUCCUUUCUUUAAUUUAUUAAAUUAAAUACAUGAUUUGAUGUUUGUUUGUCCCUUGGCUUCGUUUGUUGUUGUUACUGAUGUUGUUGAAUUUUUGGGGAAUCCAUGAAUAAACAUUAAAAAAAAUGAUUUCUGUGAAUGCAUGCUAAUUGUUUAAAAAAUGUAAAAAAUGGGAAAAAUGAAUUUCAAGGGCUGUUUUGCUUUAUUUUAAUUUUUUUAAUGUUGGUUUCUUGUCAAAUAAAAUCAUAGUUAUAUUGUAGGAAUUGUAAGGAGUGUUGUAGUAUAAUUUUUAUAAUUUUUGGUAAAAGAUAAGGUGAUUUGAAAAAAUAAAAAUCGUGACUGUUUCUGGCAUUUUGACUAUCUUCGGAUUAUUUUCUGUACAAAUUAAAUCCGGAUUUGAAAUCUACUCGAAAAAUCGAGUGAAAAUGUGUGUUUUGAUAAUUUUUGGGUGACCGGAAAAAUUGCCGGCGAUCGGUAACCGGAGGCACCGUCAGCGGUAACCACGGCCACCGACAGAAUGUUGUAGGAAAAGUUGCAGAAGUUGAUUUCCGAAGCUUUGCAUGAUAAUCUGGAAAAUUUGCGGUUCAGCCCCCAACUUUCAAAUAAUUACAUUGUGGCCCAAAAGCUUUUGUAAUUGAACCAGUCAUGUCCUUAUUGAGUUUUUAUUUUUUAUUUUUUAUAUUUUAACUGCAUUUCAGGUAUGUUGUUUCUGUGAUUUGAGGGUGUAAUUAUAUUCUAAUGAUUUUGAUAGAUUUAUUAUUUUGAUUGGGUUUGAUAAAAUAAUUGGAGUUUUUUGGGUUGGGAUUUGUUUGGUUGGGUUUGGUAUAAAAUUUGGAUCAUUUUAUUGGUUUUUAGAAAUGGGUUUUGGUUUAUUUCUUGUGGGUUUGGGUUAGGCUAAGAAGUCAAAAUCCAUGUAUUUAUUUGAGUUGAUUUGAGUGAUAAAAGACGGGCUGGCCUGUGAGUUUUGGCUUGGAUUUCGGUUGGGCUAGGAGGUCAUAGCCCAUGUAUUAUUUGGUUGGGUUUGGGGAAUGGACUUUUGUUUUAUUUCUUUCGGGUUUCGGUUGGGCUAGAAGGUCAGAGCCCAUGCCUUUAUUUUGGUUGGAUCUGAGUGAUAUAAGACGGGCUGGCCUGCUCGUUUCUUUUGGGUUUCGACUGGGCUUAGGCAGUACUCGGCCCAAAUAAAUAAAUAAUGGCCCAGUGGCCUGUUUUCUUAAGAAGAUCUGCUAGCGAAUUUGCACUUCAGUCCCUGAUCUUUGGAGUAAUUUUACUGUGGCCCAGAACAUUUUAAAUUCCUUUCACUUAGGUACUUAAUUUAAUUGCACUUUGGUUCUUGAAUUUUAUCUUUCAUUUAAUUUUGACCCUUAAACUUUGGAAAAAUAUAACUUCUGUCCCUAAAAGUUUUCAAUCUUUGCAAUUCAGUCCCUGAUGAAUUUUGACUCUCUUUAUUAUGAUUGUUUCUUUUCUUUAAUAACUAAUUAUGUUAUUUUUGAACAUAUUCAACUUGCAAUUUUUAGAUGUUCUUAAAUUUCUUUGCGUUUAACAUGUUAAUGUGAAUUUAGUAUUUUAACAUUAUUAUUAUUUUCAAUUAAAGUGGUGCCAUGAUUCUUUUGUUCAUUGUGAGUAUAAAUAGGACAAUUUGACUCCAUUUAGUCACCACUUCAAACGGGAGGUACUCCUAUUUUAUUAUUUCAAUGUCAAUUACGUGUUCUUAUGUGCUCCUAUUUGUUCCUAUGUGUUUAUAUAUUUUUAUAUGCUUUAUUUACUUGAUUUAAAUAUUCAUUCAAAUUUUCUUAUAUAUGUUUUAGUUAAUUUUUAUAAUGAUUCAAGAGGCAUUUAAAUACCUCAAAAAUGUAAUAGAUAGGAUAAUUAGAUUUGUUUUAUUAUAUUUUUCCCUUCUAGAUUGUAGUUAGGCGCCCCCGAUGUAAUAGAUAGAUUGCGUGUUUAUGUGGCUUAUGUGUUAUGUGUUUUGUCCGCUUUUCUUAGGAUUUUGGCAUCUAGAUAUUAUGUUUACGUGUUAUGUGCUACGUGCUCUUAUGUGUUUAUUUGUUUCGCUAUGAAUUGUUAAUGCAUGACGUCACCACACUAGUCCAACGCUAGUUGUGGUUUCUCCCUCCGCUUACUUGCUAGUCCAACGCUAGCAAGGAUUUUUAGAAAUGGGCUAGUCCAACGCUAGACCCUUUAGGUCAUCUUGUGCUAGAUUCAUCAUUGUAUGCUAUUCACCACAUUUUCAUGCAUAUUUUCAUUUUUAGGAUCUUUUCUCAUUUGCAUGAUAUUCCCUAUUUUAUUAUCCCCUACCCGCUAUAGGUGCUAAUCAUGUCAUUUAGAAUUGCAUCCCAUUUAAGCUAGUUCAUUUGCUUGUUCAUGUUAGGAUAAUUAUUUUUCAAACAUGGGAAAUGGGUGAUUAUAACUUUCUAGUUUAAAUACCCUAUUAAUCCAUGUAUAAGAAAAUUAUGUCACGAAUUUUUUUGCCUCCCGUACCCUUUAUGUUGCAUUCCCUUUUUCUUUGAUCACUUAUAUAUAUGUAUAUAAUUUAAUUUCUUUUCUUUUAUUUUCUUUUCUUUUUCAUCAUUUGCAUCCUUGUGACACCUUCGAGGAUUUAUUUUGACCUUCGCAAUUAAUGCGAUUGGUUCAAUUAAACCCUUGAAUGAACAUGUUGUCCCUUGCGAUAUUUUUUAGAUUUGCAUUCAUAUAGAAAACAUCCAAAUGUGAUAAAUUAAGGGUUAGAUUAGGAAAAUUUUGACUAAACCUCGCAACUAGCUUAGACUAGGUUGAAAGGGUGCCUUAGAUUUGAGUUAAUCGAAUCUUUGCCUUCCCUUUCUUCAACCGUGACUCCCGAAUCCAUUUUCUCUUGUUUUCAAAGACCUGGAGUUGUCAAAAAGGGUUUUAUUUUGUUUUACUUUAUUUUUUUGGGUGACUUGGUACACCAAAACUCCAUACCAAGUGGCGACUCCUGUUUUUUUCUUAAAAACCCUUUUAGACUAAAUUUGGACCCAAAUUGUCGCAUUCUUUUUAAGUCCCAUUCUAGGUCCCUUUUAACUUGUUUAAAAAUAAAAUCAUAUCUUUUAUAAAUCUCACACUUUAUUUUUAUUUCCAUCGCGAAAAAUGGGGCGCGACAUAUAUAUUCUUUGAAUUACAACAGGUCCGGUGUGCUCUACUUUUGGUGAUAUUGUCAGGGACACUAGAUGCUUGUGUUAGUAUAGACUACUGCAUGACCUCCGCUCUCUUGGUUGUACUUCUGAGUUUUGAAAUGCUUGAGGGCAAGCAUUGUCUAGGUGUGGGGGGAUUUGAUAGAGCAGUUAUUGGGCAUAUUUUGCAGUGUUAUUUUGGCCUAAUUUUGGCUAUUUACGGUGCUAAGUACUGAGAUUUAACUCAUAUCUCACAUUCGUAUGAAUUAUAGGUGAUCGGCAUUAAAAAUGAUCUCGCGGGGUAGAUUUCCAGAAGACUUGUCGUCCCCGGGCGUGACCACGCCUUGAAAGGUGGACGAAACCGAAAGACGGACCGUGGUCCAUGUGGACCAGGCACAUGGGAUCAAAACUCCAAAAGGGAAAUGGCUUUUGUAGAAUCAAUUGCACCAGACGUUUCCUUCUUUGACUCUUCUUGGACGGCGGCUAUAAAAAGAAAAGGACAAAGCAAGAUUAAGCAUCAUCUACUUUUUAGUCUUAGGUUCUCUUUUUCUACUUUUUGGGGGAGAUUGGUCAGACGGUUCUUUUUUUUUGGUUUUUCUUUUGUUCCUUCUGCGGCUCUGGGUCAGACAUUGGAGACUUUCUCCGUUGCUGUAGCUUUUGCUUUUGGCUUCUGUACAAUUUUUCCUAUUCGACUUUUGCUUCUACUCUCGCUCCAGGGGUACGAACACGAAACCCAACAAAGGGAAGCGAAACUUUUUCAGCAGUUCCUACGUUAAUUCAUCUUUUUCAAUUCUUCGGCAAUUAAUUGAAUGAAUUCAAUUAAGUUACGCGGGAUUGAUACGAUGAGGAGCGGCUAAUUUUCUCCUCUACCCAAAGGUUGACGCGAGGGCGCGGUCCAUAAAAUCUGUGAGAUCUAAUCGAAUCUUCAUUAUUUCUUCCAAUUUAUUGCUAUUCGUGCAUUUUCUGAAUUAAUUGUUCAUGGGUAUUUGAUUAAUUGAAUAUUAACGGCCGGGUAUUUGAUUUAAUUUAAUAGCCUACUGCCACGUUAAUUAAAUAGAAUCCGUAAUUGUUCAUUUAAUUGACACAUCGUGGCAACCACCAUAAUUGGUUUUAUGAUGGGAAACGCAAGAUCUAACUUAAAUAAACCCUCUUAGCGUGUUUAUUGGUUAGGGUUGGGUUCUUCUAGCUUUAAUGCAAUUGGGUAAUUAAAUUCCUACGGUCGUACCUAGGGUUGUUAUCUGGUUAGGGAAGCAGUCAAUGGUCGUACCUUGACUGUCGAAAAGGUAAGGAAGAAUUGGUUGUCAGAGCUUAUUGAUAACUAUAACCAACCUAGUGAUGAAUGGGUGAAAUAUCUUUGCAUCGAUGAUCAUUUAAGUGGACCGUGCCUGAGCAGUUGAUCCUUUGGGUGGAAUUUUGUUAAUUGCUAUUUUUAGUGAAUUGUGCUUUGUGAGUUAGUUUUGAAUUUUGUUUGUUUUAUUUUUUGUUAUUUUUAUUUGCCUCCCAUUGAAAAUCCCCCAAUUUCGUUCUACUAAUUUGGAAAGAAAUAAUUUCCUACCUGCUCCCUGUGGAAUCGACCCUACUUGCCAUUGUACGCAAAAUUAGUAUUUUUAUAGACAAAUCCGGUAUAUCGGAUCAAGCAAACUCUUUGGGAACAGGGUGAAUCAAGUAACCCAUUGCACACCUAGGGUCCCUGCUCCAGUACUUGGAUUUGUUCUAUAAUUAUUUAAUUAAGGUGGUAAUUAGGAUUUUUUAGUAUUUAUUAUUGCACAGGUUCGGCACCUGUCAAUUUUUGGCACCGCUACAGGUAUUUAAUCCCUCUUUUCAAAAGAAGCACUUCAUACGUGCAUACAUUUUACUUUAUAAUCCCUUAUUUCUUUUUACUUUUAGUGGUUGUCCCACCACUCUACCCUAUUAGGAUUAGGAUCGAUCCAAUUGGACAUGUAACCGUGGCACGACAUGCAUGUAGCAAUGUUCAAGGGAUCACUCAAACCACCGACUAUUAGGCUUUGGAAUUGAUGACCCUUCACCUUUGGUCUGAAGGUUUGGAGACCUGAAGUUUUAUCGAGUCUAGAUGCAUUAGUAACCCCAAACUCAUGCAUCCAUAUUAGAAAUUACCUAAGAUAGAGUCAAUCUUACCCGAAUAGGAACACCAGGCAUGAGAAGAGGGAUUACACCCUUCUUUUUUUAAUUGCCUUCUAUUUUUUAUAUUAUUUUUGUUUGCUCCAAUGUAUUAUGUAUCAUAUAUCAAUUGAACUAGCCUUUCUUUGUUCUAUUUUAUUCAUAAGCCUUAGAAAUAAGAGUUCUUGCAUGCUACUCUUUUAGAACUUACCCUCUUAGAUAGGUUAUUGCACGUUUAAAUUUCGGUGUAUUGCAUUUGUAGGUUAAUAAUUGCAUUUCAUUUUUAGACCUACCUUGGCAUACAAAAGGGUUCCUAUAGUCAUGUUUAAUCCCCGUUAUCGCAUAUUUACUUAUUUUUAUAAACUGGUAUCAUGCAUCAAUCUUAAAAGGGAAUGUCGCAUAUGGAAUUCCAUAUUAGGAAUAAGCCACCUCGUGUCUCGGAUAUGUAAUCCAACGAGAUUUGUAAGUCUAUAUUUCUUGUACCGCCCAAAGGAGUAGUACACAAGAUAAGGUAGGAUCCGAUCUUUUUCAUGAUAAUAGAACAACUUUUGCACAUUAGAAUAUAAGCAUCUAACAAUCAUCCUUUGGCCAUUUUAUCAUAAUUGGUAAUAAUCCCUUGCGGAAAGGACAUUAAAUUGAAGGAAUUCACAAAUAAUUUCUCAUUGUUGUGACGAUAAAUAUAUCGAGACCAAAUCUUGAUUUUAGAAAACUCAUAGACAAAUGCAUUAUAACGAAAUUCGUACAAUUUGAAAACCACAAAUGGGUUGACAAUUUAGUCAAUUUUCAAAUAAUCCAUUUUACUAGUUUACUCACUUUUAGGGCAAUCUAAUCAAUUUUCAAAUAAACCAUCAUUUCAUCUAUCCCAUUUUUACGAGUUUAUUUGCAUCUAGGAUGAUUGAGUCGAUUUUUUUGGAUAAACCAUCCACUCCAUACAAUCUAUUUGAUCAAUUCAUUUUUAGGAUAAUUUAGUCAAUUUUUGAAUAAAUAAUCAAUUCCAUCCAAUCUAUUUUACCAGUUUAUUCAUUUUUAAAAUAAUCCAAUCAAUUUUGAAUAAAUCAUCAAUUUCAUUCAAUCCAUUUUACUAGUUUACUCACUUUUAGGGCAAUCUAGUUAAUUUUCAAAUAAACCUUCAGUUCCAUCCAUCCCAUUUUUACGAGUUUAUUCACAUCUAGGAUGAUUGAGUCAAUUUUGAAUAAACCAUCCACUCCAUACAAUCUAUUUGAUCAAUUUAUUUUUAGGAUAAUUUAGUCAAUUUUUAAAUAAAUCAUCAAUUCCAUCCAAUUCAUUUUACCUGUUUAUUCAUUUUUAGAACAAUCUAGUCAAUUUUUGAAUAAAUCAUUACCUCCAUCCAACCUAUUUGAUCAAUUUAUUCAUUUUUAAAAUAAUCUAGUCAAUUUUUGAAUAAAUCAUCACUCUAUCCGAUCUAUUUGAUCAAUUUUGAAUAAAUAAUCAAUUUCAUUCAAUUCAUUUGAUCAGUUUAUCCAUUUUUAGGGUAAUCUAGUCAAUUUUGAAUAAAUCAUCAAUUUUAUUCAAUUCAUUUGACCAGUUUACCCAUUUUUAAGACGAUCUAGUCAAUUUUUGAAUAAAUCAUCAAUUUUAUCUGAUCCAUUUGACUCGUUUAUUCUCUUUUAGGGUUUCGAUCUAAUGUUCACUGAAUAAACUAGUCGAGACAUUGCAAUCCUUUCAAGAGUAGGGUCUUUCACACAUCAUUUUAUGUGUUAAUCAAAGUAAUCAAUCCAUUCGAACUUUGUCCUUAUUUUGUUAGGACAAAUGUCUCUUGUCACUCCAAUUGGUUAAAAUUUUCAAAUUGCUUUUCACUCGAAUAUCAAUAAAUUGAUCGGAUUCAUCAGGUAUUGUAUGGUGCCUACCUUAAAGAAUUGCAUGUUCAUUUUAGGGCAACCCUUGGCAUAAAAGGACUCCCCCGUAGGACAUGCAUACCGAUUUUAUAAUUUUGCUUACUAACUCUGGGUAUUUUUUAUUUUUCCCCCCUCUCCUGCAUUUAUAAAAGAUGUUUCAAUAAGGUGAAAAUAUUUUUCUAUAUCUAAUAACGAUUUUUUUCUAAUAAAUCUUGAAAAUUGCAAGUAUUACUUGAUUAUUGGGCAGAUUCUACAAUGUAAAUUUGAAGAAUCCAUCUGAAAACCCUAGUUGAAAACAUUUAAGAGAUUUCAUGAUUUAGUUGUUCAAAAAAAAAUCAUUUCAAACAUUUAUAACAAUAAAACUUUUUAUCUAGAGAAUUAUUAUUUUGUAUAUAUUCAUGUACAUUUCAUUCUUUAUUUGCUCAUUGAGAGAUUUCAUGAUGGUUUUUUUAAAAUAAGACCAGGUUGAGAUUUUUCAACCUCUUGCCUGAAAAUUCACAAGUAUAUGUUUUAUUUUCUAAAAUCUUUGCAUAUACUAGAUUUGCUAUCCAGAUUAUUCAAUACGAGCACUCAAAAUCAAAAGAGGUCACUCAAACAUGAGGAUUUGUCUCAAAAGAUCAAUUAGAUACCUUUUUCCCUUUCAUUCUCCAUAUUUUGUCUACUUCUAUUAACCCCCCCAAAAAAUCAAUCACAUUGAUUAACGAACUACAAAUUAAGGCAAUCUUUGCUUGAAAAAUGCCCACUGUGUCUAACCAAGUUCAAUCCACAUCUAAGUGAAAGUAAAAAUGUACAUUACUCUUGUUUGUUUUGUGAAAUUUGAAAUGAUACUUCAAGUGUUCGUUUCUUUAUCUAUACAGAUUUUAUCAUUUACUCUUCCAUUUGAACCUUUAAAGGAAUAAUUUCGUUUCAAAUUAAAGCCUUAAUGAUCAUUACCCUACAUUGAAAAUUUUUCAAAAAUCAAAAGGGAAUUGAUUCUCAACGAGCUAUUCUUUACUUUGGUUGUCAUGAGGCAUAAAAAUAAUCCUUUGGCCAUCAUUUCUACAAUCUAAACACUAUUUGUCCCUUGCAUCUUCAUUUGAGCUAAAGUAGGUGGUUCUUUCCAAAAGCACUUAUGACCGCACCCCACAUUGGGGAAGGAAAUUAAAAAAUUUUUCAAAAAGAAAAAAAAGCAAAAAAAAAUGCCAAAAUUAAAAAGAAAAGAGGAGGGCAUCUAUAAUCUCAAAAGUUAGGGGAUCCUCAAUUCCAUCAUAUUUGAUAUUUCGCUAUUGAAAAAGAAAAAGAAAGAAAAGAAAAAGGAAAAUAUGAAAAGAAAAGAAAAAGAGUAGAGAAAACGAAAAAAUACAAAGAGAUUCAAUACUGAAUCCCCUAGUGAAUGAUGAUAAAAGUCAAAUAAAAUCCAAAAUCUUUGAAUCCAAAACUAAGGCAAUUUUUUGGAAAGGAAUGUGAUUUUAAAUGCAAUAUCCUUAAAAAUCUUAUUUGUCGCGCCUCAUUUUUUAAAAGAAAAAUAAAAUUACGGGUUUUUAUAAAAAAAAUGAUGAAUUUUGAUCAAUUUUUGAGUAAAAAUGAGAGUUUGAUUUUUAAAGAAUAAAUAAAAAAAUAAGUCUAAAUGGGAUUUGAAAAAUGCGACGAUUUUGACUCAAAAUAAUAAUUUAAAAAGGGUUGUUAAUAAAAAAUAGGAAUCACCACUUGGUAUCGAGUUAAGGUGUACCAAAUCACCUAAAAUAAAUUUUUAAUAAAAAACUAGAGAAAAACCCUUUUUAAACGACUCCAGAUCUACGCAAAUCAGAGAAAAGUAUUUGGGAGUCACAUUUGAAGAAAGGAAAGACAAGGAUAAAAUCCAAGACACCCUUUCAAUCUAACCAAAACUAGUUGCGUGAUUUAGUCAAAAAUUUUCUUAUUUUAACCUAAAAAUUUAUCACAUUUGGACGUACUAUAUGAAUUCAAACCCUAGACCUAAUGUAUUGGGGUCAACAUGUCCUUUCGAAUUUUAGUUGGUACAAAUCGCAUUAAUUGCGAUACUCAAAAGUAAUUAUUUGAAGAGGUCACGAAUGUACAAAAUAUGAGAUUCAAAGAAAAGAAAAGAAAACAAUAAUUAUACAAAUAUACAUGAUUUAGAGGAAUGCAUCAUAACAGGUGCGGGGGGCUAAUACUCGUGACUUCAAUGUUCCCUUUAAUAGAGGGAAUACGAGCAUGCUAAGACUAGAAAGCCAAACUCGUCCAUAUCUCAUAUUCGAUGGGUAUUUUCUAUCUAGUCAAGCAAAUGGUCCACCCUAUCUCUAAUUUUUCUUAUAUGAAAUGCAAGUCUAGUGUCAUGUCUCACGCGUGGGGGUAAGGGAUAUAUAUAUAUAUAUAUAUAUAUAUAUAUAUAUAGGAGAAAUAUGGGUUAAGAAAUAUACAUAUAUAGGGGAAAUGUCAUGCCAAAUGAUAAAAAUCCUAAAAAUAGAAAAGAUGCAUGAAAAUGUAUUGAUUUAUCACACACAAAACAUGAUCUAACGCUUGAGUGGUUUCUAAAGGUCUAGCGUUGGACUAUCCCAUAUCUCUAUUUUCUCACUAACGUUGGACUAGUAAGGAAUUGGAAAAAGGAACCACGACCAGCGUAGAACUAGUGUGGAAUCGGGAAAGGGGCCACAACUAGCGUUGGACUAGUGUAGUGACAUCAUACAUGUAUUAGAACUAAACAAAUCAUAUAAAAUUAAUAAAAGCGAGUAAACAUAUAAGUUCACAUAAACACAUAGCACAUAAACAUGAUAUCUAGAUACAAGACCCUAGGAAAGCAAGUAACACAUAACACCCAAGCAUGCCAAACACAUAAAACAAAUAAAGUAAAUAAAAUCCUAAUUAUUACAUUUCGGGGCCCUAACUACAAUCUAAAAGGGGAAAUAAAAUAAAUAAAACCUAACUAUUACAAUUUUGGCAUUUGAAUGCCUUUCAAAUAAUUACAUUAGACUAAAUACACAAAAUUAGAGUAAAUAAAAUAACUGAAGAAAUAAACCAAUGAAAACAAAAUAAAACAUUCAAAAUCAUGCAAUUACACACAUAAAAACACAUAAAAAAAACAUACGGUCAAAUAAAAUCAAAAAAUAAAAGAUAGAGUACACCUCCCUUGAAUUGAUGAGCUAAGGAAAUGGAAUUACUCUCUUAUUUACCCUCCAAAACAAUAAAAUGGUCAGGGUACCAAUUUAAUUGAGAAAAUUAAAGGAAAUAUGCAAACACAAGCUCACUUGGUCAUAAAGCCCUUAAAAUUAUGAAUUAAGUGUAAUUUAAACAAAGCAUGGUGGUUAAUUGAAGCAAACAAGCAAUGGAGUUGCAAAAUUAAAGCUGCUAAGGACCAAAUUGCAAAUAUGAGAAAGUUUUUAGGGCCUAAUCAUGAUUUCCAGAACUUUGGGGCAAAAAUUGAAGGAAAGAUAAAGUUCAAGGUUCAAUUUGCAAUUGUGGCAGGGACCCAAUUGAAAAAAAACUAAAUUAUGUGAACCGUAGCACCAUUAGCCAAGGAUCAAAGGUCAAAAUGUACGAAACAUGAAGAGAACUAAAUCCAGGGGUCAACUUGAAAUUAAUUAUGGGCCUAAUUGAAAGAAAAAUCAAAUCAUUCGGGUUGUGAUCAAAUUACUCAUGGUUUAGGGGCCAAAAUUAAAGAAAAGUAGCGUCCAGGGGUCAAUUUAUGUUUAAAUCAUGACUUAAUUGAACAAGAUCUAGAAGUUAUGUAGGCUUUAAUGUGAUUUCACCAAAGGCCAGGGGUCAAAUUGCAAAUUUUCAGAUUUUGCAAACAAAUGGUUCCAGAAGCUUUUUUCUUCAGCGCGACUGAGAGAAAAAGGCUUCGGCAACUACUGAUGCUUCAAAAUUCAACAACUUUACCCGGAAAAAAUUGCACUAAAACAUCGCAAUAUGCAACUUCCCCAAUUUUUCCAGAUUUCCCCUUGUUCUUGCUCUCCUCUUCCCCUGUUUUUUUUUUCCUUUUUUUCUUUCACUCAGCCCCCAGCCUCUCAAUUUCCUUUCUCCCGUCGCCUCCUCCCCAACCUUAGCCGCCAAAGCUUUUUGUUUUCUUUUUCCUUUUUUUUGUUUUCUUUUUCCAAAUUAUCCUAGCCCUCCAAGUGCCUAGCCAUCUAACCCCCCUUGCAUGUGUUGUCAACCAAGAAUUAGGACACUUGUCCUAUUUGCAUGUAUUCCACUUGUCUAAUAUCCCUUAAUACACUUGUCUAAUAAUCCCCAUACACUUGUCUUCUCAUUUUAUUUAUUUAUUAUAUAUUUUCCAAAAAUAAUUUAGGUAAACAAAAUUAACAAAUUAACUCCUAAUUGCAAAUGCAUUUCACAAUUUUCAAAAUUGAAUCUAAAGGAUCAAAGACAAAUUUUUGAAUUUUUUUUGAAAACUUUUCCUUCUUUUAGAAAUUUAAUGCAAAAAUAUCUUAGAAAUAAAAAUGAAAAUAAUGAACCUAAUUUAUAAAAAUGAGCAAAAAUGAAUACAAACUAUCAUUUAAUCAAUUAAAAUAAAAAUAAGAAUAAAUAAUAAAUAAUAAAAAUUUGGUGUCUACAUUAUUUCUUUAACUGUCGUCUUCAAGCCGCAUUACAAGCUUAUAAAACCCAUCGCUAAUUUAUCUUUCAUGACAACUUAAAGUAAGGAUCAUGCUUCUAAGGAGUCUACCAAUCACUCAUGGUCAUAAAGUCAUAACCUGUUUUCAUAUGUUUAACUAUCGCUUCUACUCAUAUAUUAUAAGCUUAUAGAGUUUAUAAGUUUUCUUAAAAAAUAAGGAUAACAAACAAUUUGCUUUCACUAAGAUGUGAUAUUGAGUGGAUUAGAUACAAUUUGGACACAAAAACAAGACAGAUCCUGACAUACCAUUUUCCUAAACCAACUCAAAAUCAUGAAUAAUACGCACUUUUUUUGUCCUAAAGGAUGAGCUAAUGAGAAAAGUGAUCAUUCCCCCCUAAGCACCGAUGCUAAAAUGAGGAAGAAAUCUAUUGUAAUUUGGUAUUGUUUUGAGAGAUUCAUCAUGAAAUCUUUUGCAUGAGUUUAAACACCAUGUUUAAAUUUCUUCACAUUAUAUGUUAGUAUGUAAUUAUUUUCUAAAUUUUAGGAAACGCAGUUUCUUACUUUGUUCAAAUAAAUGGAGAGCCAUCCGAAUAAAAUUUUUACAACAAAAUGGGCCCCACACUGGGGCAAAUUUUUAUUUGUGAGAUUUCACUAGGCCCACACUAGGGCAAAUUUUUGUAAUACAUUUGAGAAUUUCGUCCAAGAGUCAAGUAAUAUACUUUCGAAUCGAUCAUCCAAAAUUUGACUUCGAUAAUGGUGCUCUUUUCAUGAGUAAUAGUUGCAACAAAUUUUAAAAUAAAAUAAGAAAUUCAAGUGUAUGUUGUACAAUGGCAAGCCCCCCUAUGCAGGUAUUCACGGCUGAAAUCGAUGAAGAAGCACAAGUCAGAAUCUUGCGAAUGGGAAGGUAAAUCACGGAAAAAAGACCUACAUUGGGGGCAAGUUUUGAAAAAUUGCAAUUUCAAAAGUUAUUUCACGACCAAAUUUUAUGGUAAGCUCGGGUUUUAUCCCAUUGACCAAUUGUUACGGCUGGUUUGGGUUUUAUUCCCACUGAAGAUCUUUAUAUGUUUUGCUUGUUUCAGUUCACGGCAGAAUAACUACAGGUAAGUAUUUGGUGUUUAUAUCUUUGUCUUGAGUUUCUGCGAAACUCAGACAAAGAGAGGCAACUUGUAGACACCAAAAUUUUAAUUUAAUUUAAUUUAAUUUUUAGUUAAUCAAAGUUCGCAAAAUGAUAGUUAGCUAUUUUUUGAAUUAGGUUCAUCUUCUUUUAAAAAAUAAUCAACAAAACAAACGUUUUCUGCAUUAAAUAUCUGAAAAAAGAAAAUUCUCACAAAAAUUUGUUUUAAUCUUUUCAAAUUCAAUUUCUUCAAAAUAAAAUGAAAAUUUGCAAGGCAAACCUCAAAAAGGGAUUUAACAUUUUGUUUACUCUAAAUUUUUGCCUUAAAAAAAUAAUAAAAACAAAAACAAGAAAAAUAGGUGGAAUGCAUGCAAGGUAGCUAGGUGGGUUGAGGGAAUGUUAGCCAUGUGUUUUUAUCUUUUGCACAAUACAACACUUAGGUGGCAAGACAGCUGUGGGUUUUGGAGGAGAAAAAUAUGGAAAAAAGAAGCAAAAAGGAAGAAGGAAGCUUCGGGCAAAGGGGCAAGAGGAAAAAAGGGGAAAAAAAAACCAAGAGAAGGGAGGAGAGAUUGAGAGGGGGUAACGGCUGAAGAAAAAAGGAGGAAACAAGGGAGGAGGAGAAGAAUCUGGGGGAGCAAGAAAGAAAGAGAGAAAUUGCGGAAGGAUUGGGAGAAAAAGAGGAACAAAAGAGGGAAAAAACUGGAGAAGCUUCGGGCAAAGAAAAAGAAAAAAGGAGGAAAAAGGGAAAAAAGGGAAAACAAGAGAGAUUUGAGGGAGAGUCUGAGGACAAGAGAAGUGGUGGUUGAGGGAAGGAAAACAAGAAAAGAGAGAAACGGGGGAAGUAAAAUAGAAGAAAAGAAAAGAAAGAAAGAAACAGUAGUGGCUAAAUCAGUUCUUUUAUGGUUUUCUUCGGUUAAUUGCAAUCUGCAUUGUUUUUCCUAGGAUGAUCAAAGUUGCGUUCUGAUGACUUACUCUUUCUUUGUUUGUUAUAAAGUAAAGGGAGACAAAACAUGUAAAUAAUUUGAUUAGGGCUGAAUUUCCUUUAGUUGCGCAUGGUGGCUGUUUCUGGUUUUUUUCUCCUUCCUUUCUUGCCGUUUCAUUCUAUCCAAAAAUCUGCUUCUUUAUCCGUGAGUUGGAAAGCCAAGUUGAUGCUUGGCAAUCUUGUUAGAAGGCCGUAUAGCCUCAUAUGCUUGAACCGAAACUUGGAGACAAGUUUGGUGUAACUUUGGGUAAAUAAGUUUCCAGAUGGUGACAACAGUGUUGCAGAACAAUGAAGAAGAAAGUUUCUUCGAAGCUUGCAUGAAAAAAUUCCAAAAAUUGUACUUUAACCCCUGUAUUUUUAAAUAAAUUCACUAUAACCCUAAACUUUUAUAAUUUUUUCAAUUAGGUCCUUACUUGUUUUCAAAUUCUUCAAUAUAAGUUGUUUACUUUUAUUUAAAUGCUUUAAUUGAUAAAAUUCAUGAUUAUUUCCAUUUCUUUACAUGUUAUUGCUUUUAUUUGUUAAUUAAAUUGGUGCCUUGAUCAUUUUUUGUUAAUUUUGGAGUUAAAUAGGGCAAAUCCAACCCCCAAUUAGCUACUACUUUAAGGGAGGUAUCUUCUUAUGUUAUUUUAAAUCCUCUUAUGUGCUCUUAUGUAUUUUUAUGUGUGUAAUUGCAUGUUUUUGAAUGAUUUUUCUUUUAGUUAUUCGUUUAUUUGUUUUAAGUUUCAUAUAUUUAAUUUAAUUUUGAUGAUUAUUUGAGAGGCAUUUAAAUACCAAAUUGUAAUAGAUAGGGGUUGAAGACAUGUAUUUAGAUAGAUUAUGUAAUAGAUAGGUUUUAAUUUUUAUCAAAAGUGUAAUUAGUUAGAUAAAUGUAAUAGUUAGGUUAUUAUUUUAUUUUUCCCCCCCUAAAAUGUGGUUAGGGUCCUGAAUGUAAUAGUUAGGUCUCUAUUUGCUUUUAUUUGUUUGUGUGUUUGCAUGCGUGCGUGUUUACAUGUUUACUCGCUUUCUUAGAGUCUUUGUAUUUAGAUAUCAUGCUUAUGUGCUAUGUGCUCUAUAUGAUUUAUGUGUUUACUUGCUUUUAUUAUGUUUUUAUAUGAUCUAUUUAGUUAUAAUAAAGCAUGACAUCACCACACUAGUCCAACGCUAGUUGUGGUCUAUUUUCUCGAUUUCUCGCUAGUCCAACACUGUGAGAAUACAUGGGUUAGUCCAGUGUUAGACUCUUAGGGACCGUCCACGCGCUAAAUUAUGUUUGUGUGACAAAUCACUACAUUUCAUGCAUAUUUUCUACUUUUUAGGAUCUUUACCAUUUUGCAUGUUAUUUCCUCUAUUUGUAUAUCUCUUAUUCCUAUGUAUGAAACAUGACAAUUAAACUUGCAUUUCAUUUAAGAAAAGUUAGAAAUAGGUUAGUACAUUUGCUUGAUUAAGUUAGGGAGUACCCUUCGAAUAUGAGAUAUAGACGAGUAUGACUUUCUAGUCUUAGCGUGCUUGUAUCUCCUCUAUAAAAGAAAAAAUUGAGUCACGAAUCUUAGUACCCCCCGUACCUGUUAUGUUGCAUUCCACUUUUUAGGUCACGUAUACUUAUAUAUUAUAUGUAGACACCAAAUUUUUGUCAAUUUUCAAUGUUUUCCUGAAUUUUUAUCUAUUUGAUAAGUUAUUUAUUUUUUUUACAUUUUAAUGUGUAAUUUUCUCCAAUCAUCUUAAUCAUUUUUUUCCACCAAAUACACUUAACCCAUUUCACUCUCAAUGUCUAGGCUUCUUUCUUUUUCAUUAGGUGGGAAGACCAUCAUUUUUUGACAAAAGACACACAAACUACUCCCUCAAUCUCCUCUCUCGGCUCUCUCCCACAGAAGACAAGACACAACACAAAAAAAAAAAAAAAGAAAGAAAGAACAUAACACUCUUUCUCCCAUGUACAUCUCUCGGCCCUUUUUUUUCGCUUCAAGGAGGACAAGAAGGAGCUCCACUUUUGGGUUUUCAAAAAAAAAUAUACAUCCCUUGGUUCUCUCCUCUGGCCAGAAAAAAAAAAAAACUAUCACUUUUUCCCCAAGAAACACUCCACUCUCUCCCUCUCUCGGACUUGAGCAGGAGAAAGAAAUUAAAGAAGAAGAAGAAAAAUCUCCCUCUCUCUCUCUCUCUCUCUCUCUCUCUCUCGGCUCUCUCUUUUGGCUCUCAACAGACAAAAUACACAAAAAGAACAAGGAGCAAUCUCCAUCUAGCUCUCGGCCCUCCUCUCUUCAAGAAAAAGAAAAAAUUUCCAGCACACUACACUACACAAAACAAGAAGAAAACUCCAACUCUCAAUACAUCUCUUGGCCUUGCUUCUUUUUUUUUUUUUUGAAGACAAAGACAAAAAUUUUCUUCUCCCCCAACGGCUCACUCUCUCUCGGCCUUUUCUUUCCUUUCACACACAACACACCUACACACAACUCAAAUUCAACAAAGCAAGCAACAAAGGAGUGAAGCUUGGAAAUUCCUUCAAAAUUUGACCGGGAAGCUCUUGCUUGGAUUGAGGUAUUUUCGUCUUUUUUUGUUAACCAUGUUAAGGCCAUAUUUUAACGUUUAAUUUUCUGGCUUUUGCUAUCUUUUAUUGUUGUUGUUGUGUUGUUCAAAAUUUGGGAAAUGGCUUGGGCUAGAUUAAGGAAAAGGAGAUAAUUUUUGUAUAUGCAUGUUAGAUGUUUGAAAAAAUGCCUAAAUCAAAAACCGAAUUAAAGUACCCAUUAUUGUGAAUUUUGUUUGUUAAAAUAGAUGAUUAUGGUUAGUGCAAGGCCUGAAAACGUGAGGUUGCUCAAGCAUUUUGGGAGUUUGAACUUUAGAAGUUCAUUUUGGACUAUUUUAUUUUAAUUUUGUCAUAUUUGUGGUUGCUUUUAUUGAUUUCAGUUCAUAGUUAGGUUGUAAAAAAUCAUAAGGAGUGUUGUAGUAUAUUUUUUAUAAUUUUUAGUGAAAGAUACGGUGAUUUGAAAAAAAUAAAAACUGGUAUGUCUUUUGCUUUUUUGGAUACUUUCAGGUCAUUUUUUGUAAAAACUAACUCCGAAAUGGAAUCUACACGAAAAUUUGAGUGGGGAGAUAUAUUUUGGCAAUUUUUCGCGACCGGAGGCGGAGGGUCGCCGCGGCUGAAACUUCUUCAGAUGGGCCAAGAAUUAUUUUUGUGUUGGGUUUUUGAUUGGACUGGUUACUGGGUUUGCGGUUCAGGUCCAACCCGUUUUUGUCAGGCUUGGCUUGGCCAAUUUAGUGGGCUAGUCGACUGCUUUUCGAUUUUUCUUACAUUGGGGUGAAGGGACUUUUUGUCCCAGACAUAAACAAAAGGUAGCCCAAUGACCUUGUUUCCCUAAGAAAUCAGAAACGAAUUUUCACUUUAGCCCCUGAUCUUUGGAGUAGUUUCAUUGUGGUACAGAAUAUUUUAAAUUUCUUUCACUUAGGUCCUUAAAUUAAUUUCACUUUGGUCCCUAAAUUUAUCUUUUAUUUAAUUUUGACCCUUGAACUUUGGAAAAUUAUAAUUUUUCCCCAAAAGUUUUUUCCAAUUUUUUGUAAUUCAGUCCCUGGUGAAUUUUGACUCUCUUUAUUAUGAUUGCUUCUUUUCUUUAAUAGCUAAUUAUGUUACUUUUGAGUAUGUUUAACUUGUAAUUUUUAGAUGUUCUUAAAUUUAUUUACGUUUGACAUGUUAAGAUGAAUUUAGUAUUUUCAUUAUUAUUAUUAUUAUUAUUUCAAUUAAAUUGGUGCCAUGAUUCUUUUGUUCAUUUUGAGUAUAAAUAGGGCAAUUUGACUUCCAUUUAGUCACUACUUCAAAAGGGAGGUACCUCUAUUAUUAUUUAAAUGUCAAUUACGUGCUUUUAUGUGCUCCUACGUGUUUCUAUGUGUUUAUAUAUUUUUAUGUGCUUUAUUUGUUUGAUUUAAAUGUUCAUUCAAAUUUUCUUAUAUUUGUUUAGUUAAUUUUUAUAAUUAUUUGAGAGGCAUUUAAAUACCUAAAAAAUGUAAUAAAUAGAAUAACUAGAUUUGUUUUAUUUUAUCUUCCCCUUUUAGAUUUGUAAUUAGGUCCCCCAUUGUAAUAGACAGAAUAGAUAGGUUUUAUUUUUUUAUAUAUUUCCCCAUUUUAGAUUGUAGUUAGAUUCCCCGUUGUAAUAGAUAGGUUUUGUGUGUUUAUGUGGUUUAUGUGUUAUAUGUUUUACCCGCUUUCCUUAGGAUUUUUGCAUCUAGAUAAUAUGUUGACGUGUUAUGUGCUACGUGCUCUUAUGUGUUUAUUUGUUUUAAUUUAUGCUUUAUUUGUUUUACUAUGAAUUAUUAAUGCAUGACGUCGUCAUAUUAGUCUAACGUUAGCUGUGGCUUCUACCUCCGCUUACUUACUAGUCCAACGCUAGUAAGGAUUUUUAAAAAUUGGCUAGUUCAACGCUAGACCCUUAGAUUGUUCGUGUGUUAGACUCAUUUUUGUGUGAUAUUCAUUACAUUUUCAUGCAUAUUUCUUAUUUUUAGGAUUUUUUCUCAUUUGCAUGAUAUUCCUUAUUAUAUUCUCCUAUACCCCCUACCCUCUAUAUGUAUUAAUCAUAUCAUUUAAAAUUGCAUUUCAUUUAGGAAAUUGUAGAAUAAGUAGGUUCAUUUGCUUGUUCAUCUUAGGAGAAUUAUUCUUUGAACAUGAGAAAUGGGUGAUUAUAACUCUUUAGUUUAAAUGCUCCAUUAAUCCCUGUAUAAGAAAUUUAUGUCAUGAGUUUUUGCCUUUCAUAUUCAUUAUGCUGCAUCCCUAUUCUUUGGUCACUUAUACUUAUAUAUAAUUUAAUUUUUUUUCUUUUUUUUAAUUUCAUCAUUCGUAUACUCAUGACCCCUUCAAGGAAUUAUUUUGGUCUUCGCAAUUAAUGCGAUUGGUUCAAUUAAACCCUUGAAUGGAUAUUUUGUCCCUUUCGAUAUUUUAUAAAUUUAAAUUUGCAUCAAUGUAGGAAACAUUCAAACGUGAUAAAAUUAAGGGUUAGAUUAGGAAAAUUUUGACUAAAAUCUCGCAACUAGCUUAGAUUAGAUUGAAAGGGUGCCUUAGGUUUGAGUUAAUCAAAUCUUUGCCUUUCUUUUCUUCAAUCGUGACUCUUGAACUCAUUUUCUCUUGUUUUUCAAAGACCUGGAGUUGUCAAAAAGGGUUUUAUUUUAUUUUAUAUUUGUCAAAAACAUUUUUUGGGUGACUUGGUACAUCCAAACUCGAUACCAAGUGGCGAUUCCACUAUUUUUUAAAAACUCUUUUAGACUAAAUUUUGGACUCAAACUGUCGUAUUUUUUUAAAGUCCCAUUCUAGGUUUUUUUUUCACCUAUUUUUAAAUAAAAUCACAACAUCUUUUGUAAAUAUCACACUUUAUAUUUUUUCAUCACGAAAAAUGGGGCGCGAUAUCAUAAUUUGUUUUUUCUUCAAGUCCCACUCUUUGCAUAUUCGUGAUCUUUUUUAAGAAUCAUUUUGGGCAUUACAAUUAAUGUGAAUCGCACUAAUUAAACUUUGAAAAGAUAUUCCAACCCUCUCAAUAUCCAUUAGAUCUAGGUUUGCAUCUAUGUCGUAACAUCCAAAUGUGAUAAGUUCUAUAAGUUAAACUAAGAAAAUUUUUCAACUAAAUUACCCAACUAACUUUGGUUAGGUUGAAAAGGUGUUUUGGAUUUUAUCCUUGCCUUCCCUUUUUUCAACUGUGACUUUCGAACCGUUUUCUCUUGAUUUUCGAAGAUUUGUAGUCGUUUAAAAAGGGUUUUUUGUACUUUUCAUUUAAAAUUCAUUUUAAGUGACUUGAUACACUUUAACUUAGGGCUGCAAACGAACCGAGCCGAGUCGAGCUUUGAGCUAAUCGAGUCGAGUCUCGACUAAAUUUUACCAAGUUCGAGCUCGAACUCGAAAAAAAUAAAAAAUAAUUAUUUUAUUUUUUAAAAAAUAAAUAAAAUAAUAUUUUUUUCUUAAUAAUAAUAAAAUAUUAAGGAUAUAUACGUAAUUUUACUAUGAAAAUAAAAAAUAAAAAAAUAUAUAAUAUACGCAAUAUUAUUAAAUAAUAAAUAAAAAUAAAAAAAAUAAAUAAAUAUAAUAUAUAUAUAUAUAUAUAUAUAUAUAUAUAUAUAUAUAUAUAUAUAUAUAUAUAUAUAUAUAUAUAUAUAUACUCAAGACUUGUGAGCUAACGAGCUUAAUAUUCUGAACUCGAGUUUGACUCGAGCCAGCUCGAGCUCGACUUCAGCUUGACUGAGCGGCUCGAUUCGUUUACAGUCUUACCUUAAGUCAAUACCAAGUGAUGACUCCUAUUUUUUCUCAAAAAUCCUUUUGAAACUAUUAUUUUGGGCCUAAAUCGUUGUACUUUUAAGUCUCAUUUUAGGCCUUUUUCUUUUUCUUUAAAAAUCAAAAAACUCAUUUUUAAUCAAAAUUAAUCAAAAAUUCAUUUUUUAUAAUUUGUAAUUUUAUUUUUCAAAAAAAAAAUGGGGCGCGAUAGAACCAUGGUCACCCCUAAUUAUAGUAGAAUCUACAAAAUAUAAGAAUUAGGAAUAGGAUUGAUUCCUAAAUGGUUCAAGACCUUGAUUGGCCAAAAAAUGUACAAUUCAGAUUACAAAAUAUACAAUAAUUUUAAUAAUAUGUGUGAAAAUGGUGAUUUAAAGUGCCAAAUUAGUCAAAAUCCCAAAGAUAAGAAACUAAAAUCAUCGUUUUUUCUUGGAUCUUCAUGUAAGGUAACUUAUAGGUAAGGUAACCUAUAGGUUUCUCUUCAAAAGCAUGUACAAUUGUGCAAACUGAAAGUCAACCUGCAGCCCCCACACAGAUUGCAUGAGGCCCAACAACUAAUAUAAUGGUUGGUCAAUCAUUCCAGCCCAAAUAAGAAUCAUUCCUCCCCAAUGACGAUAACGUUGCCCUGCAAAAAUCAAUUUAUGUUCAUAUAGGCAAAGAAAUACUUGCAAUCAGCCCAUUUUACGUGUACUUCCAAUGAACGCCACCAGAGCCAGUCGACUACCCCAGAAAAACACCUGCAUUGUCACACGAUUAGAAAAACUGUCAUCAUCAAUUAACUGAAGGAAGAAUACCAUACGUGAUUAUUUCUUCAGCAAAAAUGGCUAUUUUGAUCCUUCAUCUUUGGAGUUUUAGUCAAUUUAGUCGCUUAGCUAUUAUUACGAUCAUUUUAAUCCCUUAUCUUUACAUUAAAAAAAAAAACAAAUCUAGGAUCUCAAAUGGAAAAUUAAAAUUUUUUAAUAGAAUUAGUCACGUGCACGGCAUUAAACCGUUAAAAAUGACUGUUUUGGUCCAUUAUCUUCAAAGUUGUGUCCGAUUUUAUCCUUUCAGCAAUUUAAAUUCUUAAUUUUACAAAAAAAAAAAGUCAAUGCAGGACUUUUAAUGGGAAAUUGAAAACCCUAACAAAGCCGAUUCCGUGCACUAUAAGUCUACAUUUAAGAUUAAAAAUAAAGUAGCAUAGGAAAUAAAAAAGCACAUACACAUCCCAAUUAGUAUGCUGUAACAUAUUAAGGGACAAAAUUAGACAUGGCCGUGAAGAUAAUAUACUAAAAUGGUCACUUUUCAUGGUGCACAUGUUGUGCACGUGAUUAACUCUGUUAGAAAUUUUCAAUUUUUCGUUAGAGGUCCUAAAUUACUGUAAAGAUAAGGGAUUACAAUAAUCAUCGUAGUAGAUAAGAAAUUAAAUUGACCAAAAGCUCAAAGAUGAGGGACUAAAAUGGCCAUUUUCUCUUUAUUUUCUCCAUCGAAAGUACUUUCCGACUCGGUCACAAUUCCAAGAUCGAUCAACUUAGAAUUUAUUUAACCACUGUUUUAAGCUAAUGGUCCUUCAUAUAUGCAGGAUGAAUCCAUUUAGCUAGUGAUUUAAGCUAAUGAUUUGUACUUAAUGCAUAAUUCUGCACUCCUUAUGCUUUUCUUUUUGAUAAAAUGCCAAAAUUGUUAUUAAGUACUUCAACGACUUUAAUUCAUCAUUAACAACGUACAAAAGGUAAUUUAAUCCUUAAUCGAAUUUUUAUCGCAUAAGUUCACCCAUUAGUUGGAACAUCAAUUAUAAAAAGGAAAUGGGGAAUUUCUAUGUACGUGUUUUUUUUUUUUUAUAGGAAUCUGUGUAUUUGGUUUAAAUGAGUUGGUAAUCUUUCGUGUUAUUUAACUCUCAAGCGUUGAGCCACCGUAGAAAUUCAUAGACUUGUUGACAAAGGCUAAAGACUUUGCAUGGCUAACUCGAUAUACACUCCAAAAAUAAAAUUUUGGACAGAUCUGAUCUUAUAAAUUUAAUGACUCAAAUGUUGCCAUAUCUCUAAUCUUUAAGUUGGUGAGAUAUCGUAACAAAUUUUACCUAUUAUUAGGUUUACACAUACUUAGGAUGUGUUUGGAUUGCAUUUUUCAUGAUUUUUUAUGAAAAAAUUACUGUAGCGAUUUGAUGUAUGUGAGGGAAAAAUAUAAUAGAAAAAUGUGAUCACGAAAAACAACUUAAUUUUCCGACGAAAAGUUGCAAUCCAAACAAGGCCUAAUAAGUGUUGGCCUCCGGAAUAGAUCUAAGUGUUGGCCUCCGGAAUAUUUGAUUAACUCGGUAUGACUUUAUUGAUUAAUUGCUUUACCAGUACAUUUCGGCGCAUCGUGGUAAUUUCCGUCCGACAAGAAAAGCGACAGUCCAUUCAUUAAAGUCUGACCCAGCAUCAAAGUUGUCUUUGGAAGAAACAACACCAAGUUAUUACCAAUUUGAUUUCAAGAUUCUUUUAAGCAUUUCCCAAAAAAUAAUAAAUAAUAAAUUUUUUUGUAAGCUUGUUUGUUGUGAUGUGAGCACCGUCGUCAUCGUCAUCAAUUCUCUUGCAGAAAGUGAAGCAUCUAGUCGUUUACUUUAUAUUCUUUUUCUUUUUGUAAUUUAUAACAAAGCUGUGUCCGUACAAUUUUAUAAGAAUUACUGAUAAAGUUGCUGGUGCUGGAAUAGUUUGUGAAUAAAAUAGAAAUGAGACUUGUUAGAACAAAUCAUCUAGAAAUUUAAGGGUCUGUUAAAAGUCAAAAUUUUUUGAAUUGUUUUUGGCGUUUUCUAACCAUUGAAGGGGGUUAAUGGUGCUUUUCAAUGUCUAUAAAAUGUCCAUAAACAUGUAAAAUAGUGGUUGAAUAGAUUGUGCCCUUUGGAUUGUUUUUCACUGUAAAAAUGAUAAGUGUCUAACAUAUAAACUAACUAAAUCUUAAUCCUUUCUUUAUAAGAGAAAUCUUGACAAUUGCUAUCAAGUUUUUCCAAAAUCUUGUUGUAUCUUAGAGGUAAUUUAACGUACUCAUAACAAAUACCAUGUGUAGUACGGGCAAAUAACACCUUAAGGAUAGUGUUAAACACACCUCAAGAUCAUCAUCUUUAGCCCCGCUUUCUAAGUGAAAUUUGUAUUAUACAAAUUUCUACAUUAUUGUGUACUUGUAUAUCAAUUGCACCAACAAUCUUAAGGUGUUGUUUUGAGACUAGUUUGAUACAAGAGAGUAUACUACUGGAAAUGUGCUCAAAUAUGAUCUGGUAUUGCACCCGAUCUCUCCUCCACAAGAUGAUGAUAGUAAGGUAGGUGAAAGAAAUGUAAAGCGGAUGAAGUGAUGUGUAGAGGGCCUCAUUAAUUGUUUCUACAGCUUCUACUUCGUAAUCAAAUUCGAGAGAAAUUUGGACUGCAUUGGAAUACAAGAAAACUUGAGUAAGGUACAAUUAAAUUUCUAGUUAAAUGUAUUUGAAAUUUGUAUUCAACAUUGUUUUUCUCUCGUUGGCCUAGUAAUGAUCUUCAAAUAACUAAGAAGAUUGUAGAGUGGAGAUUUCUGUGUUAUUUGGGCGUAAUUAUUGGAAAAUUACUCCAAAUUGAAAUGACUAUCAAAGGAAACGUCUUCAUUUUGACAAGGCAUUCAUGGUGGAAACUCAUCCUAUGAUGAACAAUGGGGAGAAGAAUUCUGCUAGUUCAAAGGACAAGAAGUAAUUGAAAUUGUCCAAAAAUGGUGUAUUUGUCAACAAGGUUACAUGAUAUGUUUAACAUAAUUAUUAAUAAGUGUGUCAAUUCUAUUUAUUUGAUUAAAUCUUCUUGUUUUUUGUGACUUGAUAGUUUGUGACAUGUGAACAUAGGAAAUAAUUAUAUCAAAACAUAACCUUAAAAAAAAGUGUGUAACAUGCAUCCAAAUGUGGUAAUGAGUAUUUUAUUACCUUGAUUAAUGAUUAUUCAAUAUUUAUGUAUGUGUAUCUAAGGCAUGUCUUGCACAAGUAAAUCCAGCGCCAAAUUCAGCUCCUCUGUUUUUGGUAAAAUUGCACUAUUUCUGUCAGCAAUUUGGCUUGAGAAUCCAAUCUUCAUGGCCAGAAUCCAACUCCAAUUUGUCUUCAUCCUUCACCGUGAAGCUUUUCCUGCCUCGUUCCAAUACUGCGCCAAUUUGCUACUUCACGACUUGCCCAUUUCAUGAACUCUUUAGCGCUCAUCGAUUGUCACCUUAAUCUUUAUCUCGUGUCCGGUUUAAAGCUUGUUCUUUAAUCUCUACAGAAAUAAUAAACUCUUGUAGGUAAAAGGAUAAAAUCAAAAGUUUUACCAUUAAUAAAGAAUUAAUUUUCUAUACACUGACAGUGUAUACAAUUUCAUCAUUUGAUACAUGACACAUAAUCUAAAUUUGAAUUUGAAAACCAAAUUUUGCAUAUGUAUCGUGUAUCCAACUGUGAUAGUGUGUACACUAUCGUGUAUAUAAGAUUUACUCAUUAAUAAAUCUAAACACAAUAUCUUGUCAAAUCAAGCUAUACUUACUCUUGCAACAUUCCAAAAAUAACUCAAACCACCUCAAAACAACACUAAAAUGCAAAAUAGACACUUAUCAACGAUAUUCACAGAAACUUUUUGGGGAGGUUUUCGAAAUUAUCCCACUUUAGAAUAUCUUCUUUCCAAUUUAUCUUUGUUUAUCCAAGGAAGACUAAAAUUUUACAAUGAGAAAACAAAAAUUAGAUGACUCCAAGCUUAAGCUGCCAACGCCACUUUGUCAAUGUUCUUACAAUUAUUGUAGAUCCAUUUUAGUUGGAUCAAAAUUCUUUAUGAUUGCAACUGCGCCACGCAAUUGAUAACCCAAAUGAGUUUAAUUUGUAUUGAGAUGGAUGGAAUUGUGCAGGGCACCACUUUCAAUGGGUGAUCAAGUUUGUUUUAUGUUAUAGAUUAUUAACUUAGUGCCAACAUUUGUUGUUCUCAUUAGGGGUGGGCACGGGUCGGGUACCCGUCCCUAACAAGAUAUGGCUGACCCGAUCCUAAAAUAUCGGAUCAACCAUUUUGCGACCCUAACCCGCUUCUAAUGUUUUCGGAUACCCGCUAUUCGGGUACCCUAAAAAAAAGGGGUGGGUACCCAAAAAAAACUAUUUUCCAAUAAAAAAAUAUUUUUCACUUAAUAUUAACAUGUUUUCCAAUAAAAAAAAAAGUAUGCUUUUCCAAUUAAAUCCAUGCAUCACCAUUCUCACACAUUUCAUCCAAUAAUCAAACCGAUUUCAUAAAUUUAGUACAUAUUAGAAUUAUAAUAUCUAAUAGAUAAAACGAAAUUUUAUGAUAAUUUUGAGUACAUCACCGUUCUCACGCAUUUCAUCCUUCUAUAACAUAACAAAUACAAGGAUAAUAAGUAUAUGAUAACUUUUCCAACUUUUCCAAGUAUAACAAACACAAGGAUAAAAUGAAGUUUUAUGAUAAUUUUGAGUACAUCACCAUUCUCAUGUAUUUCAUCCUUUUACAACAUAACAAACACAAGAAUAAUAAGUAUAUGACAACUUUUCCAACUUCCUUAAGGAUAUUAAGGUACAAGAUUACAUCCAAAAUGGGUCGAUUGUGGUAUUAAGUCCGGAAAAGAAUUGAACAAAGCUAAUAAUUUUUUAAGAAAGUAUAACCAAAAUAAUAUUGAAAAAUUUUUCCCAACUUUCUUACAUCUUUGGAAUAGACCUUUGUUGCAUUAAAGGUGAUGAAAAAGAAAAAUAAAUUUCUUGCACUAAAAUAAAGGAAACAAAUUUAAGAGACACAAUUGCAAUGAAAUAAAUAAAUAAAUGAAAGACACAAAUGUUUAAAUUAUCUAGCUAACAGAAAAUUGGAGCUCCAAACACAAAUUUUUGAUUGAAUUGAUCAAAAUUUUGCAGAAAAAGAUGGAUGAAAGUAGAAUAAAAAUGAAAAAGGAUGAAAGGGAUGAACAAUUUUUAUGAUAGAGUUUCACAAAUUUUUCUUUGUUUUAUUCAUUUGGUUCAGGUUUUACCAAGAAUAUUCAUUUUUUUAAACAAGAUGAGGAGAGGCGGAUCAUAUGAGAUUAAAAUAUGAGGUUGUGAACCACUUUACUUACACUUAGGAUUAAAAAUUAUAAAAUUAUAUAAUGAACCCUUUUUUUUAAUAUUUAUAUAAUAUACCUUGCGGGUCGGGUACCCGCGAAUUUUUAUUUUGCUGACACGUAUCCGUAUCUGUUUUUGCGGGUACCCGACCCGCAUCUAUUCUGCCAAGAAAAAUCGAAUCGGAUAUCCUAUUUUUCGGAUCGGAUCGGAUCGGAUCGGGUUGGUCGGGUUUCGGAUCGGAUCGAAUUUUUUUCCCAUCCCUAAUUCUCAUGCCUACAAUUGUGGAUCAGCUUGGAUCCAUUCCUUUCUUUAAAAAUAAAAAAGACAAAAUUUUUAGGCACGAACUCUAUAGUAACUUCCCAACUAAUACCUCUAAAAAACACACAAGUGUUUGAUAUGAGAUUGUUUGAAAUAAUUACUAUAACUUUUUUUGUGAUAUGAUGUAUAUAAGAUAAAAAAAAGUAAUUGAAAAGAUAAAAAAAUGUGUUGAAAAUUAUAUUUAUAAUAUAAGUAAAUAAUUUUUGACAUUAUUUGGCUAUCUAAACAUAAAAUAUAAUCGCCCCUUGCUUCUCCACCACCACCACCUCUACGACUUCUCCCUCUCGUCCCACCUCCCCUCCUAGCCAAACCUCUUUCCUCUAUCACUAUAAUACCCAACAUACCCUUUUUCCCUUCUCCAUGCAAAAAUAGGAAAUGAGGGGAAGAGAGAGGGAAUUGGACAAUAUAUUAAAAAUCAUACAAUCCAAGCAAGUGAACAGGCAAGAGCAAUUGCCUAUCCAAAAUUUUCUAAAAGCUACAAUAGGGGUAUUAGAUUUUAAUUAUAAUUAUGUCAAUUUCUCCCAUAGUUAUUUUAAUAUCCCUUUAAUUUAUCUUUAUAAUAGUGCCCUAAAACAAACCUACUCUUAGUUUCCCUUAUAUUAUAUACAAUUAGUACAGCUCCAGUGAUAAUAUAUGAUAAAAAAAUUAUUAGGUUUUCUUUAUGCAAGUUUCUCACAUCAAACUACUCUUAAUUUCCUUGUAUUACUUUCAAUUAGAAUGCUUUAAUGAUUUUGAAAUUGUAAUUAAGGAAACACUAUAAAAAUAGGUAAGGAAAGGAAAUUCAAACACUAGUAUACAUUUAUUUAUUUAAAAAAAAAAGAAAAAGAGAAGUAAUAAAGCAAGUGAUAUUUCCACUUAAGAAUAAGUCUUGGCAGUUUAACAAUUACAUGAAGAAAGGCGGAGUGCUAGAAGAUUAUUUUAGAGUGCAAAUAACAAUUUUCUUAAAAAUCCAACCCAAAACAAAUGACUUUUGCCUGUGUAAUUGAGCAUGGAUCUUCCACAACUCUAUUAAACCUAUUUUAGGCAUCAAAUCUUCUGCAGCUCCAUUGGACCUAUUUUAUUCCCCUAAAAUACUUGGUCGUACUCCGGUGUAUAGUGCAAUUCACCCCACCAACUAUGAGAACGCCGGGUGGGAAGUCAUUUAGAUUGUACUUUAUAGAGAAUAUUGUGGCGUAACCCCUUUUUAUAAGAUAAUAUACGUAAACUAAAACAGUAAUAGAGAAACAUGUUUAAAAUGAUUUCUAAUUCUAAAUAUGCUUUUUUACAAAAUACAAGGGGGUAGGCCAAUUAUAAAAUUUAAAUAUUAUCAUCCACCCCUUGAAUUGCGUAACCUUUUACCUAACAAAUUUAAACUUUUGCAGAUAACUAAACAUUGGGAUCACCUAUUAUUCCAUGCCUUUAGGGCAUAGAAUAAAAUAGAAGAACCCAAAUAAUUAAUAGGAAAAAAAUAUACUCCAUCCGUCCCAUAUAUUUAGUCAUGUUUGGGAAUAUAUACUUUUUAUGCAUAGUACACUCCACCAAAUUUUUUUUCCUUUUGUUCCACUUUUAUCCUUAAUCAUGUGCUAGUCAAAAUAAAAAGUAGAAAACAAUCCCAUCAUAUUUAUCUGUAUGCAUCAUUAAUGGAGGGCAUAAGGAAAAUUUCAGAAUAUAAAGUAGUUAAAAAUAUCAAAUAUGACAAAUAUUUUAGGACAGCCAAAAAAGAAAAGUACGGCACUUUCAAUUUCAAUUUCAAUGGGAUGGGAGGUAGUAGUUUUAGUCCCAAAUAUUUAGCACCUAUUUAGUUUUUGUCCUUAAUGUUUUGACAAUAACAAGUAUAGUCCUUAAUGUUUGGUACCUAUGUAGUUUUAGUCCCUAAAUUGUUUACGGGAACAAAUCUAUGCCCCAGUGUAUCUAAUUUAAAGAAAAUUUAGGACAUUUGGAAGAUUGUUCUUAAUUAUUGACAAAAUUUAGUCACAUGCAAUCAUGUGUUCAUUUAAUUGAAUUUAAAAUAAAUCAGUAAAAUAAUGACUAAAUUUUAAAUAAUGAAAUUAAGGACUAAUAACUCAUGUGCUAACUAAUUAUGUAGUAAAAUUUGUCAAAAUGCCAACUGAAAUUAGUCGGAGCACCAAAGUCAUUGAUCUAGAAGACAUUUUCACUCUCUAUUUUCACCAUCCCUAAGCAAAAAAACCUUAACGCUUAGAUUUUUGCAAAUGGUAUAAGAAAUUUCUCUUUUUUUGUUUCUCGGUUAUUUAGUUAUUGACAUGUCAUGACGUGAGUUAUUCUAAUUGUUCAAAAUUUGCCAUUGUUUUGCUUCUCUUUUAAAAAGUUUAAUUUAGUGAACACGUGAUUUAUAACGUCAGUAAUUCAGAAAAUUUGUCAAUUGUCUUAAAUCUGUUCCAAAUUGAAAACACUGAGGACCUGAUUUGUUUUUGCCAAAAUUCUAGAGACUAAAAUCACACUGGGUGUCAAACAUUGGGGACUAGAUUUGUUUUUAUCAAAAUUUUAGGUACUAAAAUCAUAAAAAUACAGUCUAAUAUUUGGAUACCAAAAUUGUAUUUCUCCUAAAAUAAUAUCCAAAUGAUAGGAAGCCAAUUGUUCGUAUCCGGUCCUCAAUUUCAAGAAGCUUCUCGGCAAGGAACUGCUGUCCAGCAAAAUUGGUUCAAGAGCCCAAAAAUUAAUGGUAGCAACUUGUGCAAUAAUUGUCCAUCUCGAACUCUAUCAUAUCAUAUGGGGCAAAUAAACAAUUUGUUCUGCACAUCAUCUUAUUACGUGUAUCUCUUCAUUGCCUCAUGCAGAUUGAGGCGCAUCAAGUUGGUUAUAUGCAGAAUAUUUGUAACACGUUGCGGAAAGAUACUUUUGAAGCAAAGUUUUUGGAAAACUGAAUAUUUUCUGGAAUUCAGUCAACCGUUCAUAAUUUGACAUGCACAUGCACAUGCAAUCUUGUUUUCUUCCUCAAAACAUAUUCACACAGUGUGGCUCUAUAUUGUGUAACGCCUCCACUUCUCCCUAAGGCGAACCAAAGGGUAUCCGCGGGACGCCUGCCCAACUCUCGCCAGGACUCACUACAAUCCAUCAUUCAAAAACCCGAAAUACCUUAAGUAACUUCAAUACAUAAUUAAAGUACUUCAAAUAUCUCACACUUACAAUUAUACAGCUUUCAACCUUAAAUACAACCCAACGAAAAAAGGGGUACAAUAGCCAUCCGUUAUAAUAUAAUUUAAAAUCUUCAAAAGAAAACAAUCUAAUACUACUCACGAGCACCCUUGGUUUUGAACCCUGUAAAAGAAAACCACAACGUGGGAUGAGCUACACAGCCCAGUGAGGUUCCAAGACACUCUAACAGUUCAAAUAAAUCAAAUAAGUUGGGCAUAUCAUAUGCAUGGUGUAAGGUUACACAAUGGCAUGUUAUCAUGAGGUGAUAAUCAUUGUACGGGUAAUUUGAGACAUUAUCAUGGUAUGAGACAUUUAUCAUGUGACAGUUUUUAUGGUUCAAGACAUUGGCAUAUAUAGUUCACGAGUGAAUGGAGCUUAUUACAGGCAUAGCUCAGGACUUCAUAUUGGCAUUUUAGCAUGAAACAAUUAUCAUGCUACCAGGUAAACAUAUACUGUAGGAUACGGUGUUCCAGUGGAACUCUGUCGGUCAUCUGCACCUUAUGACUUCCGGAUCCCCACGGUACGGUCUGGCCAUCGCCUUAUCCCUCCAGUGGUAAUACUCGAGUAUACCGAAACGGUGGCCCAGGGUUCCAACCUACCCGACCGAGCCCAGUCCUGGCUCGAGUAGGUCAGUAACCAAGGGCAGGGCCCAAGUUCAGUUUAGAGCUUACAACAUGCACAGAUAACCAAGUAAUUCGACAAAAGGUAAAAUUCAUCAUUAGAGUAGGUCGAGUGAGGUAAAGUACCCACUCGCCUAAUAAUGAUGGAUAGUUUCAUAUAACAUGUGAUUCAGGAUAAUCAAGUAAUCAAGUAGAUACUUAGCACGUAAGCACGUAAGCAAUACAAGUUGAUUUCAUGGGAGCAUGUAAUUCACGGAUAUCGAAUAGUCAUGUAGAUUGGAAAUCAUGUGAGCAAAUAGUCAAGUAAUCCAGUAGUCAUGUGGUUGGUAAACGGUUCACGGUUAACGGUUGACGGUUAACGGUUGACGGUUAAUGGUUAACGGUUAAGUAGUGACGGUUAAUUGACAGGCAUUUGUCAUAUGAAUAGGCCAUCAUUGGCCGUUAUCCCAUUUUUACCAUGUAAGAGUCGAGGAGAUUCACUCCAACGACGUAUGCAACCUUAGCAUACCAAGUCAUGUUAUUCGAGCAUUUCCAAGCAUGAGUUAUUCAUCUCAAAAGAGAACGAGUGCGAUAAAGUACACACUCGACUCCAUUUCUCAAAAUCAAGUAGGCUAAGUAAAUAAUCUAGCAAGUUAAGCAUGUAUCGAGUUCAUAUGGUCAUUUGAUAUGGUUAAUCAUUUAACCAAUUCAUGUAGAUAUACAAUGCAAGUAUACAUUCCUUAAAUAGGCAUGAGUAUGGUAAAUACUUAACACAUAGCACUUAACACUUAAUAAUCAUGAAAUAAACGUGUCCUAGACUUAUUCAAUUACGUAUUCCUAUAUGAAACACUCACCUAGUCAAAACAAGCGAGUAGUUUUCAAACAAGCGUUUAGGUGUCCGCUCCGAGCUCCUCUUGGAGAUUCCCUCGAGUGCCUGAGUAAACAAUAAUCAAGUACCACUCAACAUCACUACGAAUCUCUAAUUAUCGAGGAAAAUUGUACGCUACUGCAAUCUAAGGAAAUCUUAUGAAAAUGAACCUCAAUUACUCGUAAAUCGAGGUUCAAGAGUAAAGUUUUAAAGUCUAAAGAGAGAGACUAAUAUUUUCCAUGAAAUCAAGUUCAAGAUGUUCAAUCGGUAUCGAGAAAAGAAGGCAAGUUUCCAAAAUCUCAUUUUCUAAGAAAUUGACAAAUUUCAGCUUUGGGUGUCAAUUUAGAAAAAUCGUAUCUUGCACUAUGUAGGUCCAUAAUUAGAAAACUUGAUACCGUUGGAAACUUCUUCAAAAGCACUAAAAGUUCCUAGAAGAUACUUUUCCAUGAUUCCAAAUGGAAGAUAUUCAAAAAUUGACUCAAAGUUGCUGCUUGGGACCAUUAUGACAGUUUCGGGAUUGCUUUUUGACCAACUUUGAAAAUCCAGCAAAAUUCACACAAUACAAACUAGCCUCCAAAAUUUAGAACUCAAUUAGAGCUACAAUCAAAGUUUAAAACAAAACAAACGGAACAAGAAUCAAAGUUUUGAGCGCCAAGAUAUAGCAGCUCAAAGUUGGCUAAAAUUUCCUCCUCGAUCAGGAAUUUCCAGAUUUAAACAUGAACUUUGGGACGUUGGUUGAACACUGAAACGGACUUGGAAUGGCACCAAAUUUAGCAGUAUUACACUACCAUAUAGGGGUUAUUCCUCUGCAAAUUUUCAAGCAAAAUCUAGCACGAAGAGUCAAUUAACAAAACUGUUGAAGUUUUCAAGAAUUUCCAAGGCAAUCUGCCUCGUACCUUUGUUUUCCUUUUCUCAAGCAUUUGGCCACUAAAAACCUCUCAAAUAUGGUUCAUUUGCGUAGAUAAUGUCUAAAAAACAUCCAAGCUGUAUUUGGUAGGUGAUUUAUACCAAGAAUUUCGAAUGACAAGUCCCAAGUCAAGAUUGGCUAAUCGGCUAAGCGAAAAGGAAAAGUUUUCCAGAUUCGAAGAGAAAUUUCGGGGCAUCAUUUGCAUAUCAAAAUGGUCUUAGAAUAUCACCAAAUUUUGCACAAUUAAACCUCCAUAUGAGGACCACUCCUCUAUCAAAUUUCAUUUGAAAAUUCACACGAGAAGGUAGUUAACUAAACCAUCAAAGUUCAAGAAAUUUCCCAAGGCAAAACUGUCUUCUAGCUCUUCUUUCUUUUUAAAACAUUUUGUCCAAUGCAACCAACCCAAAUCUGGUUUAUUUGUAAAACAAAGUCCAAGGAACAUCUAAUAUAAAGUUUGGUAGAUGUUGGACAUCAAAGUUUCCAAAACAACAAGUCCCAAAUCAAGCUAGGCCAUUCAACUAGUCAAAAGAGGAUUUUUACUCACUGCAUCAGUUUCGAAAUAUAGCCACAACUCACUCAAUUCAACUUGGAAUUGAGCGUGGUUGAUGGCGUUGGAAAGCUAUCUCAUAAAUCUGAAUUUUAUCAGAAGAAACCAUUCUGAAAUUCUAUCCACAAACAGCUCGUUUUUGAGCAUCAAGAUACCAGUCCUGUCCUGUCUCCUGGAGAGAAAUGAAACAGGACAGUGAUAUUCAAACGAAUGGUGUGGCUCACUCAAGUGGAACCAGAACGUGAAUUUGCUACCAAUGGAAAGCUGGGAAUGUCUAGUUUCCAAUGCCACAAACGGCACUUGAUUUCGACAUCGGAGUAAAGAGUUAUAGCCGAUACAAAAUGACUGCCUGGGCAAUACGGGAUUCAUUUUCCAGUUUUGCUAACUUUGGAAAUCAACUCAUUUGACCAACCAAAUCAUGUUAUUUUUCAAUGCAAUUUUGUACACACUCACAAUAACAUGUAAAAAACAUAAUCAAGUCAUUAGAAUCUCAAAAUUGUGCACAAAAUGGUUGGACAAGGCAGGGGCAAAAUCGGAAACUUUUGCUUCUUGCACCCAAUGAAGUUUCUAUCAAUUACACACCAUUAAUCCAUCAUUUUAACCACUAAACCAACAAUAUAUCCACCAUCAAUCAUCAAAUCAGCAACAACCCAAGUGUGGGAGUUCAUAGAGUCCACUUUCACAUUUUAUACCAUAAACAAGACUACCCACAUGAUUAUAUAACCUUAUAUGUGCAAUAUAUCUUACAAAAACUAAGAUCUAUGGGUUGGAUGAUUUGCUACCUUCUUGGAUGACUAGAUCAGAAAUUUUGGUCACUCCUUGCUCCAGAAAACCGUGACUUUUCAGAUCCCUUUUGCAGCUCAAAAUACUCCUCAAGUAUCAAGCUAAGUGUGGUGCAAGUUUGGUUGAAUUUGGAGAUGAUUUGGGGUGGUUUUGAGUGAAAUUUGUGAGCAGAAAUUUUGAAGCAAAUGAGUUAGAGAGAGAAGAGAGCUGGUCGGCAAUGAGGAGAGAGAAUAUGGAGAGAAAUCUGAUUUCCUUUAGCUUCUAAGAGAAGGUGAAAUAAGUUGUGGAAAUUCACCCAAAAGUCAACUCUCAUUAGGGGCCGUUUGGUGCGAUUACGACUCGAUUUUCUCGCGCGCUUGGUUCACUAGUGCACUAAACCCCCAAUGCAUUUAUAUUCAUGUAAAUAUUCUUCACUCUUAAUUGUCCCGAAAUAAGGGUCUAAAGUUCCUAAAUUAAAUCGCGCGCGUAAAAACGUGCACUUCCAAUUUAUGCGCGAUAAGACGGAAUUUCUGAAAAAUUCUUAUAACGAUAGUACUAAUAACUAUCACUUGAGUAUUUAAACAUUAAAAUGCCUAAUUUAGGUCCAUUGUACAUGUCUCCAAUAUUUCAAACCUAUUGUACUCUCAAUCGAUCAAGAUUUCUAAAGACGUGUUCACUAUUUUCACUAAACGAGCUUCCGGAAAUUAAUUUUUGAAACAAGUCAUUUUAAAAAUAUAAUGAAACUAUAUUUUCAUGUAAUUAGGUCUCAAGAGCUUAGAAAAUAAUAUUCGGAGUAAAAGACCAAAUAAAUAAUUAAAUAAGCUAGAAAUAGGAGAUUAAAUAAGUAAAUUUUGCGAGUCCUCACAUAUUGACUAUUAAUUAAUCUAUUCUACAUCUUCAAUGUAAACAUUUUUUACACUAAUAGGUUAGGAUUCAAAACACGGGAGUUGUUCUUGUUUGGCUAUUUUAAUUGAUAAAUUUUUGGUAGACAAAUUGUCUCACCUGAUUUUAGAUUAUGAAUUUGGAUCUUUUUUUUGUCGUCUUCUUUUGCAUCUAGAUUCUAAAAUUUUUUAAGACUCAAAAAAACUAAAAUCUACAAUCUACACAAGAGUAUCUUUAAUUUAUUCUAUUUUUUUAUAUAAUCACUAUUUAUAAUUAACUUCUACCAAAUCUGCAACAAACAAGAAGAAUUUCUUUAUUUAGAUUGCGUACUUGCACCUUUGGCAUCAGGCUAAACUCUGCUCGUAUUUAAAAAAAAAAAAUUGUAUACCAAUAGGACAAACUCCACUUUUCACCUUCAAACUUGUAUCGCUUUUGCACUUUGCGCUAUAAACUUCAAUUUUGGACAUUUUGCUCCUUAAACUUUCAAUUUUGGACACUUAACAUCUUAAACUCUUAAAAUUUGUCUUAUUUAAAUCCAAUCAAUAACAACUUUUAUAAAAUUAACGACAUAGAGGAUCCAAUAAAUCAUGAUAAUGUGCCAGAGGUAACUGAAAGGUGCCAAGGUAUUAUAGCAAAAAUAAAAUAAUACGUUAUCAUUAAUUUGUACCAUAUUUUAUCUUGUUAAUUUGCUGACAAUAUUAGCAAUUGAGACCAUAUAAAUAAAUGUUAAUGUGCUAAAAAUGGUCAAAAAUCUAAGGAGUUGUAGUUGGAACAAAAGGUACAUUCUCAUUAAUUUUUACUUCCUUUAUCUCCUUAAUUUUGUGAACAUAAUCAUUAAUUGGAUCUAAAUGGGACAAACUUGAGAGUUUAAAAUGCAAAGUGUUCAAAAUUAAGAAUUUAAAAUGUAAAGUAUCCAAAAUUAAAAUUUAAAAUAUAAAGUGAGAGAGUGAUACGAGUUCAAUAGGCAAAGUGGAGUUAAUCCAUGCCAAUAACAUAGGAAGGAAAUCCAAUUAACAUAUUAACAUAUAUGCACUAUUUCUUCUCCCUCAUACAUGGAACAUAUUGUACCUUCUCUUAAAUCUCUCAAACACAAACAACUAAAUUUAUUAGUAGAAAAUUUAUAAGAAUUUAAAGACAACAUCCAAUGUAGAAAACAAAAUAAAGCACAACCAUUGAAUUAUAUAAUGUACAUGGAAUAAAAGAUUCCAUUCAAUACUCAAAGUCAACUGAUUAACCCACAAGUGACACUACGAUUUCACGAAUUAUUGAUUACAACACUUAGUUUUCAACUUUUACUUCUAGCAAAAGCCCUUUAUUCAAAAGUCAAAGAGAGGAAUACAAGUAUUAUAAUAGAGAGGUAGUUAUAAGUUUUGUCUAUCAAGAGAUUAAGUGAUAAAAAAAAAAACCUAAACUUUAAAGGAUAAAUUGCAAAUAUAACUAUACCUUAAGGGGUGUUUUGUGAUUAACUCUCUUCUUUGAGUAUGAUAAAAGAGUGUAAUAAAUCCACGUUCAUUAAUGCCUAUUUCAAGAAUUUGCAAGUACAAUGAAGGACAACUCAAAGAGAUCAUGCUCUAUCUAAUCGAGCACCUCAGGCGACAGGCACAGCCCAAGACCCAAGCCGAAAGCCUAACAGGAAAUUUGUCCCCACGAAACCUAGAAUAUGUCAAUCAAUCAAUUCUCAGACCAAACCAAAUCAAAUCGAAGUUGACGCCGUCCCAGUCCUUAAUCCCCAAGAGUCAGGAGACAGAGAAAAAGAUAUACUCCCUCCAUCUCACUUUGAUAGUCCUGUUUCUUUUUUCACACAGUUUAAGAAAAAAUAGUUAAUUUUGUUGGAAAAGUAAAUUUAGAUUGCUAUUUUCCUAAAAUACCCUCACAUUAAAUAUGGUACAACUUUAUGGGAGCUUGAAUUGAUGGUAAAAAAAGAAUCAACUCUCAUUAAAUGGGAUAAGUUUAUAGUAACAACUACUUAUAUUGAAUAAGGGUAUUUUAGAAAAAUUAAAAUACAACUAUAUUUUUCAAUUGGAAAGUGGACUAUAAUUUGGGACAGACGAAAAAGGAAUACAGGACUAUCAAAGUGGAACGGAGGGAGUACCAUUUAUUAACCCAAAGAAGAAUCCAAUUCCAACUGCUUUUUCAACCUUUUUAAAAAGUGAGAAGCCAACUGAAUCGGUGCAUUCAUCAAUCAGUCCUUCCUAUUACCUCCCCCCACCCCCCCCCCACCCCCAAAAAAAAAGGCCAACCAACCAAUCAGUCCUUCCAGCUUUAAAAGUUAGGAAGAAUCAAUUUCCUUUAAAGGUUGUGUGGCAGUCUUUACAUUCUAUAUAUUGAUCAGGUUCUUGCAGCUUUUAUUAACUUGUGUGGUUGUACCUUAAACACAAAACAAUACACCUCUUUAAGCUUCCUCCUACAGAAUAAGCUUCCUUCUUAGAAUAAAAUAAAUUAGAUUAUACAAAUAUUAUUAUUAUAAUAAAAAAGAUAAUACACCAUUUUUUUAUGAUAAAAAAAAAACCAACCAAAAGGAGGGCAUAAUUUUUUAAAUUUCUUGAAUAGGCUCAAAUAACUGUUCAAGAAAAACAAAAAUGAAAGUAAAAAUGCUUGUUUAACAUAAAUAAAAAUUUACAUUUUUAUAUAUUUAAUAAUUUUUCAAACUUUAGCCCUUGUCCCUUUUAAAAAUUUGGAAAAUUUUGCACCCUUUUUUUAUUUUCGUUUAUAGUAUAAGUGAAAGAAUUUGAAUUGAAUCUCUUACUUACAUUCUCUCCCAUUAUUUGAAAAUAAUUAUUUCAGUAAUAUCAUAAAUAUAUUUUUCAAUCACCUUAUUAUUAUUUUAAUUAUUUUUUUUAUCUUACGUAUAUUACAUCACAAAAAAUGCUACAAUGUCUAAACAAAAAAUUACACCGUUUUUGAGAAAAUUUUGCCUUGGAAAUUUAACCAUCAUCCUAAAGAAAAAGCUUCAUGCUUUACGGUUCAGUCGUGACUUCUAAACAAUUCCUAGAUUUGUCGUGAUUAAAAAGGGUUCAAGAUUUUAAGACAAAUGAUGUUAGUACAAUUUACAAUAUGUUUGUGGCAUCGUUUUUAUCAUUGGAAAUGUAGUACGACAAAUACAAUGAGCUUAUUAACAUGCAUCCAAAAAUCCAUGUUAAUUUUACCUCCAUGAGACAGUGAAUGCAUAUACUAGUUUUCACACAGAGGCUAAUAAAAAUGCCAAUAACAAAAAUACCAAAAAUUAUAGUUUUUUCAUUUUUAUUUUUAACACAGAUAAACAAUUACACUUUUUUUCAUAAUCCACUGGUUAAAAAGUUCAAAUAGAUUAGAAAGCGUAAAUACCAAAUGCUAAAUUUCUUUUGCUUUAAUGUAAGUGGAGAGUUCGAACUCAGACCUUUCACUGAAAAAGUUCAAUUAUAUUUUUUUAUUUAUUUUUAACAUAUAUAAACAAUUACACUUUCUUUCAUAAUCUACUGAUUAAAAAGUUCAAAUAGAUUAGAAAGCGUAAAUGCCAAAUGCUAAACUUUUUCUCUUUAUAAGUGGGAAGACUCAAACAUAAAACCUUUCACUUGCACUUCCUCCCUCCAAAUCACCCAAUCCAUUCCUCCUCCUACCAAAUGCUAAAUUGUUGAACUCCAGAUGGAAAAAUUGUAUUUUGUAUCUUAAAGAAUGUGCUACCCGAUGAACAAUGACACAUCUAAAGAAACAAAUCGAUAAAACUAAAUACUUUGCAAAUUCAAAAAGUAUCUCAUAUAUAUAUAUAUAUAUAUAUAUAUAUAUAUAUAUAUAUAUAUAUAUAUAUAUAUAUAUAUAUAUAUAUAUAUAUAUAAAUGUCAUAUUCUCAUCGUUAUCUAAUUAUUUUAUAUGGCUAAUUGAUAGAACGAAUUUUCGACACUUGCUCUCUCAUCAUCUACACAUUCUUAGAAUUUCACAACUGCUACACACCCCCAUUGAAACAGCCUCCACUAGCAUGCCACCAUUAGUUUCCCCAUUAACCCACGAUUCUGAGCCCUAGUCAAAGCCAAACACAGACAUUGUUUUUGUAGGAAAACAAAGGGGUUGUAAUAAGACAACAAGUAAGUCAAAAACAAGAGAAUUGAUGAUGAAGUCCUAGGAAAAAUAGCAGAGAUACAAAAUGAGGGGAAUUUGAUAACACUAAAUGAAUUCAAAUUAGUUAGCUUUUUUUCUUGUGUUAAAACAGUUAUUUAUUUUGCUAUAACACCCAGAAAACCGUUCAUAUUAACAGGCAUAAAUUGACAGCGCAACAUUUCAGAAAAUUCACAUGAAAAGGUGCCAAAUGAAUUUGCAGAAAAUGACCUUUACAAGGAUCCAAAUUCACAUCUUCAUCGAUUGCACACUUUAGCUCUAUUCAUUCCGAGUUGUAUUACAAACUAUUUCCAACAAUUUUAAGGUAAAAUGGUGGUACCAUGGCCUGUAAUUAUGUGAUCAGAGAUUCUGAGAUUACAUUAAUGGGUUCAGUAUUUAUUUUGAUUUAUUACAGUUCCUACCACGUGUCCCAAUUUUCCCAUGAAUGUUUUCGGGCUAAAAAGCCAAAUAUUCCAGGAGGAGUCUCAAGGCUUCCAGUCCCAAUUCCAUUGCCGUUUAUCCUUUUAUCCAAGGUCCUCCUUUCUUUUCUACCCUUUUGUUAGUCUUUCUUUUACUAUGUUGUCAGAUAUGUAUAAAUGGGGGAUUAGAUAGGAUGCAUUUCAAGCUUUAAAAAGUUAUGGUUAUUUUUCUGAAAACCCUCUUAGGGAUCAUGAUAGUGGUGGUUGUAGAAAUUGGAUAAACUAUUUGGAUCUUGAGAAGCUUGAGCAGUCAUCAUUUCACCAAAAGGUUGCUGUUGAUCUAAGCACAAGUAUGCUCUGCCUCUCUGUGUUCUCUCUGUUUCCUCUGUAUAUACAUACAUACAUAUAUAUAUAUAUAUAUAUAUAUAUAUAUGAUAUAACCACUUGUGGUUAGUGAUGUCUUGUUUGAAAAGGCAUUUUUCAUCAAAAAACUUUUAAAUUUUCUAUAAACAUAUUUUUUAAUUAUUUUUUUACCUUACGCGUAUCAAAUUGCUACAAUACAUUACAUUGUAGAUUCUGUAUAUAGUGACAUGAAGCGAAGCAACGUAUUAUAAAAACAGACAUUACCAUGGAUCCAACCUUUUUUAAAUUGAGUGUGUUUGGAUUGUAAGUUAUUUGAAAUAUUUUUACUGUAGCACUUUUUGUGAUGUGAUGUAUGUGAGAUAAAAAGGUAAUUGGGAAGAUAAAAAGGUGUAUUGGAAAUUGUAAUGGUGAUGUCAGCAAAUAUAUUUGGCCAAAUAAUUGGCUGUCCAAACACACAAAUUGUUAUUAUUAUGAAAAGUCAUUGCCGCGUGAAACACUGCAAUCUAGAGUUUGAUUCCUUAGGCAUUGUGACAGGAAUUGUGCGAUGAUACCUUGCUGCGUGGCUCAUGCAUUGGCUCACGGUGAGUUGAUUCAGAAUAAUGCUUUUAAUCUUAGGAUGGAACAAGGCGAACGAGACAUUACAAGAUUGUUGGAAUCAUAAAAACUGCUACUAGAAGAUGUUGGAAUCAUUGUCGAAUCCAAAAAAGUUCGUGCAUUUCCCUUAGAAGAAAAAAAAAAAAAGGUUUCCUAUCCUACUUUCAUUUUUACUAAAAUUUUUGAAGCAAAAGACAAUAAUUUUCUUUUUAGUAAAAUGGCCCAAAUACCCGAACACCAAUGAAUGUUUCCUCAAACUUGGAAAUAUUCCCAUGAAUGUAUAAAUACCUAUAUUCGAAUUUGACUAUAAAACACUAUAAUUGUUUAAUUGUUUGCUUAAGAUAACUGCUUAAACAAACUUCACAAAAUCCUGCGCUCAACUAGAAGACUCCUAAUCCAUCUGUCAAAAACUCCCCUUUCUCUUGUUUAUUUAUAAGGCUUAGAUAGCAAACAAACCUUUUUUCGAGAAGUAUACAAAGGCAAGAAAUCUGCUUUAGCAUUCAGUAACUGUCAAUGACUCAGUAGAGUACCUACCCAAAAAAACUAUCAACAGAGUAAGGCUUAAAAUCCCAAAGGUAACCAUAAAAGGAAAUCAAAUUUCCCUAAAUUUGAUAGCCAUCAAAUCUACACAAGAUAACCAUCAAGAAAGUUCCCUUAAUUUGAUACAGUAACUAUCAAUGAUAACCAUCAAGAAAGUUCCCUUAAUUUGAUCCAAUACAAAUUCCUGAUUUCCAGCUUUCAUCAAAAUUGGUUCUCCAUCUAAUUUGUUUUCCCUACUAUAGUAUUGCUGAGAUAAAAUCAGAACCUUUCACCGAUGAUUCGAUAAAUAUCAAAUUAACAUAAUGAACAUAAUAAAACACAUAUAACGUAAAAAAAAAAAGUUAAUUCCACGGAGAAACUAAAUAAAUUAUUUUAAGAAAAGGAAAAUAAUAAAAAAAAGCCCCACAUUAAUUAUCUACACUAAAAUCACAUUAGAAAGGGCUUAAUUCUCAUAAAUUAGCAGCCCAGAUUUUUUCCACAUAACAGAAAUUACAGGGGAAAAUUAAAUAACAAAGAAAAAUUUACCUCAGAACCUAAUAAUUUCCCUUAUUCCAUUCCAUUAUUACUGCCCUCUUCAGCCUGCACUUUACUUUUACUGCAGCUACUAUUACUAUUACUACCAUUCGGGUGCCCACUAUGGAGCCCCCUCUUAAACGACACCGCAUUGCUACUAUUCUCCACAUAAGUCGCCGACGACAUCUCCAUCUGACAAAUCCUCACCGCCCCGAACAGCUUCUCCGGCAACUCAUCCUCCGACUGCGCCUCUACCAAAAACCCCAUAUCAAUCGUCACUGCCGUGACGUACCCCAAUGCCAAGUGCAAAAUCGCGCUGGCAAUCGCCGAGCUCCCAAUAUCCACGUCGAUUUCGAGGUAAUUAUCGCCGACAAAAUAAUUGCACUUGAGCGCUUUUCCCAGUAAACAGGCGGCGUAAUUCCCGACCGCGGCCUUCACAAUCCACGGCCCCUUGACUAUCCGAUUCACGAUCUUGAACCUGCUGUUCCGGAAAUUAUCGUCGCCGUGGACGAACCGGUAGAGGAGAGAGCCCGGUUGGAGGCCUUCGCCUUCCUUAGUGGCGAAGUAAAAUACUGCGCUGUGGUGGUCCCGGCCGGGGACUUGGAGAUUGACAGCUACGAGGAAAGUUUUCAGACUCUUUCCUUGAAGAUUGGAGGAUUUGAGUGAGUUCAUGACUCGGUUAUCGGGUCGGGCGAGGACAUGGUCCAGCUUGGCAUUGGAUCGGAGCCAAUCGACGCCGGCAGGUUGGAGAAGCCAGGGGCCGGAGGGUACUUUUGUCUUUUUAGUCAAGUAGUUGGGUCCACGGAGAGAGAAUACAUCACCUGGAGGUGAAGCCCAGCCGUUGGAUCCAGUGUGGAGAUCUACGUGCUUUAAGGAUCCGCCGUUGAUGGCUUCUUGUCUCCAGUCUUCAACUCCGGCGCCUUGGCCUUCCGCGGCGGCAACGGUGGUGGAGCUCCGGUGGCUGUGGUGAUGAUGGUGGUGCUUUUGCUUCUGCUUUGUCGGGCACAUUUUCCCUUUUUUUUUUCCUUCCCCCUUUGUCUCUAGGAUACUGUGGAGAUAUUUAUAUGUCCGGGGAAAUGGAUUCUACUGAUUCAGUGGAGAGUGCCGAGAAAUGAGUGGAACAUGGUUUAUAUCUAGUCGAGGGAUUUGGUACAAGAGUGCCCUUGAAACUGAAGAAAACUUCAACUGUGCCCUUGAAGGAAUUAAUGGCAAGACGACAGCUAAUUAUGAUGAGUAAAUAUCGCGGCACGCUGGCGUGGAGUUGGUGACUUUUUGUCAUAUUGCGAUUAGAAUUUAUGGCCUUUUUGGCAGGCAUUAUGAUUUAUGAAUUUAGGGAUGACAAUUUCGCUAGCCUCCAUAAAAUUACACAAACCUUCUCUGUUGUGAUUAAGGUUUUGAUAAUAAAAUUAGUUCAAUUAAAAAAUAAUAUUAAAAAAGGAUUUUAAGAAGAGAAAUGAAACUUUUGUUUCAUAAAUACUCCUUAUAUAUGUAUAAAAGUUGUAUCGGUAAAAGAAUAAAAAUAAUUAAGAGAUAUAAUCAAUUAAUACGCAUAUUUCAUCACUCAAAAAGUUCACAUUUAAUAAAUUAAAUAAUACAAAUAAGUAACAAAACCGCACUAAUAAUCACAAGAUUUAGUAAAACAGACUAAUCAUCUCUUUUAACAUGAUAUUUGUUGUGAUUCUUGUGAUUUUAAACAACUAUUUUUGAAUUUUGCCUUUAUUUUUCUUCCUUUCUUCUUUACUUUUAUGAAAUUACCUUACAACUGCCACAAUUUUAAGAGUUUUAAAAAAAAUAUCCGCAUGAACAACUUUUUUUUGCCCUAUAUUUUUCUCUUCUACCAAAGUCUUUCUUCUCACAUUGUGUACGACUAAUUUUUGAUCAUUAUCAAAUUCUAUCAAUCACAAAAUAACAUCACUAGGUACAUCAAUUGAUGUUAUAUUGUAAUUACAAGUCAUCGUUCAUCAUUAAAGAAAUUUUCAAUAGUUAUUUUAGUUAAUUAGUGCUCUAAUUACUUAAUCGUUAGAUAUUAGUAAAAGAGAAAUGAGGGGAAAAGAAAAGCAAAUUUCAAAAAAACUUUUGUUCACAAUAAUCAUAUCAAAAGAGAUUACUAGUCUGUUUUAUUGAAUCUUGUUAUCAUUAGUGCAGUUUUGUUACUUAUUUGUGUUGUCUAAUUUAUUAAAUGUAAACUAUUUGAAUAGUGAAAUAUGUGUAUUAAUUGUUUCUAAUUUUUAAUUAAUUUCAUUCUUUUACUAAUAUAAUUUAUAUACAUGCAUAAGGGAUAUUUAUACCAAUUUACUAAAUGGGUAUAAUUGAAUAACCCACCAAAUUCAAUGAAACUCAUUUAGACAUCUCCAUCAUCACUUAUAAUUCAUGAUACAAACCUGAUGCAUUCAAGCUAUAUCUGCCAGAAGGAUACUAAGAUUAUUGAACUCAUUGGUGGAGACUUUCAUGCAUUAAUAUUGGUGAAGCCUUGCAUAUAGUGGAAUGUUUGAUUUUUCAGCCUUCACAAAUAUUUGAUGCAUUUAUUAUGCAUAUAGAUAUCCUACUUAAUUUUUUUUAGAUUUUUCAUUUUGUCAUAAUGUUAACUACUUUUGUUUCAUUUAUUAUUAUUAUUUGUUGAUUUUAUCUUGUCAUUUUAUUUUUUCGUAGUUUGUUAACUUGCUCAAUUUUCAAUAUUAUCAAUUUAUGACAAACUUUAACUUCCUUUCCUACCUUUUCAAAAUGAAAAUUUACACCUAUGUUCUGGUCUGAUCCUUGAACUAUAGAGUCUUUUAAUUUGGUGAAAUGAUACAACUCGAUUUUGCUAGAAGCAACAAAAAAUAUCACUGUUGUGCCCUCCACUGACAAAUUAAGAAGAUUGACUACCUCCUCAAUUGUCAGAGUCAUCUCCUUGUUUUCUAUCCUAAAUGUUGAACAGUUAGGAUCCUAUAAUUGAAUCAAAACCUCUACCAAGUACCUAUCUGAUUUAAUGUUUUUUUUUUAAGGAAUCUGAUUUAAUGUUUUUGAAAUCCCCAAUUGGUCCUAGAUGAGAGGUUAAUUGAUUAAUUUCAGGGUUAAUCACAUCUUAUCCCUUUAAAGAAUACCCCAUUUCUCAGUUUAUCCCCUAAUCUUUAAUUUUGCUCACUCAACCCCCUUUAGAGCAAAAUUGCCCUUGCAUUAUUUUGACUUUUCAUUUACCUUGUUUUCCUUUCUUUUAUUUCUUUUUUUCUUUCUUUUUUAUUUAAUUCUUCCUCUUUCCCAAAAAAUCUUCACCUUAAUGAUUGAAAUUAAAAAAGAGGAAUUGCAGAGAUCUAUCUUCUCCUUAAAUGAUUAAAAAAAUAUUCAACUCACUUUCCUAAAAUACAAUUUUUUAGCCUUUCAAUUCUUUUAAUUUUGGGUUUUCCUCUUUCCUUUCUAGUUUCUUAUUUUAUUCCUAAGAAAAUAUCUUAAGAUGAAAUUGUGACCUGAUUAAUAAUCAUCAAUUGAAAUUUGUGACACGUGGCAUCAUACAAAAAAUCAAAAUUAGUUUUUGAUGUCUUUUAAACCUUCACCCAAAAAUAUGCAACUACAAACUCAAAACAAAAAUUUUCGUUGAAAUAGAAUUUCUAUUGGGAAGGAUGAAAGAGAGAAGAAAGAGAAAAAGAAAUAAAAGAAAGGAAAACAAUUCAUCUUAUGAUAUUUUCUUGAAAAUAAAAUGAGAAACUAGAAAGGAAAAAGGAAAACUUAAAAUUAAAAGAAUUGAAAGGCUAAAAAAAUUGUAUUUUAGGAAAGUGAGUUGAAUAUUUUUUUAAUCAUUUAAGGAGAAGAUAGAUCUCUGCAAUUCCUCUUUUUUAAUUUCAAUCAUUAAGGUGAAGAUUUUUGUGGGAAAAAGAAAGAAUUAAAUAAAGAAAAAAGAGAAAAAGAAAUAAAAGAAAGGAAAACAAGGUAAAUGAAAAGUCAAAAUAAUACAAGGGCAAUUUUGUCCUAAAAGGCGUUAAAUGAGCAAAAUUAAAGGUUAGGGGGUAAACUGAGAAAUGAGAUAUUUUUUAAGGGGAUAAAAUGUGAUUAACCCAUAAUUUCACUGGAUGAGAGAAACACUGGCCAUUUUUUAACCUUCAUUGGAACCACCAACAGUUGCUUGACUAGUUGAGAUCUAUGCAUCUGAAGCAUGUAGUCCGGAUCAAAUGUCUUACCUACAAGUUUCACUUCUCCAGUUUUACAAAAAUUUAAAGAUGAAUAUCCCAUAGAGGGUUAGAUACCUAAGGGAAGACAAGGAUACAAUUAAUCCACUUAAAGUAUACCUUAUUUCUCACUUUACCUCCUAACCUUUUAUUUUGCUCACUUAACCCCCUAUAGGAUAAAAUUACCCUUCCAUUAUUUUGACUUUUCAUUUAGCUUUUUUCCUCGCUUUUAUUUCUUUUUCUCUCACUUUUCCCUUUCAUCCUUCCCAAUAGAAAACUCCAUCUCAACGGAAAUUUUUAUUUUGAGUUUGUAAUUGCAUUUUUGGGUGAAGGGUUAAAAGGCAUCAAAAACUAAUUUUAAUUUUUUGUAUGACGACACGUGUCACAAAUUUCAAUUGAUGAUUUUUAAUCCGGUCACAAUUUCAUCUUAUGAUAUUUUCUUGAGAAUAAAAUGAGAAACUAGAAAAGAAAGAGGAAAAAACAAAAUUAAAAUAUUUGAAAGGCUAAAAAAAUUGUCUUUUAGGAAAGUGAUUUGAAUAUUUUUUUUAAUCAUUUAAGGAGAAGAUAGAUCUCUACAAUUUCUCUUUUUUAAUUUCAAUCACUAAGAUGAAGAUUUUUGUGGGAAAGAGAAAGAAUUAAAGAAAGAAAAAAGAGGCAAAGAAAAUAAAAGAGCACAAAAGGGGAAAGAGAAAAAAAGAGUUUAGAAUAAUAGAGGGACAAUUUUGUCCAAUAGGGGAUAAAGUGAGACAAAAAAAUGGUUAGGGGAUAAAAUGAGAAAUGAGGCAUACUUUAAGGGGAUUGAUUGUGAUUAACCCUAUUCCUGAAUUGGGAUUCCCUAAAUGGCAAUCCCUCUAUGGUUGAUGCAUGAUGCCAGUUUAUUAAAAUAAGUAAAUAUGCAGCGCGAUAAUUGAACCAUGACCUGAAGGUGCCCAAUUCGGAUGUUGGGGUAAACUUAAAAUAAUAUGCAAUAUAUAUACACACACACACAUAGCUUUAACGCAAUAAACUAAAAUUUAAACGUGCAAUAACUCAAUCUAAAGGGAGAUUUCUCCUAAAUGAGUGCCAUGUCAGAACUGAUAUUUUUAAAACUUAUGAAUGCAAGACAAAAGAAGAAAACAAUAGUUAGUUUAUUGAUAAAUAACACAUAACACAUUGGACUAACAAAAUGAUACAGAAAUAUAAGGUAAAGAAAAAAAAGAGUAAAAUCCCUCCCCUCAUAUCUAGUGUUUCUAAUAGAGUAAAGGUAGACUCUAUUCUGGAUGAGGCUAGACUUAACUAAUGCAUUUACAUUUGAUAAGGUUUCAAAUCCUUAAACCUUCAAACCAAAAGGCAAAAAGUCAUCAAUCCUAAGAUCUUUAGUCGGUGGCUUGAGUGAUACUCCAAACACUGCUACAUGCACGUCAUUCCACAACCACAUGUCCAGUGGAUCAAUCCUGCUCUUAAUAGGGAAGAGUACUAUAACAACCACUAAAAGAAAAAAAAUAAAGGGUUAAAAAGAAACAGCGUAUGAACGUAUGAAAUGCUCAUUUGAGGGGAAGGAUUAAAUACCAUUAAACAUGUAUGAAAAUUCUAGGGUAACAUUGCUUCCCACCAAAAAUGUAAAGCAUGAUACAAGUAAGUAAAUACAAGUAAGUAAAUAAAAAUAAACAAACUAUUCAUUACAUACGAGAAGGACAAGGAAUGAAUAUGAUUACGAAAUGUAAAAGAUCCUAAAAAGGAAAAUGCAACAUAAGCCAUCAAAUAUGAUAUGCAAAAGGGUUAGAAAAGGAAAAGACGACUAAAUCAAGUGCUCGAACUCAUUAGGAUAUUCUAAUAGAGUUGCCAAGCUGUCGUGCCCCAUUUUUUGCAAUAAAAAGGUAUUUAUAAAAAAAAUAUGUUUUUCAUUUUAAAACAUAAGUGUAAAAGGGUCUAAAAUGAGACAUUAAAAAAUGUGACAGUUUGGCCCCAAAAUUUAGUCUAAAAAGGGUUUUUAAAAAAAUGAGAGUCGUCACUUGGUAUUGAGUGUAGGUGUACCAAGUUACCCAAAUAAAGUUUAAGAGAAAAAUAAAAAUAAAAUAAAACAAAACCCUAUUUUAGACGAUUCCAGAUCUUUGAAAAUAAGAGAAAAAGGUUCGGGAGUCACAGUUGAAAAAAAGAAAGGUAAAGAUUAGAUCAGUUAAAACCUAAGGCACCCUUUCAACUUAACCAAAGCUAGUUGUGAGAUUUAGUUAAAAUUUUCCUAUUUUAACCCUUAAACCUAUUACGUUUGAAUAUUUCCUAUAUGGAUCCAAAACCUAAAUUCAAAGGAGAUAUCGAAAGGGGCAAAAUAUCCAUUCAAGAACCAAUUGAUACCAAUCGCAUUAAUUGCGAAACCUAAAAUAAUUCUUUGAAGGGUUCAUAAGUAUGCAAAAAAGAGACCUAAAAAAGAAAUAAAUUUAUAAUGUAUAUAUAAGUAUGUAUGACCAAAGUGAGGGGAAUGUAACAUAAUGAGUACGGAGGGCGAAAACUCAUGAUACAAUUUUCCUUCUUAAAGAGAGUUAAUAGGGUCUUGAAGUUAAAGAGUUAUAAUAACCUAAUUUAUAUAUUCAAUGGGUGACUCAUUUAAUCUAAGCGAGCAAAUGAACUAACUUAUUUUCUAAUUUUGUAAAUGGAAUGUAGUUCUAAACGAUGUGGUUCACACAUAUAGGGGUAAGGGAAUAAUAUAAGAGAAACUAUCAUGCAAAUGAGAAAAGAUUCUAAAAAUAGAAAAAUAUGUAUGAAAUGAAAAAAAAAUUACACACAAACAUGAAUCUAGCGUGUGGAUGAUCUAAGGGUCUAGCAUUUGAUUAGCUCAUUUCUAUAAAUCCUCACUAGCAUUGGACUACCAAGAAAAUAGAGAGAGAAGUCACAACUAGCAUUGGACUAGUGUGAUGAUGUCAUGCGUUUAUUAUUUAAAAUAAAGCAUAUAAAAUAGCGAUUAAAACAAAUCAACACAUAGAAUCACAUAGAGCAUAUAAUACAUAUGUAUAAUAUUUUGGUGCAAAGUCCUAAGAAAAGCGGGUAAAAUACAUAAACACAUAAGACACAUAAAUACAAAAAAAUCUAUCCAUUACAGUAAGGGGUCUAACUACAAUUUAACGGGAAAGUAUGAGAAAAUAAAUCUGUCUAAUCUAUCUAUUGCAUUUAGAGACCUAACUACUAUCAAAAAUAGGAAAAUAUAAUAAAAUAAAUCUGUCUGUCCUAUCUAUUAUAUUCAUCUAUCUAAUUACAAUUUUUGUAGAAAAAAGAAAAAAUAUUACCUAUCUAUUACAACUUGAGUAUUCAAGUACCCCUAAAUAGUUACAAAAUAUAAAUUAAAUAAAUAUAAAAAUUUAAUAUGAGCUUAAAACAAAUAAAUAAAUAAAAGAAAAGUAAAAAUAUAUAAACAUAUAGGAUUAUAGAAGAUCACAUAAUCAGAAUUCAAAAGGUAAUAGGGGUACCUCCUUUAUUGAAAUAGUGACUAAAUGAGGGAAUGCUGCCCUUUUCAUGCCCAAAAAAUCAACAAAAAGAUCAAUACACCAAUUUAAUUGGAAAUACAUUAGAAGAGAAAACAAACAUAGACCAAAUUCACCUUAUUAUGCAAAAAAAUGUAAAUAAACUUAAAACACCUAAAAUUUACAAAUUAAACACAUUUAAAUGAAACAUAAUUAGCAAUUAAAGAAGGGGAAAUAAUUGUAAUUGAAAAAUUGAAAAAAUUGAAAAAAUCAGAUAGUUUUUAAGGUCAAAAUAUAUUUUUAAAAAAAUUAAGGAUCAAAAUUAAAUAAAGAUAAAAUUAGGGGUCAAAAUGCAAUUAAAUUAAGGGUCGAAAAUAAAGAAAUUAAAAAUAAUUGAACCAAAAUAAAAUUACUCAAAAAAUUAGGGAUCAAAUUGAAAGAGUUGGUUUCUAAUUUGAAAAAAAAAAGAAUAAACAAGUUGAGUAGCCAUUUUUUUAGAGUUUGGGCCAAACUUUUUUAGCGCAAAAGAAAGAUGCAAGCCAUUUUCACUUAAAAAAUAAACAAGCCCAAUUGGAAAUUUAAACAAACCCAAAAAUAAAUAUAUGUAAACUAAAUGCAAAAACCCAACUAUAAGCCCAACAAAAAUAAAAUACAAAUCCAAAAUGAAAUAAAAGAAAGCCCAUCCUUUUUUAUUUUUCUUCCUUUUCUUUCUUUAUUCUUUUUCUUCUUCCCUUCCUUCUUCUUUUUCUUGGGCAAGCUGAACCUUCUCCUCCGCCAGCGACCAUGGUUGACACUGUCGGCCGCCAGUCGCUGACAACCUCUUCGGUUACAAAAUUUCAUUAAAAUUCACAAAAAUUCUUGAUUUUUCUCGUAGAAUCUAUUUUUGGCUUUACUUUUUGCAAAAUGCAAACAAAAAGUGAUGAGAAUGUAAGUUUACAGUCAGGUUUCUCUCUCCUCCAAUACCACUUGAAUCACUUUCAAAUCUUACAAAAACCAUACCAAAACGAUGUCCACAGGAUAGACAAUGCAAUCAUAGUUCUAACUUAACAUGAGAUAACAUAAAUCUUUACAAAUUAAAGCCAAAAAACAUAUUGCAUUCAAGAAACCCAUUUCAUGUAUUCUGGGCCCAAAAUUUUCAAAUUUAAUUUUGUGAAAAUCGUAGCAAGUCUCCUGGUAUCUAAACUAAUCCACUAUUAACGACGGCACAAACUCAUCAAAACUCCAUAUUGUCCUCUCUGGGGCAAGCAAAUAAUGCAAAAACCUUAAACCAAAUAAGCUGUAAAAUAAUGAUAAGGGAGAAAGAAUUAUUACAAAUGUUUUAGACAUCCGACAAUGGUGAUGGAGGUUGUGGCCUAGACAAACCCAACAGUAGCAACGACUCCCUAACUUCUUUCUUGAUCUUUUAUUUUCAUACCAGCCAUUCCUUUGUUGCUUAUGUGAUGUGUGUGUGUGAACUUUGGGAAAGCAGAGGGACCAAGAGAGAGAGAUUGGAGGGAGUUGGAGUGUGCAAGUGAGAAAAUUUUGAGAAAGAGGGAAGCUGAGAGAGGAAUUGGAGGGAGUUGUUGGAGGGGUUUGUGUUGGUGAUCAUGAUUUUUUUUUUUUGUACAAAGAAGAAAACUAUAGAGAGGGAUGGGAGGUAAAGUGUUGAAUGGGAUAAAUGGGGUAUUAGUUGAAAAAAUGAUUAGAAAGUGAUUUUGUCUUUUCUUAAUUUUCUUUUUCCUUUUUUCUUUUUUUAAGACAAACCAACAAAAAUGAGAAAAAUACACAUCAGAAUGCAUGAAAAUAAAUGAUUCAUUAAAUAGAUAAAAUUCAAGGAAAUAUUAAAAAUUGACAAAAAUUUGGUGUGUACACAAAUAAUUUAAAAUUCUAUUUCUCAAUCCUUAACAUUGUUCUCAACUAGGCUAUCUUGUUUCAUGAUUCUAUGUUUUUGUUUUAAUCCACCUGCUUAAUAGCAAUAUAAUAAAUGAAACUAGAAACAUAAUAUGACAAGAAAUAUAAUACUAUCUAUUAUGUACUAUCAUAUUAUUAUACAUAUACAUAGACAGAAUCUAUAUAUACAACAACAUAAUCAUAUAUUCUGUCCAUAUAGUUUUAUUCUACACAGUGCUAUCAGCUUAUUUGGUCAAAAGGAUUGUUCUUAAAGCUAUAUGUUUACCUACCACCAACCACCUUCUGUAUUUCACAUUCAAACUCCUUAUGUCAAUCUUCAUAUAUACAAUCCUACCAAACACAUUAUCUAUUUAUUUCUCUUGCAGGGUUUGUUUGGAUAGUGAAAUUAUUCCAAGUAAUAUUUCGCUUGCAUCAUAAACACAUUUUCUAAUCCACCUUUUUAUAUUCUCAACUAUUUUUUUAAUCUCGCAUACAUCACAUCACAAAAAAGUGUUACAGUAAUUAUUCCAAAUAAUAUUUCAAACAAUACUCUAUCCAAAUAAUACUCUAUCCAAAAAGUGCUGCAGUUUAAUGAAGGCAGGACAAUAAAAGCCUAAGGAAGAAACCUUUCUUCCGACUUUUUCAAACAGUGGUGUUCCAUCAACCUUUAAAUUCUAGCACCCUCUUUCAUAACUAAUAAACUUUCCAUUAUAAUUCCUCUAGCAAUAGGUUGUUACUUUUCAAUGGAUACAGAAUAAGAAGUUCCAAGUCCAUUGUUGCUACACCAUCAAUCAACAAGUCCAUCACUGCUGCAUCAACUAAUAGUGUUAUCCUAUGCUAUUUUUUCUAACCUUUCCCAACAACAAAGAGGUAACUAUGUUAUGAAUAUUCACAUCUUAUAUCAUCAUUCUAAUAGGUAUCCAUAUCUUUCUCAUACAUGUAUUAGUAUAGAAGAUAUAGUUGCAGACUAUACCACAUGAACUUUCCACUCCUCAACUUGCACAACAAACAAAUGACUACUAUUACACAAGGAUACAAAAUGUGAAAAUUUAAGAUUAGUGAUGAAAAAUUUGAAGAAGGAUGGAUUAGGUUCAUGACAGAUAAUCUACUUUAUCCAUCAAGUUCAAUACUUCUACAAUAUAACGAAAACUUAAACUUUGGUGUGAUAAAUUUCACUGAACUCAAAAUGCAUACUUGUCACCAUGGACUAUACCACUUUCUAAUAUCCUAUAGUAGCAAUAUCUUACAGAAACUGAUGAUAAGUAUUAUUUCUAUUUCUCUUCCUUUUGUAAAGUCAUAUAUUUGAUAUCUAAUAGAUGUAAAUUUCUUUGUUUCUAGCAGAUGUAAAACCUAAAUUCAUUCUAUAGAAGAAUGUAUCCUCAUCAAUUCAACUAGAUGUGGUUCACACUCUUACUGAUUCCAUAACUUUUUUAUCAAAUUUACACACAAAAAAAGACAACUUCGUGAAUAUCAAUAGUUCUAUUAUAAGCACUUUUUCUCAGCUCUAUACAUUAAACAAGAAAAGGCUAUGAAAGAAAAAAAAACACUUCAUUUUUUGUUCCAUUUGUCUUAACAGAAAGUCUCCAAGUUCCUUGAACACUUCAUCAAUGGAAACAAAACUCCAGUUCCGACUUUAGGAUUAGAUUACAAAGUAUUUGAGGUUGGCAUGCAAGGAUGAAGGUACAUUGAUAGUUGGGAUAUAUUCACCAUGGCAAGCUGGUUUUCAUACCAUAGAUAACUACUAGCUUUAUAGUCCAAGUUUAUAACAAAAAUAGAGAGGAAAAAUUGUAUCCCUCAUUUUACAAGUACCAUGUUUACUCUUAUUUGCGAUAUUCAACCCCUGAUUUUAAUAAAUUCAUCUUCUCAUUUUAGUGCAAAUAUUGUUAUUUCUACCGCAUAUUUUCCAAAAUAUCAACUUAACAAAAAAAGUACAUUUAUAGAAGAACAUUAACUAUUGAAACUCAUAAUUAUAUAUACAAAAUUUAUCACAAACAUAGAAUCAGUACUAAGUAACAGACUGAUGAACUCUAUACACUAUUUAGCUCUAAAACUACUCCUUCAAACAUUAUAGUUAACCGUCAAUAGUUAUGUAUUUUCUCCAUCUACACGUAGAUCAUCUAUAACACUAGUUACAACAAUGCUUUUAUUUGUAGCUUCCACCUUUAUGCAUCUCGCAAUUAUCUGAAGGAAAGGUAAAUUCAUACGGCGUGUUAGAGCAGACUGGAGCACAAGAAUCCACUUAGGAUACUGAUAAAAACGCUGGAUAAAAUCAUAUAUUUCAUUCCUUAAAAAAAUGUUAUUAGUAUCAGCUCUAACCCUUCCUCUCAGGCUUCCAUUAUCUCUAUCAUGGCUAGCUAGGGAACCUCCAACACCAGCGAGUGAAACAUAGGAUUAAAUUACUCUUUAGCAUCCGGAAAAAAAAUUAACAAGAACUUCAAAUCUACGUUAAUUGUAGUUCAUCUGCAAAAAUAAAAAACCUAAAAAUAUUAGAUGAAAUACUACUUGUAUAGUAACAAUUAAAGAUAUAACUUCUGCUUUUCUAAACCUUUGACUCAGUAUAUUUGUUUAUAACAAAGAGGCAGUAACAAAGAAGCACAUAAAGCAAUGAUAUGUGACCAUGUUUAUCCCACCACAAUGAUAACACUAUGUAUAAAGCACACCCUACAUACUAUUCACACUAAUUACACCAUUAAACGUUAUGAAAAAGUUCAUAGCAAAGUUAACUAUAUGUUAAAGUUGAAAACAAUAUUGUUAAUUAAAGCAAAAAAAUCUAACCCAAAGAACUAUAUCUUGCUAACUUUUCCUAUAUCAUGUGUCUAUCUUCUAUCGAUAGAACUUUAAAUCUCAUGCAAUUUUCUACCAUGACAUUUUGGAUAAAAUAUUUUUGAACGCCUUUAAUGAUUACAAUAAUAAAUUACUUUAAAAAAUCUAAUAUUAAAUAUUAUUUGGCCAAAAAAGGAAAAAAAGAUAUCAAUUAAUUAUUUCCACCGACUAAUUUAGAAAUGUAAAACCAAUGCAGAAUUUAAUAAGUAGCAUAUAAAAUAAUAUAUUUUAAACAAAAAAGACACAUACCCUAUGAGUUCCAGAAUUACAAUUGUACUCACUAUACAUUGUGACGAUUGGAAAAAUUUCCUUAUAUUUUUUCUUAAAAUUCCCUUUUAUUUGAAAAUUAUUACUUUAUAAUAGCCCUACUAUUUAAUCACCCCACAAUAAAUGUAAAUGAACCUAGAAAGUAGGGUUUCACUUUUCGUGUUUUAAGUCAGCAUGAAUUAGGGUUUUACGCCUAUCUGUAGUGCGGCUAUCCGGUACGAAGUGUGGAUCAAAUUUGGGGAUUAAAAGUGAGUUUUAGAUGAUAUUAAGUGUAUGAUUAGAAGUGAUAAUAAUAAGUUAGUGAAUUAUAAGUUAAAACCCUAGUAUAUGCGAUUUAAGGAAAAUCGGCUCGAACCGACGGGUACCGUUUGUUACCGGGUAAACACACCACUUGACCCAUACUUUAUUACCUUAAUCUUCUCAUUUUAUUUCAGCUAAUUAAACCUCAAAAUAUUUCAUACAUUAGCCACAAUAUUUAACCAAGAAAACAAGAGAAAAGAAAAAAAAAUUGAGAUGGAUUUUGGUGGUGACAAGUGGAGGCUAUCCAAGCACCUUUGACCCAAACCAAGACCAAGUCUUAUAACCUUUCUUAGCCUCCAAUCUUCUCCAUUUUUUCAGCUGAAAAUCGUGAGCUUGAGGUAGAGAGGGAGCAAGAGAAAGAACUCCAUGUCAUCUUGAGUUUGAUCCAUUUGAGCGAGAAAGCAAGAUUCUAAACCGAUUAAAUCCUUCUUUGAGCACUUGGAAAGCUUGGUGUGCAAAAAGAUUACAAGAAGAGGUGGUGGAUAACUCUUAUAAGCAUCUUUGAGAGGUAUAUUGGCUGUCCUUUAUCUUUGGUUCUUUUAUUUUUGCUUAAGUUGCUAUACAACCCAUGUUUUGAUUAAAUUGGUAGCUAUUCAAGUAGUUGUGAUGAUUUUGGGGGUAUUAGUAAGGUAGGAUUUUGUAUUGUUCAGCCCUAUUUCUUAUUGUGUGGAUGGUAUAUGAUGUAUACAAGUUUGUAUAUGAGGUAGUAGUGAUGGUUUUGAGUUGGAAAUGUGAAUUAUACCUUAAGUGUAACAAAAUUCCAGAAGUGAAAAUCCUUAGUGCCUUGUUCUGCCCGGUUUUAGUUCACCAUGAUAGAGGCCAAAUUAGGAUUAACACAAAACAUGAAAGUUGUAUAGAAUGAUGUUUUAUAGAUGUCUGAAAAAUUUCAGCCCAAUCCGAGCACUUUAGCAUGUGAAAAGAUAAAAAUACCCCUGACUGCCAUAGGUAGAACGUGAGGGACAGUUUUGACAUUUCACCAAUCUGAUUGUAUCUGUUCACCCUGAUCCGUACUGAAUUAGCAUUUGACCAAAACAUAGAAUUUGUAGUGCUAUGUCUUAGCUUUCCAACGGCGCUAAAAAGGCCUCAAUCAGACUUCGAUAGCUUGAGUUAUUGUCGUUUAACCAUAGUGCGGUUAGCUAACCUGUUUGUGAGAUUUUGGUUUUGUACAUUAAAAUUUUGACCUAGCUACACUACGAACUGGACUGAGUGGUCUUCAUCAAAGUUGUAUCCCUUUCUCUUAGAUUUGAAAAGGGAUAAAUUUCACCCCAAUCUGAUAAGCGUAGCUUUAGUUGUGUCCGUCACGCAAAACAACGUCAAAAUCUGUCUUUUGUUUCUUGACUCAAACUUCGUUUCUGCACAUGUUCCUAGCUUGGUUUUGUGCUUGUAUGACGUUGAGCCUAUUGAACGGCUAUUAUAAUGAGCUUACUUACAUUGUGUAUGACUUUGGGACUGAUUAAAGAAAAAAGGAAGCCAUAAAUGGCUGAAAAAUAGGUAAAUACAAAGGGUGUGCUGCCCAAAUUUGCACUCGAGGGCUAGGUAGAUGUACUCUUUUCACUUCCAAAACUAUAUUUAUACUUUGUACAAGUAAACAUUCGAAUUUUCUUUGGUUCACCUAAACUUUGAGGGUUUACCUGUAAUAUUUUCUCUUGGUUAUUAUUAGGGUUUGUUUAGCUUCCUUUUCAUAUGAUUUUACCCAAGACACUUGUUAUACGUUAUUUCUUUGCAUAUGAGUUAGUUUUGAACCAAACGAAGAGUUUUACAAAAAUUUGAACAACUGUCUUUUCAUAUCCGGUCGUAUUUUGAAGUGGCACUAUUAAUUUAUUUUCAAUGGAAUUUUCUAAAAACCUUUUUGGUAUGGUUUUGUGUUUAAUUUGGAAAAACUCUUAGUUACUAAUGUUCUCUAAUUUAAAUAUACACUUUUCACCUUAAAACUCAUAUUUAUGUAUUGCACUAGUACGUAUUUGGAUUUUCUUUGAAUCACUUAAGGUUUUUAUAGUAGAAGCAUAAUGUGUUCUUUUGAUUACUAUUGGGGUUCCUUGGUGAUUGAGGGUAAUACCCGAAAGAAUACUUUGGACGUUAUUUCGCGUAAAUAGAUGAGUGUUCUUUGUUUGUUAUGUUAUUAACUAUGUGACUUGUUGUGGAUAUUUGAUUAAAUGAUAAAUGUUUUUUCAAAAUGAAUUUUAUUAGGCGAGUGUGUACUUUAUCGCACUCGACCUAAAUGAAAUGUGAAAUUUUCAAUAUUAAGUGUUUACAUGUUAGUUGCGCAUGUAUGUAAGUCUUUUGGCUGAACUGGACCCUUGCCCUUCGUUGCCGAUCGACUUGAGUCAGAAGCGGAUUCAGUCGGGCGAUUUGGUGACCCUGGGUGAAAGUUUGGUAUACUCGAGUAUUACUUUGUAUUUUGGUGAAGCCUGGCCAACGUCCAGGAGGAGGUGAAUGAAAUGAAAGAAUGAACGAGGGUUUUACUUACAAAAAUACAUUUUCAAAUGAUUGGAGAAAUAAGGGGAAUAACAGGAGAAUGAACGAACGAAUGAAUGUAUGACUCCUUGUGAGUUCGUAUCCUUUUAAUGAAUGUGUUAUUAUCGCUUUCCAUUGUAAAUGUUUCUUGAAUUAUUGAUACUCUAUGUUUAAUGUAUUGGAUUGAUUGUUUGGUUAUGUGUUCGAAACCUUAUUGAGCUUUUAGUUCAUCCCUUUAGUUUUGUUUUUCUUAACAGAGGAAGGCGAGUCAGGACAAGAGCUUUGUAUCGACUAGUCUAGUUUAGUUUCUUGAAUUUGGUAAUGGUUCUCGCCCUAGUGCGUGGCAUGGGCUGGAUGUAUGAAGAUGGAGAACCUUUGUAUAUUCGAUGGUUGUACUCCCUUUUGAAAUAACAAUGUAUAUAAGCUUUGCUUUAAGUUUUGGAUUGUUGUUAUGUUUAUUAUUGUGGGUUUCUUCUGGUUUUGAUUGAGGAUUGAAGUGAACGACUGAGUCCCGGCGAAAACUGGGCAGACGGUCCGCCGAACCCUUUGGUUCGCCUUAGAGGGAGGUGGGGCUGUCACAUACAUAUCCAAAUAGUUUAAUACAUAUCUUUUACUAAUCGUAUUAACUUACUAAAAAAAAUUUAACAUGUUGCAUUCUCCUUUAAUAGGACUAGAUCAGUUUGUAUAUGUUUAUUUGCACAAUUUUUAUUUGCUUGCAUUAUCAACACAUUUUUUAAUCACAUUUUUAUCUCAUAUACAUUAUAUAAAAAAAGUCUUACAUUAUUUUUUUUUAAAAAAAAUUAUCCUAAAUAAUCUCCUAUCCAAACAUAGUUACUAUUUCUUAAGGUUUUUACCAUCUAAUAUCUUUUUAAAACACCAAUCCAACUAUAUCACAUCACGUAUAUCCAAUAUAUUAAAAGUCUUAUUAGUCUUGUAACUAAAUUUCUACUAAUUAUAUAUUGCAUUGUUCUCAUAAUCGAAAAACUAUUUAUCACCCAUUUCAUUCAUAGAUAGCUUUUUUCCGUUUUGGACAAACUAUAUUUUUUACUGUUAUUUACAAAAUAAUAUAUUAAAAUUCUCUGCCUAUUUAAUAUAAACUUACUAAAUUGUAUCCAAUAUAACUUUUGCUACAUAGCAGCUACUUACCUACUUAACAUACACAAACAAACACCAACAAUAAUCACUUAAUGGGCACCUACAAUAAAUUCAUUUGAAAAAAAGAAUAUUUUAAGUAGAUAUAUUGGAUACAACACAUGAAGUAUUUAACAAUUAAGCGAAAUGUAUCUUAACGGAGCUUAGUGUUGUUUCAACACACGAAGUGAUACGAACUCUAUUGACGAAAAUGCAAUUCGCAUGAAUAAGCCCCGGAUCUUUGGGGAUUGACACAAGUUUGAGCAAUGGAAUUCCUAUACAGACCCCUAUAAUCCCCGUGGCUGCGAAUGUUGAUACGAUCUUAAUCUACAACCAAACGAACUAGCGAACCCUAAAAAAGGUAGUAGGUGCCACAAUUAAGGGUGGUUUCUUGAUUGAUAAACUAAACAAACAUCCAAGAGAAUUCUAAAGUGUUCAAGGAUACUCAAAGAACCAAGAGAGCUUUCUCUCAAGAUAAUUUUCUGGAAAAAUUUUGUCUCCUCCACAUUGAAAGAAACAACGGCUUUUUCUAGUGUCUUACAUAAGAAAACUUAGCUAAACUUGGACAAACUAAAAGCCACAACUUGGACCAUUAGAUCUAGCCUAUUAAAACCCUACUUGUAGUGGAUCCAAGCAACUAAAGUUGAUCCUUUUAAAAAAUCAACCCAAAUUAAAGACUAAACUAAUGGCAUAAAUGCUGGAAAUUUAAGCUGAAAAUUUCAGUCUUUAUGUCUUCUUCACAAAUGACUUGAGCAGUCCCUUUAUGAAGAAAUAGCUCCAGACUUUGAGACUCCGUGCUUAUAUCAGUCUUCUUCUCUUGAGAAAGAUUUGUCCUCAAAUCUGUUGGCAUGUUGGCUCGCUUAGAUUGAAUCAUGCAUGGAAAGAUCAUGACACAUACAAGGCAACUUGUGUCUCUCUUGGACAAUUUAUACUCCACACACAUGAAUUGAAGUAAAAAACGAUCAUUGUGGCUUGCAAGCUCCAGCGGAUAGACACUUAAUUGAUGCCACUAGAACAUCGAUGUCUUCUGAACUUUGGCAGCAAUGAAAAAGAAAUUAUGGAUCUCUUUAAAGCUCAAAAGUUCAAGUCCUUCAUAGGCAGCAAAUGGAUCAUCAUCUCGUGCUCCAUGAACUUCGUAUAUAUCACUCAAGGGUUGGUAAUCCUCCAUGAUCUCCAAUGCAAAUGAAUGAAAAACAUCAAACCCUACAAUACAUAUAGCAAUGAAUGAGUGAUCAAAAUUGCAACAAAUUAACAAACGUGUACUAACGAAAAAUGGUUGACCAAAAUUGAAUUGAAACAAUUUGAAUAUAGCAUUAAAACUUAUUAAAGAAUAAUGUCCUUUUGAACUUGAAAAAAAAAUAGCCAACGGCAAGUUUUGCUCCAUAAUUGGAUUAUAAAGACAUGCAACUCCAAGACUUUGUAAUUCUCCAAGAUAUCUGGGAACAAUACACACUUCAUUCACUACUUUCAUACCUUCUUGUACCUGUAAAAGAAAAACAAUGUCACCCGACAAAGUUGGGUCUAACUUGUUAGUAGACAUCAAAAGUUCAAUACUAUAAAGUACAAGUAAAGAUUGCUUCGCACUAAGAACUUGUUUCACCACUUUAGCUUGCACUAGAAAAUUCAAUUUCUUUUUAACCUUCCCAACCUUGGCCGAUUCUACAUUACGCUCUUUACCCUCUUUACUCAGCCUUAGUUAAUGAUUUCUUUCUCUCACUUUCCUUUUCAAAUUCCCUUUUCAAACUAAGUUGGUUUUCAUGUUCUUGUUUGGGUGUAAGAGGUACUACUGUGAUUGUCCAAUGUCUAUGCAUAAAAGUAUACUUAUUAGUAACCCCAUCAAUAGUAAUUUUCAUCAAAUUUUCAAGGCCUAUCAAGUAUCACAUGACUCGCAUGUAUAGGAAUAACAUCACACAGAAUUUCAUCCUCAUAUUUACCAAUUUUAAAUGAAACAAGUACAUGUUUGGAGACAUGGAUUUCACCACUGUUGUUGAGCCAUUGCAGCUUGUAUGGUCGUGGGUGGUCCGUGGUUACUAAUUCCAACUUCUCCACCAUUAGUGUGCUCGCCACAUGGUAUAGCUACCUCCAUCAAUUAUCAAACUACAUACUUUAUCUUUGAUUAGAUAUUGUGUAUAGAAGAUAUUCUCACAUUGCGUAUCAUCCUCCUUAAGUUGGGUUGUUAACACUCUUCGUGCAACAAGUCCAAGUCCAACUUGUCCAUUGAUGGUGCACUCUUCUCUCGAUUCAUCUUCUUCAUCAACAAGUGGCUGCAUUCUCUCGUACUCAGCCUCAUCAUCAGACACAAUUUCACCAUUGGAUAGCAUAAUCAUUGCUCAUUGGUUCGGCUAUUAACUAGCUAUAUAUCCUCUCCCUUGACACUUGAAGUAUCAAGUGUCUCGACUUCUUGCUUUUUGUGAUACUUCAAAGACACUUUAGAGGCUGUUUUAGUGUCUCCUUUGAAUGACUCUUCUUUCAGCCUAGAGGUAGUUGAAUUGGCCAAUUGUUUUUGUUCGCUCAUUGGCUGGUUCGACAUUGGAUUUGGGGUAAAGAAAGUAUAAUUCGAUCAUGGUUGACCCUUCCUCUCGAGCCUUUGCUCAAUCUUCACAGCCUUGUCUACCAUCUCGCCAAUCUCUACAUACAGCUAUAGCUCCAAUCUCUUGACUAUCUCGAGUCUCAAGCUGUUGAGAAAUCGAGCCAUGGUGGCCUUGCAGUCUUCUUGGACAUCUGCGCCCAAUAUGGUGACCUCCAUAUCCUUGUAGCAGUCCUCUACGCUAUGACUUCCUUCCAUUAAUAUUUGUAAUUUCUGGUACAAGUUACAGUAGUAGUAGUUCGAGACAAAUCUCUUCCUCAUAAUCCCUUGAAACUUGGUCCAAGUGAUAAUAGCGAGCUCUCUACUUUGUCUCCUACUUGUGCACAACUAGUUCUACCAAACAAUUGCGUAAUCAGUGAAUUCGAUUACUACGAGUUUGGCCUUCUACUUCUCGGUAUAGGUAUGACACUUGAAGAUUAUUUCCACCUUCUAUUCCCACUCGAGCUACACCUCUGGAUAUGAUCUCCCUUGAAUGCCAGAAUUUUCAUCUUGAUCCCUUUGAUAAGAUCACUCCCUUGGUUCACUUCACGAUGUCUCGAUCUCAACCUCCGCUCGACCUUUUCAUCAUUGGAGCUCUUGGACUUUUCAAUGUUGAUUUUGUCUCGUCGUCCCUUGGAUAGUGUUUGAGACAACUCCAGCUUGUCCACUCUUUCAUAUAAAGCCUCAAUGUUGUUAUUGAUUCAUUUUGCAAAAUCACCAAAAAAAGCCUCAAGUUUAAGUGUGAGGUCUACUUUAGGUUCACGUUUCUCCAUUACUUACGUACCCUGCAAGAAAACGUUAGUAUAAAAGAAUAAAAUUUUUCCUUGCUCGCUUCUUCACAUGUAUCCACUCAUGCUUGUGUUUACACUCAAGUAUUCACUCUAUUGAUCUCACCAAAAGCUCUCAAAGCCUUGAUUGUCUCCCUUGAAUAAGUUAGAACUCCUUGCAAGUGUUCAACCAAGAUCUACAAUCGAGCCUCUUGAGUGUGGCCAACCAAUGAAUAUAAGUAAUGGCACAAGAGUUGACAUGAUUUUGGAAAUUUUGAGGAGGAAAACUCGAGUUUGGGCAUGAAAUCAAUUGGAAAUUCACUGGAAAUCUACUAGAUUAAAUGACUCAACUAACUACUUGAGUAAUGAUGCAAUAAUGACUAAAAAUGAACAAGAUCGAAUUUGGAAAUUUGACAUUUGAUAAUCUGGAAUUUAAGGACAAAAUUAGGAUAAAAAACUACUGAAAAUUAUGGCUAGAAACUACUGGAAUUAAGUUAGAAAGAAUGACACAAAAAACUAUUAGUGAUCCGACACUACAACACUAGGAAAGGAAGGACCCGUUGCUAGUGUGUAGUGUAGCAAUUAGGAAAUUGCCUUGUAGUUGGAAUUCUCGGAAUAAUUCCGGAAAUAAACCCCUUUUCCCAAUGAAACAAGGAUUAUAAAGGCUGUGGUCAACCAAUUUCCAAAAGAAUUUGCCAACUAGUUAUUGGAUUGUUCGAACAAAAGGAAUCUGAUUGUGAUUUGGAAAGUUGUUUCCUUUAUUUGGUUGUCCAGCCGAUUUUGGUCUUCCAAAAACACAACCAACACCUUUUUCGAGUCUCUUUAUGGAUCAAAUUUGUGGCUGUAAUAAUAUUUUUAUACAACAGCUAAGAACUUUCAACAAUGAGCACUGGGGUUUUGGCUAGCAGAAUUUUUGCAGCUUAUUGAUCAAAAAUUCAAUCCCAAAAACCCUAGCCAGCUUCAAGAUUCCCACAAACAAUUAAGAAAGUGAUUCAAUAAUCAAGAAACAAAGAAAAUUUCGAAGGUUAACCCCAACAGUCCACUUGUUUCUUCGAAUAGACAAAGAUAAGGAUUUAAGGUUUCACAAGGCUUCAAGAACCGUGACUCAAGACCUCAAGAAAUUCAAGAUUGUUUCUUUUAGCAAUGAAGAGGUUCAAGAAAUCCCAAGUUUUGUCUCAAAAUUCCAAGAAAAGAUCAAUGUCAUUUCGUAAUUCCAAUUGCACCACUUCACUAAUAGGAAACACUAGAACAAGGCUCUCAAGUUUUCUUCAAGAAACACAUCGACAAAGUUUUUUUUGACUCGAAUAAAACAACAGCUAAAACCAGAUUUUUGAAGCCUCUAAAAGUUAAAUAAAACCAUGAAACAAUGGAACAAGUGAUGCAACAAAAGAACCUAAGAACAACAGUGAAUUUUGAAACCCUAAAAUGACUUUGACAAGAAACCAUAGAUGACAAGCACAAAUAUUUUUUUUCUGGAAUAAUAUCACUAAUAAUCGACACAAAUUGACUCAAAAACUGGACAGAAACAAGAAGAAACAAAUGACUAAAAGAUUCGGACAGCCUACAACAAGAAACUCUAAUGUGACACGAAGCUCUAAGACGCGAUGAAAAAGAACCCUAACGGAUCACUAGAAACAACAACGGAUGGACACAAAACUGAAAAGAACUAACGAAUUUGAGUAAGAAAGGGAUAUAACUUGGAAAACCACCAAUUAGCUUUGAUGCCAAUUGAUACAAACUUCAUUGAUGAAAUGAAAUUUGCAUGAACAAGCCCCGGAUCUUUGGUGAUUGACACAAGUUUGAGUAGCAGAAUUUCUAUACAGACCCCUCUAAUCCCUGUGGUUGCAAACAUUGAUACGAUCUUGAUUCACAACCAAAUAAACUAAUGAACACUAGGAAAGGUAGUAUGCGUCUCAUGGGUGGUUUAUUGAUUGAUAAACCAAAUGAACACUCAAGAUAAUUUUAAAGUGUUCAAGGAUGGUCAAAGAGCCAAGAGAGCUUUCUCUUAAGAUAAUUUUCUGGAAAAAUUUCGUCUCUCCCACAUUGAAAGAAACAACAGCUUUUUAUAAUGCCUUACAUAAGAAAACCCAGACCCUUAGGUCCAGCCUAUUAAAACCUUACUUGUAGCAGAUCUAAGUAACUAAAACUGGUUCGUUUAUUGGCUAAUAAUCGACCCAAAUUAAAGACUAAACUAACGACAUAAAUGUUGGAAAUUUCGGUCCUUAUGUCUUCUUCACAAACGACUUGAGCAGCCCCUUCAGUGAAGAAAUAGCAAAAAAAUAGCUCACACUUUGAGACACCAUGCUCAUAUCGUAAAGUUCAAUAGAAAAAAGUUGAUCUAAAGUUUAAUGUUGGGAUGAUAAUGUAACAUUAAUAUUAAUAUCUCAUUUCUUUCUAUUGUGGCUCAGAUAUGGGCUAGUAUAUUGCAAAGAACAAAACUGACAUCUAAGAGUUUGGUAUAUCAUGAUAUUGUUCAUUAAGAGUUCUACUAAGACUGUUAGUACAAUAAUGGCUUUGAGGUGUGAUCUCACAUUUCUAAAGGUAUUUGAUACCCUCAGGAUACAACAAAACCUUAAUAAAACUCUCUCAAAAAAAAGUAUAUGAAAAGUAUAUCUCAAUUACGUGUUGAUUGAGAUUUUUUAGACUCUAUUGAGACACCAAUGAAGAGAAACAUCUGCUAAUUAUGGAAACUGACAUAUCUCUUUUCAUAAGAGUCACAAAUCUGAUAAACUUCUCUUUUAUGAAAAGAUACAAUGAUAGAAGCAACUUAUAGAUUUUAAGUAACUGCCUUGUUAAGUUAAAUAAAAUCCAUAAUAGUAAAAUUUCUAAAUACAUAAAUUAGUGAAAACUACUAACAAUCCCCCACUAGUUUAUCACUAGAUUGGAUUUUUUUUUUCACACGAUAAGUAUUAUGCUUAAAGAAGGUGUCUCUCGAUUUGAACCAUUCCCUAGUGCACAAGAGUAUAAAGUUGAUAGUGUUUGAAGAGGGAGAAUUGCCUUAGAACUAAAAUGAUUAGUUUUAAUCCCUAAAAAGCAAAAAAUGAUCACAUUGGGUCUUUUUUCACUUUUUCGAGCAAAAUUUGACUGAAAUUCACUGGAUCCAAAUGUCAUGCCCAAUUUUUAAAGGGCAAAAGUGGCAAACCACCUCACUAUUGACCAAAAAUGCAAGGGACUAGGUGCAAAACUUUAGUUAAACAUUCAUCAAAAAAUACAAAAACUAACCCAACAUUACCUGCAAUUCAUUUCAACACAAAACAAACCAGAAUUGCAAACUCCCAACUGAUUGAAAUUCAUCUGAAGGAAAUUGGUGAUUGAAGACUUGUAAGAGAAAGGCUAACCGGCCUAAUAAAUGAAGAAGACAACACCAGAAUUCUAGAUUAUGGUAUGUAUUUUUUAAUCUUCAACCAAAGGAUUUGUGGAUUGAUGAAAAGAUGUGUUAAUACUUUGAAAAGUUACAAUAAUCAUGAUCACGGUAGAGGCAUAUUUUGCUAGAAGAAGGAUUUGUGAUGUCUUUGAAACAGUAGAUACAUAUUUGGCCAAAAGUUACCUACUUGAUGCAUUUCUUGCAGAGAACAAUCUUCUUGAAGCUCUCCAGGGGGUUGAAGACGUUGUCUGGGGUUACUAUAAUGGAUCCAAAGGCCACAACCAUGGUAGUUAGACAAAUUUGGAAGGUCCCGGAUUUUCUUAUCAUUCUAGGACAAAUGAAUUAGGGCAAAAUUCUGAUGUAAUGGAGUAUGUUUGGGUUUUGGAAUGGCAAGGAGGUGUUUUUGGAAGAGGGAGUGGGUAGGGGUCAAAGGAGGUGAUGGAGGAAUAGAAUUUGAUAUUUUGGGUACAGUUUUGGUGCCGAAUUUGCAAAGGAUUUGCUUGGGAUUUGGUGUAGUGCAAUAGGGGAGGAUGUUUCGUUUUGGUGGCGUGCAUGUUGUGGUGUCAAGGGAGUGCUGUUGGCCACUGAGCACGGCAUUUUGUGAAGGGGUUUUUGACAAUAUAAGAAACGAAAGUGGUGGAUAAAUUUGAACGGCAAGGACUUUAUACUAGUACUAGUAUAGUACAUACUUUUUUCAUCCGAGAUUGAUUUUGAUAAAUCACUUAUUUCCUUGAUCACAAUGGUGAGAUUUGUUAAGAUUUAAAUUGCGAGGUAUUAAGAUUUUGGGUUGAGAUGAAUUGCAAAUAAUGGCGGGUUAGUUUUUGUAUUUUUUUGAUUAAUGUUGAACUAAAGUCUUGCACAGUUAGUCCCUCACAAAUUGGUCAACGGUGAUUUGCCACUUUUACCCUUUAAAAAUUAGUCAUGACUUGUGGACAUGUGGACCCAAUGAGUUUCGGCCAAAAUUUGCUCGGAAAAGUGAAAAUGGACCAAAGGUGAUCAUUUUUUGUUUGUUAUGGACUAAAACUGAUCAUGUUUGUUCUAGGGGACUAAAUUUUUACAUCAGUGAUAUGUGAGGGAUGGUUGGUGCAGUUGUCCCUGUUCGAAGAUUGAACUCCAACUCUUGGUAUACUACAAAGCACACAUUACACUUAUCUUACUUUCCAAGAGGUUUUAACUGCCUUAGCAUGCUAAUGGCCAUGUGCUAAUCUUGUUUGUUCAUGAAAUUUUUACGAGAGAUUACCCAACUCUCUCGCCAAAGCGGCACCACUUCUAAAUUCAUAUAGGUGGAGUUUCUUAUAAUAUCCUAGUUAUUCACAAAGACAUUUAAACUAAUAUGCUCCGUUAAGAGUUCACAUUCAUCCUUUCUAAACAUAACUGUCAGCACUAGACUAUAAGAAUUUUGGAUUGGAAGUUCUAGUGCUUAUAAGCAAUAUCAACAACUAGUUUUACCCAUUAAACUUCAAGCCUUAGUUUUUACUAAGAUGAAGUUCGGUUCCUAUUGUUGGUGCUUAACAAGGGUUUUUUAAUCCCAUUCUAGACAAAGUACUUUGUACUAAGUUUCUAGGAAGAGCUUUUGCAAGAGAAUCAACUAAAUUGUUCCUAGAUUUCACAUAGACUAUGGUAAUCACCCCAUUUGAAAUCAGAUCUCGGACUUAUUCAUGUCUAAAGCUGAUAUGUCUAGAUUUCCCAUUGUAUAUUCUAUAAGCAUUAGACAUAGUUGCCUUAUAGUCACAAUACAAGGAAAUAGAUGGCAUCGGUUGUGACCACAACUCUAUAACCAACAAUAAGUUUCUAAGCCAUUCACCAUCCUUACUUGCUGCAGCCAAAGCUACAAAUUCAGAUUCCAUAGGUGAAUGUGUAAUGCAAGUUUGCUUCUUUGAAGCCCAACCAAUAGCACCACCUCCAAGAGUGAAGAUCCAACAUGAUGCGGACUUAUUGUCAUCGGUACUAGUUAUCCAACUUGCUUCACUAUAGCCCUCAAGUACACAUGGAUAAUCAGAAAAAACUAAGCUUAAGACUUUCGUUCUUUUUAAAUAUCCAAGUACUCUGGCAAUUGCUUUCCAAUGAUAGUAACUAGACUUACUUGUAUACCUUGACAAUUUGUAAAUAGCAAAAGCUAUAUCAGGCCUAGUACAAUAUGAGAUAUACAUAAUACUCCCUAUAGCACUUGCAUACUCUAAUUAAGCAACAAUUUUAUUACAAUUUCCAUUCAACUUCAUACUAGGGUCAUAUGGAGUACUAGCUUCCUUGAUACCAAGAUGAUUAUAAUUAUUAAGUAAUUUGUCUGUAUAGUGAGAUUGAUUCAAGGAGUAUCCUUUUGCAUGUUUAGCAACCUUUAUCCCCAAUAUAGUAUCUACUUCAUCAAGAUCUUUCAUCUUAAACACUAAAGAUAAAUACUUUUUCGUCUCAUUUAUUCCCACUAUAUUUGUACUAAAUAUAAGCAUAUCAUCCACGUAAAGACAAACAAUUACUCCAUAUUCUCUUGUGAAUUUUGAAUACAUGCAUCUAUCAGCACCAUUAUGCUUGAAUCCAUUAGAUAAGAUUGCAUUAUCGAAUUUUUCAUGCCAUUGCUUAGGAGCUUGUUUCAAACCAUAUAAUGACUUGACAAGUUUACAUACUUUAUGUUCAUUUCUAGGAAGUAUAAAUCCUUCAGGUUGCUCCAUAUAUACUUCCUCUUUCAAGUCAGCAUUUAAAAAUGCAGUUUUAACAUCCAUUUGAUAAACAUGCAAUUUAUAUAUUGAAGCCAAAGCAAACAACACCCUCAUAGAAGAUAUUCGUGCCACAGGAGCAUAUGUAUCAAAAUAAUCAACUCUUUCCUUUUGAGUAAAUCCCUUGCAACUAAUCUUGCCUUGAAAGCUUGGAUAGAACCAUUUGUAUUGUAUUUCUUUCUAAAUAACCACUUGCAUUUUAUUGGCUUUGAGCCAGUAGGUAAGUCUAUCAAGAACCAUGUAUUAUUUGACAAUAUAAAAUCCAUUUCAUCAUUUAUAGUUUCUUUCCAAAAAGCUACAUCUCUAGAUGUCAUGGUUUCACUAAAUGUUUUCGGGUCUUCUUCUAUAUUUAGUACCAGAGAUAUUUUAUUCAAUACUUUAGUUCUAUCUCCUUCAACAAGGAAGACAUUGGAUAUAGUUGAAACAAAGUCACGACCAAAAGUUUUCUCUUUCCUUAUUCUUUGACUUCUUCUAGUUUCAUUUGAGUUAUUCUCAAAUUUCCUUUUUCCACUAUUGCUAAAAGAAGUCAUCGAAGGAUUUAAUUUUGUUGGACUUUCAUUUCUUUGAUCAUCAAUGACAGAAUCAGAGAUGAACUUGUUCUAAAAAAACUCAACAUGUAUAGAUUCUAUGAUAACAUUAGACUAUAGAUCUAGUAAUCCAUAUGCUUUUGAGUUUUUAGCAUACCCAAUAAAAACACUUUUAAUUCCUCUAGGUCCUAAUUUACUUCUGUAAGGAUCAGGAAUUUUAUAAAUAGCAAUACACCCCCACGCUUUCAAAUAUUUCAGAUUGGGUUUUCCGCCAUUGUUCCACAAUUCAUAAGGUGAGACCUUAAAUUUUCUUAAUGGAACUCUAUUUUAAAUGUGGCAAGCGGUGUAUACAGUUUCCCCCCCAAAGAUUCAAUGACAACUUAGAAUUCAGAAGCAUAGAGUUCACCAUAUCAAUUAAGGUUCUAUUCUUCCUUUUAGCUAAGCCAUUUUGCUGAGAAGAAUAAGGAGCAGUCUGUUGAUGAAUUAUUCCAUUUUCUUCAUAAAAUAGAGAAAAAGAAUCUGGAAAAUAUUCACCUCCUCUAUCGCUACGAAGAACCUUAAUACUUCUUCCUUUUUUAUUUUCAACAACAGCUUUAUAUUCCUUAAAUUUAUCAAAAGCUUCAUUUUUGGUUUUCAUCAGAUACACAUACAUAUAAUCCAAAUGAUCAUUUAUGAAAGUGAUAAAAUAUCUUUUACUAGCACUAGUUAAAAGACCAUUAAGUUCACAUAUGUCACAAUGCACAAUUUCUAAUAGUUCACUAUUUCGUUCAACUUGAGGAAAUGGUUUUCUAGUCAUUUUUGCUGCUGUACAAACUUCACAUUUAUCAUGAAAAUCUUUGUAACUCAAAAUAUAAUCAUGUUUAGACAUAUAAGUUAUUGAAUGAAAAUUUAAAUGUCCUAAUCUUGCAUGCCAUAAAUAAGAACACUCCACAACAUAAGCAGAGGAAUUAUUUAUUUCAUUGAUACUAAGUUUGAACAUGCCAUCGUAAGUGUACCCCUUGCCUACAAAUGCACAUUCUUAGUUAUUACAACUUUAUCAGACUCUAGGACUACUUUGAAGCCCUUCUUACACAAUAGAUUAGCAGCCACAAGAUUUUUCUUAAGAUCAGGAACAUGAAAUACAUUCAAGAGAGUUAAUUUCUCCCCAGAGGUGAACUUUAGUUCCACAGAUCCUUUUCCGACAACUUUGGCAGCAUUGUGAUUCCCCAUAAGCACUUCCUCAAAGUCUUUCAGUUCUUCAUAAUAUUUGAAAAAGGCUUUGUCAUGACACACGUGAAUGGUUGUUCCUGAAUCAAGCCACCAGCCUUCGGACUUUAUUGCAGUAGUCAUAUGUAGUUCGAUGAUGAUGCCAAUUUCCAUAUGAGACACCAUAGCAACAAGUUCUUUAACAGCAUUUUCAAUCAUGUUGGUCUUGUUCUGAUUUUCAGUACUUAAAGUGCUUUUUUUACUGAAUUCUUGAACCUGCACUCUCUGAUAUAAUGGCCCUUCUUUCCAUAGUGAAAGCACAUUCUAUCUUUCUUUAUUUUCACUUUCAAAAAAUUCUGAGUCUUUUUCUUAGAACCAGAGGCUUGUUUCACUUACUAAGUGUACGUCAUUUUUGAAAGUAGAAUUUAAAAUCAUAGCCUCUCUUGUACGAUUGGUUGCCUCAAUUUGCAUAUGAGUAGUAAAUUGUUCAAUAGUAAAACUCUCUGUAGAAAGCAGAAUUUUCUUCCUGUAGUCAUGCCAAGAAGGAGGCAACUUUGACAGAAUUGCUCCCACUUGGAGAGUGUUAGGAACAAUACUUUGCAAUUCACUCAAUUGAGAAACCAAAACGUCCGGUUCAUGUACUUGAUCCAUAAUUGGCAUGUCAUCAGAGAUUUUGAAUUCAAAAAAUUUAUGUGCCAGGAAUUUAUCAGUUCAUUCUUUUCAUGUUUAUACUUCACUUCCAAAGCAGCCCAAACUUCUUUUGGGGUCUUCAUGUUCUUGUAAAGAUUAUAGAGCCUAUUGGUAAGCGAGUUGAGAAUGUGUCCCCAGCAGUUCAAUUCAUUAGCAUCACGUUUUGUCUUUUCCUCUGCCAACUUUGCCUUGACUUCUAGAGUUUCAUCUUCUUUUGGAUUUGGAAUUGGUUGCAAAUCAGGACUCAGGACAUAGAAGAUGUUCAUGUUGGUGAGAAGGAACACCAUCUUGUCCACCCAUCUGGUAUAGUUUGUUCCAUCAACCGCGUCCAACUUGAUGACUUCUUGAUCUUGGAUAUGAACUUUCACUCCAGAAUUUGCCUCAGUUGCCAUUAUCAAAUACCUUUAGAAGUUUAUCAUUGCAUCUCUUCAUAAAAGAGAAGUUUAUCAGAUUUGUGACUUAUGAAAAUAGAUAUGUUAGUUUCCAUAGUUAUCAGACGUUUCUCUUUAUUGGUGUCUUAAUAGAGUUUAUAAAAUUUCAAUUAAUACGUAAUUGAGAUAUACUUUUUUUGAGAGAGUUUUAUUAAGGCUUUGUUGUAUCCUGGGGGUAUCAAUUACCUUUGGGAAAGUGAGAUCAUGCCUCAAAGCCAUUAUUGUACUAACAAAGAGUUUUUUCAUUUUUUUCCAUCUUUGUUGUAAGUACAAUGGUGUGCACUUCCUGAGAUAAAAGCACUUGUAUGCGACGGAAUGACUCAUGAAGAAAUUAAGAAAAACGUGCCUAAGGAAUAUGAGUAUGACUUCUGAGAGUUUUAUUUACUGGGACAUACAUUUUCUUACUGUAACUUGCAUACAUAGAAAUCAAUUGCAGUUGCUAAAAUUCAUAUAAUCAACUCUAUUACACCAUACUGAUUCUUUUUUCCUCCUUUUGAUUCAACAAGAUGUAAAAUUCGUCUCCACAUGACAAGUUUAACAUUAUUACAUACAUUUCUCAUAAGUUGAGUGGGCACAAAUCUUUCUACUACCAGCACAAUGCAUAGGUAGAAUUGCCUAGUAGUAUAUCCAAACUUUAUAAAAUGUGGUAGUAUUAAAAACUACUCGAAUAUUGCAAACACGAAAAUUUAUCAUUCACGAUGUAAUUCAUUGACAGCUUUCUAAAAAGAUUGGUGUAGUUUACCAAGUAGGUUGGUAAUUUUUUCCCUAUUUUUGAAUUCUGGGUUAUUCAGAAUGGGUGGGAAUUCUCAACACAAUUCAAAAACCUGAUAUGAAAUUAGUAGAUAUGAAUUUACUCUUUACAAGUUCUGGUCAAAAUUAAGUUAAACCUGAAUAAUUUGUCAAGCAAGCAAGUUCAAAUCAUGUCAACCACGAUUUGACCCGUUUAAUGUAUAAGUUUAUAUUUAAUCAUAUAGUAAAUAAAAAAUAACCAAGACUAUCAAUUAGUAUUACGAGCAUGUAAUCAUGAAUAUUUUGUGAAAACAAAAGAUUUUACGUGUGAAAGUGUUGCAGUUUUAUUUUGUUCAUGAUUUUUUUUUGCACAAAAAAUUACUACAAGGAACAUAUACGAAAUUUAGGAUUGGGAUGUAAUUUUCUAUAUUUUUAUGAAAUCUCCAAUGUAGAAAGUCCACGAUACUUCCAAGGUAAGAAGCCCAAAGGAAAACAGAGAGAAAAAGGAAGUUAAGUGAACAUGUUAUUCAAAUCAAGUUUGGAUAACUCGUGAGAUUUUCAAAUCAAGUUUGGGUCAAAAAGGUUGAUUCAUUUAAUUUUUUGGGUUGUGUUUCAGAUUGAUUAUAGAAAUCUUGGGUCUCAACCUGACUCAUCAAACUCUAACCGACCUGAUUGCACCCUAGUCUAGUAGAUUCAAAUGUUAAAUGAAUAUUCCUUUUUGACUUUAAUCCUUUGAGAAUAUACCACUCUAAUUUCCUUUAAUCUUAUGACAUUAAUUGUUACCCAUUUUGACUCAUUAAAUUUGGUGAUUUGCAGAUGGGUGAUUCAUGUGAUCCACUUUUGCUAUUUAAGGAAAAGAAAACAAACUGCAAACAUACCACAUUAACUUCUCCACUUACAUCAAAUACCCUGCAUUACUCAAAUGAAAUCACCUCGCUUUGCCUUGUAAUCCAUUUCUCCUACUGAUUAUCUUGAAUUUCUUGCUGGAGCAUCAACAUUGCAUAUCUCUCUCUAGGUUUGUUGCUUUUCUCUUCCUCUUACUAAAUUCAAUUUGUAUUAUAUUAUAUUCUUCAGACUUAAAUCAUAGUUAUUCGAAUUGGAUUAUAGACUAGGAUAAGAAAGAUUUUCAGAAAAGUAGAGAGAUUGGUAAUGAAAUAAAUCUACGUAUAUGGAAAUAACAUAAAAGUAAAAAUGUAGAAAAAUUAAGUCAUUAAUUUAUAAGGACUCUCUCUCUCUCUCAAAAGUAUGACUUUGUGUAAAUUGUGUUUUGGGGGGGGGGGAGCGGAGGUUGGGGUUAAGAAGUGCAAAAGUGACCUCCUAAAACAUACUUAAAUGGAUUAUAUUAGGAUAAUCAGUUUUCGAAAUCCAUCCAUUUUGAACGAUUUAUAACCAUUUACUAAAUCAUUUUAAAUGGAUUGGAUGAAUUUUUAUCGCUAUAUAUUAAAUGAAAACUAAUUAUAAACGAUUCAUCCAUUUUGCAAUCUUAGACAUGAUUUGAAUGCUAUCUAUAGCCUAUGUUUUUAAAAUUGGACUGGACUUGACUUGACUUAUUGGUUCAAUUGAUUAGACCAUGAAUCGGCAAUGAUAUUGGUCACUUGUAUAUGAAAGUUGGCAAAUGCAAUUAGCUUAGUCCAAACUGGUUUAACCAGUUCAACCGAUCAGAUCCGAUUUUUAAGUUUUACUUGAGGCCUUGGCUGUUGUUGUUGUUGUUUCUUUCUUUUUUUUAUUGGCAGCUCAAUGUUGUGAGCAAUUGGGCUACAUCAAGGCCCAUGUUUCCAAGUACCAAAGUGCAACUAUUGCUUUUUUAGUUCUUUAUAGGCCCAUUUUUUUUUUUUUUUACAUCUAAAAGAGAGGGUGAGAGAGAACAAAAGUUUAGUGUGCAAACUUGAAAACAAAACACCCAAUUAACUUUAAAACAAACAGAAACCCUCGUAUCAUUAGAUUCUUCUUCCAACCUUAUUCAUACCUCAGCCGUCCUUCUACUUUCUUCUCCAUCCUCUUCUUUUUCUCCUUUUAUCUUCUAUUCUUCAUUUUAUUAUUUAGAAGGUGAAAAUGAUGUUGACAUAAAUAAAGAGGAAUUUUUACCAUAGAAGUCCUAUUGGUUGUGAAGAAGAUGAUAAUGGGCGGUAUAAAUCUCAAUUAUAAAGGACGCAUAUAUCUUAGAUACAUGUUUGUUCUAAUUUUAUUCUUUUCUUCUCAAUAUUAGAGUUGAUUUACAAACCUUAUUUUAUUUGUUCUUGAUUUGGGAAACUUAGAGUCAUUUUUUCUUUAAUUUCAGAUAUUGGGUAGAUAAACUUAUUAUUUUUCUUGAUCUUGGAUAUUUCUUAAUGAAAUACUUUUUCAUUUCUUUGUUUGAUGAAUUAAAAAGGGAAAAUCGUUCAAAAUAUCUCUCGCAUUUUGUAAAAUAAAUUUUUUCAUCCCUUACUUUUAAAAGUAUAAUAUUACAUCCCUUACAAAUUCAUAUUGGUCAAAUUUGGUCCCUAUCCAGAUUUUCGACUAGUUUUUGUUGGAAUCCACAUUUUUUAAGGGCAAAAUUGUCAAAUCAAAUUUUACACAAUUCGAUCUAUAGCCCUUCAUAUUUCACAAAAUAAAUUUUUUCGUCCCUCACAUUUCACAAAAUGAAUUUUUUCAUCCCUCAUUGAUCAUGUGUAUGAAUAGUUUUUUUUUUUUUUUUUAUAAAAUUCAUGUAUGUAUCUAUUUGGUUUUACCUGAAUAAUACGAAUAGCAUGUGUAUAACUAUAAUUAGCCUAUUUUGACGAAAUCAAAUAGAAAUAUAUUACAUGCUAUUUAAAUUGUUUAGGUGAAAUUAAAUAGAUAUAUACAUGAAUUUAAAAAAAUUUGUUAGUUUUUCACUCAUGUUCAUUUCCUUUUACUCAAAACUUGAAAACAAACAAGAGAUUUAAUCCUAAAUAUUGUCGAGUGUUUAUAUCAAAUUAAAUUUGGACAGAAAAAUAAACAAAGGAAAACUAUGACAAAAAGAAGUAAUUGGCACUUUCAAAUUUUAAGACAAUCAUAAGGCAAGUAAUUCAAUUAUUGGUCUUAAAGGUAGUGAAUAGAAAUUUUAGAUUUAAACUGCAAUUUGUUAAUAUGACUAUAGAAUUUGAAUUAGAACCCAUUUAUUAGAUGACCUUAUUAUACAACUCAAUAAAUGAAUUAUUACCAAAAGAGAAAAUGCCACAAAUAUUGAGCAAGUUCACAUGGUAUAAUCAAAUAGGUAUAUACAUAGGUUUAAAACAAAAUUGUUAAUUUCAAACCCAUGUAUAUAUCUAUUGAAUGUGUACAAUUACAAUUAACCUGUUUAGAUGAAAUCAAAUAGAGAUAUAUUACAUGCUAUUCGUAUUAUUCAGGUGAAAUCAAAUAGAUAUAUACGUGGGUUUAAAAAAAAAGCCAUUCCUACACAUGUUCAAUGAGGGAUGAAAAAAGAAAUUCAUUUGUGAAGUGUGAGGGACAAAAAAAAUUCAUUUUGUAAAAUGUGAGGGACUAUGGAUCGGAUUAUCUAAAAUUUGAUUUGAUAAUUUUGUUCCUAAAAAAUAAUCAUAUGCAAGGCACGUGAUGGAUCCCAAUAAAAAACUAGUUGGAAAUCUAGAUAGGAACUAAAUUUGAUCAAUGUGAAUUUGCAAGGGACGAAAAAUUACACUUUUAAAAAUAAGGAAUGACAAAAGUUAUUUUUAAAAUGUGAGGGACGUUUUGAACGAUUUUUCCAAUUAAAAAUUGCUAGACAUUUUGUAAAAGAUGUCAGGCCUCAUUUUUUGAAAAAUAAAAUUAUGUGUUUUAAACAUGAAUUUUUAUUAAUUUUGAGUGAAUUGAAAAAAAGGAGUUUUUGAUUUUAUAAAAUAAAUAAAUAAAAAGGGCCUAAAAUGGGACAUGUAAAGUGCGACGGUGUUGACCCAAAAUAAUAGUCUAAAAGGAGUUUUUAAGAAAAAACUCGAGUUGUCACUUGGCAUUGAAUUUAGGUGUACCAAGUCACCCGAAGUAUUUUUGAAUAAAUAAAUAAAAAUAAAACCCAUUUUAGAUGACUUCAGAUCUUUGAAAAUAAGAUAAAAGGGUUCGAGAGUCACGGUUAAAGAAAGGGGAGGCAAAAAUUUGAUGGGGUCAAAGUUAAGGCACCCUAUCAACCCAACCAAGACUAGUUUCGAGAUUUAGUCGAAAAUUUUCUUAAUCUAAUCUAUAAAACUUAUCACAUUAGGAUAUUUCUAUAUGGAUGCGAAUCUAGACCAAGGGGGUAUCGGAAGGGUCGGAAUGUCUUUUCAAAAUUUAAUUGGUGCAAAUCACAUUAAUUAUGAUGUCCAAAAAUGAUUUUUAGAAGAGGUCACGAAUAUGCAAAAGAUGAGAUUCAAAGAAAAGAAAAUUAUAAAUACAAUUAUACGGCCUAAAGAAUCUAACAUUGGAUUAGUCCAUUUCUAUAAACUCUCACUAACAUUGGAUUAACGAGAAAUCGGGGAGAAAUAUCACAACUUGCAUUGGAUUAGUGUGGUGACAUCAUGCAUUUAUUAUAACUAAAUAAAUCAUAUAAAACAUAAUUAAAACAAGUAAACGCAUAAAGCACAUAAAGCAUAUAGUACAUAAAUACAAUAUCUUGAUGCAAAGACUCUAAAGAAAGCGAAUAAAUACAUAAGCACACAAGCAUACAAGCACACAGGCAAAGAAACGCACAUAACGACCUAGCUAUUAUAUUUGAGACCCUAACUAUAAUUUAAGGAGGGAAUUAAAAAUAAUAGCCUAAUUAUGACAUUUAUCUAACUAAUUAUAUUUUGGCUAAAAUUAAAACCUAUAUAUUAUAUAGGCUAGUUAAAUACAUGUCUUGAGCAUCUAUUUAUUACAACUUGACAUUUAAAUGCCCUCCAAAUAAUCAUCAAAAAUUAAAUAUAAUAAAUGAAAAUUAAAAGGAAUGAAAUGAGUAAAUAAAAGAAAAAGCAUUCAAAUCAUGCAAUUACAUAUAAAACACAUAGGAGCACAUAAGAGAAUUAAAAAUAAUAAAAGAAAAUACCUCCAUUGAAGUAGUGGUUAAAUGAGGUUGGAUUUGUCCGAUUUAUACUCCAAAAUCAACAAAAUGAUCAAGACACCAAUUUGAUUAACCAAUAAAGAAAAUAAAAUAUAAACAUAUGGCAAAUUCACUUUAUUAUUAUAAAGAAAUAAAAAUAACCAUGAAAUCUACCAAGUAAAUCAUUUAAAUGAAGUAUAAUUAACAAUUAAAGAAGACAAACAACUUACUAUUAGGAAAUCAAAAGCCAUUAGGGACCUAAUUGCAAAAAUUAAGAAAGUUUUUGCAGUCAAACUAUAAUUAUUAAAUCAAAGAAAAAUAAAUUUUAGGGAUCAAAUUGCAAUUAAAUUAUAGACCUAAUUGAACGAAAAUCAAAGUUUUUAGGGCCGCAGAAAAAUUACUUAAAAGGCUGAGGUUUGAUUUGCAGUUCUUGUUAUCAGAUAUCUUAAGAAAAAUGGGCCACUGGGCCAUUUACUUCUUCUUUGGGCCAAAAAGCAUCUUAGCCAACCGAAAUCCAAAGGAAAAAGAGCUGGCCAGUCCACCCUUUUUACCAAUUAAGUCCAAACGAAAUGCAUGGGUUUUGUCCCUUCAGGUCCAUGUCAAACCCAACAAAAUAAACUAAACUUUCUAUCAAAAACCCAAACAAAUAACCGACAACCCAAAACCCUACUUAUUUUACAAAAACCCAACAAGAUAAUAAAUCAACUAAAAAUUAUUAAACCCUAAUUAUGUUCUAAAGUCCAGAAUUAUUCUACCCAAAAACAUGCUUAAAUUAUGGAAAAGAUGAUUAAAACUUAAAAGGGUCAAAAUGGUUCAAUUUUUCCAGAUUUUGGGCUAUAUUAGGAUUAUUUAAAAAUUAGGGGGCCAAAAUGCAAAUUUUCAGAUUUGUUCAUGCAAGCUUCGAAGAAAGCUUUUUUUCUUUCCGCAACUUUCUUCUGCAACUCCUGGGUUCAUCAUCAACUUAAAAAGUUGCGGGAUGAUCUCUACACACCAUAUUUUAUGAGCCAUAAUAACACAAGAUCCGAACACAAAAAUAUGAAGCAAAGAUCUAAGCUAAACAACUUGCACAAAAAGGGAAGAAAAUGGCCAUAGAAUGAAGAGGGAAAGUGAACACAAUAAGAACAGAUGCAACAUCAAAAUUUGACAUGUCCAAAGCUAGUUUGAGCAGACAUAAAUGGAAGAAGGUAAAAAGAGGUUACCCUUGAUACUUUGCAAAGCCAAAUCAAUGAAGAGUGUCUGGAGAAACACGUCCAAACAAGAGGCUCGAAGCAGCAAACUUUUGUCGAUGAAGAUCUAAGUGCUGACGACCAGCUGAUUUGAAGCCAAAAUUUGAAAAGGCUGGGGACGUUCUUUUGAGAUGUUUUCUGAACAAAAUUUGUAAUUUUACCAACGUAGAGAAUGCAGAAACGGAAAGAAAACCUAAAAGAUUGAGACUAAGAUUAGAUUUUGGCCAGAAAAGAAGCCUAUUCGCCAACCCCGACUCAGAAUUUCUGACCUUUUUUUUUCUUCUUUUUCCUCUCUGUUUUCACUCUUUUCUCUUUGCCUUUUCUUUCUCCGCCGCCUCCCUCCUUUUUUUCCCCUAAUGUUUCGUUUUUUACUCCUUUUAUAGGAACAAAACCCCCUCUCCCUGGAAAAAAACCUAAAUAAAUGGUGCGGAGGAGCUGAGUUUUUUUUUUCAGGAGUUUUGAGCCAUUAUAUGGCUUUUAUUCUAGAUUUUUCUUGAUGAUUUGGAUUAAGGCCAAGUGGCCUUGUACUGGGGGGUUUGGAGGGAAGGAAAAAAUGCAAAAAAAAAAAAAAAAAUUGAGUGGAAAUGGGAUGAAAUUUGCAGCUGCAAUGUUUCGGUACUAUGGCCUCGUUGCUGGUACGAUGAAGGUGAUUAGCAGCACGCGUUCUUUUUUUUUUUUUUUUUUUUUAAAGACCUGAUUUUGAUUUCUUUCUUUUCUUCAAUUUUCUGUCUUCUUUUUUUUUUUUUUUAAGGAAUUGAGAUGAUUUCUUUAGAAAGAAAUAAAUAAACAUAAAAUAGAAAUAAAAUAAAAUAAAUAUAACUAAAAAAAUAAACAAAAACGAGCAAAAAUGGGAAUAAAAUGAUAAAAUUUUUGGUGUCUACAACUUACCUCUAUUUGUCUCAAUUUUAUAAAAAUUUGAGACAAAGACGUAGACACCAAAUCAUUCACAUGUCUGACUCAGCUAGAAUUGAAAGAAUUAGCAAAGUUUAAUGAAUCGGAAAACCUAAGCCUAAAAGAUGAGAGAGUUGAUAGGAUAAAAUCCAAACUCAACAAAAUGAAGGUUUGUGGAAUAAAAUUCAAACCCAAUAAAAUAACAGUUGGUGGGAUAAAAUUCAAAUCCAAUGAAAUGAUAGUUGGUGGAAUAAAACCCAUGCCCAACGAAAUAAAGGUUGGCGAGAUAAAAUUCAAAUAUAACAAAAUAGCGACCGGUGGGAUAAAAUUCAAAUUUAACAAAAUAACGGUUGGUGGGAUAAAAUUUAAAUCCAAUAAAAUAACGGUUGGUGGGAUAAAAGUUAAGUCUAACAAAAUAACGAGUUGUUGGGAUAAAAUCCAAACCCAAUAAAAUAACGGUUUGUGGGAUAAAAAUCAAAGCCAACAAAUAACGGGUUAGUGGGGUAAAAUUCAAAUCCAACAAAAUAAAGGUUGGUGGGAUAAAAUCCAAACCCAACAAAAUAAAGGUUGGUGUGAUAAAAUUCAAAUCCAACAAAAUAAUAGUUAAUGCUUAAAAGCAGAUCAUAUAAUAGGUUUGAAAUAACUUUCGAAAUCACAUUUUUUUUUAAAAUUUGCCCUAAUGUAGGAUUUUUUUUUAAAUUUAAAAUUGCCCAAAUUUAAUUCUAACUGGAUUUCUCUCUCUUUCUCUUUUUUUUGAUUGAAGUAUGUACUCCUUCUGAAUGAAUAAACCAAUUCAUCACUUUGCCCUGUAACAUUAUUAACCUCAAAUUUGCAAGAUGUUGACUUGCUCUUCUUCAUCAAUCUCAACCAUAAACACCUAGCCAGAGGGGAUUUGUCAAAAUACAAUAUGCACUUGAAUUUUUUUAAUAAAAUAUUUCUUGUUUUAUUCUGAAAAAUGAUGAACUCAAAUUUUGAAUAAUAGAUUCGAAGAUAUAUUACUUGACUCUUGGGCGAAAUCUCACAAAUAUAUUACAAAAAAUUGGCCCCAAUUUGGGCAUAUUGAGCGAAAUCUCACAAAUGUACUACAAAAAUUUGUCCCAAUUUGGGCUUAUUGGGCGAAAUCUCACAAAUGUAUUAUAAAAUUUGCCUCAAUUUCGAUCUAUUAGGUGAAAUCUCAUAAAUAUAUUACAAAAAUUUGCCCCAAUUUGGGCCUAUUUAAAUUCUAAAAAAAAUUUUGUUCGAAUGACUCUCCAUUUAUUUGAACAAAACAAGAAAACUAUGUUUUCUAAAAUAUAGAAAAUAAUCACGUCCUAACAUGUAAUGUGAAUUAAUAUACAAUAGAAAUUGCAUUCUUCAAGUGAAAAAGUUUAAAUGUUGGGCCUGUUUAGAAGGUUAAGUUUUUUACAAGUUUGUAUGCUACUAGUUUUUUAACAACUUUUGCUACAGAAACCCAAAAAACUUCUCAUAAUUUUUUUAUCUACACACUUCAAAAUACCCAAAACACACAAAAAAAAAUUCCCUUCCCUUUUUUUCUUCUUCCUCCCCCCAUCUCAACCAACCACCACCUCCGCCGCCGUUUCCUUUUUUUUUUUUUUUUUUUUUUCCUUUUUCCCUCUCCCCGCCAUCUUCCCCUGCCAUCCUCUCAUUUUACCCAGUUUGUAUGACCCCUUUUUAAAAAAAAAAUUCCUUUCCCUCACUCCUUCCCCAUCACCCUGCCCCUUCCCCUCUGGCCGAUCUGGUAAUAAGGCAAGAUCGCACCGGGGAGGGGGAUUUCACACAAGAUUCUAGCUUUCCGGUUCCAUUGCCACGGACCGGAGACUGAUUCAGUAGCGGCGCAGUUAAUUCAUCUGCACCAUCUCCAUGUUGCAUCGGAGACGCCGCUGAGUCUUCGCCGCCGCGCAUCGCUACAUGACAAGACGGAGAUGAUGUAGCAACCGAGUCAGCUACGCCGCGCAAGGGAGAGUUAAGCGACUGCCUCUGCGGUGGAGAAUCAUGAAUGAAAGGCGGCGAUCGGUGAGGCGAGCCGGAGGCAGAUAGCCUGGCGCCGGAAGAUGAAACCUAGCGAGGACGUUGGUGAUUGCCUUUUCAUUUCAGCUGGGACAAUGAGAAAUUGUGAAGCGGCUGAGAUUUCGCCGGCACCGUCGACGCCAUUGAUCGAAACAGUAAAUCUCUAGCAGGCGGGAGAGUAGGAGGAGGGGCUGGUGGUGGUGCCGGAGGUGGAGCAGGUGGAGGUGUGGGAUGAGGGGCUGGAGGAGGCCUUGGCUUGGUGCUGGAGGUGGGGCUAGUGGCGGAGUAGGGGUUGGAGCAGGCGGAAGUGCUGGAGAUGCUGGAGGUAACGGGGAAGGGGAAGGGGGAAGGAAGAAGAGGAAGAGAGGAAAGAAAAGAAAAAAGCAAGAAAGAAAAAGAAAAAGAAAGAGAAAGAGAAAAGGAAAAAAAAGUUUUUUCCCCUACAAAAAAUUUUUUCACCUUACAAAAACUUCUAAAAUUUUUUUUAAAAAACUUCUACAGUGCACUACAGUAAAGUUUUAGACAAACUUCUAAAAAACUCGGUUCCAAAUAGGCCCGUUGUGUUUAAACUCAUGUAGAAGAUUCCAUGAUGAAUCUCUCAAAAUAAGACCAAGUUACAAAAUAUCUUUUUGUGACGACUGGAAAAAUUUCCUUAUAUUUUUUUCUAAAAAUUUCCUUAUAUUUUUUUCUAAAAAUUCCCUUUUAUUUGGAAAUUAUUACUUAUAAUAGCCCUACUACUCAAUUACCCCACAAUAAGUGCAAAUGAACCUAGAAAGUAGGGUUUCACUUUUCGUGUUUUAAGUCAGCAUGAAUUAGGGUUUUACGCCUAUCCGUAGUGCGGUUAUCCGGUACGAAGAAUGGAUCAAAUUUGGGGAUUAAAAGUGAUUUUUAGAUGAUACUAAGUGUGUGAUUAGAAGUGAUAAUAAUAAGUUAGUGAAUUAUAAGUUAAAACCUUAGUAUACGCGAUUUAAGAAAAAACGGGUUGAAUCGACGGGUACCGUUUGUUACUGAGUGAGUGCACCACUUGAGCACUGCUUUAUUACCUUAAUCUCCUUGCUAUUAAGUGAUUAAUAUCAGCCUCAAAAUAUCUUCAAGGCAGCCGAAAUAUUGGACCAAAAAUAAGAGAGAAAAGAACAAAAUUUGACUACCAAUCAAAGUGUGACACUUAUCACCUUUGACCCAAAUUCAUUUCUAUCAUUUUUAACCUUCUUGAAGCUUCAUUGAGCCUUCAUUUUCUGCCUAGCAGCCGUGAGAGAGGAGAGGGAGAAGAGUGAAGAGAGCUUUCAAUGUCCAACCUUGAAUCCAACAUUUUGAGUGAAAACAAGAAAAACUAAACCGAUUAAUCACUAGUUUGGGAGUUUGGGAAGCUUAAAGAACCAAAAAUUUCAAGGGGAAGUGGAGGAUAACUCUAGCAAGCUUUGUUUUGAGGUAAUAUGGAUGCUCACACUUUUCUUUGUCCUUUAAUCAUGUUGGAGUUGCUUAGUAGCUUGUAUUUGUGGUUAUAAUAAUGCUUAUAUCAAGUGAUUUUGGAUGAUUGGAAUGAUGCAAUUGAGUUAGGGUUUGAAUGAUACCCUCCUCAUACUUGUUAUAUGGAUGGUGUAUGAUGUAUACAUGUUGGUAUGAGAGGUGGUAGUGAUGGUUUCAAGCUAAAAAUGAGAUUUAUAUCUUAAUUGUAGCAAAUUUCCAGAAUUGAAGUUAGUAUGUACCCUGUUCUGCCCGGUUUCAGUUCACCAUGUUAGAGGCCGAAUUUAGCUUAGCCUAAAACAUGAAAGUUGUAGAGAAUGAUUUUUUAUAGUUGUCUACAAAAUUUCAGCUCAAUCGGAGCAGGUUAUCUUGUGAAAUAACAAAAUUGCCCCUGCUGCCCUGUUUCUGUCAAAAAUGAUAAUCAGCCUCUGUAAGUGGUUAGUUUGACCAGGAAUAUUACCGAAUUGGUUGUUGAUGUUUUCUUAAGAAUUAUAGCCUUAUAUCUUAGCUUUCAAAUAGCUUUGGAAUUACCUGAAUUGGAGUUGUGUGUGCUGAGAUAUGAGUGAAUGAAUCAGGACUACUAGUUGAAUUUCAUGGUGAGCUUCGAACUGGAAAAUCUGAAGUUGUUUUGGUAAAUUUGACUUGGUUAGGGUGAGAACUGGACUAAGUAGUCUUCAUCAAAGUUAUAAUUCUCCGUCUUAGCUUUGAAAUGGUAUAGUUUGCACCUCAAUCCGAUAAGCGUAGCUUUGGUUGUGUCCGUUACGCAAAACAACGUUAAAUCUGUCUUUUGUUUCUUGACACAAACUCCAUUUCCACACAUGUUCCUAACUUGAUUUUGUACUUGUAUGACUUUGAGCCUAUGGAAUGGCUAUUGAAAAGGAGAUUUUAAAGUUUUACAAGUGAGCAUAAGUUUUACAAAUAGUUUACUUAUGUCUUUUGGUUUCAAUGUACUCUUUUCACUACCAAAACCAUAUUUAUAUUUUGUACUAGUACGUAUUCGGAUUUUCUUGGAAUCACUUAAAUCUUUGAUAGUUGAAGCAUAAUGUGUUCUUUUGAUUAUAUUAGGGUUCAUCGGUGACUGACGGUAUUAUCCGGUAAGAUAGUUUGGAUAUUAUUUUGCGUAAAUAGGUGAGUGUUCCUUGUUUGUUAUAUUUUCCUUGAUUUCAUGGCAUGUUGUUGUUGUUUGAUAAUGUGUUAAGUGCUUUCAAUGAUUUCCAAAAACGAGUUUUCUAGGCGAGUGUGUACUUUAUCACACUCGACUUAAAUAAAUGUGAAAUUUUCAAUAAUUAAAUGAUUAAAUGCUAGUUGCGCAUGAAUGUAAGCCGUUUGGCUGAACUGGGCCCUUGCCCUUUGUUACCUGUUGACUCGAAUCAGAAGCGGACUCGGUCGGGUGAUAUGGUGACUCUGGAUGAACGUAUGGUAUACUCGAGUAUUACCUUGUUAUCAGGUGGAGCCUGGCCAACGUCCAGAAGGGGGUGAAUGAAAUGAACAAACGAAUGUCAAUGAAAAUGAGGGGUUUUACUUACAAAAAAAUGCAUUUUCAAAUGAUUGGAGGGAUAAGGGGAAUGACAGGAGAACGAAUGAACGAACGAAUAAAUGACUCCCUUUGAGCCCGUAUCCUUUUAAUGAAUGUGUUAUUAUCGCUUUCCAUUGUAAAUAUUACUUGAAUUAUUGAUACUCUAUGUUUAGUGUAUUGGAUUGAUUGUUUGAUUAUGUGUUCGGAACCUCACUGAACUUUUAGCUCAUCCUUUUAGUUUUGUUUUCCUUAACAGGGGAAGGCGAGUAAGGACGAGAGUUCGGUAUAGACUAGCCAGUCUAGUUCUUUUGAUUUUUUUGUAAUGGUUUUCGCCCUAGCACUUGGCGGGGUGGAUAUAUGAAGAAUUGAGAACCUUUGUAUAUUUGAGUUUGUACUCCCUUUUGGAGAUAGAAAUGUAUAUAAGUUCUGCUUUAAGUUUUGGAUUGUUAUUAUACUUAUUCUUGGGGUUUUAUUCCGGUUUUGAUUGAGGUAUGACUGAAUCUCGACGAGAAUUGGGCAGGCGGUCCGCCGAACCCUUUGGUUUGCCUUAGGGAGAGGUGAGGCUGUCACACUUUUCCUCACUUUAGGAUCGGUAUUUAGGGGAAAUGAUCACUUUUCUCAUUAACUCAUUCUUUAGGACCAAUCAAAUGGGUAUUAUUCUUGAUUUUAAGGUGGCUAAGGAAAAUUGUACGUCAGGAUGUAUCUUACUUUUGUACCCAAAUUGUGUCUAACACAUUCAAUAUCACAUCUUGGUGAAAACAAAUAGUUUAUCGCCCUUAUUUCUUGGAAAAACUUAGUCAACAAAUAUGCUCUAUAGGUUUGUAAUAUAUGGGUAAGAGAUAGCUAAACAUAUAAAAUAGGUUAUGACCCUUUGAUCACAAGUGAUUGGUAGAUCCCUUAGAGGCCUGAUCCUUAUUUCAUGUUAUCAUGAAAGAUAAGUCAGCAAUGGACUUUACGAGGUUGUAAUGUGGUUUUGACAACGAUAGAUAAAAGAAACAAGAUUUUCAAGAACAUUGUACUUAAAAUCGCAUUCCUUCCCAAAAUUGCCCCAGACUUGGAUUCAAAGAAAUUGGAUUUCAUUUUGACUUUUAUCAUCAACCACUAGAGGGAUUUCAGCAUUGGAUGUCUUUGUAUUUUUCUUUUUCAUUUUCUUCUUUCUCUCUCUUUUUUUUUCCUUUUUUUUCACAUAUUCCUUUUAUUUCUCUCUUUUUUUUGUUCCCCCUUUGUUGUUUUAAUACCGAAAUUCGAAAUAUAAAUGGUAGAAUCAAAAACCCGUUAAUUUUUAAAUAUAAAUACCCCUUUUUUCUCUCUUUUUUUUCAUACGUCAUGUCUCUUUAAAAAAAAUUAGCAUCUUUGUUAUUUUUAAAAAUUUUCAAAUCUCCUUCUCCAAUGUGGGGUGUGAUGAUAAGUACUUUUGAAACAAACUACCAAUUUAAGAUCAAAAUGUGGAUGCAAAAGAUAAUCAAUGUUUAGAUAGUAGAAACGAUGGCCAAAGUAUCAUUCUUACGUUACAUGACAAUCAAAAUAAAAAAUAGCCCAUUGGGAAAAUCCAUUCCCAUUUGACAUUUAAAAAUUUUCUUAAUAUAGGGUUAUGAUCACUAAGGCUCUUAUUUGAAACGAAAUUGUACCUUCAAAAGCUCAAAUGAUAAAAUCUGUAUGGAUAGAAAAACGAACGCGUAAAGUAUUAUUCCAAAUUCUCAAAACAAACAAGAGUAAUGUACAUUUUUGCUUUCAUUUAAAUAUGGAUUGAACUGGUUAGACAUAGUAGGCAUUUUCAAAGUAAAGAUUGCCCUACUUUGAGGCUUAUCAACUAAUGUGAUUGAUUUUUGAAGGGUUGAUAGAAGUGGACAAAAUAUAAAUAGUAAACAUGAAAGGAAAAAAGUAUCGUAGUUGCUCUUUUGAAACAAAUUAACCAGUUUGAGUGACCUCUUUUGAUUUCGAGCUCCCUCAUUAAAUAGUUUGGACCAUAAAUCUAGUGCAUGCAAGGAUUUUAGAAAAUUAAACACACACUUGUGAAUUUUCAUGCAAGAGGUUGAAAAUCUCAAUUUAGUCUUUUUUUUUAAAGUCCGUCAUGAAAUCUCCCAAUGAGUAAAUAAAGAAUGAAAUGUACAUGAAUAUAUACAAAACAAUCAUUGUUUAAAUGAAAACUUUAUUAUCGCAAAUAAACAAAAGUAUUUUUAAAUAAAUAAAUGAAUAAACAAAAAAUAAAACCCCUUUUAGACGACUCUGAAUCUUUGAAAACAAGAUAAGAGGGUUCGAGAGUCGCGGUUGAAGAAAGGAAAGACAAAGAUUUGAUAGGGUUAAACUUAAGGCACCAUUUUAACCCAGUCAAGGCUAGUUGCGAGAUUUAGUCAAAAAUUUUCUUAAUCUAACUGUAGACACCAAAAUUUUGAGCCAUUUUUAUUUUAUUGAUAGUUAUAUCUAUUUAUUCCAUAAUUUUCAUUUGGAUAUUUUUCAAGUAUUUUUUAUAGCAUUUUUAUUUCAUUUUUAGCUUUAUUUCGUUUUUUUUUUAGAAUUUUAACAUAAAAUUUGGAAAAUGGAAAAGGCACUAAAAAAAUAUGCUUUAAUUGUUUGUUUUGAUUUUAAGUUCAAUGUUUUCUUGAAAAAAGGAAAAAAAGAGAAAAUGAGAAAAAUAAAGAAAAAGGAAAAUGAAAAUUGCAUUUCUUUGUCGUUUAUUGUUUUAGUUUAUUUAUUGCUAGCCAAUGUUAAUUAAUUUGUUGUUUUUAUCUUUUUCAUUUUUCAUUAUUAAUUUAUUUAAAAAAAUAAAAAUAAAAAUAAAUAAAUAUAGCAUACGCGACUUGCAAGCUGCGUUUUGGUCGCAGCUUGCAAGGAAGGACUCAGGGGAGCUCCUUAGCUGCAAUUUAGGAGAGAUGGCUGAGAGAGUUUAGGUUUGAAGUUCCGGAUAAAAAGAAAAGAAGGGGUAGCCGCAAUGGGGGGGAACGAAGAGAGCAAGCGGACGGCUAAAAAAAAAGAAAUCAGAGAGGUUAGAUGAGGGCUGAGCUUGAGAAGCAAAAACCGAGAGCAAGAAACUGAGAAAGGUUCUGGGGGACGGCAAAAGAAAAACUAGGAGGGAGAGUGCGAGAGGGGAAGCAAGAUAGAGGAGAGUAAGAGAGAUAGAAAGUGACGGUUAGAACAGAAAAACGACGGGGAAAAGAAAAAGGAAGGGAGGCCGAGAGAAUUGGAGUGGCGGCUGGAAGAAAGUUUCUGAGCAAGGAGGAAAGGAGGUCUGGUGUUACUUCCCCAAGGAGCAAAAGGGCCGUUGGAACCAUCAGCCUUCACUGCAGCCACCACUUCAGCCUUCCACUGCCACCGAUAGAUCUUCACCGAGCAAGGGAAAAACAUGGCAGAAGUUUGCCCAGAUGAUGAACCAGGGUUGGAGCUCCGCCUUCAUCCAGAUGCAAUCUUGUCAGCCAUUCCUUAUUCAGUAGACUCCGAAAGACGCCAAAGGUAAUUUCUUUUCGCCUUUUGCUUCUCACACAGCUUCAGAUCUUCAUUGAAUCUGCCAAGGAUUCUUGCUGCGUUGGUUUAUGAACACACUUUGCUGUUUUGUUCCCCAUAGUAGCCCAGUGGGUUUGGUCUUUCGUUGUAGAAUUUGGUGGUUAAUACUGUUAUGGAAGUUUUCUGUUCCAAGUCGUUUGUUAGAUCUGGUAUACUGCGGGCUAGAUAGAAACUCAAAAACUUGUAAGAACGCCAUGAAUAAGUCAGGCCAAGCUUCCUACCUUACAGACUUUUCCGUUUGUUUGUGUGUUUAAUCUGAUAUUUUGGGACUGUUUGCUUGUAUAAGUCGCAAUUAACACUUGCUGGGUACAACCACUGAAUAUUGAGGUAGCAGAGGUCGCACUCUAACUCCUUACAAUGGUUUAGUUUUUCUUUAGAGUGAGGUCAGUAUACGAAAAUCUGCUGCAAUGGCUCCUGUUUCUUUGACUCUCGGUUGGUUGCAGCAGCCUUUGAGUUGUUUAAUUGCUGGAGUUUGUUCGCUGUUUCUGGGUUGUGUUUGUUGGGUAGUGGGUAAGGGCAGAAGUGUUUCUUUGCAAAAGGUUAAAAUGUUUUCUUUCCUAUUGUUUGUGCCUUUCUCUGUUUCACACAUUCUUAUCUUGCUGGCCGAAAGUUUCAUGGAGUUGCAAGAGCUGUUGAAUAAAAAUUGCAGCAAAAGAACAUAGGAAUGAUUCCAAACUUGCCAGUUUUCUCAUCUCCCCUUGAUUUGCAUGUCUAAGCUAACGUUUCAUGAUGGUUUUGGAAUCUAAUGUGAGCUCCCUGAUUAGCUAAUGAGGUUGUAAAGUCCCAGAGAAUAAGGAAAUGUUGGCUGCACUUUUGUUUGGCUGUUGCUGCAUUUUUGCUGCUAUCUCUUGCAUCAUAGUCAGUUUUCAGUCCGUUUUUUUUCUCUCUCUCCCUUAAUCUUGUAAUAAGAGUGGGGAAUCCAAGUGGGCUGGUGUUUGGGAGUUGUGUCUUGGGGUUUGUUUGAUUCAAGAGAUGAUUCUUGUUGAUGUCCUUUUCGGUUGGACAUGCUGCAGAGGAAAGGAAAUCAGAAAAUUGUGUUUCUUACGUAUGCAUGCAUGGAGUUUUUUUGGAAUUUUCAUUCUAACCCCUCAAGUCCCCCUUUAUUCUACUAUGGCCCAAAUAAUUGGAACAUUUAAUCAAUUGGACCCCUCUAAGUUUCUCUUUGUUCCACAAAAGCCCAAGCAUGUUCUAGUAUCUUGUAAUUAAGUCCUAAAAUUAUUGCAACUUCAAUCAUUGUUUGGCUCUUUCUUUAUUUUUGGGAUCUUUGAAGUGCUUAAACGAUUUAUUUGGACUUGAAUGUUUGAGUAAUGCUUGUUUUGGGUCUUUAAUAGAUGCUAUACUUGGAAUUUGAACGGGUUAUUCCGUUUUCUUGGUCUCUAAGCACUUUUUUGAGUUCAUUCAAAUUGUAAUUAGGGGAAUUUUGGUGAUUUUCCUUGCACUUCAUUAUUAAAUUGGUGCCUUGACCCCUUUAUUGUUUUGAAGCUAUUUUUCCUUCAUUUGCUUGCCAUUAAGGGGGAGGUAUAAUUUCUUUUAUCUUUUUUGUUUCUCCCUAUAUGAUUCAACGUGCUAAGUGUUGCAUGUUUACUUGAUUUUCUUUAACUUUCUUUAAUUCCUUUUAUUUAGUUCAUUUACUCUUGCCUUUAUUUAAAUUAUCCUUUUAUGGGGUAUGUGUACACCUCUUGGCUUGUAAUAGAUAGGGCUUGGCGAGCAUUUUUUGUCCAUUUUCCCUUUCCCCUUUUGUUUUAGUUAGCAAAUGUAAUAGGCUCCUUAGCUUCAUUAUUUGGCUAUGUGCUAUGUGUUAUCGCUUUAUUAGGUUAUUGCAUCUAGUCGAGCAUGCUAAGUGUUAUGUGCUACGUGUUUAUAGGUGAUUAACAUGUCUAUUUGCUUUCUAGGAUUAUGAAUGAUAUGAUGGACGAAUGCACGUCACCACACUAGUCCAACGCUAGUUGUGACUCCCUUUCUCGUCACCACACUAGUCCAACGCUAGUUGUGGUUCAUUGCCCAUUUCCACUAGUCCAACGCUAGUAGGAAUUCAUAGAAAGGGCUAGUCCAACGCUAGACCCAAUAGGCUAUCCCUUUUUCGUUAGUGCAUUCUUUCGCAUGUUCACUACAUUUCAUGCAUUUUUCUUAGUUUUAUCAUUUGGCAUGCUCCUCUAACCCAAUCCCCUUUCAUUUUAGGAUUUUUUGCAUUUCAUGCUAGUUAUAGGGUUCAUUUGCUUGAGGGUCCCCUUUUGGUAAGGGAAACGAGCGAGUGUGGCUUCAAAAUAGCCUUAGCACGCUAGUUUUUCCUUCUAAUCAAAGGGAAAAUCGAAAUCAUAAAAUUAGAGGUCAUUCCCGUACCCGACCUGAUGCAUUCCUUUAGGUUCAUGCACUUUCAUAUCAUUUUCUCAUUAUUUCUAUAUUUUUCUCACUAAUUAUAUUUUUUUCUUAAUCCACAUGUCAUAUUCACACACUUCUUUUCCUUCUUUAUUUUUUGCAUCCAUUUGCACAUAUAUAUUUACUAUUUUCAUUCACUUGCACACAAACACUCGUAUAUUUUUAUCCCCUUGCACACAAACACUUUUUUCAAAUUGUACACAUACACUUUUUCUACACUUUGCACAGUUACACGCAUACAUUGAGUCUUCAUUUGCAUCAUUUAUGAUUUUCUAUGAGGGCUUUCCUUAUUGGCCGUCCCAAUUCAUGGGAAUGGGACCAAAAGCCUCAUAAGAUACAUUUCUUAGAUUUAGGAUUGCAUUUCUCAUCCAUUAGUCAUAUCCAACUUACAAUACAUACCUUGGGUAGAAAAAUUAGGAAAAUAAUGUUUAAAUCACGCAACUAGCCUUGGUUAGGUCGAAGGGGUGCCUUGGAUUUUUAUCCUUGCCUUCCCUUUCGUCAAAUGUGACUCUCGAACCUUUUUCGUUGGUUUACGUGGACUAGGAGUCGUUUAAAAAGGGUUUCUUACUAUUUUUUCCUAUUUUUUUGGGUGACUUGGUACACCCUAACUCUAUACCAAGUGGCGACUCCGUUUUUCAUUCAAAAACCCUUUUUGAACUAUUUUUCUUGGGUCAAAUCGUCGCAUUUUCAAAGUCCCAUUAGACCCAUGUUUUUUUUAUUUUAUUUUCUUUUUCAAAUCAAAAAAUUCAUUUUUUCAAAAUCAAUAAAUUCACAAAAACCAAACUUUAUUUUUUCCAAAAAGUGGGGCGCGACACUAACUUAUAAAAUUUAUCACAUUAGGAUACUUCUAUAUGGAUGCGAAUCUAGAACUAGGGGGUAUCGGGAGGGUUGGAAUGUCUCUUCAAAAUUUAAUUGGUGUAAAUCACACUAAUUGUGAUGCCCAAAAAUGAUUCUUAGAAGAGGUCACGAAUAUGCAAAAGAUUAGGUUCAAAGAAAAGAAAAUUAUAAUAGAUAAGUAUGCAUGACCUAAAAGAAAGGAAUGCAACAUAACGGGUACGGAGGACUAAGAUUUGUGACUUAAUUUUUCUUUUUAUAGAGGGGGAUGAUAGCAUGCUAAAACUAAUAAACCAUAUUCAUUCAUAUCCCAUAUUUGAAGGGUGGCUUUCUUAACCUAAUCAAGCAAUGGACUAAAAUAUUUCUAUUUUCCUAAAUGGAAUGCAAGUCUAAAUGUCAUGUUUCGCAUACAUAGGGAUAAGGGAGAUAAUAUAUAGAGAAAAUAUCAUUCAAUAUGAGAAAAGAUCCUAAAAAUGAAAAACAUGUAUGAAAUGUAAUGAAUGUCAUAUAAAGAAUGUGAAUCUAGCACGAAAACGGCCUAAAGAAUCUAACAUUGGAUUAGUCCAUUUCUAUAAACUCUCACUAGCGUUGAAUUAACGAGAAAUCAGGGAGAAAUGUCACAACUAGCACUGGAUUAGUGUGGUGACAUCAUGCAUUUAUUAUAACUAAAUAAAUCACAUAAAACAUAAUUAAAACAAGUAAACGCAUAAAGCACAUAGAGCAUAUAGUACAUAAAUAUAAUAUCUAGAUGCAAAGACUCUAAAGAAAGCGAAUAAAUACAUAAGCACAUAAGCACACAAGCACACAGGCAAAGAAACGCACAUAACGACCUAGCUAUUAUAUUUGAGACCCUAACUACAAUUUAAGGAGGGAAUUAAAAAUAAUAACCUAACUAUUACAUUUAUCUAACUAAUUACAUUUUUGCUAAAAUUAAAACCUAUCUAUUACAUAGGCUAGUUAAAUACAUGUCUUGAGCAUCUAUUUAUUACAACUUGACAUUUAAAUGCCCUCCAAAUAAUCAUCAAAAAUUAAAUAUAAUAAAUGAAAAUUAAAAGGAAUGAAAUGAGUAAAUAAAAGAAAAAACAUUCAAAUCAUGCAAUUACAUAUAAAACACAUAGGAACACAUAAGAGAAUUUAAAAUAAUAAAAGAAAAUACCUCCAUUGAAGUAGUAGUUAAAUGAGGUUGGAUUUGUCCGAUUUAUACUCCAAAAUCAACAAAAUGAUCAAGACACCAAUUUAAUUAAUCAAUAAAGAAAAUAAAAUAUAAACAUAUGGCAAAUUCACUUUAUUAUUAAAAAGAAAUGAAAAUAACCAUGAAACCUGCCAAGUAAAUCAUUUAAAUGAAGUAUAAUUAACAAUUAAAGAAGAUAAACAACUUAUACUUAGGAAAUCAAAAGCCAUCAGGGACUUAAUUACAAAAAUUAAGAAAGUUUUGGGGUCAAAUUAUAAUUAUUAAAUCAAAGAAAAAUAAAAUUUAGGGAUCAAAUUAUAAUUAAAUUAGGGACCUAAUUGAAAUAAAAUCAAAGUUUUUAGGGUAACAGAAAAAUUACUUAAAAGGCCGAGGACUGAUUUGCAAUUCUUGUUACUUGAUUUCUUAAGAAAAAUGGGUAACUGGGCCAUUUACUUCUUCUUUGGGCCAAAAAGCAUCUUAGCCCAACCGAAAUCCAAAGGAAAAAGAGCGGGCCAGUCCAUCCUUUUUAGCAAUUAAGCCCAACCGAAACGUAUGGGCUUUGUCCCUUCAAACCCAUGUCAAACCCAACAAAAUAAGCUAAACUUUCUAUUAAAAAUCCAAACAAACAACCCACAACCCAAAACCCUACUUAUUUUUACUAAAACCCAACAAGAUAAUAAAUCAACUAAAAAUUAUUAAACCAUAAUUAUAUCCCAAAGUCCAUAAUUAUUCUAUCCAAAAACAUGCUUAAAAUGUGGAAAGGAUUAUCAAAACUUAAAAUGGGUCAAACUGGUUCAAUUUUCCAUAUUUUGGUCCAUAGUAGGAUUAUUUAAAAAUUUAGGGGCCAAAAUGCAAAUUUUCAUAUUUGUUCAUGCAAGCUUCAAAGAAAGCUUUUUUUCUUUCCGCAACUUUCAUCUACAACUCCUGGGUUCAUCAUCAACUUAAAAAAUGCGAGAUGAUCUCUACACACCAUAUCUUAUGAGCCAUAAUAACACAAGAUCCGAACACAAAGGUAUGAAGCAAAGAUCUGAGCUAAACAACUUGCACAAAAAGGGAAGAAAAGGCCACAGAAUGAAGAGGGAAAGAGAAUACAAUAAGAACAGAUGCAACAUCAAAAUUUGACAUGUCCAGAGCUAGUUUGAGCAGACAUGAAGUAGGUAAAAAAAAGGUUACCCUUAAUACUUUGCGAAGCCAAAUCAACGUGGAGUGUCUGAAGAAACGCAUCCAAACGAGAUGCUCGAAGCAGCAAACUUUUGCCAACGAAGAUCUAAGUGCUGACGACCAGCUGAUUUCAAGCCAAAAUUUGAAAAGGCUGGGGACGUUCUUUUGAGAUGUUUCUGAACAAAAGUUAUACUUUUACCAACGUAGAGAAUGCUGAAAUAGAAAGAAAACCUAAAAGAUCAAGACUAAGAUCAGAUUUCGGCCAGAAAUGAAGCCUAUUCGCCAACCCUGGCUUAGAGUUUCUGCCCUUUUUUCUUCUUUUUCCUCUCUAUUUUCACUUUUUUCUCUUUGUCUUUUCUUUCUCCUGCCUCCCUCUUGUUUUUCCCCUAAUGUGUCAUUUUUGAAUCCUUUUAUAGGAACAAAACCACCCCCCUUCCCCAAAAAAAACCUAGGAUCAAUGGUGCAGAGGAGCUGAGUUAUUUUUUUCAGGAAUUUUGAGCAUUUAGAUGGCUUUUAUUCUAGAUUUUUCUUGAUGAUUUGGACUAAGGCCAGGUGGCCUUGUACUGGGGGGCUUGGAGGGAAAGAAAAAAUGCAAAAAAAUUUGAGUGGAAAUGGGAUGGAAUUUGCAACUGCAAUGUUUCCGGUACUAUGGAAUUUGUACUGCGCGUUCUUUUUUUUUUUAAAAGAUCUAAUUUUGAUUUCUUUCUUUUCUUCACUUUUUUGUCUUUUUUUUUUUACAAGGAAUUGAGAUGAUUUUCUUUAGAAAAAGUAAUAAAUAAACAUAAAUAGAAAUAAAAUAAAAUAAAUAAAACUAAAUAAAACUAAAAUAAACUAAAAUGAGCAAAAAUGGUAAUAAAAUGAUAAAAUUUUUGGUGUCUGCAAAAGAUAGUUCAAAAUUUAGGCUUUCUGUGUUUAUUUCAUAUUUCCUCAUUAUUAACUAUUUUUUAUUAUUAAAAUAAGUUUAAACAAUUAUUGAAUCGGUGAAUCGACCAAUUGAAUCGAUGAAUGGGCUGAUUGAAUCAAUUGAACUAGUAAAAAUUGAAACUGGACAGCUGGCUAAUUCACUGGCCGGUCCGAGUUUGAAAACAUUAUCUAUAGCCCAAAAACCUUGUUUCCACUGCACAAAAUACCUUGUUUAAUGCAAUCUGCCUAACUCAACACAAAAUAUUAGAAAUAUGUUUGUCAUGUGAAAAAUGAACGGAUCAAACAAACAUGCUUUGAUUAAACAAUGACCAACUAAUAAAUAUUAUGCCAUCAAGCACGUGAAGCAAGCUUUUCCGUAUUGGAAGACACUCAUUUGAUCACCGUAUUAGUUAAUGGAGUCGAUUUCUUUGUGACCAAUUCUUUUUAUCCCCUUUGAUCCAGUAAUUGUGGGGAGUCAUAGAAAAUCCUUAUAGGUACAAAGAUUAAUCUUGACGCACGCCAGAUUUCAAUUAGAUUUUUGGGCCUUAAUUUGUUUUUCACUUCGGACAAAAUCAUGCCAUGUAAUUUUUUACGAUUGGAUUCAUCCACUCAAGUAUCUGUUCACAGUCCAUCAUUCAUUAAUCGCAAUAAUCUUCGGGCUAGACCAACGUGUCCUUUUUUUUUUUUUUUUUUCUCCUCCACCAAAAUUGCUUCUCAGGAUCUUAAACUUUAUCAUAAAUGUUUCUUUUAAACUUUACCAAAAAUCCUUCUUAAAUUGAUUUCCAAAACUUCUUCUUAGUAUUCUUUUCCAUAUGACUCCAUUGAAAUUUAUUCUCUCGCACCCGAUGAUAGUAUAAAUGCACCACAGAUGAGCUUUAAAGCUCUAAAUCUCAAUCAAUGGUUUGUUUCCAAGCAUCCUUUUCCUUUAUCAGUUGCUCCUAUUUAUCCAAUCCACUCUUUUAUUUUGAUUAUCCAUCAUCACCCUAGUUUCUUGGGUUAAUGUUUCCAUCAGUUGCAAAAUACAACAUUAUUUUACGAAAAUGAAACCCCAUCUAAGUACAAAUCAUAUAAACAAACACACAGCCUGCGUAACAAGUUUGAAAAAGUUCAUAUCAUAUAUACAACUUCAUAACUGUAGUAACCAAUGCAUCCACAAAAUUAAUAUCUCCACUUUGAAUUGUAAACAUGCAAAAUACAAUUCAAAAUAGGAUCAUGGUCUCACAAAUUCUACUUCGGAUUAAUUGAGCACAAAAUGGUUCUUUUCUAAUUUUUUACACCAUAGUACUAUCAGUUCACAUCCUGCCUAAAACUAUUUAUUUAUACCUUAGGAGCAAAUUGAUUUGAGCUAAAAUUUGUGAAGCCCCUGAUCCUUCGACAUAAUAUUCACAUACAUAGAGCAUCAAAUAUUUGGUGAACUCCACGACUACUAUGUGAAGUGACAUAGCUCUCCGCCUAAUAAAGGGUCGGAAUGCAGAAUUCUGAUCGCAAACUCCUGCUUUUAGGAUAUGACUCUUCCAUUACAUAUUCAUGUAUAAAACUUAAUGUUGCAUGCCAUGAUUCAUUGACAUAGGUUCUUUUUAAGAGUUCAACUGAACUAAAUAUAUAAUUGUGAUAAUUUUAAAAAAUAUAAGUAUCUAUAUAAAAUAUAAGUAUUAAUAUAUAGAGUGUGUAACAUGAAUGCUACACUCCAUUAUAUAAGUGAAGACGUGUUGCCCUAUUUUUAUAGUAGUUUACAUUUUGUCGUUUUCUAGAUGGAUGAUUAUAUGAGUGUGUUUGGACAGGGGAUUGUUUGAAAUAUAAUUAGGAAUAAUUAUUGUAACACUUUUAUGAUGUGAUAUAUGUGAGAUAAAAAAAUAAUUGUAAACAUAAAAAGACGCGCUAAAAAAUGUGUUUACAAUGAAAGUAAAAUUUUUUUGUGCCAAUAAUUCCUAUCCACUUCUAUCCAUUUAAAGAAAUUAGAAACAUCAAAAUAUAAUACGCAACUAUUUCGCCUCAUUGCUAGUAAUAACAUAUCAUAUUAAUAUGGAUAGAAUACACAUUUACCCCUGGUGGUUUAGUAAUUUUUCAUAUAACCUUCUCACCCUCCAUAGUUUAAAAAAUUAUGCAUAAUCUUCUUAUAGUUUGGACUAAAGUGUCAAUAUAACUAAAAUGAUCCUCUGUAACGAAACCCAAGGAAAUGUCGAGAAUAUCGUUGUUUAAAAACUAAAAUGGGUGAGAUGACCAAAAUAUAUAAACUUAAUAUGUAUUAUACUUUGACCCCUUAUGAUUUUAUAUUUUAUUACAUAACCCCCUUAUAGUUUAGUGUUUUACCAUCCCUAUGUUUUGAAAAUAUAUACACAAGCCCCGGUGGUUAAUUAAUAAUUUUUAACUUCACAAAGGGGUGCUUUUGACAUUUUAGUUGACUUCGUUAUUGAUUGCAAAUUCCGUGACUUUGACAUUUUAGGCCAAAUUAUGCAGGGGUUAUAUAUAGUAUUUCAAACUAUAAGGAAGUUAUGUGAAAAAGCGCUAAACCACAGAGGAUAAAGUGUAUUUUAACCUUUUAAUAAACACCUCCUUUGUUUAACCGCUGCCCUUCCAACCAAAAGAACACAUCAUAUUAAUAAGGGAUAAUUUCAAAAACCUCUCUUGAGGUUUCUAACAAUUUCAUUGACCUCUGUUAACGUUUGUAAAAUUACACUAACCUCUUCUGAAAUUAAGAUUUUGGUAACAAAAUUAGUCCAAAUAAAAAAAAGUCAUUAAAAAUACUUUGAGAAGAGAGAUAAAACUUUUAUUCCAUAAAUGCUCUUUAUGUUUGUGUACAAAUUAUAUUGUAAAGGAAUGAAAAACAUGUUAAUAAAAAUGAGGGAAGAUAAGUGCAAAUGGCAAAGAAAGCAAAAAUAAAUAGCAACUAACUUUCUUUACAAAGUUAGAUCAACGCUAGUGCAUUGGAUUAUGAUGGCUAUUUUUUUAGGUCUUUACCAAUUUUGCAUAUAACGGCAACAAGAAGCAUUAAGAUGGAUCUCAUUUUCACUUCAAGCAGCAAAAUUUGAGGUGGAAAAAUAGUGAUUUUGUAUAGAGUUCGUAAGUUGAAGGUGAAAUAUAGGUGUAGAAACUAUAGUGCUAUCAAGCUACAGGAGAAAAUCAUAAUAUUCACCCACAUCUUUUAGCAUUAAGAACAAAUAUUGCAAGUGUAAUUGCAAGGCAACUGUGAAGAUUUUUAAGAGUACAAAAUAUCCAGACAAAUUACUGUUUGGUGUAUCAAAUUCUGAGAGUGAACAAAAAUUUGGUAUAUCAAUUGGCACCAUUUUGUAAUUGCAGGUUAUUGUUCAUCAUUAAAAAGUUUUCUAAUAGCUAUUUUCGUUAAUUAGUUACUAACAGUUAAUUAGUACCCUAAUUACUUAAUUGCUGGAUGUUAGUUUCCAAUAAAACAUAAUAUCUUAGGGUAUAUGAGUACUAUUUUCAUCCAAUAAAACACUAUAAGGGAGGUUAGUGUUAUUUUGAAAACCUUAAGGGAGGUGAGUGAAAUUGUCAGAAACCUCUCUUGAGGGAGGUUUCUGAAAUUAUCCCUAUUAAUAAACGCCUCCUUAGUUUUGGUUGGGGUGGGAGGGGUGUUUGGUUUGGUUUGGAAGGCAAAAGCAAAAUGGACAAAAAUAAUUAACCUCAGCUAACAUGUGGUCUGCCUCAUCAAACAUAAGAAUUUUCAAGAAAAUUAUGUUCAAUUUCCUUGCUAUUAUCCAACAGUGGUGAUUUGAGUGGUGAUCCGAUCACUUUUGCUGUAACAUGUGGCCUCUUUGAGAGUGGUACGAUGUUGGCACCACCAGUGGUGCAAUGUUGACAUACCUGCUGGGCAGCUAAUUCUGUGAAUUGCCGCAUCUUCAACAAAAAGACAAACCGAUAGACUGUAACAGCUUGACUUAGCAAGAAACCACUUUACUUCUUUCAAACGCUCCGCAUAACCCAAAAGAAAUCAACUCGCCCAGCCCUGUAAUCCGCUUAUCCUGCUGAUUAUCUUCAAUGUCUUGCUCGUUCAUCAACAUUGGAUCUCUUUGUUUCUAGGUUUGAUGCUUUCCUCUUCCUCUCACUAAGCUCAGUUUGUACUAUUUUCUUCGGACAUUAAAUCAUAGAUAUUCAAAUUGGAUUAAUUCGGAAGAAGAUAAAGAAAUGUUUUCACAAGAAUAAAGAGAUUGGUGUUGGACAUAAUUGUGGUGUAUAUAAAUUACAUAGAAGUAGCAAUAAAAAAAAAAAUCAUUGAUCAUAUGCUCUUAAAAGUAUGACUCUGUGUGUGGGUGUAUGUAUGUGCAAAUUUGUGUGCUCUCAAAUGUGUAUCUUAUGUUGAGAGUCAAAGGUGAUGGAGAGACCAACUUUUUUUUUUUUUUUCGGGUUAAUACUACUUUGUUCCCCCAAACUUUGAACGAUUACCCACUUCAGUCCCUAAAUUUCAAAAUGAGACACUUAAGUCCCUAAACUUAUAAAUACCUCCCACUUAAGGAAAAUUAUUAACAAAUCCUGAAUGCCGUUGGUGGUCAAAGUGUCCCAUUUUAUAAGGGUUUAGGGAUUUAAGUGUCCCAUUUUAUAAGUUUAGGAACUUAAGUGGAAGGUAUUUAUAAGUUUAGGAACUUAAGUGUCCCAUUUUAAAAUUUAGGGACUGAAAUGGAUAAUCGUCCAAAGUUUAAGAGGACAAAGUGGAAUUAACCCUUUUUUUUUUCUUUAAUCCAUCCAGUCGUCCCCUCUCUUUCCCUAUUCCCCAACUGCUAGGGCUAAGGAUUGAUCCCUAGACCUAGUAGGGGGGAAGAGCUCUAAACUCUCCCCCGGCCACCUAGGACUUAGUCCUAGAGCUCUCCCCCAGCCACCUAGACUAGUCCUAGGUAGGUGGCUGUGGGGAAGAGAUUUACCAAGGCAUAUUUAAACAGAUUAUGCACGGACAAUUGUUUUUGCUAAUAUGCAUUUCAAUCCAUUUCGAACAAUUUAUACACGUUUACUAAACCGUUCUAAUUAAUGGAUUGGAUGAAUUUUUAUCACUGUUAAUUAAAUGAAAAUCAAUUAUAAACAAUUUAUCAAUUUUGCCACCGCUAUAACCAAAAAAGUAUUAUAUUGACCAGACAUGACUUGAUCGCCAUUUACUGCCCGAAAACCUUCUCUUCCAGUGUUUAAAAAAAAAAAAAUCUUCAUAUGUCAGAAAGAUUAAUCCUCAAACAAUGUUCUACUAGCUCCGCAAGAUCUCCUAACGAAGACCGAGGUUGGGUCUGGAUCAGGAUUUGGUGCUUUGUUUCUUUAACUUUGGAAAAAAUUAUCGCAUUUCGUUUUUUUCUAAGUUGCAUCAAUCUAUUCACAUUCAGUAAUCCAUAUAAUGUCUAAGCUAUACCAACCUGUCUGAAGAAACUUUUGUUUUGUUUUUUUCUCUCUCUUAAAACUUAACCAAAAAUGCUUCUUUGACUGAUUUCCAAAACUGCUUCUUAAUAUUUUUUUCCGUAUGAAGUACAUUGAAAAUUUGACUAUUCUUUGUCACCCUGUGAUAGUGAUAAAUGUACAACAGAUAAGCUCUACAUCUCUGAAUCUCGAUCAACGGUUUGUUUCCAAGCUUUCUUUUCCUUCUCAGUUGCUCCUAUUAAUUUAUCCAAUCUUACCCUUUCAUUUUAAUUAUCUAUCAUCCAAUUAACUGAAAAACAGGCUUCCUCUCCUAUUGUAAUUGUUACAAGCUUUAAAAUUUUCUUCCUUCGGUUCUCUCUUUCUUCCCCACCCACCCCUUCUUAAUCAUCUAACUUUUAAUUUUAAACGCAUCCACUGCAUGAAUUAUGUAGACUAGCGAAGGCAGCGGACCAUGGCUAAACAGUACCAAUCGACACAUUGGAAGGCAGCAUUGGGAGUUUGACCAUCAGGCUGGAACUCCUGAACAACGAGCAGAAGCAAAAUUAGUUCGUCAGGACUUCAAGAAGAACAGGUUCCAGAGGAAGCAAAGUUUUGACCUCCUAAUGCGAAUGCAGGUACAAUAGAGCAGUAGUACUAUUACUGUCACACCUCUUUGCCUACCACAAUUUAUUAACAUUAAUAUCCUUUUUCACAUAAUAUACUUAAACUCUCACAUAUGUUACUACAGUUAAGAAAGGAGAACUCACAUUGUCCUCCAAUUCCACCGGCAAUAAAGGUUAAAGAUAUAGAAGAUGUAACAGAGGAAGCUGUGGUAACUAUACUCAGGAGAGGGAUAAGCUUCUACUCAACUAUUCAGGCCCGAGAUGGAUUCUGGCCAGCCGAAAGUGCCGGCCCACUGUUCUUCAUGCCUCCAUUAGUAUGUAUACUGAAAAAUUUUGGUGUCAAAAUUUUAAAAAUAUUAAGCAACUAAUUGUAUGGGACAAGGCUAAUUAUUAACCAUGUUAACAGGUCAUGGCCUUGUAUAUUACCAGAACACUGAAUACCGUUCUAUCAUCCGAACACCAAAAGGAGAUCAUCCGUUACAUACACAAUCAUCAGGUCCUAAAAGAUCUUGAUCAUGGAAAGUUAAAAAGAAAAAGAAUAAAUUCUUUUGUGCUUAAGAAAAGAUGGAACAUUUAUUUAUUUGACAUUUUCUUUUUUCUUUUAUAGAAUGAAGAUGGAGGCUGGGGACUGCAUAUAGAGGGACACAGCUCUAUGUUUGGUUCAAUCCUUAGCUACAUCGCAUUGAGGUUGCUAGGAGAAGGACCUGAAGAUGGGGAAGAUAGGGCCAUGGCAAGAGGGCGUGGAUGGACUCUUGAUCGUGGUGGUGCUGUUGCAACACCAUCAUGGGGAAAGUUUUGGCUAAGUGUAUGGUUAUACAGCUUUACUCGUCCUUGCUCAUUUACUCAAAAAGGCUUCUUAAACUAUCGGGGGACUACAUUUGUGAAUGCACUUCUCAAUUGCAUUUGUUGUUUAAGGCGACUAACGUCUUGGUGUUGGGCAGAAGUAAUAAUAUAAUAUUUUCUUAAAAACAGGUUCUUGGAGUGUAUGAUUGGGCAGGGUGCAAUCCACUUCCUCCAGAGUUCUGGCUACUUCCCAAAUUCUUUCCAAUUCAUCCAGGUUCUUAUAUACUAAUACAACUGCUUCGCCCUUUUCUGUAACAUGUUAUUGUCAAAGGAUAAUAAAUGGCGGAUAUCCUUUAAAGGCUUCUACUCUGAGUAGUAAUAUGCCAAUCUACUGUAAGCAAUUUGACAAUGAGGAUGUCUAGAUUCUUCAGCAUAGUAUUCAGAGCUUAACUCUCUAUUUCAUUCUAAUGCUUUAGCUUACUGGUUGUUGCAUGCUUUCGGCUUAUUUGUUCCCAUCAUGUCAAUAUUUGUGAUGCAGCACAAAUGAUGUGUUAUUGUGGCUUGGUUUACAUGCCCAUGUCAUAUUUGUACGGGAAGAGAUUUGUUGGGAGUAUAACAGAACUGAUACAUUCUCUGAGAAAUGAGUUGUACGUCCAACCAUAUCAUCAAGCAGAUUGGAAUAACACACGAAAUACGAUUGCAAAGGUCAGCUCAACUAGCUCAAGCCAUUGCAUCAUUUAAUCUAAUCAUAAGUUCAUAUAUCUUCCAAUUCAAGUAGAACUGGUUCUCUGUUGAUACAAUGAAAAUAUACGAAAUGAAUUAAAUAUGUGAAGAAUUUCUUGGUUAUUGUUUCCAUUCAGGAGGAUUUGUACUUCCCACACCCUUUAGUACAGGAUAUGCUAUGGGGAUUCCUCUAUCAUUAUGUUGAACCUAUCAUGACGCAAUGGCCAUUUUCUAUAUUAAGGAAAAAGGCUUUAGAAAAGGCAAUGGAGCAUGUGCAUUAUGAGGAUGAAAACAGCAGAUAUAUUUGCAUCGGAGUCGCAGAGAAGGUAUUUCUUGCCAACUAAUUUUAUAUGGUAUGAAUCAUCAAGUCGAGUCUAGAGUGAAUUAAGAAUAUAUAAACAAAUUUGUGAUGCCAAACUUAAACACUCAAUGCAGGUGCUCUGCUUACUAGCUUGUUGGGUGGAAGAUCCACAUUCAGAAGCAUUCAAGUGCCAUCUUGCUCGUCUACCUGAUUACUUAUGGGUAGCAGAGGACGGCAUGAAAAUGCAGGUCAAUUUAUAAUUAUCAUUCUACUAGCUAUGAGACAAGAUUAGUGCCUUGUAAAGGGGAGCAAAAAAUUAAAGAAAAAAGGAGGCUAUCAAACAAAAAUUUGUCAUAUGGGAAUAGAGAGUAUAGUGGCCCUAUUUCCUUGUCCUGAAAUGGUUAAAUACAUGACCAUUUUUUACCGUUCCUGAUCAUUACUAAUUGCAUAGUAUUAGAUAUAGCGUUUCUACUAGAUUAAAUUACAUCCAUUAGCGGAUUCUAAAUACAUAUGUUGCCAUAUAAAAAAUACCGAUGCUCUUUCCUACAAUCCAAGAUCUGUAUUGUUCUAUCUUUUCCAAUUUGAUUGUCCUUUUUUAAGAAUCCAGCUUUCCAAUAAUAGUAGCUUAAUUGAACUUUAGUCCUUUGCCUGAUGAAAUUUAGAAUUUGAACUUUAGUCUCAUUAAUUUGAAUUGCUGUCUAAGUAAUUAAUUAGGACUGUCAAUGGGGCUGGGCCAGCCCGAGCUCGGCUCGUUCGGCCCGACAGAAAGCCCGAUGAGCCCGAUCAUUUAGUGAGCCGGUCUGAGUUUGAGCCUAAAAAUUAGACCCGAAUUAAAUGUGAGCCGAGCUUGGGCCUUAUUAGGCUCAAACCCGAUAUAGGCCCGGCCCUUUAAUUACCUAUAUAUAUAAUAUUUAUAUUUUGAUAUUAUGUAUAAUUAUAUAUCCAAAUAUAUUUUUACUAAAUACUAAAAAUAUAUAUAAAUUACAAAACACAAAAAUACAUCUAAAGACUCUUUCAUGAGUUUUCUUGAGAGCCAAUAUUAGUAAUGCAUAACUAAAUCUCUAAUUUUUCUUAUUGGUUGAGUAAAUUUUUAUAUUGGCAUAUUAUUAGUUGAUUUUUUUUUUUGUCUACAAACACAAAAAUCAUCAAGCAUAUUUGGAUUUAAAUCACAAGAUUAUAAAAAAAAGUUUCAACUUUUAAAGAUGCAUUGGCUUAUGAUCGCAUGUUUUAUUACUAUUUUUCAUGCAUUUUAAACCGAUUAAAUAUAAAUAUUGUUGAAAAAAUUUUUGGUUUAUAUACUUUUUAAGAACUAUUAUUUGUUCAUGUUUAGUUUUAAUAUUAUAAUCUUGUAAAUGUUAAAUUAGUUUUACAACUUAAUAGUUAUAGUAAUUAUAUUAAGAAAAUUAAGGAGUAAUAAGUGAGCUUGGACUAAGCCCGAUUAAGGCUCACAACCCGAAUAUUAUGUGAGCUGAGUAUGAGCUUCACAUUUACGAACCCGAAACUCAUAGCCCGGAGCCCGAAAAUGUUUCAAAUUAAAUGAGUUGAGCUUGAACUCAUCAAAGCCCGGCUCAUUAGGCCCGAUUGACAGGCCUAUAAUUAAUCAAGCUUCCCAACUAACUAAUUGAUUCAGCACAUUAUUCAACAAGUAAAUAUUUGAGGUUUUAAUUAGAAUGAGUUGCCUAAUCUUCAGAAUCAAUCUUGACAUCCAAAAAAACUUGUCAAUUACCAACUUUCAUUUUAAUUCCAAGUUUUGCAGACAUUCGGCAGCCAAGCAUGGGAAGCAGCUUUGUCAAUUCAGGCAAUUCUAUCUAGUAAUCUAGCUGAAGAGUAUGGACCAAUGCUUAAGAAAGCUCAUGACUUCAUAAAAGCAUCGCAGGUGAAACUAUAGAAUCAAACACUCAUUGACAUUAAUUGUUAACCAAUAAUGGAAAGUCUAACACAAAAUUUCUUUCUGAUUCAAGGUUAGGGAUAAUCCUUCCGGGAAUUUCAUGAAAAUGCAUAGGCACAUUUCCAAAGGAUGUUGGACAUUUUCAACGCAAGAUCAUGGCUGGCAAGCCUCUGACUGCACUGCUGAAGGAUUAAAGGUAUAUUUGCACUAAAAUUUUGUGAAUCCUUCUUUAGUUUUCUUAAGUAGCAUUUUGCUUCUCAUAAUUGUGUAGUCUCUUACUUGUUUUAUAGGCUGCACUUCUUUUGGCACAAAUGCCACUGGAACUUGUUGGGGACAAAAUUGAAGCCGGGCACUUAUAUGAUGCUGUUAAUGUUAUAUUGUCUUUACAGGUUUGUGCAAACACUAACAAAUGAAUUAACUCUCCUUCUAUCUUUUACUAAACCAAAUUUAGUCCUUAAACCUUUAUUUUUGCCUGUUUGACACGGAAAGCUCAUAUUUUCCUUCAAAUACGUCCUAAUUAAUUAGGAGUCACUAGUUCCUUCGUUGAAGAAAAUAUUCUGCCAUGGUUGACUCCUAUGUCAAGAAAAAUACAUUUAGUUUCUCUCAAUCACUAGAUUGGAGUUAAACUUUUCCUUAAACUAGAACUAAUUAAUUCCACUUUGCAUCUUUAAUUUUUUCAACAAUUCUGAAUUUGAAUUCUAAACAUUUAGGAUUUGUUUGGUUCACGGAUUGGAUGAAAUGGGAUGACUCAUCCUCAAAUUAUUAAUCUUGGAUUGAGUUAUGCUCAAAUUAAUAAUUCAAGUAAUCUAGUGUUCGGUUGGUUCUAGGUUGAAUAAGAUGUAUUGGGAAAUAAUCCUUUUCGAUGUAUGGUUGGAGAUUGGAUGAGAUAUGAUUACUAUUUUAAUGACUAAAGUAUCCCUUAAUUUGUAGGAUCGUUUUAGUAAAAUAAUUUAAUAAUUUACAACUUUUAUUAAAAUAUAGUAAUUUUAAACUUUAGAAUUAUAAAGUAAAUCAAAGGUUUUGAUAUAUAAAAAUUUGCGUUCACUCAAACUCAGUCUAUUCAGGCCCUUAAAAAUUGGUUUUAAUAUAGUUUUUUAAUCUAAGUUUGAAAUUCAACUAAAUAAUGACCUGAGUUUUGGCUGAAUUAGGGUUAAAUUGACUAACAUUCAACCCAUUGAAGACUUUUAAAAGAGCCAAACUCAAGCCAAUAUAGAAAAUUUUUUUUGGACUGAGUUUGAACUUAUUAAAGCCCUCAUUCAUAAAGCCCAAUUGAUAAGGUUAUGUAUUUAUAUAUUUUUUGGUUGAGAAAAUAAAAUUUGUAGGGGCAAUUUAGUCUAGGGGCAAUAUAGUCCUUUUAUUAUGAUGUAAGUAGGGCAAAUUAGUCAAAAACUUUUAAUAAAAUUAGUAGGGGCAAAUUAGCUUGUUUUUUAUCAUAUUAUUAUGUGAGUAUGGUUAUAUAAUAUUCAAUAUGAAUUUGUAUCAUUAGUAAGGCAAAUUAAUCCAAAUAUUGUUUGGUAGUAGGGUCAAAUUAGUCCAAAAAAACUUUAAAUUAAUUAGUAGGGGCAAAUUAGUUAGUUCAUGUUUUAUCAUGUGAGAAUAAGGUUAUAUAAUUAUGAAAGUAUAAAUUUAUAUUAAUUGUAAGGAUAAAUUGAUGUAAAAUUUCAUCAUCCUAUUUCUUAGUCAUCCUAGGAUGACUAAUACCACUUCUCACAUGGGAUUAUUUUAUCCCAUGAAUAGGAGAUUAAUUCGAUUAGUUGGGAUAUGUCAUCCAAUGUGCAAAAUGCAAAUAUACAUGGGAUGAUACAUGAUGAUUAAUCUAAUAUUGUGUCAUCCCAUGAAUCAAAACCAAGCAGACCCUUAAGUAUUUCAGCCACAGUUCUCGCCUAGACAUGGAUGGAACUAGAGGAGAGUGCGAGGGCCUCUGCCUCCCAUUCUAGAUAUUUAUGUUUUCUUUCCUUAAAAUUUUGAAAAUUUCAAAAAGUUCCUCUAUGUUUUAUACCAUUCCCCCCCCCCCCACACACACACACAACAAAAAAAAUCUUUAAAAAAGCUUAUGUUGAUUUGGAAGUUUAUAUGUACAUGUAUUUCGCCCCCUCAAAUUAAAAUUUCUGGUUGCGUUCUUGCUCCUAGACCUAUCGAUUACUACCAUGUUGCACUCGGAUUUCUUAUUUUGUGCAUGUUGCACUUGAAGUUACUAACUCGUUGCAAUAAAUUUAACUCCACACACUGUCACAUAACUGAAAAAUAGCACUUAUAUACAUUCUACUCUCUUCCUUCUCAAUGAUAAAAUUAGGCAUCAAUCCAUAGAAACUGGAAGAAAGCACAAAAGAAUGAAGCACUUUUUAGAUGUACUUUUCAUUCACACAUUGAUUAGUUGAGAUAUUUAGAGACAUUUCACAAACUUUACUACACAAAGUGUCCAAAUUAAAAGUUAAGGUGAAAAGUGAGAAUUACUUAAUUUUUGAGUCUGCUGAGUCGAAUUAAUCCAGGAUUAGGUAUUUGAUGGUCUAUAAGAACCUAUUGCUGCAAUUUGGGGGGCAAUUUCUUUUCUUGCUGAUCUGUUUGCUUCAGCAUUCCCAUUGUCACUUGCUCCAAAUUUUAGAAAAAAGUGCUUGAGUUUCUUUGAUUGAAUUGAGGUCAGAAUAUUUUUCAUCCAUUCUCUUUCAGCUAGUAGCGUCGUAGAAUUGAUCUUUUUGGAUCGAGCUGCUACUAAUGGAUCAUAUUGUUUGGAAAAUGACAAUUCAAGGACCAAUCAUAAUGUAAAUUCCGUGAGCUAGCUUGCAAGUUAUUUUACCUAGGUAUUCUAUUAUUUUUAUAGGUCAAUUACUCUGUUUGAUUCCAAGUAUACAGGUCAAAUUAAAAUAUAGAAUAAAUUAAGGUCGAUCUCGGAGAGAAUCAAAAUAAUUACUAUGCUUUUUUAAACGCACUUUAUUAUCUAAACAAAUAAAAGUUCAAGUAAAGACAAUUGUACAAUUAUACUAUACUAAUGAAAAGAUAGCAAGUCAUAAAUUUGAUGAAGAAAUUUCUUAGGGAUUUGAAUUCCUUGUAGUUUAAGGGACACAAAUAAAGUAUUAAAUUUUCAAAAACAUUAAUAACUUUAUUCGACAGUGGAGCAGAUACAAGUUGUAUUAAAAGAGGAAUCAUUCCAUUAGAAUAUUUAGAAAAAACCAAUGAAGAACUAUAUGCAUUGGAAAAUGAUAGACACUAGAAAUUAUUAUACAAGACCUACACCUCCAGAUAUUCAAUAUGAAGAAAGAUCAAAAUUUCACACCAGUAAAUAUGAUGGAAAAUCAUUAUAUGAAUGGAAUAUAGAUGGCAAAGCAGAAUAUGAGAUAUUAAAUACAUUACAAGAAAUGGGAAUGGCAAGAUUAGUAUAUAAAGUAAGACAUGCAGAUGAAAAAUCAAUUGCAACAAUAUUAAUAUCAGGAUUCACAGGCCAAUUAAAAAAUUGGUGGGAUAAUGCAUUAACAUUAAAAAGCAAAACUGCAAUAUUAAAUCACACUAUAGAAGUUGAAGAUGAACAAGGUAACAUAACUACCAAAUCAGAUGCAGCAGAAUUCUUAAUAGUAACAAUUGCAAUGUAUUUUGUAGGAAAUCCAAAAGAAGAAUUACACUCUAAUAAAAUGUUUUUAACCAAUUUAAGAUGUCCAACUCUUACAGAUUACAGAUGGUACAAAGAUAUGUUUUUAACACAUGUAUUAAGAAGACUUGAUUGUAAUAUGUCAUUUUGGAAAGAAAAAUUUAUCGCUGGACUACCAACUUUAUUUUCUCAAAGAAUUAUGACUACUUUACAAAAAGAAAUGGGUACAGAUAUAUUAUCAUUAGAAGGAGUCACUAUGGGACAAUUAUUAGGAUUUAUUAAAAAAGAAGGAUUAGCAUUAUGCACAGAAUUAAAAAUGCAACAGAAGUAGGAUCAUUUUGUGAAGCUUUUGGUAUUCAAGGUAUUAGAUCACCUUCUGCAUUAAAAAGAAAAUCUUACAAAAAAAUUUGAUUAUAUUAAAAAAGGGAGAAGACAACCUUCUUGGAUUUCCCAUGAACCCUAUUAUAAGAAAUUUAAGAAAAGAUUUCAAAAUAAUAGAAAUAUUACUUGCUGGAAAUGCAGAAGAUUAGGACAUAAAGCUAACAAUUGCAAAGUAAAGCAAAAGAUAAAUGAAAUAUUUUCAAAUGAUUCAGAAUUAAAGGAGAAAAUAUUAGCGAUUAUGAUAAAUGAGGAAAAGGAAGAAUAUAUAUCAAAUGGAUCUGAGAAUUACAACGAUGAUAAAGAGAUAAGUUCAGAUGAAUGUAAUUGCAAGGAUAAAAAAUAUAUAAAUGUUAUAACUACAAAGGAAGAUAAAGAAUUUUUAUUAGAUCUAAUCGAGAAAAUAGAUAAUAUAGAAACAAGGAAAACGUAUUUAGAAAAAUUAAAAGGGAUAAUAUUAGCAGAAGAAAAAAUUCCAAAAAUAACUAAACCCUUUAGCAUUUCUAGAUUAUUAGAUAAAUAUCCUAUAGAAAGAAAUAUUAGAAUUAUAUACAAAAGAUUUAAGUUUAGAAACUAAGAUUACUAUAUUACAAAGUCAAUUAGCCUCAAGUUCAAAAAUACCAAUUCAAAACCCCAUAUUAGAAAUAGAAGACAAAAUUGAAAACAAAGAAAAAGAUUAUGUAAAUAUCAUUGAUAAAAUAAAUUAUCAAAAAUGGUAUGGAUUAGUUACAGUCAAAGUAUUAAAUUUUCAAGAAACAUUAAUAACUUUAUUCGACAGUGGAGCAGAUACAAGUUGUAUUAAAAGAGGAAUAAUUCCAUUAGAAUAUUUAGAAAAACCAAUGAAGAACUAUAUGCAGCUAAUGGACAACCAUUAAUAGUAAAAUAUAAAUUAAAAAAUGGAAUUAUAUGUAAUAACAAUUAUUGCAUAAAACAUAGAUUUCAUAUAGUAGAAAACUUAACAACUGAUAUGAUUCUAGGAAUUCCAUUUUUUACUCAAAUAUAUCCAUUCAAUGUAAGUAGUACAAGAUUAAGUAUUAAUAUAAUGGGAAAAGAAAUAGUAUUUCCAUUUAUAAGUCCUAUAAAACAAAAAGAAAUAAGAACAUUACAAACAUCCUCUAUUUAUCAAACUAUCAAUGCUAUUCAAUGCAAAAAGAAACACAUAUCUGAGUUAAAAAAAUUUACAAAAAUAUAUAAGAAUCGAAGAACAAUUACAAAAUCCUAAAGUUAAACAAGAAAUUAAUAAAAUAGGAGAAUUAAUUAAAACAAAAGUAUGUGCAGACAUUCCAAAUACUUUUUGGGAAAGGAAAAAACAUAUAGUAGAAUUACCCUAUGAAAAAGGAUAUUCAGAUAAGGAUAUUUCUACUAAAGCUAGACCUAUUCAAAUGAAUAAAGAAUAUUUAGAAUUUUCUAAAAAGGAAAUACAAACUUUAUUAGAAAAGAAAUUAAUAACUCAUUCAAAAUCACCUUGGAGUUGUGCAGCUUUUUAUGUAAUGAAUCAAGCUGAAAAAGAAAGAGGAGUUCCAAGAUUAGUUAUUAACUAUAAACCAUUAAAUAAAAUGUUACAAUGGAUUAGAUAUCCAAUUCCAAAUAAGAGAGAUUUAUUAAAUAGAUUAUUUAAUGCAAAAAUAUUUUCAAAAUUUGAUUUAACAUCAGGAUAUUGGCAAAUUAUUAUAGCAUAAAUAGUAACUGUAAUUAAAAUAAUUUCUGACCAGGCUCUGAUACCAGAACCAGCCCAGGCAUGAACAGAAAAUUAAAUUAAGAAGGCAAUAAAUAAUUGAAAUCAAAUAAUCCUACUUUGUAAAUUUCUUCAAUUUUCUGUUUAGGUAUAGUCCAAUUUGAACUAUCUAUUUCCAUCUUAACUUCAUUACUUAAUACCAAGUCUGAAUUCUUUGAAUCAGAUCUAGUCAUCCAUCGUUUUAACUUAGCUAGGGGUGAGCAUCAAAUUCGAAUUCGGUAAUUCGGUAGGUUGAAAUCGGUAAUUUUCGGUAAAUGGUUCUGGAAAUAUUCGACCUAAUUCGCAUUCGAAUUAGAGACUACCGAAUUCGAAUUCAACCCGAAUUCAAUUCGGUAAACAAAAAAAUUACCGAAUUACCGAAUUCCAGAAAACUAUUGGUUUCUUAACACUCUGCCUCAAACAGGAUUCCAGAUUUCACUUUGAGGGUUUAGAAAGUGAAGUUUAAGCCGAAGUGUUUGUAUAAAACCUCUUCACUUCCUGUAGUAUCCGUCUUCCCUAAAUAUAUGAAUGCAAGUGAAUUCAUCAAUUUUGAUUUAGAAAUCCAGAGAAAAUUCCUUUCAACUCCAGAAAUUCAACCGGAAUGCUCCCAUGGCUUGUGGAUGAGACUUUCUACACUAGUCAAUGUAGGAACGAUAAAUCAACAAAUUGAGCAGCCAAAUCAGUCACAAAGCACUAGUGCAGUAGUAGACAUGUACCAACGGGGUGAGGACAGCUUGGUGGUGGCGGAAGAUUUUCAGGCGCAGCUCCUCAACGAAAGGAGCAACAGAAGGGUCUUUAGAAUUGAGCAAGAGGACCUCAUGGGCAAUGAUAAUGGCCUUGAUCCCAGUAACAUCUAGAGAGAGGGAGAGGAGACAAACCCUAAAUCUUGGAUCCCAGUAACGUCUAGACCGUCAACAAAUUCUCUCAAAUUGGCGGCAAAAAUCUGUUACAGUGAAUAUGGAGACUGGAGAGAACCGGCUGAAGGAGGCUUCUGUAGUUGACGAGAGGAAAGGAGAAGCUGUCAAACUGAGAAAGUAUCUUCAGUUGAGGAGAGAAGAAACUUAGAAACAGGCAAACAGCUUGGCUUAGACUUCAGUGGGCGACGGCGCAAAGCAACGAGAGGAAGAGGAGAGCAGAAAUAGUGAAAUUAGAACGAAUGCUAAUUUAGGGUACUGAAAGUCUGAAAUUGGAACAUCCGACAAAAGCUUGAGGUAUAAUAUUAUUCGGAAUUUCGAAUUUGAAAACGGUAAAAUAUUACCAUUUUACCGAAUUAAAUUCGAAUUCGGUAAAUCCGAAUUCAAAAACCCCAAAACCAAAUUCGAUCCUAAUUCGAUUCUUACUAAUUCGAUACCACUGAUUUACCGACCUAAUUACCGAAUUACCGAAUUCGAAUAACCAAAUUGAAAUCGAUUUCGGUCGGUAAUUCGGUAAUUACCGUAAUUGCUCACCCCUAAACUUAGCUGCCAUAUUUGCUAAUUUCUUCUAUUCAUCUAUCCUAUGGGAACACCAGAGUCUGAUGUCGGGAACACCAACUCUCUAGGCUUAACAAUGGUCUCACUAAGUCUCAAUGGCUUACCAACACAGCAUAGAAAACAGUCAAAAUAUAGCAUAAAUAGUGAACAGAAAAUUAAAUUAAGAAGGCAAUAAAUAAUUGAAAUCAGGCGUGUUGAAAGAAAAUGAAGAGAGGGUUUUGAACUUACUUGUAAUUAAAGUUCUUGAAUAGUCUUGAAUUUAGGAAUUAGAUGAGCGUGGGACUUGGAAGCAAAUGUGAAUGAAAGCUUUUUGAUCUUAUUGGAGACUAGGAGAAUAUUUACAAUAAGGAAGGCUUAGAUCACAUAGAUUGAUCGAUGCCUGUCUUUUGAAAUUCUACAUCUAUUUAUACAUGAAUUUAAAUGCUCAUUUCAUUGUCAUUUCAUUUGAAUCUUAUCUUCUUAUCUUCGUAAUCUUGAAAUCUUUAUCUGAUUGGAUGGAGCUGUCUGUAGCUUUUGAAAUGUUGCCAACAAUCUUUUUUGCUUUUAGUAAUCAUACGGAUCUUGUGCGCAUGGCCCACCAAAAGGGUCAGAUGUUUGAGUGGGUGAUGACGAAGAUUCCUCUGCCGUAGUAGAUCCAGCUGUUGUGGGUCCUUGAUUUGAAAUUCCUUUGUCUUCUUUCGUUUGUUCUUUCAAAUAAUUCAGAUAUUCUUGAAACAUAUCUGGAUUUGUCAUCAUUUUUGAAAGAAGAAAAUCUUGAGCCGGAUUUGCUGCUUCUGUUUCUUUUCCUUUUGAAGAGGUGUUCGGCCUUUGAAUACUUGAAGAGGCAGCGGCCUUUUGAAGCGGACUUUUUUCUUUUGUUUGAACUGUCACUAAUUGCUGCAUGGUCCAUUUGAGUUUUUCGUCUGUUUGAAGAAAUUUGAGUACUGUCUCUUGGGAGCAUAUUUCUUGUUUGAAUUCAUCCCACCAUUUAACUUUGAAUUCUCGAACCAAAGACAUUGGUAAUGGUGCUUAUAAAUCUUGCAUAAUUUUGAAACUCCAGCAAAAUAUCUAAGGUACUUUGAAUUCUGUGUGAAAUAAUAUUGAACGAAUAUAUUCUUCUCCUUGAAUCUUUUUGUAAUAAGUCUGAAAUCCCAUUAACACUUUUGGAGGAUAUAUCUCCUGUUGAGGUCCAUAAUAUCUCUACCAAUGAUAGAACCAAACUGGAAAAUCCUUUGGGCAAUGUUCAUGGAAUAUAAAAAACCAUGAAUGACCAAAUGGUCUGUAUAGAAAAGCUCUAUACCAGACCUGUUUGUAAUCUUGAUAUGUGAAUUCUUCUGGAAUCCUCCGUACUAAAAAAUUCUUUUUUGAAUAAAUAGAGGCCCAUUCUCCUGGGGAGCAAACCUUUUUAAUUAUACAUUUGCAAUGGGCUAUUUCCUUUGGAUUUGAAGGAUUGGGUUUUGCAAUAAUUUCAACUGAUCCAGUAUCAACUAGAAUCAGUUCAUAAUAAGAUUGAUUUUUGAGGGAGUCAUCAGGACACCAAUAGCAUCCUUCUAGGAAAAUCCUCUGAGUAUGUGUUUUAAGUGUGGCAUAGGUAGGUACUUCUUUGAAUUUAGUUAGAGUAAUAUGUUGAAUCAAGGGUUUUAUAAUGUAAGGAGAUUUUUCUUUUGCAAUUGGGGUUUGUGGUACUUUUGAAGAGUUGGAUGGAUUUUGAGCUACUUGAACAUAAGAUAAAGCUGGGAAAUCUUGAAAUAAACUAUAUCUAUUUGAAGUAGGGACCUUAUUUUGAGACAUUUCAUAAUCCUUUGGAGUGCGAGCCAUAUCUGCAAAAUUAAAGUCAAGAAAUAAUUUUGUUGAGUUUCUCUCGAAGUUGUUGAAUCUGUUGGUCAUAAUAUUGAAUCUUUUCCUGAGGAUGAACGGUUGUUUUGAGGACAUCUUUGAAAAUAAUAUUGGAAUUAAUUUGUCUUUUGAGAAGAAAGGCUUUUUCUUUAGGAGUCUGAACAGACCAAAAACUAGGUCUAAUAUAAACUGGGGAAUGAUUUUGAAUUUGAUGAUGAGGAAUAGGCUGAAUUUCCACUUGUGGAUUUUUAAUAUAAUAAGUAUGAUAUCUAUUGGAAAUAUUUUUAUCUUUUCUUUGAAGAAUAGGGUCAUCCCUUUCUCUUCGUAAUCUUCGAAUGUAUUUUUUGUGUGACUCACGAUCCAUUCCCUUGAAAAAAUUCGCGAGCAAGAAAAUCUGGUAAUGAAUUAUUUUCACCUUUAAUAUAUUCAAUUUCAAAAUAAAAAAACAGAUAAAAUAGCUUGCCAUCUAGCAAAUAUUUGUUUUGAAACAAGAUUUUUAACAUCUUUUUGUAAAACUUCUUUUGCUGAUUUGCAAUCAACUCUUAAUAAAAAAGUUUUAUUUAUCAAAUCAUCUUGAAAUUUGGAAAUACAUAAUACAAUGGCUAAAAUUUCUUUUUUAAUAGUAGAAUAUUUUUGCUGUGUGAUAUUCCAUGCUCCUGAAUGGAAUCUUACUAAUUGUUCAUGGGAAUUUUCUGCCUUUUGUUUGAGUAUGCCACCAUAUCCCUUUUCGGAGGCAUCUGUUUCUACUAUCAUUUUAGCAUUAGGGUUUGGAAUACCUAAACAGGGUAAUUCUAUAAUCUUAGCUUUUAAAUAUCUUAUUUUUUGGGUAUGUUCUUCUGUCCAGGGAGAGGGAUCCUUUCGUAAUCUCUGGAAUAAUAUUCCACAUUCUGUUCUAAGAUUUGGAAAGAAAUCUGCUACAUAAUUUAAACAUCUUAAAAAUCUUUGUAAUUGAUUUUUAUCUUUAAUUUCAUUUGGAAACUUACUUGUAAAUUUUAGAGCUCUUGUAAUAGGUUUAAUAGUUCCUUUGGUUAUAUUAUGUCCUAAAAAUCUUAUUUCUGUUUGAAAUAAUUUCAUUUUUGGUGCUGAUAAUACUAAUCCAUUUUUCUUUACUAUAUUUAGAAAUAUUUUAAUAUGUCUAAAAUGUUGUUCUAUUGAAUUUGAAUAUAUUAAAACAUCAUCAAUAUAAACUAUGAUGAAUUCAUUGUGAUUAUUAAAUAUGUCAUUCAUUAUAUUUUGAAAUUCUGAUGGAGCAUUUUUUAAUCCAAAGGGCAUAACUACCCAUUCAUAAUGUCCAAAUGGUGUAGUGAAUGCAGUUUUAUAUCUAUCUUUUUCUGCUAUAAUAAUUUGCCAAUAUCUUGAUUUUAAAUCAAAUUUUGAAAAUAUUUUUGCAUUAAAUAAUCUAUUUAAUAAAUCUCUCUUAUUUGGAAUUGGAUAUCUAAUCCAUUGUAACAUUUUAUUUAAUGGUUUAUAGUUAAUAACUAGUCUUGGAACUCCUCUUUCUUUUUCAGCUUGAUUCAUUACAUAAAAAGCUGCACGACUCCAAGGUGAUUUUGAAUGAGUUAUUAAUUUCUUUUCUAAUAAAGUUUGUAUUUCCUUUUUACAAAAUUCUAAAUAUUCUUUAUUCAUUUGAAUAGGUCUAGCUUUAGUAGGAAUAUUCUUAUCUGAAUAUCCUUUUUCAUAGGGUAACUCUACUAUAUGUUUUUUCCUUUCCCAAAAAGCAUUUGGAAUGUCUGCACAUACUUCUGUUUUAAUUAAUUCUUCUAUUUUAUUAAUUUCUUGUUUAACUUUAGGAUUUUGUAAUUGUUCUUCGAUUCUUAUAUAUUUUUGUAAAUUUUUUAACUCAGAUAUGUAUUUCUUUUUGCAUUGAAUAGCAUUGAUAGUUUGAUAUAUAGAGGAUGUUUGUAAUGUUCUUAUUUCUUUUUGUUUUAUAGGACUUAUAAAUGGAAAUACUAUUUCUUUUCCCAUUAUAUUAAUACUUAAUCCUGUACUACUUACAUUGAAUGGAUAUAUUUGAGUAAAAAAUGGAAUUCCUAGAAUCAUAUCAGUUGUUAAGUUUUCUACUAUAUGAAAUCUAUGUUUUAUGCAAUAAUUGUUAUUACAUAUAAUUCCAUUUUUUAAUUUAUAUUUUACUAUUAAUGGUUGUCCAUUAGCUGCAUAUAGUUUUUCAUUGGUUUUUUCUAAAUAUUCUAAUGGAAUUAUUCCUCUUUUAAUACAACUUGUAUUUGCUCCACUGUCGAAUAAAGUUAUUAACGUUUCUUGAAUAUUUAAUACUUUGACUAUAACUAAUCCAUACCAUUUUUGAUAAUUUAUUUUAUCAAUGAUAUUUACAUAAUCUUUUUCUUUGUUUUCAAUUCUGUCUUCUAUUUCUAAUAUGGGGUUUUGAAUUGGUAUUUUUGAACUUGAGGCUAAUUGACUUUGUAAUAUAGUAAUCUUAUUUUCUAAACUUAAAUCUUUUGUAUAUAAUUCUAAUAUUUCUUUUUGUAGAACUUUUACCUGUUGUUUUAAUUCAUUGAUUUCCUUUUGUAAAGAAUGAGUUGUAUCUUUUUUAAUUAUUCCUUCUAAAGGAUAUUUAUCUAAUAAUCUAGAAAUGCUAAAGGGUUUAGUUAUUUUUGGAAUUUUUUCUUCUGCUAAUAUUAUCCCUUUUAAUUUUUCUAAAUACGUUUUCCUUGUUUCUAUAUUAUCUAUUUUCUCGAUUAGAUCUAAUAAAAAUUCUUUAUCUUCCUUUGUAGUUAUAACAUUUAUAUAUUUUUUAUCCUUGCAAUUACAUUCAUCUGAACUUAUCUCUUUAUCAUCGUUGUAAUUCUCAGAUCCAUUUGAUAUAUAUUCUUCCUUUUCCUCAUUUAUCAUAAUCGCUAAUAUUUUCUCCUUUAAUUCUGAAUCAUUUGAAAAUAUUUCAUUUAUCUUUUGCUUUACUUUGCAAUUGUUAGCUUUAUGUCCUAAUCUUCUGCAUUUCCAGCAAGUAAUAUUUCUAUUAUUUUGAAAUCUUUUCUUAAAUUUCUUAUAAUAGGGUUCAUGGGAAAUCCAAGAAGGUUGUCUUCUCCCUUUUUUAAUAUAAUCAGAUUUUUUGUAAGAUUUUCUUUUUAAUGCAGAAGGUGAUCUAAUACCUUGAAUACCAAAAGCUUCACAAAAUGAUCCUACUUCUUGUUUUUGUGAUCCAUACUUCUGUUGCAUUUUUAAUUCUAUGCAUAAUGCUAAUCCUUCUUUUUUAAUAAAUCCUAAUAAUUGUCCCAUAGUGACUCCUUCAACUACAUCUAUUAACUUAUUGUUUUGUUCUUCUUCU